CGACCGGUAUGAGAAGCUCUCGAUCUCUACUCGCCAUCACGAUCGCCGAUUUCUCAUCUCCCAUCACUUGUAAUCGAAAACGACACCGGUUUCCUUAUCGAUGGAUGGAUAGAGUAGUAUGUAUCUAGAUUCUACACUACUCUAAUAAGGUUCGGAUUUAUUUUGGAAAGAGUUUCUUUUGAAUUCAAAAUCAAUCAAUCUAUCUAUCUAUCUAUCAAAGGCAGGGGAGUGAAGCGUUUGCUUUUUUUCUUUGUUUUGUUCUUAAAAAAAUAAAUAAUUAAUUUUUCUACAAAAUCUAGAAAUAUAAAUAUUCUAACUAUUUAACCGUGUUCCAUCAAGAAACAGAGCAAAAAAGAUUUUAAAUACCAGAAACAAAUAUUUAAAUAUUACUAAUACAUUUUUUUUAAAAUAAAUUUUAACCAUGAAUUUGAAAUAAAUUGCAUAUUAAUUGAUAUUCCAUCUACUUGAAUUAACUCAGAUUAACUUGUGAAACAUGUAAAAAUCUUGAAAAAAAUAAAUUGAAAAGCUUAAUUCUCAAUUAAUUUAAUGUUGAAGAACAAAAUUGAUAAAAAAAAAACACCCCUCAAUUAAAAAAAAAUUAAGUGAAAUCAAGUCAACCAAGCAAACUUACAAUGCAAAUCAUCCGCAUAAUCGAAUUCAAUAAAUUUUUUAUACUAGAGAUUAUUUUUCAUUUAAUUAUAUAACAAUAAAGUGCAUGAGAGUUUUUUUUUAUAAAGUAAUUUUUUUAAAAAAAAAACAUAAUAAAUGUGUGGAACUAAUAUAGCAAAAGUAGAUCAUUGAUAGCAAAAAGUGAAAUUAUAUCCUUUUAGUUUCUAGUUAAAUAAAAAUAUAUAUAUUAUUGAUAAUAAUCAGUGAAAUUGUAUUUUUUUUUAAAAUUGAGGGGUAAAAAGUGCUUUAAACAAAUAAAAAUAAAUAAAUAAUAGCAUGGAUGUUGUGAAUUAACCCGUCAAACAUACGACUCAACUUAUAAACUCAACUAAGUUCAAUGAUUUUUUAUUAAUUUUUUUACCCAAAUAUAAAAUAACAAAAUAAAAAUAAUAAAAAUAAAUGACAAAAAAGCCUAAGCACGUGGGCCUUCCAGCCUAGCCCGCGUGCUUGGACCUGGCUUUAUUUUUUUUAUAUUUUUUAAAAGGGCGGAUGACCUAUCGUCCACUUUAUUUUUUUUUAAAAAAAACAACCUAGUGAUCAUUGGUUGUUUGAUGAAUUAAGCCACCACAGGUCGCCAAAAAAGCGAGGCUUCCAUUUUUUUGGUUAAAAAACUCGUUUCUACCCAUUUUCACCCAAAAUAUUUUAAACACCUUGAUAAAUUUAUUCAUGACCUGAAGCAACCCAAAAAAACAACUCGAAAAUCCAAAAUUAACCAGAACUCAAAAAUCUUCUCUCUCAGAUUUACCUCAUCUAGCAAGAGAAGGAAACAAAAACACCUAGGUGAAACUCCCCUCAAUAAAGAGAACUCGUUGACACCAAAAUCGAUUAUUUUUAUUAUCAGAAUGGACUUCAAUGGUGACUUUCUCUCUAUAUAUCAGAAUCCAGCGAGUCUCUCUCACCUCUCACAAAAAAAUAGACUAAAAAUAAGAUAAAUAAAUUUUGGUACCAAAAUUAAAUUUCUGACAACUAAAUAGACCAAUCACCUAUUAACUUAAAAAAGAUAGGAGACCAAAUUAAACUUUUCAAAUAAAAUGCGAAGUUGGCCAUCUAUUUUCUCUAUAUUUUUCACUUUGGUUCUUUGUCUUUAAAUUCAACUCUUUUUUAAAAAUAAAAUAAGUAAUUGGGUACUCAUUUGAGCUAAAAAUAAUUGGUUGAUGGAGGAUCAUGUAGGGAGUUCAAGAAAUUUUUUCCCUAUAUCAUUAAUUAAUUAAAUUAGAAUCAUGGUUCUAUAUCAUGUCCAUACCUUACUAAUGAACUUGUGAUUUGUCAAUCUAGCAUUGAAUUUGAAAUAUAUAUACUUUGGAUUGAAUAGUAAAUCAACCCAUCUAAUCCAUGAUAUAAGUCUUGGGCUAGGUUUACUAUCAUGUUGAGUCAUAUUACUAUGAUUCAAAUGACAAAUUAAUCAAUGUAUUUAUUUCUUAAUUAUUUUUUUUUGGGUUAAAGACUGAUUGUUUUCUCCUACUAUUAUUAUUUAGAAGUGCUUUGGUGAGCUGUAACCCUAUCAUUAUGUUACACCGUAUCCUCACUAGCAAUAAUUGUUGUUUUUUUUUUUUUGUCAAGAAUAUUUGUAAUUGUUAGAUAUUUUUUUAAGUAUUGGAGUUUUAGCUCAAAUGAUAUAGUUUGAUUUUUUUUUUCUGUAUUGUUUUCAUCUAGGAGGCUAAAAAUCCUUUUACACAUGUUUGUUUAGGAGAGUUGAAAGUUCAACUUGUUAGGGUAUUGACUUUGUACAUAUUAUGUUCUUUCUUUUAUGAAAGUAAGCAGUUGUUCUCAUAAGCUAAGGUAUGAGGAUACCUAAAACUAAUAUGUAGGUGCUUAUCAAAUGAUAUGUAUACUAAACUGAUUUGCAUAAGAAUUCCAUAUAGAGAGAUCACAUGUCUAUGAAAGACUCAUAUAAUAGUUGUGUAAGUGAUUCUUAGACUUGAUAUCUCUAAGUUAUCUUAUAUAGAAAGUGUUAUGUUUUGAUCCUGCUACAUGUUGUCCUGAUCAAGGGUAACAAAUAAGAAGAUGUUGGGUAUAACACAAACUAUAUUAAUGUAUUUAAGUAAUCAAGAGAUGAUUCAUCACCUUAGGUAAAUUAGAAAAAAAAUGUUUCAUCUAUUCUCAAAUAGUAUUGAUUAUAAAUCCUUGUGCAAGGUCACUUGACUUAUUUGGAGUUGUAUAACUCCAUAUAUGAGUAAAACACAAAGUAAGGGUCCAGAAUGACAUAGUAUUGAAUAAAUUUUUUAUGCUACUGUAAUGAGUGAGUUUAGAUAUAUAGAUGGCAAAACUAGGUGUUGUGUCGAUCAUGAAAGUUGUAGCCCUAUGUAUUCUCUUUCCAUAGAGUUAAACCACGUUAAGAAAAGAGUUUUGAAACUUUAGUUAUGAUUAAAACACCAAACAAUGUUUAGGGUUGGGUGGACUAAACCAGCUAGGACUAAUCAAUCUCUUCUCUACUUGGAGUUUGUUGUUGAUUGAGGGUUCUAACAUUUGGAUCGAUAAGAAUAAUUAUGAACAUGGAAAAUGUGUAUGUGUAAGGAAUUUUAAGGAUUUUCCUUGCUAAUUGUUUGAAUAAAAAUGAUGAUUGAAUGAGAAUUGAAAUAAAAUGUUAAUGUUGGUCGCAUUAUUGAUGAUAAAUGUAUCUUUGGUGGUACAAAAGAGGCUGAGGGGAUCGGAUAAUAGCAGGGAGAAGCAACACAUGAACAUGAUUGAGGUGGGUGCUUAACACCUUAUCAUUUUAGAAUUAAUACAAUUUUAAUUUAUGAAUUUCAGAAAUUCUAUGUUAUGACGUAAUUGUGAAUUGAUAUUGUAUUUGAUGAAAUUGUGUACCAAUGUUCUUGUGAAUGGAAUUGGAUAUGAUGAAAACUUUGUGUUAAUGUGAUUGUGAAUUUAAAUUAUAUACGAUGAGACAAUGAAUAUAGAUUGUAUGGGCAUGGUAAAUGUUUGGAAUGGGAUGAGAUUGUGCAUGAGAAAUUUGAUGAAAUACUUAAAUUAGGUAGGUAAUUUCCACCUUCAUCUAAUUCUAUUAAAUUCUCGAAGUACUCUUGUAUAAUAUUGUUAUCCAAAUUCAAUUGCUUAAUUUAUUCAUGAAUUCUAAAGAAUGUUAAGUUUAGCUUUGGCUAAUGGUAUCCAUGUUGGAUAGCUAGGAAUGAAUAAUGAGAUUAGCUUUGGCUAAUGGCAUCCAUGUUGGAUAGCUGAGAAUAAGCAUUAAAGAUUAGCUUUGGCUAAUAAUAUCCAUGUUGGAUAACUAGUAGUAAGGGAUGAGGUUAACUCCGGUUAAUGAGGUUCAUACUAGGAUCACCAGUAAUGAGUGUUGCAAACCAUCUCAUUUGAAAGCAUUUGCUGAUACGAUGAAAUAAAGAGUAUAAUGUAUUAUUCACAAUCAGAAUACAUGUCAUUAGUUGUGUGUUGAACAUAGCUCAAAUAAAAUAUUACGACAUAAGGUUGCAUGAAGAUGUGAAGUAAAAUAUUAAAGAUAGACUCGGUAGAAAGUUAUUAGUACCCAGAUUUGUUGGCAAUCAAAUGGGUUGUCAGAAUUAUUGAUAUCUGCGAGGGGGUGACCAGAUAAUGGUCAUAGUAUCAGCAACUAAGGAUGAGAAAAGAAUGGCACUUAGUGGCUGUAGUGUCGGUGACUAAGGAUAAGAUAUGAAAUGAUACUUAGUAACCAUAGUACUGAUGACUAAAGAUAAGAAAUGAAUAAUACUUAAUGACCGUAGUAUCAGUGACUAAGGAUAUGACAACUUUUGAUGUUUAGUUGCCCAAAAGAACGAUGACCAAGGAAGUGAAGUAUGAUUUAGUUAAUCAUAGAAUGAUGAUGUAGGUUCUCCUUUCCCUAUACUUCUAUUUAAGUUGAUAAGUCUUUUAAAUUAAAUCACAGGCAAUAAAAGUUACUUUCUAGUUGUUCCUAAUAAAAAAAAAAUUCAUAUGGUUGUCUUUAUUUUUGAAUGAAGAUCAUUGUGUUGUUAUUUCCAAUGAGUGGAAACCAUGGUGGUGUUGUUUUCAAAUAAUGAAAACCAUUGAAACUAUCCUUAAUUGUAUAAUGAAAACCAUUGUGUAAGACGAUUAAUCAAUGCUUAAAAGUGUAUAUGAUAGGGGGGUUGAUUGACAACUUAAGAUUUAAUAUCGUUUGAUGUACUACUAAGUCAAAACAAAUGCUAAUAGGGUGAUAAUGUAAUAAACAAUUAUGAUACCUAGAAAAUAGAAAAUAUGAUAAUGUUACAAACAAAUUAUGUUAAGUGGUGAUGGAAUGUGUAAACAUGAGAUUAAUACAUGUGGUUACUUCAAGGAUUAUAUCCAAGAUCAAUAACUAAGAAAAUGAAAUAUUAAUUAUUGAUUGGGGAAUAAAAAAUCAAGAAAAUAAGUUGCUACUUAGUGACGUGUAGUUGACAACCUUAUAUUUAAAUGCAUUAUGUAAUUCAUUGUAAAGUUAGCAUUAAAAGUGACAAGUAUGAAUUUAGACACCACGAGAACUAGUGCGUAAUUCAAUAUGUAUAUGUAAUCAAUGUUAAAAGAAUUUUGGAUAAACACCAUUUCCUUUAUGGAAACCACAUACAUAUUGUUAAUUUUGUAAUGUUAUUUUAGUUGCAAUGAUGUGCACGAAUAUUGUCAUAUGAGUUGAGGUAUUAUUGAAAUUGAGUUGAAUGUUUUGAGCAAGAGUGUUAUAAGUGCUAAUAAACAUAAUGAUUCAUUUUCCUCAUGAAAAAUCAUGAGCAUAAGUCUUCUUGACGACUAAUAACUCUUAUAAUGAUAUAUAUGUUGCUGGUCUGUGUCACGAAGUGGGUUAGCACUGAUCAUGUCGUUUCACUAUUUAUAAUUUUGUUAGGUACUUAUUUUAUGUACUAUGAAUACUUAAAAUUGUGUUAAUAACUUCAUAUUGAAAUGUACUAAAUGAUAUGAUUAUAUUUCUAGUAUUUGGUUAUUGAAUCUCUUUUGUUAUGUGUGUGUUUGUAUAUCCAUUUUACCUAUGUUUUAUGUCAACAUCUCAAUAUUUUUUUAUAAAAAAAAUAUCAUGUUAAAUUAUUUUUUAAAGUCAAGCCAUUAGUUGCUUGGAGUAGUGGUCAAAACUUGUGUUCAUUUUGGUCCCUCUCUCCUUGCUUGAUUAUCGUUUAUCUCACAAAUUUUUUGUUUUUCUUUUAAUUUAUUAAUAUAAAAAUGAUAGAGAAAUAGUUAAAAAUUACAAAAUUACUAGAACUUUGUCGAAUUGCAUUGAAUUUUUUUUGAUUUUUUAUAUUUUUUUUAAAUUAUGAUCGAAAUAAGGAGGUCAAAAUUGAGUUUUGCCAUUUUUAUUGAUUUUUUCUUUCGAUUUGACCAUUUAACAUUUGAUUGAUUUUUAAUUGAUCUUCAUGAUUUAUUUUGGUUUGCUUUUUAUAGGGUUAUUGUAGUCUUAAAUAAAAGUCAUGAUAUUUGAUUGGUGCCUAAUUUUGCAAGCGUCUACUUUUUAUAUCAUAUAAUUAACUCAAAAAUAUUUUUUUAAAAAAUUAAUAAGCCUAAUGGGAUCCAUAACCCUGGUCGUGGAUUUUACGGGUUAAACCACGAGACCAGGUCAAUCCAAUAUAUUAUCUUGAUUUUUUUUAAAAGUUAAAUCAUGAUUUUACCAAUCGUUUUGUUGCUUUUGAGCUCAGUAAAUCUAUUAAAUCACUUUAAGACAAUUUUCACACAAUUUAAUUUAAAUUACAGGCCACACAAGAACUUAUGUCAAAAGUUUUAGAUUUAACUUAUUAAAUCAAGUUUAACGAUAAUACUAAAAAGUUUCAUAGAGCUCAAACAGGUUUUUUUUAUGUUCAAUUUUUUCUACUAAUACCUGUAGCGUAACACAUGCAUUAACCUAGUUAUAGCAAUUCCGAGAACCUAACUAACAUAUUAGGCAUGUGCCUGUCUACCUAAGAUUGUCCACCCGGAAGAAUUUCAAUUUUGAAAAGAACUAUAUUAAGAAAAAAAAAACUGUUGCAAGCAAAUGCAUUGAUAGCUUUGAGAAUUUCAAAGGGUCAUUCAAGAAUUUAUUAAUUAAUCAAUAAACCAAUCAAUUAAUAUAAAUGGCUGCACUUUGAUUGGUAAAAUUUGAUGAAGUAACCCGCCGGAGAAGAGCUCUUUGCCGCAAUGUGGUAUGGCCAGCUACUUGCAGCUACAUGAUCCGUGCUUCAAAAUUAUUGAAGAAUAUUUGAAUUGUUGAAGAUCAACGAGAGAGCCAUUAACGUUAUAUCUGGAAGUCAAUAACAGUGUCUCCAAGUUCCUCUGCUGUCUCAAUUUCUGAUAGAACAGUGCGAUGAUCUGGGAACCCUGAUGCUGCAAGAAUAUUUUUGAGAUUCUUGUAGUCUUGAGGUGGCUUUCGUAUGUUGUCGGGGAUGUUAUGUUUUAAGCGAUCUGGCUUUAUCGCAACUCUAGUCUGCAUGGAGGACCUUGCUUGCUUCUUACCAUGUCCAACAGACUGUGAUCCUAUUCAAUACAGGGGAACUGAGGAUGUUAUUAAUCAAUAUGAUAAUUCAAUAUGCAUUGACUUGGCUUUGAAAAGUGAUGCAAAAUAAAAAUAAAUAAAAUAAUCAUAGAUAAUAAAACUUGUGAAAACUUUUUUAUUUGGAAAAGUUCAAGACUUCAGUAGCUUUAUAUUGUAUUAGCGAUCAGGCAGAUGAGCAGUGGAAACACAAGUUAAAUGAAUGCAAAUGUAACAAGAAUUUGGCCAGGUCAAAUGCUUAUAAUUGGAGGGAGAAUGAUGUAAGAAAUUUUCCUAAAUAUAGAACUUUUCUAGUUUUAUUUAAGACUUUUUUCCUUGUAUAAAUAGAAUCGUUUAGCUUGUAUUUUAAAAGAUCAAACGAAAAAAAAAUACAGAGUAAUAAAAUUAUGAAUUAUAGUUUCCAUGUGAUUUUCUUUUAAAAUCUUGUAUCUAUACGCCCGCUGUGCUGUUGUUCUUGUGUUGUUUCCAUCUACGUUAGAAAUGCUCAGCAUACAUCAUGUAUGAUUCUAAGCCUAGUUGUAAAAGCAGAGCCUUGAUGGCUGAUGUCCAUCACCAUCACCAAUACAGGCGUUCUUUCAUUAAAGCUAUGUGGAGGAGCAUUGCCAAAUACUUGACCAAAAGUUUCUUCUGCAUGCUUGGUGGUAUUUGGACAUUCCAUAGUGAGAAAAGGCACUGAAAUGUGCCUGGUUUUUCCCAUUAUCAUAAGUAUAUUUUCUAAUCAAAUGAACCUUAGGACAGCUAAGCACUUAAAUGGGUGUCUAAAACUCAAAGGCAAAAAAAAAAAACACUUCACCAACAUAAAUAUUUGGAUUUGAAACCAUUAAAUGAUUGGCUUGUAAAGUUGUCAUACCUCCAGGCGUGGUGGUGAUAGAAUGUCUUGUUGUUCGCGAGUUAGCCCGUGUAAUGCAUAACCAUUCUCUUUCUGCUUCGCCUUCGCCUUCGCCUUCUGUUUCAAUUGGAAUAUGCCAGUGACCUUUUUCUGAUUCCUGUUAGAUUUUAUACCAAGUGCACAUGACAGACUAUUUUGUUAGUGAAUACACCUCACCUCAGUUAGUUAUAUGUGCGUUACUCUACCUCAGUUUACUCAUAUAAAACAUAUUUAUUAUUAAUAAAAACUUUUAUUAUCUUUAAUAAUAAUUUAUAUUUAAUUAAUGAAUCCAAUAUUUAAUUAAAAAAUAUAGAGUAAAGAUAAAAUUCAUGUGACAAAAAAUAUUUUGCAAAUGAAAUUAUAAAAUUAUAAUUAUGAGAUUCUUAUUACAUCAAAGCAUUGUUCUUAAAUAUUUAUGGACAAUGUUCUAUUAAAAUUAAACAUUAAUUAGAGUUGUGCAUAUUAUGUUCUUUUCUAGUUAGAUGACAUGCCUCUACCGACAAUAAAAUUUCAUAUGUAGAGAUCAUGUAUGUCUAUGGAAAGGUUCUCAUGAUAGUUAUGUAAGUGAUUAUUAGGCUUCAAAUCAUUAUGUUAUCUUAUAUAGAAAGUGUUAUGAUUUGAUCCUGACCAUAUAUUUUCCAAAUCAAGUAACAAUAGAGCAAAUAUUGGGUAUAACAUAAACUAUAUGAAGGUAUUUAAGUAAUCAAGAAAAGAUUCAUCACCUUAGAUGAAUUAAAGAAAAUAUUCCAUUUGUUCUCAAAUAGUAUUGAUUGUAAAAUCCUUGAACAAUGAGGAAUGUGUUUUGAAAAGAAUUUCAAUAAUGUUGAGAACUAAAACGAUUUAACAAAACAUAUAUAUUUUAUGCUAUAAUGUUUAAAUUGAAGCAUUCAUGAUGAAGGGAUAAUAAAUACACAGAGAAACUAGUCACUGAAAGGUUAAGUCAAAUCACGUAUGACUUUUCUAAUUUUUGAGGGAUCAUGACAAGUUGCUAGAUAUUGUACUUGAUCUUCAAAUAUAAAUCAAUCAAUUAUUGAAUUCAUAAUAUAUUGUUAAUUUAUUUAAUCUUAUUUUAUUUAGAAUUAUAAAUUAUAUGCGAGCCAAUUUAUUGGGGAACCUAAUGGAUCAUAUACAUAAGAAUCAUUUGUCAAAGAUUAAAAAGAGAUUAUUAAUCAAGCGUGACUUGAUUGUAAAUAAAUUUUAGAAAUUAAGGACUAAAAUAUAAUUAAUACAGAGGAUUACAGUUCUAGACCUAGAAACAAUCAAGUAAGGACUUGAUUGAAUAAAUUUCUAAAACUAGCCUAAAAUAAUAUAUGUGAUAUUAUUUAAGAGACAAAUUGAUAUUUUGUCAUUUAUAGAGUUUUUAGAUUUUCCUAUAAAUCGAAUAUUAUACCUCUUAUUUUCUAAGCAUAAAGAAGAAAAGAAUAAAAAGAAUACAAUAUGUAAACACCUAAAACACAAAAGAAAAGAGCUAGCACUCUCAUGAACAACAAUCUCUCCCUCUUAAAAAGACUUAUGAGAUUUUUCACUAGUGGUUCGUGUGGAUUACGGUUAGAGGUUGGACACUUGUAUGACUUAUGGUUUAUGACAACCCAAUCUUGAAACAAAAUUCAAAACAAAAACAAAAUCCAAUCUUUAGAUAAUGUUCACAUAAAUCCUAAAUAACUCUAAAUUUAUCUAACAUGUUUCGAGAAACACAACACAUUUAACUCACCAACUUUCAGUGUAUGACACUUACAUUGCAGGAUAGCAUAAACAGACACUAGUUUUUGUUCUUUCACUCUUCAUAUUCAAAUAGAUUGGAAAAUAUUUGGCAAAGAGCUCAUUAGUUCUCUCACCUGAAUUACAACAGAGCAAGGCGGAGGCAUGUCAAAAUCUGGACCAGCAUCAGUAAAUCUGAAAUGCACCUUAGGAAGAAAAGUUGCAAUGUUAUGAUAUAAGAAAACGGAGCAUCACCGGUGGCAAAUCACAACAUGCGAUAUCGAGUCCUUAAUACUUGCAAAAACAACAUUUGAACCAGGAAGAUAGAUUGUGGAAGCAAUCACAUUUACAACAGAAGGAGGGGCUGGUUAACAGUGGUGAACUUCUGAGGAACUCUACUUACCUGAUGCCUUUCUUUCCAUCUAGGGAAGAAGUCGUUUCCUAGAAGAUGAAAUGUAUGGUCUCUCAUCUCGUCAUUGGUCACAAUUAAACACUUGAACUUUAUAGCUGCAUACAACCAGUACCUGAAUCACAGGUUAUUUACCUCCAGUACUUCAUAUGCUAGUUGCAUAUUUAAAGAAAUUUUCAGCAGAAGAUAACUUGUGUAUGGUAAAAUUAUUUGACUAUUCCUGUGCAUAAAGCCCUCACCAAUCAUCAUUUGAUCCAGUGGGUGUUGCAUAAAGUGCAUCAGCAUUUUUCCACUUUUCAAUGAAAGCUUUAUUUACCGGUCCAUCCAUCUUGCGUCCAGUGAUUCGCUUGUUAUGCAGAACAAUGAGUGGCCAUUUUUUUGAAGGAAGCUUCUGACGUAUACCAUUAACAACAGCAUUGAUCUGCAGCCAGCCACUAAACCAAUCAACAGAAAAAAUAGAUUGUUGAAUCCUUGUAGUCUGNNNNNNNNNNNNNNNNNNNNNNNNNNNNNNNNNNNNNNNNNNNNNNNNNNNNNNNNNNNNNNNNNNNNNNNNNNNNNNNNNNNNNNNNNNNNNNNNNNNNNNNNNNNNNNNNNNNNNNNNNNNNNNNNNNNNNNNNNNNNNNNNNNNNNNNNNNNNNNNNNNNNNNNNNNNNNNNNNNNNNNNNNNNNNNNNNNNNNNNNNNNNNNNNNNNNNNNNNNNNNNNNNNNNNNNNNNNNNNNNNNNNNNNNNNNNNNNNNNNNNNNNNNNNNNNNNNNNNNNNNNNNNNNNNNNNNNNNNNNNNNNNNNNNNNNNNNNNNNNNNNNNNNNNNNNNNNNNNNNNNNNNNNNNNNNNNNNNNNNNNNNNNNNNNNNNNNNNNNNNNNNNNNNNNNNNNNNNNNNNNNNNNNNNNNNNNNNNNNNNNNNNNNNNNNNNNNNNNNNNNNNNNNNNNNNNNNNNNNNNNNNNNNNNNNNNNNNNNNNNNNNNNNNNNNNNNNNNNNNNNNNNNNNNNNNNNNNNNNNNNNNNNNNNNNNNNNNNNNNNNNNNNNNNNNNNNNNNNNNNNNNNNNNNNNNNNNNNNNNNNNNNNNNNNNNNNNNNNNNNNNNNNNNNNNNNNNNNNNNNNNNNNNNNNNNNNNNNNNNNNNNNNNNNNNNNNNNNNNNNNNNNNNNNNNNNNNNNNNNNNNNNNNNNNNNNNNNNNNNNNNNNNNNNNNNNNNNNNNNNNNNNNNNNNNNNNNNNNNNNNNNNNNNNNNNNNNNNNNNNNNNNNNNNNNNNNNNNNNNNNNNNNNNNNNNNNNNNNNNNNNNNNNNNNNNNNNNNNNNNNNNNNNNNNNNNNNNNNNNNNNNNNNNNNNNNNNNNNNNNNNNNNNNNNNNNNNNNNNNNNNNNNNNNNNNNNNNNNNNNNNNNNNNNNNNNNNNNNNNNNNNNNNNNNNNNNNNNNNNNNNNNNNNNNNNNNNNNNNNNNNNNNNNNNNNNNNNNNNNNNNNNNNNNNNNNNNNNNNNNNNNNNNNNNNNNNNNNNNNNNNNNNNNNNNNNNNNNNNNNNNNNNNNNNNNNNNNNNNNNNNNNNNNNNNNNNNNNNNNNNNNNNNNNNNNNNNNNNNNNNNNNNNNNNNNNNNNNNNNNNNNNNNNNNNNNNNNNNNNNNNNNNNNNNNNNNNNNNNNNNNNNNNNNNNNNNNNNNNNNNNNNNNNNNNNNNNNNNNNNNNNNNNNNNNNNNNNNNNNNNNNNNNNNNNNNNNNNNNNNNNNNNNNNNNNNNNNNNNNNNNNNNNNNNNNNNNNNNNNNNNNNNNNNNNNNNNNNNNNNNNNNNNNNNNNNNNNNNNNNNNNNNNNNNNNNNNNNNNNNNNNNNNNNNNNNNNNNNNNNNNNNNNNNNNNNNNNNNNNNNNNNNNNNNNNNNNNNNNNNNNNNNNNNNNNNNNNNNNNNNNNNNNNNNNNNNNNNNNNNNNNNNNNNNNNNNNNNNNNNNNNNNNNNNNNNNNNNNNNNNNNNNNNNNNNNNNNNNNNNNNNNNNNNNNNNNNNNNNNNNNNNNNNNNNNNNNNNNNNNNNNNNNNNNNNNNNNNNNNNNNNNNNNNNNNNNNNNNNNNNNNNNNNNNNNNNNNNNNNNNNNNNNNNNNNNNNNNNNNNNNNNNNNNNNNNNNNNNNNNNNNNNNNNNNNNNNNNNNNNNNNNNNNNNNNNNNNNNNNNNNNNNNNNNNNNNNNNNNNNNNNNNNNNNNNNNNNNNNNNNNNNNNNNNNNNNNNNNNNNNNNNNNNNNNNNNNNNNNNNNNNNNNNNNNNNNNNNNNNNNNNNNNNNNNNNNNNNNNNNNNNNNNNNNNNNNNNNNNNNNNNNNNNNNNNNNNNNNNNNNNNNNNNNNNNNNNNNNNNNNNNNNNNNNNNNNNNNNNNNNNNNNNNNNNNNNNNNNNNNNNNNNNNNNNNNNNNNNNNNNNNNNNNNNNNNNNNNNNNNNNNNNNNNNNNNNNNNNNNNNNNNNNNNNNNNNNNNNNNNNNNNNNNNNNNNNNNNNNNNNNNNNNNNNNNNNNNNNNNNNNNNNNNNNNNNNNNNNNNNNNNNNNNNNNNNNNNNNNNNNNNNNNNNNNNNNNNNNNNNNNNNNNNNNNNNNNNNNNNNNNNNNNNNNNNNNNNNNNNNNNNNNNNNNNNNNNNNNNNNNNNNNNNNNNNNNNNNNNNNNNNNNNNNNNNNNNNNNNNNNNNNNNNNNNNNNNNNNNNNNNNNNNNNNNNNNNNNNNNNNNNNNNNNNNNNNNNNNNNNNNNNNNNNNNNNNNNNNNNNNNNNNNNNNNNNNNNNNNNNNNNNNNNNNNNNNNNNNNNNNNNNNNNNNNNNNNNNNNNNNNNNNNNNNNNNNNNNNNNNNNNNNNNNNNNNNNNNNNNNNNNNNNNNNNNNNNNNNNNNNNNNNNNNNNNNNNNNNNNNNNNNNNNNNNNNNNNNNNNNNNNNNNNNNNNNNNNNNNNNNNNNNNNNNNNNNNNNNNNNNNNNNNNNNNNNNNNNNNNNNNNNNNNNNNNNNNNNNNNNNNNNNNNNNNNNNNNNNNNNNNNNNNNNNNNNNNNNNNNNNNNNNNNNNNNNNNNNNNNNNNNNNNNNNNNNNNNNNNNNNNNNNNNNNNNNNNNNNNNNNNNNNNNNNNNNNNNNNNNNNNNNNNNNNNNNNNNNNNNNNNNNNNNNNNNNNNNNNNNNNNNNNNNNNNNNNNNNNNNNNNNNNNNNNNNNNNNNNNNNNNNNNNNNNNNNNNNNNNNNNNNNNNNNNNNNNNNNNNNNNNNNNNNNNNNNNNNNNNNNNNNNNNNNNNNNNNNNNNNNNNNNNNNNNNNNNNNNNNNNNNNNNNNNNNNNNNNNNNNNNNNNNNNNNNNNNNNNNNNNNNNNNNNNNNNNNNNNNNNNNNNNNNNNNNNNNNNNNNNNNNNNNNNNNNNNNNNNNNNNNNNNNNNNNNNNNNNNNNNNNNNNNNNNNNNNNNNNNNNNNNNNNNNNNNNNNNNNNNNNNNNNNNNNNNNNNNNNNNNNNNNNNNNNNNNNNNNNNNNNNNNNNNNNNNNNNNNNNNNNNNNNNNNNNNNNNNNNNNNNNNNNNNNNNNNNNNNNNNNNNNNNNNNNNNNNNNNNNNNNNNNNNNNNNNNNNNNNNNNNNNNNNNNNNNNNNNNNNNNNNNNNNNNNNNNNNNNNNNNNNNNNNNNNNNNNNNNNNNNNNNNNNNNNNNNNNNNNNNNNNNNNNNNNNNNNNNNNNNNNNNNNNNNNNNNNNNNNNNNNNNNNNNNNNNNNNNNNNNNNNNNNNNNNNNNNNNNNNNNNNNNNNNNNNNNNNNNNNNNNNNNNNNNNNNNNNNNNNNNNNNNNNNNNNNNNNNNNNNNNNNNNNNNNNNNNNNNNNNNNNNNNNNNNNNNNNNNNNNNNNNNNNNNNNNNNNNNNNNNNNNNNNNNNNNNNNNNNNNNNNNNNNNNNNNNNNNNNNNNNNNNNNNNNNNNNNNNNNNNNNNNNNNNNNNNNNNNNNNNNNNNNNNNNNNNNNNNNNNNNNNNNNNNNNNNNNNNNNNNNNNNNNNNNNNNNNNNNNNNNNNNNNNNNNNNNNNNNNNNNNNNNNNNNNNNNNNNNNNNNNNNNNNNNNNNNNNNNNNNNNNNNNNNNNNNNNNNNNNNNNNNNNNNNNNNNNNNNNNNNNNNNNNNNNNNNNNNNNNNNNNNNNNNNNNNNNNNNNNNNNNNNNNNNNNNNNNNNNNNNNNNNNNNNNNNNNNNNNNNNNNNNNNNNNNNNNNNNNNNNNNNNNNNNNNNNNNNNNNNNNNNNNNNNNNNNNNNNNNNNNNNNNNNNNNNNNNNNNNNNNNNNNNNNNNNNNNNNNNNNNNNNNNNNNNNNNNNNNNNNNNNNNNNNNNNNNNNNNNNNNNNNNNNNNNNNNNNNNNNNNNNNNNNNNNNNNNNNNNNNNNNNNNNNNNNNNNNNNNNNNNNNNNNNNNNNNNNNNNNNNNNNNNNNNNNNNNNNNNNNNNNNNNNNNNNNNNNNNNNNNNNNNNNNNNNNNNNNNNNNNNNNNNNNNNNNNNNNNNNNNNNNNNNNNNNNNNNNNNNNNNNNNNNNNNNNNNNNNNNNNNNNNNNNNNNNNNNNNNNNNNNNNNNNNNNNNNNNNNNNNNNNNNNNNNNNNNNNNNNNNNNNNNNNNNNNNNNNNNNNNNNNNNNNNNNNNNNNNNNNNNNNNNNNNNNNNNNNNNNNNNNNNNNNNNNNNNNNNNNNNNNNNNNNNNNNNNNNNNNNNNNNNNNNNNNNNNNNNNNNNNNNNNNNNNNNNNNNNNNNNNNNNNNNNNNNNNNNNNNNNNNNNNNNNNNNNNNNNNNNNNNNNNNNNNNNNNNNNNNNNNNNNNNNNNNNNNNNNNNNNNNNNNNNNNNNNNNNNNNNNNNNNNNNNNNNNNNNNNNNNNNNNNNNNNNNNNNNNNNNNNNNNNNNNNNNNNNNNNNNNNNNNNNNNNNNNNNNNNNNNNNNNNNNNNNNNNNNNNNNNNNNNNNNNNNNNNNNNNNNNNNNNNNNNNNNNNNNNNNNNNNNNNNNNNNNNNNNNNNNNNNNNNNNNNNNNNNNNNNNNNNNNNNNNNNNNNNNNNNNNNNNNNNNNNNNNNNNNNNNNNNNNNNNNNNNNNNNNNNNNNNNNNNNNNNNNNNNNNNNNNNNNNNNNNNNNNNNNNNNNNNNNNNNNNNNNNNNNNNNNNNNNNNNNNNNNNNNNNNNNNNNNNNNNNNNNNNNNNNNNNNNNNNNNNNNNNNNNNNNNNNNNNNNNNNNNNNNNNNNNNNNNNNNNNNNNNNNNNNNNNNNNNNNNNNNNNNNNNNNNNNNNNNNNNNNNNNNNNNNNNNNNNNNNNNNNNNNNNNNNNNNNNNNNNNNNNNNNNNNNNNNNNNNNNNNNNNNNNNNNNNNNNNNNNNNNNNNNNNNNNNNNNNNNNNNNNNNNNNNNNNNNNNNNNNNNNNNNNNNNNNNNNNNNNNNNNNNNNNNNNNNNNNNNNNNNNNNNNNNNNNNNNNNNNNNNNNNNNNNNNNNNNNNNNNNNNNNNNNNNNNNNNNNNNNNNNNNNNNNNNNNNNNNNNNNNNNNNNNNNNNNNNNNNNNNNNNNNNNNNNNNNNNNNNNNNNNNNNNNNNNNNNNNNNNNNNNNNNNNNNNNNNNNNNNNNNNNNNNNNNNNNNNNNNNNNNNNNNNNNNNNNNNNNNNNNNNNNNNNNNNNNNNNNNNNNNNNNNNNNNNNNNNNNNNNNNNNNNNNNNNNNNNNNNNNNNNNNNNNNNNNNNNNNNNNNNNNNNNNNNNNNNNNNNNNNNNNNNNNNNNNNNNNNNNNNNNNNNNNNNNNNNNNNNNNNNNNNNNNNNNNNNNNNNNNNNNNNNNNNNNNNNNNNNNNNNNNNNNNNNNNNNNNNNNNNNNNNNNNNNNNNNNNNNNNNNNNNNNNNNNNNNNNNNNNNNNNNNNNNNNNNNNNNNNNNNNNNNNNNNNNNNNNNNNNNNNNNNNNNNNNNNNNNNNNNNNNNNNNNNNNNNNNNNNNNNNNNNNNNNNNNNNNNNNNNNNNNNNNNNNNNNNNNNNNNNNNNNNNNNNNNNNNNNNNNNNNNNNNNNNNNNNNNNNNNNNNNNNNNNNNNNNNNNNNNNNNNNNNNNNNNNNNNNNNNNNNNNNNNNNNNNNNNNNNNNNNNNNNNNNNNNNNNNNNNNNNNNNNNNNNNNNNNNNNNNNNNNNNNNNNNNNNNNNNNNNNNNNNNNNNNNNNNNNNNNNNNNNNNNNNNNNNNNNNNNNNNNNNNNNNNNNNNNNNNNNNNNNNNNNNNNNNNNNNNNNNNNNNNNNNNNNNNNNNNNNNNNNNNNNNNNNNNNNNNNNNNNNNNNNNNNNNNNNNNNNNNNNNNNNNNNNNNNNNNNNNNNNNNNNNNNNNNNNNNNNNNNNNNNNNNNNNNNNNNNNNNNNNNNNNNNNNNNNNNNNNNNNNNNNNNNNNNNNNNNNNNNNNNNNNNNNNNNNNNNNNNNNNNNNNNNNNNNNNNNNNNNNNNNNNNNNNNNNNNNNNNNNNNNNNNNNNNNNNNNNNNNNNNNNNNNNNNNNNNNNNNNNNNNNNNNNNNNNNNNNNNNNNNNNNNNNNNNNNNNNNNNNNNNNNNNNNNNNNNNNNNNNNNNNNNNNNNNNNNNNNNNNNNNNNNNNNNNNNNNNNNNNNNNNNNNNNNNNNNNNNNNNNNNNNNNNNNNNNNNNNNNNNNNNNNNNNNNNNNNNNNNNNNNNNNNNNNNNNNNNNNNNNNNNNNNNNNNNNNNNNNNNNNNNNNNNNNNNNNNNNNNNNNNNNNNNNNNNNNNNNNNNNNNNNNNNNNNNNNNNNNNNNNNNNNNNNNNNNNNNNNNNNNNNNNNNNNNNNNNNNNNNNNNNNNNNNNNNNNNNNNNNNNNNNNNNNNNNNNNNNNNNNNNNNNNNNNNNNNNNNNNNNNNNNNNNNNNNNNNNNNNNNNNNNNNNNNNNNNNNNNNNNNNNNNNNNNNNNNNNNNNNNNNNNNNNNNNNNNNNNNNNNNNNNNNNNNNNNNNNNNNNNNNNNNNNNNNNNNNNNNNNNNNNNNNNNNNNNNNNNNNNNNNNNNNNNNNNNNNNNNNNNNNNNNNNNNNNNNNNNNNNNNNNNNNNNNNNNNNNNNNNNNNNNNNNNNNNNNNNNNNNNNNNNNNNNNNNNNNNNNNNNNNNNNNNNNNNNNNNNNNNNNNNNNNNNNNNNNNNNNNNNNNNNNNNNNNNNNNNNNNNNNNNNNNNNNNNNNNNNNNNNNNNNNNNNNNNNNNNNNNNNNNNNNNNNNNNNNNNNNNNNNNNNNNNNNNNNNNNNNNNNNNNNNNNNNNNNNNNNNNNNNNNNNNNNNNNNNNNNNNNNNNNNNNNNNNNNNNNNNNNNNNNNNNNNNNNNNNNNNNNNNNNNNNNNNNNNNNNNNNNNNNNNNNNNNNNNNNNNNNNNNNNNNNNNNNNNNNNNNNNNNNNNNNNNNNNNNNNNNNNNNNNNNNNNNNNNNNNNNNNNNNNNNNNNNNNNNNNNNNNNNNNNNNNNNNNNNNNNNNNNNNNNNNNNNNNNNNNNNNNNNNNNNNNNNNNNNNNNNNNNNNNNNNNNNNNNNNNNNNNNNNNNNNNNNNNNNNNNNNNNNNNNNNNNNNNNNNNNNNNNNNNNNNNNNNNNNNNNNNNNNNNNNNNNNNNNNNNNNNNNNNNNNNNNNNNNNNNNNNNNNNNNNNNNNNNNNNNNNNNNNNNNNNNNNNNNNNNNNNNNNNNNNNNNNNNNNNNNNNNNNNNNNNNNNNNNNNNNNNNNNNNNNNNNNNNNNNNNNNNNNNNNNNNNNNNNNNNNNNNNNNNNNNNNNNNNNNNNNNNNNNNNNNNNNNNNNNNNNNNNNNNNNNNNNNNNNNNNNNNNNNNNNNNNNNNNNNNNNNNNNNNNNNNNNNNNNNNNNNNNNNNNNNNNNNNNNNNNNNNNNNNNNNNNNNNNNNNNNNNNNNNNNNNNNNNNNNNNNNNNNNNNNNNNNNNNNNNNNNNNNNNNNNNNNNNNNNNNNNNNNNNNNNNNNNNNNNNNNNNNNNNNNNNNNNNNNNNNNNNNNNNNNNNNNNNNNNNNNNNNNNNNNNNNNNNNNNNNNNNNNNNNNNNNNNNNNNNNNNNNNNNNNNNNNNNNNNNNNNNNNNNNNNNNNNNNNNNNNNNNNNNNNNNNNNNNNNNNNNNNNNNNNNNNNNNNNNNNNNNNNNNNNNNNNNNNNNNNNNNNNNNNNNNNNNNNNNNNNNNNNNNNNNNNNNNNNNNNNNNNNNNNNNNNNNNNNNNNNNNNNNNNNNNNNNNNNNNNNNNNNNNNNNNNNNNNNNNNNNNNNNNNNNNNNNNNNNNNNNNNNNNNNNNNNNNNNNNNNNNNNNNNNNNNNNNNNNNNNNNNNNNNNNNNNNNNNNNNNNNNNNNNNNNNNNNNNNNNNNNNNNNNNNNNNNNNNNNNNNNNNNNNNNNNNNNNNNNNNNNNNNNNNNNNNNNNNNNNNNNNNNNNNNNNNNNNNNNNNNNNNNNNNNNNNNNNNNNNNNNNNNNNNNNNNNNNNNNNNNNNNNNNNNNNNNNNNNNNNNNNNNNNNNNNNNNNNNNNNNNNNNNNNNNNNNNNNNNNNNNNNNNNNNNNNNNNNNNNNNNNNNNNNNNNNNNNNNNNNNNNNNNNNNNNNNNNNNNNNNNNNNNNNNNNNNNNNNNNNNNNNNNNNNNNNNNNNNNNNNNNNNNNNNNNNNNNNNNNNNNNNNNNNNNNNNNNNNNNNNNNNNNNNNNNNNNNNNNNNNNNNNNNNNNNNNNNNNNNNNNNNNNNNNNNNNNNNNNNNNNNNNNNNNNNNNNNNNNNNNNNNNNNNNNNNNNNNNNNNNNNNNNNNNNNNNNNNNNNNNNNNNNNNNNNNNNNNNNNNNNNNNNNNNNNNNNNNNNNNNNNNNNNNNNNNNNNNNNNNNNNNNNNNNNNNNNNNNNNNNNNNNNNNNNNNNNNNNNNNNNNNNNNNNNNNNNNNNNNNNNNNNNNNNNNNNNNNNNNNNNNNNNNNNNNNNNNNNNNNNNNNNNNNNNNNNNNNNNNNNNNNNNNNNNNNNNNNNNNNNNNNNNNNNNNNNNNNNNNNNNNNNNNNNNNNNNNNNNNNNNNNNNNNNNNNNNNNNNNNNNNNNNNNNNNNNNNNNNNNNNNNNNNNNNNNNNNNNNNNNNNNNNNNNNNNNNNNNNNNNNNNNNNNNNNNNNNNNNNNNNNNNNNNNNNNNNNNNNNNNNNNNNNNNNNNNNNNNNNNNNNNNNNNNNNNNNNNNNNNNNNNNNNNNNNNNNNNNNNNNNNNNNNNNNNNNNNNNNNNNNNNNNNNNNNNNNNNNNNNNNNNNNNNNNNNNNNNNNNNNNNNNNNNNNNNNNNNNNNNNNNNNNNNNNNNNNNNNNNNNNNNNNNNNNNNNNNNNNNNNNNNNNNNNNNNNNNNNNNNNNNNNNNNNNNNNNNNNNNNNNNNNNNNNNNNNNNNNNNNNNNNNNNNNNNNNNNNNNNNNNNNNNNNNNNNNNNNNNNNNNNNNNNNNNNNNNNNNNNNNNNNNNNNNNNNNNNNNNNNNNNNNNNNNNNNNNNNNNNNNNNNNNNNNNNNNNNNNNNNNNNNNNNNNNNNNNNNNNNNNNNNNNNNNNNNNNNNNNNNNNNNNNNNNNNNNNNNNNNNNNNNNNNNNNNNNNNNNNNNNNNNNNNNNNNNNNNNNNNNNNNNNNNNNNNNNNNNNNNNNNNNNNNNNNNNNNNNNNNNNNNNNNNNNNNNNNNNNNNNNNNNNNNNNNNNNNNNNNNNNNNNNNNNNNNNNNNNNNNNNNNNNNNNNNNNNNNNNNNNNNNNNNNNNNNNNNNNNNNNNNNNNNNNNNNNNNNNNNNNNNNNNNNNNNNNNNNNNNNNNNNNNNNNNNNNNNNNNNNNNNNNNNNNNNNNNNNNNNNNNNNNNNNNNNNNNNNNNNNNNNNNNNNNNNNNNNNNNNNNNNNNNNNNNNNNNNNNNNNNNNNNNNNNNNNNNNNNNNNNNNNNNNNNNNNNNNNNNNNNNNNNNNNNNNNNNNNNNNNNNNNNNNNNNNNNNNNNNNNNNNNNNNNNNNNNNNNNNNNNNNNNNNNNNNNNNNNNNNNNNNNNNNNNNNNNNNNNNNNNNNNNNNNNNNNNNNNNNNNNNNNNNNNNNNNNNNNNNNNNNNNNNNNNNNNNNNNNNNNNNNNNNNNNNNNNNNNNNNNNNNNNNNNNNNNNNNNNNNNNNNNNNNNNNNNNNNNNNNNNNNNNNNNNNNNNNNNNNNNNNNNNNNNNNNNNNNNNNNNNNNNNNNNNNNNNNNNNNNNNNNNNNNNNNNNNNNNNNNNNNNNNNNNNNNNNNNNNNNNNNNNNNNNNNNNNNNNNNNNNNNNNNNNNNNNNNNNNNNNNNNNNNNNNNNNNNNNNNNNNNNNNNNNNNNNNNNNNNNNNNNNNNNNNNNNNNNNNNNNNNNNNNNNNNNNNNNNNNNNNNNNNNNNNNNNNNNNNNNNNNNNNNNNNNNNNNNNNNNNNNNNNNNNNNNNNNNNNNNNNNNNNNNNNNNNNNNNNNNNNNNNNNNNNNNNNNNNNNNNNNNNNNNNNNNNNNNNNNNNNNNNNNNNNNNNNNNNNNNNNNNNGGCUGGUUGAUCAAACGAGUGUCUUGAAUAUUGAAAGUGUAAAUGAUGUUCCUGGGCCACAUACACCAGGCAUGCGACCCCUAGUUCCUCGUCUGAAGAGAAUUCUAGAGGACGUUCCUAAGUUUGAGGAUAAGAAUGGUUGUUCCUUCCUAAACUCUAGCAAAAGAGUGAAACCACUACAGGACCCAGCUUCCUUGAUAAAAAAUCAUGAGGAAAUAUCUAAUUCAACAAGCAAGUUUGAAUGGCUUGACCCUGCCCAAAUCAGGGAUGCCAAUAGGAGAAGGCCCAAUGAUCCUCUCUAUGACAAAAAGACGCUGUACUUACCACCUGAUGCAUUGAAGAAAAUGUCAGCUUCUCAAAAGCAAUACUGGACUGUCAAAUCUCAGUACAUGGAUGUUCUACUUUUCUUUAAAGUGGUUAGUAGUAUUGCUGCAGUUUCUGAUACUUUUGAAGUUGCUGAAACUUUUUGACAUCAUAAGGUUACAUUAAAGCAUGACCCAGCUAUUCAUUCUAUUUUUUCUGAAAAGUUUCUGUUUUCUUUGCUAAACGGUUGGACAUGCAAUAAGCAUCAUCAGCAAGCAGUUCAUUCUUAUUUUUCUGAAAAAUUUCUGUUUCCUUGCUAAAUGGUUGGACUUGCAAUAAACAUCAUCAGCAACCAAUUCAAUUCAAAAGAAUGAUGUAAUGCUAAUCAUGCAUCGUUUUCUUCUUAAAUUUCUGCUUUCUCAUUAAUAGUGGAGCAUAUACCACGUGUAUCUUGGCUGUAUGAUCCAAUAGGGAAAAAGAGGUAUUGCCACUGCAAAACUAACAUCAUGCAGCCAAUGUUGGCAUGCGGUGCUUGAACUGUAACUUGUAUUUUAACUCUCUCUCUCUCUCUCUCACACACACACACACACACAUUUCUGUUAACUGAGAUUUAUAUUUACAAAUUUAUUAAUGUGUGUCAUGGUGGAAAGUUAGAACUUUCUUCUAGUGACUUCUGAAGUUUUGGGUAAUGAUUUAAUGCUAAUCAUGCAUCAUUUUCUUCUGAAAUUUCUGCUUUCUCAUUAAUAGUGGAUGUGCAUCUUGGCUGUAUGAUCCAAUAGGAAAAAAGAGGCAUUGCCACCGCAAUCAUGCAGCCAAUGUUGGCAUGCGGUGCUUGAACUGUAACUUGUAUUUUAACUCUCUCUCUCUCUCUCUCACUCACUCACUCAUUCACACACACACAUUUCUGUUGACUGAGAUUUAUAUUUACAAAUUUAUUAAUGUGUGUCAUGGUUGAAAAUUAGAACUUUCUUUUAGUGUCUUCUGAAGUUUUGGGUUCUUAAAUCAGACCAAUAUGUUUAUGUGACUGAUGAAACACAGGGAAAAUUCUAUGAGCUCUAUGAACUGGAUGCUGAAAUUGGUCACAAAGAGCUUGAUUGGAAAAUGACAUUAAGCGGUGUGGGGAAAUGUCGGCAGGUGACUUCAAAGAUAAAUUUGUCUAAUUUAAAAGCCAAUUUUAAUUGCUACAAUUACAGUUCUAUGCAUAUGUGUUUUAUUUAACAGCAUCUGCCUUGUGAUCAGGUUGGUAUAUCUGAAAGUGGGAUUGACGAUGCUGUUGAAAAGCUGGUAGCUCGUGGGUAGGGGAGCAGCAGACCUUGUCUCUGAACCAUAAUUUCCUUUUUUCUCAUUGUUAUGUCAUGCCUUCAAGAUGAAUGAAAGAUUUCAUUGUUACUAGUUUUAUAUCUCUAUUUAUGUAGUUAAUAUUAUUCUUAAAUUGUAAGAAGCCAGCAUGUAGACCAGACUGGCCAUCUGUCAUGGAAAUUUUUUUAUUUCCUUCAUUUCUUCCUGUAUCUAAGAAGCACAAUGAAAAGAAAAGCAUUUUUCAACUUGCAUUAUGCAUCGUUUAUGCUAAUCAUAUAUUGGCUGAAGAUAUGAAACAAGAUCUUUCACUCAAAUCGUAGUAGUUAGCUGAGAUUUAGCCAAUCCCAUGUUCUCUUUCCACAUUUGUCCGGAACAUUUGCAGUUCACUUAUUGCUUUUGUGCUCUUUGUCAAGAUAUAAAGUUGGAAGAGUGGAGCAAUUGGAAACAUCUGAUCAAGCAAAAUCUAGGGGUGCAAAUUCUGUGAGUUUUCCGUGCAGCUUUAAAGGAGACAUGUUUCUGAUAGAUUUUUGUUUUUCAAUUAUUCUUGUUGAUUCAACCAUUCAGACAGAUAUGACAUCUCUUAUAGAUUAUGUUCUCAACACCAUGCAUCAUUUGUGGUUUUCAUUAAUUCAAUGAAACUGAAAUAGUAAAUCAAUGCCAUGAUGUGGGUAACUAUCUGAGUUCCUUGUUUUAUCAUUGAUGUUGAAUUUCAGGUAAUCCAAAGAAAAUUGGUACAAGUUGUCACCCCAUCAACCACAACUGGACAUAAUAUGGGGCCUGAUGCUGUUCACCUUCUUGCCAUAAAAGAGGUUUGUAAUGAUUACCUUCUUACAGUUUUCUGCUGCAGCAACAUUUUUCGUGUUGAACUCUCUCAAAUUGUUGCAAUUUGCCCAUCUUCAAUUUCAAAAUAUUGCUAAAAUAAUCUUGUGCGAGCUUAUUCUGUGAUCGCAUCAUUUAACUGGAGGACAAUUUUUUUGUUAAAAACUCACAUUUUCCUGAUAUCAGGCUAUUAUUGAUAAAUCAUGAGUUAGAAGAGCGAAUUGCUGAAUUGUUAUGAUGCAAUUUUUCUUCUUUAUCACUACUUAAAAUGAACAGUCUGUUUAAAAUGUUUUGAUUACUUUGUGUCCACGUAGUAUGUUAGAUAUGCAGUUGACUUUAUUAUUUUCUACCAUUUCUUGUUCUUAUAAACUUGCCCAGCUUGGAGAAUUAGAAAUUUGGUUUCAUUUGUUAUUCUAUUCAUUUAAAUGGUCCUUGUUAUUUAUGCAUUUCUUGAAAGUUUAUUGUGCUAUCCUAUCUGGUUAUUCCUUUGGGUGAUAACUUUAGGGAAACUAUGGGGUGGAUAAUGGUGCAACUGCUUAUGGGUUUGCUUUUGUUGAUUGUGCUGCUCUACGAGUUUGGGUUGGAUCAAUCAAUGAUGAUGCGUCACAUGCUGCUUUGGGGGCAUUAUUGAUGCAAGUAUGCUCCUUUAUCUUUCUUGUUUGUUUCAUUAUUCUGUGUGCUCUCAAGUACUUAACCUUUGAAUAUCUUACUGUGAUUUGAUUAUAGAUUUCACCUAAGGAAGUCAUAUAUGAAAAUAGAGGUACAUGCCUUUUCUUGUUUUUGUUCUCUUGCUCUUGGAUUGUUUUUUUGUUUUUUUGCCUAGCUUAAAGCUUGAGGAUUUCUAUGUUGCAGAGCUUUCCAGAGGCGCUCAGAAAGAACUUAGGAAGUACUCAUUAAUAGGUAAGUUUAUACCGACCUUUUUCAUAUGACAAGAUAUAUCAUAUACAUUUAAGAUUAAGGAUUGCACUUGCAAAUAUAUUAACUGGUAUUUCUUGAUAAGAAGGGAAGACUUUGUACACCUGCCUUGGAUGAGCACAUGCCUUCUGAACUUUCCAUUUGCCAGAAUGUAUUUUGUUAUUUUGCACAUAUUUUUUUCCUAGAUUAGCUUGAUCUUCCUUCUUAUCUUUCCUUAUUUCCUGUGUCAUUAUUGUCUUUUCACUAUAAUUUGUUUGUAAAAAUCUUCUAGAAAAUGAAAGACAGUUGUCUGGACCAACUUGAAACUUGCUGGAUAUUUGUUGGAUGUAUAAAAUAUGCUCGAUGAUUAGUAUGUGAUUUGUUUAGUCUUUGUAGCCUUGUGUAAAGAUAGUAACUCAUGUCCUAUUUUUUAGUAAUUUCAGAUUUAGCUAUUUUAUACUCUGUGCACUUUCUCUAUGCAUGAAGGCCUUUAGGCAGUCUUACUAGAUAACAAGUUGCAUUUAUGUAUUUUGAUGGGAUGCUGUUCCUGCAUGCAUAUUAUUAUCUUGGGUGUUUUGCUCAAAUCAAUGUGAAUUCCUUUGCUGCAACUUCUCCAGCAAGGUUAUGAAUAAAUCUUUGACAGUCUCCUUUGUUUGCUUUGAUGCACAAGUUAGUUGAUCAAUGUGAGGUCCAACUGUGGUAGCCAGCUAACAUACUCCUGGUUGGUGAACGUAGUCUAACCAUACUCCAAUUAUACAUCUCAUGACUUAUUUUAAAUUUACAUGUCUCCUUUCUAAAGUGAUUCCUGUUUAAUAAUUUGCCACCUUCAUUAUUGAUCUCUUAAAUAAGUCUUUCUACAUUUGGUNNNNNNNNNNNNNNNNNNNNNNNNNNNNNNNNNNNNNNNNNNNNNNNNNNNNNNNNNNNNNNNNNNNNNNNNNNNNNNNNNNNNNNNNNNNNNNNNNNNNCUGCCAUCCACUGAAACAUGUUGAGGCAUUAAUAAUAGGCUUGAUGUAAUUGAAAAUCUAAUGGCUCGUUCAGAAAUUAUGUUAGUUAUUGCUCAAUAUCUUCGCAAGCUUCCAGAUUUAGAAAGAAUGCUUGGACGAGUUAAGGUUAGCUUUCAGGCAUCAGGUUCUCUUGCACUGCCCUUGAUUAGCAAAAAAAUGUUGAAACAACGAGUAAGUUGUCUUAUUUGAUUUCAAAUCUUUACUUGUAAAAAUCUCUUUGAGUGCACAUGUACGAUGAUUUUCAUAGGGUGUCACAAUUCAGCAAGUCUCUAGUUAGUCCUGAACCUUCUACUGAAGUGGCAGUAAGUGUUGUGUAGGUGAAAGUGUUCGGGUCUCUGGUGAAAGGGCUUCGGAAUGGAAUGGAUUUGUUAUUGCUAUUACUGAAGGAAGAGCAACUAAUUUCAUCAUUAUCAAAAAAUUUUAAACUUCCAGAGCUUCUUGGUAGUAAUGGGCUUGAAAAAUUCCUUGUGCAAUUUGAAGCAGCUGUAGAUAGUGAAUUCCCAAACUACCAGGUCUGCUUCUUUCUGGUUUAUGUUUUGGAUAUAUCAACCAAUGUUUUUCCCUUUCUCCCCAUUUGGAUCCUUGUGUUUCUAAUUGAGAUGAUGCAGAUGUAUUCUUUUGUAUGAAAUUAUAUUAAUUAUUAUAUACUAAUUUAUUUAUUCGAGGCUACUAUUAAAAUUAUAGUUAUGCAUGUGUACAUGUAAUGUGGUGUGUAGCUGCUGCUGCUUUCUUUUUCACAGUUCAACAUUCGGUCUUGAUUUCUUCCCCCCUCAGAUUAUUACGUUCUGCAGUAAUAAAGGACUUUUGGCAUCCUUGAUAACUGAGCAUGCAUCUCUGUGGAAUUCUGUAUUUCUCUGUUAGAAAAUGUCUCUCUCUUUGUCUCUCUCUCACACCACACACACCACACAUUGGCUUAUAUUGACUGUUUAACAAUAUGGCCAUUCCUUUUUGGAACAUCUGUACUUUCUUGUUAGUGUUUAUUUUCUUUAUGUGGGUGAUGAUAUUGCAUUCUGUUUUUAUGCCUACUUUUGCACAUUACUAAUACUGUAUUUGGUAUCAGAAUCGUGAUGUGACAGAUUCAGAGGCUGGAAUGCUUUCUGUGCUGAUUGAGUUAUUUAUUGAGAAAGCUGCACAGUGGGGUGAAGUCAUUCAUGCAAUCAAUUGUAUUGAUGUGCUUAGAUCUUUCGCAGUCACAGCAAGCAUGUCAUGUGGAGCUAUGUGUAGACCUGUUAUUUUGCCUGAUUCAAAAUCCAUUUCUUUCUGUGAGGGGGAAGGGGGGCCUGUACUUAAGAUUAAAGGGUUAUGGCACCCAUUUGCCCUUGGAGAGAAUGGAUUGCCUGUCCCAAAUGAUGUGUUCCUUGGUGAGGAUUCAGAUAGCCAACAUCCCCGCACUGUGUUGCUGACUGGACCAAAUAUGGGUGGAAAAUCAACACUUCUGCGUGCCACAUGUCUAGCUGUUAUACUAGCACAGGUUUGACUUUAGACCUAGCUUGAAAAAAUUACUUCUGUGCCUCCUACAUCCCUAGAAAAUUCAUUUCUUUGGCAUAUUUUAACAUAUAGUUUUUAAUUCUAUGGCAAUUUCGCAGCUUGGUUGUUUCGUUCCCGGUGAGAAGUGUGUUCUCUCACUUGCUGACAUAAUUUUUACACGGCUUGGUGCCACUGAUCGAAUAAUGACAGGCGAGAGUAAGUUGUAGCAAGAUAACAGUUUACUGGUUUCACUUGGAAGUUUGCUUCUCUUUAUGUGAUCUAAAUUCACUUUCUUGAUGUAAAUUUAUAUUUUUUAGUUUAUGCACUUUUGUGGUCCAAAUCAUGAUUAUCAUGUUGCAAGAAUAAAUUCUGGUAAGUGUUGACUGUUUUAUUUGAAAUCCUGCUUUUCAUCUGAAGGUCAUAAAUGGCUUCUUGAUGGUAAAAUACAGUGUUAUGGAUUUGUUUAGUGUUUUUUUUUAAAAAAAUUAAAAUUGUUUAAAUCUAUGUCAUAGUUGGCUUGCUCUAAAUUUCUCCUCGAUUUAAGUUAUUAGAAAGGAUUCAUAAUGCCUAUAAAUACAGCAGUGGUGAAUCUAAGGUUGAUAGAGUUUUGUGCAGUGGUUGUUUUACUCUGGUUGUAAUUCUACUAUAGAUUUGAUGUAAAUGGUUGUGUUCUAAUGGAUCUUGUCCAUCUAAAUCUUCAAAAUCUCUUCAAGGCAAUUUAAAAUAGGAUAUAUCAUAUGAUUUCAAAAAUGCUUAAAGUAAAAGAAAGGAAACCGUUGUGGAAUGUAAAGGUACCCACAUACUAACUUGGCCUAUAAUCCCGGAUGUCUCACUCUCACUUCUGGACCCCAGAGUCCUUUAAAUGUUGAAAGUGAGGAUUAUGCAAAUAGAUGUGACCCAACCACAUGCAUUAAUGAGUGUUCGCUUAUGUGCUUCUUAAUUCCGGAGUUUGAUAAUAGAAACGAGCUUGUCAUUUUCUAGGUACAUUCUUCAUUGAGUGCACAGAAACAGCUUCGGUGCUUCAAAAUGCCACUCAAGAUUCCCUUGUCCUUCUUGAUGAACUGGGUCGAGGAACAAGCACUUAUGAUGGAUACGCCAUUGCAUAUGCUGUGAGAUUUCUUUUUAUUGAUCUAUUAUUCCUUGAUUUACCUGCCCUUUUUAUUCCAUUACUAAGAACUCGUAUUCUAUAUCUAACUCCUUAAGGAUAUAAAUUAUUAUUUCUCAUCUCUAUGGAUGUUCGCAUCCUUGGUUCUAGUCAAGUUAUACUUUUCUAGGUUAUCCACUUGAGAUAGGUAGGUAACUGGUACAUAAUAAUGCAAAUAUAUUUCUUGCAUAUUGGAGCCUUUUUUGGUCAUUAUGGUCAUAGAUUUGUGUGUUUUGGCCUUAGACAAACUUGUGUUGCAUGUACAACUCUAGUUUCUAUACACAUCGACAUGUGCUGAUACAAAUAAUUUGUAACGUUAGAAAUGUUGUGGCUAGGAAAUGCUGUCUUCUGCAUCCACCCACUUGGACACCUACCUCACUUUUUGGGUGACCGAAAAAGUCUUCCUCUAUUCUAUGAACUGAGAGAUCUAUUUGAAGACAUCAGUUUAUUGAUUUAAUUCACAAGGUUUCUAUUUAAAAGAGAAUACAAGACAUUAGAACCAAAUCAAAUCAUAUAUCCUAAUUAGAAGUGAUCUUUAAUUUAAGGAGUUGAUUAAUACCAAAUUUAUUUUUUAAUUUAUAAACAACCAAAUAUAGAAUUUUCUAUUUUACAACAUUCCUCCUGAAGCUAGCCUGAAGAUAUUUUCCAUUAUUAGCUUGCUGAUUAAUUAGUUAAAUUUUUGUGAAGUUCCUUUGUAAGUAUAUUAGCAACUNNNNNNNNNNNNNNNNNNNNNNNNNNNNNNNNNNNNNNNNNNNNNNNNNNNNNNNNNNNNNNNNNNNNNNNNNNNNNNNNNNNNNNNNNNNNNNNNNNNNUGGAUUAUGAGCAUUGAGAUAGUUGUCUUAUUGUUAUAAUAUACCUUUGUGGGUGAGGAGUUAAGAAUCUUCUAGUCUUGUAAAAGCCUUUUAAUCCACACAACUUCACAAAUCCUAUGUGCAAUUGCUCUCGAUUCACCACCUUAGUUUUAGCAGGUUGGAACUUCAAAUCUUUGAUCUUAAAAUCUUCAACAAGUUUAGUCUUUCCAUCUCGAAAUUGUUAUCACUUAUCAAGAUUAUGUCAUCUACAUAAAUAAUCAAGAUAGCAAUUUUACCUUCUUUGAAUGUUUAUAGAACAUGGUACGUCUGCUUGACUUAGACAUUAACUAUGACGUCUUACAACCUUUCCAAAGUGUUCAAACCAUCAGUAGGAGUUUGUUUAAGGCCAUAUAAAGAUUUUUUUAGUCUGUAGGCUUUAUGUUAGUCAAUUCUCUCUUCAUACCCAAGUGGUAUGUCUAUAAAGACUUUCUCUUCCAAGUCUUUAUUUAGAAAAAUAUUUUUAACAUUCAAUUGAUGUAAGGGACAACUAAAGUUCAUCGGUGAAGAUAACACCUGAAUUGAGUUUAUUUUGGCUUAGGUUGAACAAAUGUAUCAUGAUAGUCAAUGUAUGUUUGUGUGAAGUGUUUUGCCACUAGCCUUACCUUGUGCCUUUCUAUGCUCCCAUCAGCUUUGCAUUUAAUUGUAAACACUAAAUUGCACCCUACUUUCUUCAUUUGCCUUGGCAAGUCAACUACUCAAAGUGCUAUUUUUGUUUAGAGCAUUCAUUUCUUCCAUAACCACUAACUUUCAAUUCGGAUUGUCUAGAGCAUUCAUUGGCAAGUCAACUACCUCUAAGAAGUUUUUAGAAUAAACAAUUGAGAUAUCAUAAAGGUAAAACUUUAUGAUUAUUAGAAAGUUUUUGGUAAGAAAAAUAUUUAGUAAUAGGAUAACUGGUACAGGAUUAGACACCUUUUCUAGUAGCUAUAGGAAUGUCUAGGUCUAUAAGCUCAUUAUUAAAAGGAACAAUAGAAGUAAGAAUACAUGGAAUAUUCUCAGGACCAUCUCUCAGAGAAUUUGGUUGAUCUUGUGUUGGGAUGAUAUGCAAGUCUUUACCUUUCGUAUGAGUUCUUAUAGUAUAAACUUGAAGCUCAGUAUAUGGAUAAGUUUGAUCCUUUUGUAAUACUUCCCCUGUUUGCAAUACACUUGCACAUAACAAUGAUUGACUAGUUUUUCCAUUUAUUUCAAUAUCAUGAACAUCCUUUCCUGAGAUUGUGAUGCUGAGAAAAUCGUAUUGUUCAUAAUUGUAAUAGGCAAUUGAACAUAUAUGUUUAAAAAACCAUCAUCUUUUCUUUUUUUCUCCCCUGAAGAUGAUUUUUGGUAAAAUAAGGUUGAUUUUCUAUAAAAGAAACAUCCAUACGUACAUGAAUUUUCAUAGUUUAAGGAUUAUAAGAUUUGCAGUCAUUUUUGUUUGAGGCAUAUCAGAUGAAAACAUAUUUGUCAGCUUUAGGAUCAAGUUUAGAUUGGAAUUUACUUAGUAUGUGACAAAGAUUGCAACUAAAAACUUUUAUUAAUCAAAUAAGAUGUCGUCAAACCAGCUUUAUCACAUAAGUAUUUUGGAAUAUUCACGAGCUACUUCAAGUAAAUGUUUGUUUUUUCUCUCAACAAUUUCAUUUUGCUUAAGAGUGUCACGACAUGUAGACCGAUGUUGAAUCCUUUUUGCUUUCAAAAAAUUUCCCAAAUAAAUAAAGUAUGAUAAUUCUUGUCUGAUAUUGGUUUUCUAUCAUUUGAUUUAUAUCUUUAAACAAUGUUACUACCUCAAAUUUUUCACUCAUCAAAUAAACCUAAUAUAAUCUUGUGUGAUAAUCUAUGAAUGUAACAAAUCAUUUUUUUUCUAGAUACAAUAGUGAAUUUUGAAGGAUCUCACACAUCACUAUGAAUUAAAUAAAAAGAUUAUGAAGCAUGUAGGGUUUUGAAAUAUACGGAACACGGUGAUUUUUUGAUAAAUGACAACUUUCACAUUGAAAAGAUAAACAAUCCAAAUGUUUAAACAACUCAGGAACUAAAUGUUUAAGAUUAGAGAAAACUACGAUGUCCUAGUUCUCUUUCAGCAAUAAAUAAUGUCAAAGCAUUAUUUGUUCACAAACAAACAUUGAAUUUAUACUAUUAAAGCCUUGAGAUUUUUUUUUUUAUUAUUAUUGAAGUUGUUAUCAAGGUAGUAAAAACCGUCUAUCAUCCUAGCACUACCAAUCACAUUCCUUGAGUUCUGGUCUUGAAAUAUACAGAUAGAAUAAUAAAAAAUAACAUGAAAAUUACAAUCCUUGGUUAGUUUAGGAACAUGGAGGACAAAUUUAAGAAUUAUGCUCUAAAAAAUUAUUAUUAACCUUUUUCUUGUAAUAGAUGAGAAAUUAUCAUCUGUAAUUUUGAUUUUCUCAUUAUCAGGAUAUGAUGAAUAGUUUGUAAAUGGAUGAGAAUGACUAGUCAUAUGAUCGGCUGAAUCAAUAAUCCAAGAAGCAGAAUCUGAACAACAAGAUAUAAGGCACAAGAUGGCUAUUUAUUUUAGCCAAGGAAACACUAGGAAUACUAGAUGAUGAUUGGAAUGUAACAAUUGUAGAAUUUGGUAUAUCUACUCUACUAAAAAGGCUUUUCUCAACUUUAUUUAUGGAGGAACCACACGUUGGGUUCAUCACCAGGUCUGCUACUUUUCCAAAUAGAUGGCUUUCCAUGGAGCUUCCAACAAGUUUUGUUGUGUAUGAUGUGGCUUGUAACAAUAGUCACACAUGUGAGAUUUUUAAUCCACCUAACAGUGAUUUGCAAUAAUCCUACUCACAUUUGCAUUAGCAUAGCCAAUGUAGAGUUCUCAAUAGGACUUCCAGUUGCUUGUUUUCCAAGCAUGACUCCUCAUGACUCUCCUAUUUUUUUAGCUUUUGAAAAUACCUUGCUAAUUGGAGUUAUGAGUUUGUUACCUAUUAUUCUCCCUUUUAACUUCAUCAAACUCAACAUCGAGUCCAGCGAGGAAUUCGUAAAUUUGAAAGUCCUUCGUUUUCUUGCAGUGGUUGUAGUCAUAUGUAGAUUUCCAUUUAUAAUCAUUGAAAAAGUUAAGGUCUUUCCACAAUUGUCUUAGUGUGUUGAAGUAUUUGGUGACAUUGUUUUCUCCUUGCCGGAUAUCACCAAGUUUCAAAGUCAAGUCAUAUACCUGGGAUUGAUUACCCAGAUCAGAAUACAUCUGGUAAACAUUAUCCCAAAGUUUCUCUGUUGUUGAAUAACACAUAGUUGGAGUUGAUAUCUUCAUCCAUGGAGUUCACAAGCCACGUCAUAACAUGGAGUUUUUAGCAUCCUAGGUAGCAUAUGUUGGAUCCUUCCUUGUUGGUUGUUUUUACUGGUCAAAUAACCUAUUCCCUCUUGCCUCUAAAUAUACAUGCGCACAAAUUGAGACCAAUGCAAGUUAUCACCAUUAAGACAGAUGGUGGUGAUUUGGACUAAGUGUGGCUUGUUAUUGGAGGCUUGGGUAGCAACGGGUUUUGUUUCAGACAUGAUGAACAAAAACAAAGCAAUAUUAAAAUGAAUAAUACUUUGUAAAGUGGUGAAAAUUAAAAGCAACACAUCUUUUAGUGUUUUGUUAAUAAUCCAAAUACUUGUAGUUAUGUGACUAGUUGCACGCUGUGAUAAUUAAAGUAUGUUGUGAUUGUAGUGUUGUGUGGUAUAUUUGAAAUAGUUUCAACUUUUUUAUGGAAGUGUAAUGUUAACAGCCUAAUAUACAAUCUUCUAUUUUACGACACUAUUACCUGUAAUAAUAUCAAGCUUCAUAUAUCUGUUGUGUUUCAAAACUUUAUUCGCCUAUUAUAAUUGAAGUUGUUUCGUUAGCAAAUUAUACUGCUUCUGAUCAUUCAUGCAGGUAUUCCGCCAUCUUGUUGAGAAGAUAAACUGUCGAUUGCUUUUUGCAACACACUAUCACCCGCUCACAAAAGAAUUUGCUUCUCAUCCACAUGUUUCAUUACAAUACAUGGCUUGUGCAUUCAAGUCAAAACCUGAAAGCUAUUCUAAAAGCGACCGGGACCUUGUCUUCUUGUACCGGCUUGCAUCUGGAGCAUGCCCAGGGAGCUACGGAUUGCAAGUGGCAACUAUGGCUGGCAUUCCUGAGCAUGUUGUUGAAGCUGCUUCACAUGCUGGUCAACUGAUGAAAAAUUCAACUGGAGAAAGUUUCAAGUCAAGUGAGCGCAGGUCUGAGUUCUCAACUCUCCAUGAAGAGUGGUUGAAGACCCUAGUAAAUGUCUCACGAAUCAGAGAUUGUAAUUUUGAUGAUGAUGAUGUUUAUGACACAUUGUUUUGCUUGUGGCAUGAGUUGAAGAGCUCGUAUGAAUCUUGUAGCUCGAAGAGUAGAUAGAAUCUGCAUAAUGUAUUGUAGGAAUCCUAAUCUGAAGAUGAUUUUUUUCCCCAUAAUAGUUAUCAUGUUCUGAAAUGACAGGGAAGAGCAGUAUACCUUGUAUUUGGUGUUCAUCGGUUGCUUUUGUUUCCAGUUUCCCUCCUGUUAUACAAAGCACGAACUGGUAUAUUUUCUCCCCAUUGAUUUUGUCUUGAAUUUGACCUUCAAAAGUCGGUCUAUCGGAAGUCUGGUGAGCUUAUCAAGCUAUUAACCGUUACCUUGAUGCUUGAAUAGGCUCUCAGUUCUCUUCAACACAUUGAUUGAUGUUGCACGCAUGCAGGCUUCCUCGAUGAAAGGUUGGGAUAAUUCCUGUUAUCGUGGCGAAUGUUCGGAAAUCUAUUUAAAAUCCUUUCUACAUAUAUUUCUUAUAAUUUUUUGUCAAAAUUGUCCUUAGCUAAAACUCAUUUUCCUUGUUUGUGCAUUUCUUUUUCUUUUUCUUCACAAGGACAUAUCUUCUUCAUUCAUAACAUGUUUUUUUUUAAUAAAAACUUAUGAAAAGCAAGUUUUAAUAAUUAAAACAAUUACAUCCGAAUAAUUUUUAUGCGAUUGUAUGAAAAAACAAAGGAAUAAAUUAAUUAAAUUAAAUUCUAUAAAAAAAUUCACAAUUAAAAAAUAAAUAUUUUAUUUUCAUUGAGAUUUUCUUUGUUAAAGAAAUAUCAUUAUUAAGUUUCUAUAUAAUUAUUCAUAAAGUAAUUGCUAACAUUAUUGUAAAAUGCCAUAAUUGUAUAUGAAAAGUAUUAUAUAAUCAUUUGAUUUUUAAAAUAUCAUUUUAAUUAUUUUAUUUGGAAAAUGAAAUAUUUUAGAAUAUAAAAAAUAUAACCAUUAAAUAAAAAAUAAAAUUGAGAAAGAGACAAGAGAGCCAAUUACGAAUGCUUUUUGACUAGCAUUGUAAAUAGAUAAUGUGAACCAAAAACCUAUUAGUGGGAAAGAGCACUUUCCAACCAAUUCUCAAAAGAUAUCAAUUUAUAUUAAAUUCAAACCUUAUACUCUUAAAAACAAUAGAGUAGCGGUCACAUUCCUAUUAACAUAACAUAGGGAAUUACAAGUGUAACAAAAGAUAUAAGUCGAAACUAGUUGGGAUUGAAAACCAAGCAAACAUGCCUUAUCUGUUUUCUAUAUAUAUUUUUUUUUUGGUUAAAUCAAGACAUGCCUGGUCUUGAAAAGCUAGGAUCACAUGCAUAGAUUUGUUUUUAAAAAUGUGGAUAACAUGAUAUUCACUUGCGUAGACAACGUGGCAAAGUUUAAGAUUUUUAUUUUAAAAACUUAAUUUUCAAUUUAUUUUCCCUUAAAAAUAUUAAAAACACAUCAAAGAAAACUCUAUAAAUAUUUUCAAUCCAAAAACAUACUCUAAUUAGUCUAAAAGUUCAAAUCAAAUCAAAUUAAAACAUAUUGUAUGUAUGAACUAUAUAUAUAUAUAUAUAUAUAUAUAUAUAUAUAUAUAUAUAUAUAUAUAUAUAUAUAUAUAUAUUCCUGUGGUAUGAUAUAAGGAUCAAACUAUCUUCAUUGUACAUAAUUUUUCAAGAUGAUUUCAAUGACAUCAAGAUUGAUGUUUUUAUUUUAUGGCAGAUUGAAUUUUCUUCUCUCAUUCCCUCUAAAUUUGAUACAAAUGAAGUUGCAUGCAUGACCGAAACCUGAAAUCUGAGAACUACAAAAUAUCAAAGUGUAAAAAAGCACUCCCAAUAAACAACGCAAUGAAUAAUGAACAAUAUAAACGCUCCAGAUCUUUUAAUUAAUUAUUAUUUUUUGUUAAUUAUUAAUCAUUAAUACGCUAUAGAGAUCUUCAACACCCCGGUAGAAGGGGUAGAGACAGCGGGGUUCUGUUGGGGUUUGGUAAUUGCCAUUGAUUCGGCCACCAUUCACAAAUUCCUGACAUUUUGGCCUUCCUUCCACGAUUAUUUGCUAGUAGUUGCUCCUCUUUUUUCUCCUAUCCCAUUUUGGCUGGAUAUCAUCAGCACUUCAUUUGUUAUCUGUUUCUGGCGGACACUCCGAAGCUUACGAGCAAGGUGUUGAGACAUUGAUCACCAUGAUGUCUGACCCUAAACAUGUUUAACGUAUAAAUUAUGUCUACUGUAUUGAUUGUGAAUUUGAAUUUGUUGCACUCUAGAACAGUCCGCUGGAGAAGAACCUGAAGAUUCUAGACCUUCUACAGAUUCUGUGAUUUUACUUAUCCAUGGGUACAUGGAUUACUCUGAUCCAGGAACUAAUCAUAGCGCAUGGUAAGCAAUGAGAGCAAUUCCUCUUUAGAGAACAACAUGAAGGGUUCUGGUAACUAUACCAUGAAUCUAUUUGUCAAACUUGGUGAAGCAUUUAGGAAAACAAGAGAUGAGAAACCUCACAAUUUUCUCUCUUCAGAAAAGUUUUACUUUGUCUGAGGAGCUUGAUUUCUCACCAAUCAACUGUAUCAUUUGUUUUAACUUGGUGAUAUUUGCAAUGGUAGAUGACUUGCAUGAAAAGAUUGGGGAAUUAUUCAGGAGUCCUAGAAUCUCGCUAGACAAAUUUAAAGUUGAUUAAUGAUUUAUUAUCUAAAAACUGGGUUGUCGCAAAUCACAAGCCGUCUAAUUGUCUGGUCACCAACGAUAAUCCAUAAGAAUCAUUAACGAGAAAUCUUUUAAAUCCCUAUUUAGAAGAUAAAGAUAGCUAUGCUUAGAGUACUAGCUCUUUAUUCCGUGACUUAAGUAGUUUUUCAGUUUGACAGACAACCACUAAAAUAAAAAGUGUAGCUUACUAUUUAUAAGAAAAUCUGAAAACCCUAUAAAUUGACAAAAUAUCAAUUUGUCCCUUGAAUAAUAUCCAUAUAUUUAUUCAGGAUAAUUUUAAAAAUUAACUUAAUCAAGUCCUUACUUGAUUUUUCUAAGUCAAGAAAUAUAAUCCUUGAAUUAAUUAUAUUAUAGUCCUUUAUUUUUAAAAUAUAUUUUUAAUCAAGUCAUACUUAAUUAAAUUAUCCUAGUUUAAUUUCUGAUUAAUAGUUCUUAAUGUGUGUGACCCAUUAGGUUCAUAAUAUAGUGACUCAAAUACAAAUUAUAAUUAUAAUUAAAUAGAAUUAAAUAAAAUAAACAAUUUAAUUCAUUCACAAUUCAACAAUUGAUUAAUCUAUAUUUGAAGUUCAGGUGCAUCGUCUAAUAACGUGUCAUGAUCCCCAAAAUAUUAGAAAAGUCAUUAGUGGUUUGACUUAACUUUUUAAUGACAGGUUUCCUAGUGUAAUUAAUAUUCUUUCAUCAAUAAUGUUUCGAUUUAACAUUAAAGCAUGUAGUAUGUCUGUUAUGCUAAAUCUUUUUUGUUCUUUACAUAAUAGUCAUUGAUGGUUUGAAUAGGAUUCAAAACUCUUUUUAAAUCUCAUUCCAUAUUAGCAAAGGAUUUCUCAAUCAAUACUAUUUGAGAAAAAAAUGGAAUAUUUUUUUCUAAUUCACCUAAGGUGAUGAAUCCUCUCUUGAUCACUCAAGUACCUUCAUAUAGUUCAUGCUAUACCCAAUACCUGCUCUUUUUGUUACUUUGAUUAAGUAAUUAAGAGUGAUUCAUCAUCUUAAAUGAAUUAAAAUUAUUAUUUUUUUAUUUAUUCUUAAAUAGUGUUGAUUGUGAAAUCUUUGGCUAAGAUGGAAUGAGUUUUGAGAAGAUUUUCUAAAGUUUAUUUAAAUAAUCAAUGACUAUAAUGUUAAGAAUUAACAUGAUUUAACAAAACAGAUAUAUUUUAUGUUAUUAUACUUUAUACUAAAAGAGAUAGAUUUGAACACUGAAUGUUUGAUUUGACCCAAAGUGGGUAAUCUUAGGUUUAGGGGUAGGAAGGUCUUUUAAUGGGAUCUAUUAGUAAUUACAUUAAAGAAGAGAGUUAAUUAGUAUUUUCACAUUUUUUCCAUAGUGUAAUUACUAAAUGACCCUUAGAAAAAAAAAUUCCUUGGUUUCAGGGGCUUUUCAGGUUUUUCAUCUUUUUUUGUACAACUCAAUCACUUAAAUGCCCUUAAAAAAUAAUUUUCCUCAAAAAUAUUAUUUUUAUAAUUUUCAUGUGGGUUUAGGGGUAAUUGGAUCUUUUAAUAUAUAUAACUUAUUACUUUAAUUCAUGGUUGGUGCCUGCUAGACACUCGUUAGCAAGUGGGUGUCAUUUAUGCCAUUCAAAUGGCGCAUGCAGCGUCGAAACAACACUAAACAAAGCCUUUCAGGGUAGUGUUCAAUGCGCCUUACCGCCCCUACCACAUUGGUGAGGAGCGUGUUCGCAUCUGGCAUGCAGCAGAGGUCCGACCAUAAGUUUUUCCUUCCCUCUCUCUUUCCUCUCUUCCCUCCUAGAAAAACAUGUUGACUAUUGCAAAAAAAACAAAAAAAACAAAAAAAAGUUAGGCUUUUUGUUUGUUAUGUUAAAUUAGGUCUUUAUUUUUUUUUAUUGUAAUAUAUUUGAUCUCGAAUCAUUUAUUGAGUUAAUUUUGUUUUUCAAUUUCAUCAUUUGACACUUGAUUUUUAUAUCAGAUUUGAUCCUCAUUUUUUUAAUUACAAUGUAUUUGGUCUUUAAUUAAUCAUUUAUUGAGUUAAUUUUCUCUUCAAUUUCAUCCCUUUAUAUUUGAUUUUUAUAUUAGAUUUUGUCCUCAUUCUUUUAAUUGUGAUGUUUUUGGUCUUGAAUCCUUUAUUGAAUUAGAUUUGGUCAUCCCUUUUAAUUACAUCAUUUGACAUUUGAUUUUUAUAUUAGAUAUGAUCCUUAUUUGUUUUAUUGUUAUUUUUAGUUGUUUUUAUCAUUUUCUUAAUUGAAAUUGUUUUUCAAUUUCAUCCCUUAUAAUUUGGUUUUAUUUUCGUUUUGUGUCAAAUUUGGUUAUCUUUAGGGAACCUAAUGAGUCACACAUAUAAAAAUCAUUGGUCAGAAAUUAAAAUGGAAUGAUUAAUCAAUUGUGACUUGAUUACAAAUAAAUUUUAGAAAUUAAGAACUAGAAUAUAAUUAAUACAUGAGAUUACAACUGUAGACCUAGAAAAAAUCAAGCUGGGACUUGAUUAAAUAAAUUUUUAAAAUAAUCCUAAAAUAAUAUAUGUGAUAUUAUUUAUGGGGUAAAUUGAUAUUUUGUUAUUUAUAAAAUUUUUCAGGUUUCCUUAUAAAUAAAAUGUUAUGCCUCUUAUUUCUUAAGGUGAGAAGAGUAUAAUAUAUAAACAACUAAAACAUAAAAGAAAAAAGCUAGCACUCUAAGUUAUAACAAUCUUUCUCUUUUAAAAGGGUUUAGAAGAUUUUUCACUGGUGAUUUGUGUAGAUUAUUAUUAAAGGUUGAACAUUUGAACGACUUGUGGUUUGCGACAACUCGUCCUUGAAGUAAAUAUUUAAAGUUGAAAAGAACAUUUAAUCUUCAGACAAUCUUUGCAUAAACCCUAAAAAAUUUAUAUCUAUUUAAUACGAUUCUUGUAACUCCUAAGAAAUUUUAAAUCUAUUAUUUUUGUUGUGUAUAGGCAUUUCAAUAAACCCAACACCAUCAUAUAUCCAUAGCAUAAAUGUAAAAAAACUCUUAGUUGCACAAUCGUAUUUGAUGACUUGAGGAACCUGCCAUUUCUACACACUUCUAUGUCUGUUGAAUGUAUGGAUUGAGUAAAAAUGAAGGGAAGAAAGAGAAGAUUUUAUAGAUGAGAAAUUAAAAAUGCAAUCAUACCACCUAUAUGUAGGCCAGCUGGAGUCUCACUCUCUCUCUCUCUCUCUCUCUAUUCAUUUAUUUAUUUAACAUGUGUAUGUACAAGUAGUUGUGAUUGUGGCUCACAUCUUCCUUUAGUUUUACAUCCAAGAACGGCUAAAAUGCCUUCUAUGGGUCGAUGAUAAGCUUCCCAUCCAGUUUUCUUAAAAACUAGCAAACAAGGUCUUUUUUAGUCAGAUUCCCAAGACUAUGUUGAGCAUGUUCCUUAUGAAAAUGAGGCCAUAAAUCAUGAAUUGCACGAUGCACAUAUUGAUUAAGGUACGUCCCAAGAGUAAAUAAAAGAUUAUCUAAGGACUCUUUAUGUUUUGAAAUAAAUCCUAACUUUUAACAAUUUUCUUAGGUUUUGCAGAAUACAUGUGUGUCUUUGAACAUGGUGGGCCAAUAGAAUCCAUAUUGUAAGAUUUUUGCAGUUGUUUUUUUGACGAGAAAUGACUCCCACAUGCCUCAGAAUGACAAAGUCUUAAUGACACUACUUACCUCAUUGUCCGAAAUGCAUCUUUGAAAUAUUUGAUCAGGACAAUAUUUGAAUAAGUAAAGGUCAUCCCAAUAAAAGUUCUUCACUUCGUUCAAAAACUUUCCUUUGUCUUUGGUACUCUAGUGAGCUGGCAAAAAUCCUAAAGCAAGAAAAUUGAUAUUUUUAGUAAACCAAGGCAUUGAACUAAGAGAAAGUAAAGAUUCAUCAGGAAAGUAAUCAUCGAUUGGUGUGGUGUCAGAUCUCGAAUCUAUUGUCAAUCUUGACAAAAGAUCCAUAUCAACAUUUUCGGUGCCUUUCUUGUCCUUGAUUUCUUCCUGAGAAUAAAUCAUUUACAAUUCUUCAGAUUCAUUAAAUUCAGUUUUACUCAAGGUAGAUUUAAAUUGAUCAUAAACUAAUUCUUCAAUAAGAUCUACUUCCUGUAAAUCAUUAUCAUCUACAGGUUGCUUGCAAAUGUUGAAAAUAUUCAUCUUUAAUGUCAUGUUUCCAAAUGAUAGCUUUAUCAAUCCAUUCCUACAAUUAAUCAAUGCAUUAGAAGUUGUAAGAAACAGACGUCCUAAAAUAAUUAGAAUUGAAUUACAUGCUUCAACAUGUCGUGUAUCCAAGACAAUAAAAUCCACAAGAUAAAUGAAUUUAUCAACUUGUACUAACACAUCUUCAACUAUUCCUCUAGGCACUUUUACAGAUCUAUCAGUAAGUAAAAGAGUUAAAGAAGUUGGUUUUAACUCACCUAGAUUAAGACUUUAAAAAACCGAAUAUGGAAGUAGAUUCACACUAGCUCCAAGAUCAAGUAAAGCUCUUUCAAUUUUAUAUUCUCCAAUAAAGUAAGAAAUCGUAGGACAACCAGGGUCUUUAUAUUUCAAAGCAUUAUUGUUAUGAAGAAUGACACUUACUUGUUCCGCUAAAAAGGCUUUUUUUUUUUACAUUCAGUUUUCUCUUCACGGUGGACAAGUCUUUCAAAAAUUUAGGAUAAGAAGGUACAUGUUUAAUAGCAUCCAUCAAAGGUAUAUUGAUCCUUACCUGUUUGAAAGUUUCAAAGAUUUCAGAAUUGUGAUUGACUUUCCUUUGUUUGGUCAUGGCAUGAGGAAAUGGAAGUGCUGGUGGGGAAUUAGUCUUUUCUUUAUAAUGUUUAGGUUCAAUCCCUUCCUUACCCUCAGAGACUAACUCAUCUUCUUUCUCACAAGGUUCAAGAAUGGGUUUUUCAAUAAUCUUACCACUGCGGAAAGUAAUGACUGAUUUGACUUGAUUCAUGUGUUGGCUUCCAGAACUACUUGUAUUUGCAUUGUAUUACCCCUUUGGAUUUUGUUGUGGUUGAGAUGGAAACUUACCUUUCUCUUAAAAACUAAGAGCAGAUGUGAACUUUGCAAGAGUAUCUUUAAAAUCUGUCAUGCUUUGAGCAAGUUGAGUGUUGAUUCUUUCUUGCUUUUCAAUGAAUGCAUGCAAUGUUUCCUCAAUAUUUCUUCUAGGAGGUGGAGCAUAAGGAGGUGCAUAUCCAUGAGAAUUUUAGAAAUUAUGGUGUGCUUGAAAUGGUGGUUGUGAAGUUUGUGCAUUAUUGUUAUCACACAAUGUCUUGAACAGAUUUUAAUUGACCACUCCUUUUCAAUUCUAGUACCUCGACUUUUCUAGCUAAAGAUGCAAAUUUGGCUUGGAGGUCAUGAUCUUCUCUAAGGUUGUACAUACCUCCACUAGAUGUAUGAAGUUGAGUUUUACCUAGUGCCUUAUAAGUAGCUGUAGUGUUCCAAUUUUGAGCAUUUUCAGCUACUAAGUCUAGAUACUCCAUUGCUUCAUCAGGGUAUUUAUCAACAAAAGUUCCAUUGCACAUCAAUUCCACCAUUUGUCUAUUUUUAGGUGUUAAUCCUUCAUAAAAAUAUGAAACAAAUCUCUAUGUUUCAAAACCAUGAUGAGGGCAAGUAUUAAGCAAGUCUCAAUACCUAUCCCAACAUUGAUAAAAUGUUUCUCCUGGUUUUUAAGUGAAAGUGGUGAUUUGUCUUUUGAAAGAGUUUGUGCAAGCACGAAUGGAUUCUGGUCUCAAAUUUUGUAGCCAUGUUUUAGCUUGAUCUUUUAAAGAAAAAUAAAAAAGCUUUAAUCUGAUGGUGUUCAUGCUACAAUUUAAGUCAUUAUAGGUGUUACAGACUUCUUUAAAUUCUCUUAAAUGCAAGUAUGGAUUUGCUAGAUCUAAACCAUGAAAAGUAGAUAAAAGUUGAAUAAUGUCUGGCUUAAAAUUAAAGUGAGAUGCAUCAGGAGGUAAAACUAUACAUGAGGGUGCACUUGUUCUUGUAGGAUUCAUGUGGUCUCUAAGUGUUCUAACUCGAUUAUUCUCAUUAUAAAGCGACUGGUUAUCUUCUUCGGUCAUAUUUUCUGAAAAUGAUGAGGAUACCCUACAAAGUCUACCACUUAAUGUACGUGACCAAACUCUCAUGCACGUGUAGGAAGAGAAUAAAAUGGAAGAAAAGAAAAGAAAAACAAAAGAAACAAAACAAAACAAAACAAAACAAACAAAAGUUAGAUAAAAGGAAAGAAAAGAAAAGACAAUAAAAUAAAAUAUAUAAUUUAUACAGUAAUUUACCUUCCCCUGCAAGGGCGCCAAAAACUUGACACGACCAAAAGAUUGAUGUCUUCUCCCAAGUGUAGGAGUGUCGAAGUAAUAAAUAACCCGGCAAAACCGGGGUCGAACCACAGGGAGGUUAACUAUAUAAAUUAUAAAUAAUAAUAAUGAUGAUGAUGAUGAUGAUGAUGAUGAGGACUUUGAGAUGUAAGAUUAAUGUGAAGAUUAAACAAUGAUAAAAACAACUGUCAAGAUUAGAGGAUCCACUAAUGGUAUUUCAAAUAAGUAUAAUAUAAACUCUUUUUAUUACUCAACUGGAAACCACACACAAAGGAGGUUCCAAUAGGAUGAUUUAUCAUUAAUAGCUCAUUAUAAAUUAUUAACAUGAUCAUAUUAAUUAUCUUAUUUAAGUAACACCAAACUUUUAAAUAUUGUCAGGAAUUCAUGAUGCUAACUUAUGUUAACAACAAAUCAAGUUCCUUUCAUAGCACAGGUGUAGGUUAUAUCAUAUGGUUGGCUAUGAAAGUGCCAAACAUUUGUUGUACCAAGUGUUAACAACUCAAAUUUAGAUUAACCAUUUAACAAGCAAGGUAUUAAGAAUUAAUAAGAUAAAAAUGAUAAGACAUGUUAAUAACAAGUUGUUUAGGAUAUAAUCAUUGAAGUCCAUAUUGAGUUUAUAUUAUACUUAUACUAACACCAUUAGUGAAACCUUUUCACAUUGACAUAAUAAACUUAGCUAAACAUAAUGACGAAGAGAAACAUAAAUAAACAAUAGGAGAACAUGAUUACAUAAGUAUAGUAAAGGAAAUGAAAUGUAUAAACAAGAGAUUAAUGAAAGCAAAACUUAAGCAUUACAAAAAUAUAAAGAAAGAGAGCAAGAACAUGAUCUUGAUCUGAAAACCAAGAUGCCUAAAUGCAUGGAAAAUACCUCCUUUUAUAGGCCAAAAUUCAGAACUAUUAAUUUGAUGACUAAUUGUUGAGUGGGUGGCCACAUCUUGACUUGGUGACAAUCCUUAUCUUCUUGUCUGAACAAAGCGUCAUUGCUAACAUCAGAAUUUGAACAGAUAUUCCUCAUGAAAGUUCUGGGAUAUUUUCUCAGCUUUCCAACAAAACAAGAAUCGGCGCAUUUGGACUUCUAAAACUCGAGAUAUGGGCUGAACACUGAACAGUGUCUGGGUUGCAGGACAGAUUCCGACUUCUCCAUUGUUGCUACCAUUUGAACUUGAAAAUGACAUUUUUAAAUCUUGGCCUCCUCAUGAAAGUUUUAGGCCUAUGUCUUAGCUUUCCAUACAUAUAAACCAGAACUAAAUCCAAGUUCUACAGCUCCAAUUAUGAUCCAAUAACCGAAUGGUGUUCCAGUUUGGACUGAACCAGCAUCUCUUUUCUAAGCUUAGCUCUCUCUUUGUCUUCUCAAUUUCAGUAGUUAAACUCAUCAAUCAAUCAUUUGAUUUAUGUGAUAUGCCUGUAUUUAAUAUGAACAUUUACCAUAAAUUAAAGGUAUCUUAUAUUAUUAGACGUGUUAUUAUAAAACAUGCUCUCGUUAAGAAGUUAUUGAUACUUCAAGUGCAAAAUGAUGAUAUAAAACCUUGAUAAAAAUGUACUUUUAAGUACUAAUCAAUCCUCUCUAAAAAGUUAGUAUCAACAUGACUCUAAAUUAGGUUAUAUACCUUUUACCUUUCAAGUUUUUUUUGCAUAUUUUAUUGUUGUCAUAUUCUUUAUCCUCNNNNNNNNNNNNNNNNNNNNNNNNNNNNNNNNNNNNNNNNNNNNNNNNNNNNNNNNNNNNNNNNNNNNNNNNNNNNNNNNNNNNNNNNNNNNNNNNNNNNCAUUGUUUUUUUAUUUAGUUUUAGCCACUAUAUGUAAAAAUAAUUAAAGGUGCUAUUAUUAUUUUGAGUCAUUUAAAUUUUUGUUUUUAUUAGUUUCUUAGUCUUCAUAGUUUUUACUUCGUAUCUGUGUAUUAAUCAUAUGUCACAAGAAUUAUUAUUGAUAUUUAUGAUUUUGUAUUCGUAGUUUUUGUGUUGAUAGUUUUCAGUCUCUAUUACUUCUUGAGUCUUUAUGUUAUUUGAUUGUGCUAUUAAGAUAUUAUUCUUUGAUUUGUUAUGAACUAUUUCUUUAAUGAAAUGAGAUGUUGAAAAUUGAGUAGUAAAAUGCGAAGGUGAUCAUAAUAGAUUAAAAAGCAAAAAAUUUAUGUGAAACACGAGAAAAGUGAUAUCUAUUAAGUGCAAACACAUGAGGAAUUAUGUGUGUCUAUGUGUAUUGCUACUAACUUAAUUUUUAGCUCUUGGCGAUGUCAACUAAGAAUUGAUCACCACCUCCAAAGAUAGGAAUAAUCCUAAAUAGGGUUGGUUAUAUGGCUAUACAACAACAAUUAAAGUUGAUAAAUUCAAGGCUUGGUGAAGUAAUAGUGAGAUGGUUGGUUUGAGAACCGAAGAGGCUAAUCUUUGAGAUGGGCUAGACUGUAGUGGUUUGAAAGGAAGAAAGUUUGGGAGAUAUUAAAAAUUCAUCUCUAGAAGAUUCUAAGCCAAAAAUAAAAAUAAGAAGGCCAAAAACUUUAAUGAUAACUAUAGUGAUAUAUUUCAGCCACAUAAAAACCAAAGGCCUAUGGGAGUUCAGGCACUUGAAAAAUUUAGCCAUAGAAGGGUAGAUAGAGAGAAUGGAUUUCGAGAUAGUUUGGAUAGAGAUUUAGGCGGUACUAAGAUGAAGAUUUUGGUUUUUCAAAACAAAAAUAAUUUGAAAGCUUAUUUGGAGUGGGAAAAGAAAGUGAAAUUGAUUUUUUACCAUCACCAUUACUAUGAGGUAAAGAAAAUAAAACUUAUUAGUAUUGAGUUUAUUGAGUAUGUUAUUAUUUGGUGGGAUCAACUUGUCUUAGGAAGGAGGGGGAAUGAAGAGAGACUUAUAGAUACUUGAGAUGAGAUGAAAGCAGUCAUGAGAAAACGGUUUGAUCCUAGUCAUUAUUAUAAGAAACUAUAUCCAAGAUUGCAGAGUUUGUCUCAGGGUUCUAGAAGUGUGGAGGAUUGACACAAAGAAUUGAAGAUUGUCAAUGACAAAGUUCUUGAAUUGAUUGAAUAGAGAUAUAACUAAUAUGGUUGAGUUGCAACACUAUAUUAAGUUUGAUGAUAUUGUUCAUAUGGCUAUCAAAAUAGAGAUACGGUUGAAUAGAAAGGACAAUACAUGUUAAGGAGGUAAUUUGGGUAUCUUUUCAGCUUGUAAGACAAAUUAAAGGAGAGAGGGGGCUGCCACAUCAAAGCUGAAUAUUAUGGGUAACAAAAUUGAAUCAUCUAAGGCUUGGAGGAAAGAUUUUGCCACUAAAAUAAAAGAUAAAGUCGAGUUCCCAUCUAAUCAUAAUUAUGAUAUUAAGUGUUUCAUGUGUUUAGGGAGUGGAUAUAUAACUUUAUAAAAUGCAAACAAAAAGAUUAUGGUUAUGAGGGAGUAUGAGGUUAUUAAAUCUAAAAGUGAUAAAUUCAAAGAGGAUGAGAUGCCACCACUUGAGGAUUAUAGUGACGAUGAGCAUCCAGUUGAUGGAGAGGCUUUAGUGAAUAGAGAACACUUAAUGUUGAGAUUAAGAAGAAUGAUGUAAAGUAAACAAAGGGAGAACAUAUUCCAUACUAGAUAUCAUAUAAAUAAUAAGCUAUGUAGUAUGAUUAUUGAUAAUGAAAGUUGUGCUAAUGUUGCUAGUACUAUACCUGUUAGAAAAUUGAAAUCUGAACACUAUUCAACAUGAAAAGCCUUAUAUACUUCAAUGGUUGAAUGAUUGUGGAGAAGUGAGAGUUAUUAAGCAAGUUUUGGUUUAGGAUGAGGUGUUAGUGUGAUGUUAAGCCUAUGCAUGCUACUCAUUAUUGGUUAAGAGGCAUUGAUAAUUUGAUAGGAAAGUCAAACAUGAUGGGUAUAAGAACAUGUAUUCUCUUAAGAAGGAUGAAAAAACAUUCACACUUAUAACAUUAUCCUUGAGAGAAGCAUAUGAAGACCAAUUGAAAUUGAAAGGAGAAAGCAAAGCUAAAAAAAAAGAUCAACCAUACGAGAUAUGAGGAAGAGUGAAAAUAAAGUGAAUCAAGAAAGAAGAAGGUUAAAAUUAGCCAAAAUGGGAAUUAAUGGGAUUCGAUCAAGAGAGGAGACAAUAAAGGAAGGUGGAGAAAAAAAAUGUAUGGGAAAAUAUAGAAACAUAAUUUUUAUGCAAAAAGGAGUCAGAUUAAGAAUGAUUAUUUUUCUGACAUGUUUAUGAUUUUAUAGGUAUGUUUAUUGUGGUUUAUUUUUAUUUAUAGAAAGAAUUUAGAGGAGAAUUUUGAACAUUUAAGGAAUGUAUUGGUUGUUUUGUGAAAGGAAUGUUUACAUGCUAAUCUAAAAAAAGUUUGACUUUUACAUGAAAAAGAUAGUAUUUCUUGGAUAUUAAAUAAAAUAAAAAAGAUUGUAUAUACCUAAUUGUUUUAUGCAUGAAUUGAUAGUUCGUGAAGCUCAUGGGAGCGGAUUAAUAUGACACUUUGAGAUUGCUAAGACUUUAGAUGUUUUGCAUGAGUAUUUUUAUUAGCCUAAGAUGAAAAGAGAUAUGUAAAGAAUUUAUGAUAGAUGCAUAACAAGUAGACAAGCUAAGUCUAAAGUUUUACCUCAUGAUUUAUAUAAUUAUUUGUUAGUGCCUAAGAAACUAUAGGUUAAUAUAUUUAUGGAUUUUGUGCUAGGUUUGCCUAGGUCAAAAAGGGAUAGGAAUUCUAUUUUUGUAGUUAUGGAUAUGUUUUCUAAGAUGACACAUUUCAUAUUUUGUUAUAAAACUGAUGAUGCAACUAAUCUAGUGGAUUUAUUUUUUAGGGAGAUUGUUCGACUCCAUGGGGUACCUAAGAGAAUUGUGUUUGACCAUGAUGUUAAAAAUUUUAGCUACUUUUGGAAAGGUUUGUAGGGGAAAUUAGGAAUAAAGUUGUUAUUUUCUACUAUUUAUCAUUCAUAAACAAAUGGUCAACUGAAAUAGUUAAUAGAAUUUUAACUAUAUUAUUAAGAACUACCAUUCAAAAGAAAUUGAAAAAUUGAGAGGAUUGUAUGUCAUUUAUUGAAUUUGCUUAUGAUAGGAGUGUGUAUUCUACUACUGAUUAUUCUUCUUUUGAAAUUGUAUAUGACUUUAAUCCUUUGACUCUUUGGAUUUGUUUCCUUUACCUAUUGAUGAAAGGGUUAAUCUUGAUGGAAAUAGAAAAAACAUAGGCAAUAAAGGCUCUUAAUGGGAAUGUGAGGCAGAAAAUACAAAAAAAAAAGUUUCGCAUCACAAAAACUAAAAGUGCUAAGAAACUUAUUAAAUUCAUGGAAGAGUAUUCCUAAAUUACUAAUAAGUCACUUAAUGAGACAUUAAUGGAUACUUUGACCACUAUAAAGCUUGAUGGUUCUUGUACCAUGCAUGAACCUAUAAUUGAAAUGAAAAUUGUUACAACAAGACUUAAACACAUGGGAUACAUGUGGAUGAGAAUUUUCUUGUACAAUUUAUCCUUAGUUCAUUACCUCUAGAUUAUUGUCGUUUCUAAAUGAAAUAUGAAGGAUAAAUGGAAGGUGUUUGAACUACACAAUGUACCUAUUAACGAGGAAACAAGACUUAAGAAUCAAAGAACUCAUUUGAUGUGAACUCGAAAGGUAAGAAUCCUGGAACCAACUUAUAAGAUAAAACAAACCCAAGAAGGAUAAAAUUAGAUUUGGUUGAUAAAAUCUUGACUCAAUGAUUACAUAAAUCAAGGCACCAAAACUAUCAGAAUGAAAUCCCUACCCAACGAUUAUAAAGAAUCGCGAACAAGAAGUAUAUGAAAGACAUCGUCAAAAUUGUUUCGCCUUUUACCUUUUGUUCCCAUAUUUUUAGCUCUUUAAGGAAUUGAUUUUAGAGUCUUACUUUGAUACCGAUUGAUGCACACCCGAAGGGUAAGAACCCUGGAACUCAUAUGUAAAAAAGAACAAACUUAUGAAAGAUAUAAUUAGAUUUGGUUGAUAAAAGUUUGACACGAUGAUUACCUAAACCGAGGCAUCUGAAGGUUAGUAGGAGCAAGUUUAUAUAAUUGAUUUUGUAUAUUAACAAUAUAUUGCUUGCAACUAAUGGUCUUGGUUUACUACAUGAGACUAAUAAAUUUCUUUUUAAUAACUUUGAAAUGAAACAUAUAGGAGAGAGACAUUAUGAGUUUGGGAUAGAAAUAUUUCGGGAUAGAUUACAAUAAUUGUUAUAAUUUCUCAGAAGGAAUAUAUCAAUAAAGUUUUAGAGAUAUUGAGAAUGGAUAAAUGCUUAGUAAAUGUCAUUCCAAUUCAAAAGAGAGAUAAACAUAGUCUUAUGUAAUGCCCAAAGAAUGAAUUGGAACGUAAAUAGAUGGAAGAAAUUCCUUUGCAUUAAUUAUUGUUUGUGUAAUGUAUGCUUAGAUUUGUACAAGCUAGACAUCAAUUUUACUGAAGGAAUGCCAGGCAAAUAUCAAAGUAAUCCAUGUUUUGAUCAUUGGAAGGUUGUAAAAAAAGUAUUAAGAUACUUGUAAGGAAUAAAAGAUUACAAGCUCAUUUAUAGAAAAUAUAAUCAUCUUGAGAUGGUUGGAUAUUCAUAUUCGAAUUUUACUGGAUGUGUGGAUACAAUAAAAUCUAUAGUAUGAUAUUUGUUCCUUUUAGUUGGAGAAGAAAUCUCAUGUAAGCUUAAUUUAUGGCAUAUUUUGAUAUCAUAGAUCAAACAAAUAGGUUGCAAAAAAAUAUUGUUGUAAUUCUAUGUUUCCUAUUUUAAAAACAACAAGCAUUGAAAGGGUGCAAAACAUAAUUAAAAUACUAUAUUGUUAAAGAAGAAAACAGAGUGUGGAGUGUCAGUUGAACACAUUAGCACUAAUCUUAUUAUUAUUGAUCCAUUAAUGAAAAGAUGGCCACCAAAAAUAUUUAGAGAUCAUGUUGAAAUAAUAAGUAUUAUUGGAUAACAUUAUUGAUAUUAUGUCAUGAUUUUAUGAUGAUUAUAUCCUUGAUAAUCUAAGGUCAUUUAUAUAUUUUUUUAAUUUUUUUUCUAUUUGGUAUAUAUGAUUAAAUUAGUAUAAUGGUGACAUGAAUUUUCUCUUAUAAAUAUAUUAUUGUCGAACCAAUUACAUGCUUCUCAUUUAUAUAUUACGAUAAGUGGAGACUAAUAUUGUGUUACAUGAAAAGAAAUGUAUUGUCUAAGCGAUGAUGUCCACCUGCCAUCACUCUUAUUUGUUCUGUUCUGAUGAACCCUCCAAUUAUAUAUAGGUUUUUUUUAGAUCCGGAUUGUGUCAUGACUUAUAUUUAUCCCAUAAGGCUCUGCUGUUAAGAUUAAAGUAUUUUUAUAAAAAGAAAGAAAGAAAACGAAAGAAGAAAAAUUGAAGUAAAAAAAAAACGUAUUUAUAGUUUUGGAAUUAAUCAAAUAAAUCGCUAGCUAUUCCAGCGUAAUUAAUUAUUCCUAUCAACAUCCUCAUCCCUUGAUUGAUCUACGGAACUCAAGAAAUCUUUAAAUUUAUCGGUGGCUGACUCAGGCAAGCAUAUGCACACCACCAUCCUGUCACUGGGAUCCGCCUCCCCUUCCGGCAGGAACACACAUACCUGUGGUGUUGGGGUCAAGUCUAUUGGACCAGCAUAAAUAGGCCUUCCCCAUCCAAAAUCUGCACAUUCAUAUAUUGAGAACCUUGUCCAUUGUGUUAUUGUCAAUUUCCCACCAAAUUCAAGCCUUGUCGGCCUGUCCACUUCCACAUAAUCGAUUGUUGAUCUCAAGUAUUCCUCUGACACCCCAAUCCUAGCAUCGUGAACCAAAUGAGCAGUUUCUGUGAGAUGUCUAGUAAUAAGUUCAUACACAGAGCUUACUGCACAUGCUAGGCAUACCACAUUGCCAUAAAAACCAUCUUUCAAUGGCGGGUUCUUAAGCUUGUUGCGAGCAUUGACUGAAAAAGUAAGCCUAAGCUUAUAGUUCACUGGUUUUACAUCUAGCGCUUUCACCCAUGACCUCCAAACAUGAGCUGCCAAAGCAUCAAAUGUUGUGUAGGAAAACUUCUGAUCAUUUGUUUGAGCUGCUACAGAUUUCAAUUGUGCUUGAAACUCUCGGCUAAUGCGGUAACACUUUUGCACAGGCUUUUCUUGCCAUAGACUCCUUGUUAGGCUUGAGCCUUCUUCUAUUUUCAUAAAUUCCAUAUGCGGGUAUUUAACCACAGGUGGAUUACGAGGCUGGAAGAAUUUCCUGUUCCAACAGGGGUCAGGGUUUGUAACCAAAGUGCCUGACUUCGCCGUCGCAGCCCAUGCACGAAGGAAUUGCAUUGCACCAAGACCAUCACAUAUGCAGUGGCAGAGUCUUAAGCCCAGGCUAAAACCACCACAGCUAAAGAGAGUUACCUGAGCUAUAAGCAAUGGCAUGUCAAGAAUUUUGUAGGGUUCCUCGUUUGGGAACCUGAAAAUCAAUGGGGACCAUGCUGGAUUCGGCACUGUAAGUUCUCCUAGUUUAUCCAAGGCCAUCUCUGAGUAUGCCUCUACCAUGAGUGCGCCUUGUCCUUGUUCAAAAAAUACCUCCAACUUACCAUUCUUGGUUUCUCUAAGCCUGCCUGAUAAAGGGUAGUAAGGAACUAAAACAUGUGACAAAGCAUCGAAUAGAGUUUUCAUGACAGAUUUUCGGGUGGAAUUAUUCAAGAAAUCGAAUCGAUAGAAAUAAAUAGUUGGGGUGAAAACACGAGCUCCAAUGAUGUCGUCAAGGUUAGAGAGGUAGAGGCUAUCACCUGGGGCAGCUGAUAUGGGCCCUGCAGGCGAUACCGGAAGCAGGUGGGCGAUUGUUAUAGGGAUGUUUACAUGAGGAAAAUGGAGCUCUUCAACCCAUGAAGCCAUGAAAAGCUAGGAGCUAGAGAGAGCAAGUAAUCAUGUCUGCUGGCUAGCUAAAUUUGUAGAGGAAAUAAUUUCCUUGGACAUGCAAAGAUGCUUGGCACUUAUGAUCACUGGGAACUUGUUGUUUUGUUGGUCUAGAACAGUUGGCAAGUCAUGUUUUGCACAACUGAUCAAUUUUUACCAUUCAAUCAUGAUGAGAUUUCUCCAUGCCAUAUGCAUGCCUUAAGUUUUGUAGCCUUAUAUAAUUUUAAUCUUUAUUCAUAUAAUAAUAAUAAUAAUAAUAAAACAUUAUAUACUAUGUCUUAAUUUAAGAAAUAAUUUAUGUAACUGCAAACGAAAAGCAGAUCGUGCACCAGGAAUGCGUGAAGGUAAGGUUGUUGAAGUUUAGAAGCCUGUGUACCAAAUCCAACAACCUAAGAAGACGAAAUAAAUUUGAAGGAAAAAGGCUAAUUUGUUGAUCCAGACAAGUUAAUUAUUUGUUGUAUGAUGCUAUCAACAUUUAACCAAUCAUGAUAAGUGAUCUUUUAACAGGUGUUCUAAGGAAAUCUUAGACAAAUCCUAUAAAUAUAUUACACCCUUUAACAAGUUUAUUUAUAAUUCAAUUAUUGUUGUAUGAUGCUAAAAUGAAAAAUCAAGGGUUAUGGAUUGAUUCUUCUAUUGGUUCCCAAGUAUCAUACAUACAUGCAAUGAAAAUAAUAAAACAAAAUUAUUUGGGAAUUCCUAGGAUUUCGUUAAAUAAAUAUAGAAUUGCUUAGAAAUUUAUUACUUGAAGAUCUGAUCUUUUUCGACUUUGAAUAAUUCUUUAAAGGUUGGGUUGUCGCAAACCACAAGUUGUCCAAUUAUCCGGCCUCCAAUAGUAAUUUACACGAACCACUAGUGAAAAAUCUUUCAAAGUGAUAGCUUUCUAUUAUGUGAUUUAUGUAGUUGUCUAUCUAACAGAAAACCACUUAAAAAUAACUUACUAUUUAUUGAGAAAUAUGAAAAACCUUGCAAAAUGGCAAAAUAUCAAUUUGUCAUUUGAAUAAUAUCUAUUUAUUAAUUCAGGAUAAUUUUAGAAAUUCACUCAAUCAAGUCCUUACUUGAUUUUCUAGGUCUAAAAAUAUAAUUCCCGUAUUAAUUAUAUUCUAGUCUUUAAUUUCUAAAAUAUAUUUUAAUCAAGUCAUACUUAAUUAAAUUAUCACAAUUUAAUUUCUGACUAAUAAUUCUUAAUGUGUGUGACCCAUUAGGUUCCUAAUAUGUUGCCUCAAAUAAAAAUUAUAAUUAUAAUUAAAUAAAUUAAACAAUUUCAUUUAUUAUCAUUUAAACAAUUUAUAUUUGAAUAUUAGGUGCAUCGUCUAGUAACGUAUCAUGAUCCUUCAAAUAUUAGAAAAGUCAUUGGUGAUUUGACUUAACAUUUCAGUGACCGGUUUCUCAGUGUAAUUAAUAUCAUUUCAUCAAUAAUAUUUUGAUUUAACAUUAAAGCAUAUAGUACGUCUGACAUGUUAAAUCAUAUUAGUUCUCUACAUAAUAGUCAUCGAUUAUUUAAAUAAGAUUUGGAAUUUUUUUCAAAUCUCAUUUCACAUUGGUCAAGGACUUCUUAGUCAAAACUAUUUGAAAAUAGAUGGAACAUUUUCCUUAAUUCACCAAUGGUGAUGAAUCCUCUUUUGAUCACUCAAAUACCUUCAUAUAGUUCAUGUUAUAUCCAAUGUCUACCCCUUCGUCACCUUGAUUAAGAUAACAUGUAAUAAGAUCAAAGCAUGAAUUUUUUUUAUAUAAGAUAACUUAGUAAUCUCAAGUCUAAAGAUAACUUACACAACCGUCACGUGAGCCUUUUCAUAGACAUAUGUGAUCUCUUCAUAUGAAAUUCUCAUGCGGGUCAGUUCAAUAAACAUGUCUUAUGACAAACACUUAUAUAUUAGUUCUAGGUAUCUUUUAUACCUCAAAUUAUGAAAACAAUUGUUUCCUUUCAUAAAGGAAAGAAUAUAAUAUGUAUCAGUCUCUAUGACUCUAAUAAAUGUCCAAUAUUUAAGAGAGCAUCGAUUAUGAAUAUUUUAGGAACAAUGGUUUGAUGCAAUAGGAGUCUCAUAAUUUUAACAACUUUAUAAUUUUCUUUGCAAAACAUUUUUAUCUCAUGAAUUUUAUCUUUACUCUAAAUUCAUAAAUUAAAUAUUAGAUUAAUUAAUUUAAUAUUAUAUGAAUAUUAAAGAUAAAUUAAAUUUUUAUUAAUAAUAAAUAUAUAUUUACAUGAAUAUAAUAAUAUCUUAUAUAACCAAUCAAUUGGCUACAGGGUAUAUUAAACUAAAAUCUUUCUUAACAAUAAGACUCUUUUUCUUCGAUAAUUGCCACAAAUGAGAACAAAAUAUAGUGGCGUCAAAUUUGUUGCACCGUUAAGUGAAAUGGUAGCUCAUUUCGGAAAGUUCAGAAUAAUCACAAAACAAAACAAGAGGCAUAGAUGUAGUCUUCUCAAUGGAAAUUUAGUGAUCGAACACCAUGGUUUAACAAGGAUAGAAACUAAUCCUACACGUAGAAAAUAUAUAUUUUUCCCAGACCAUGGAAAACAUAUUCAUCCAAGGUUGUAAUGAAAUGUGACAUCCGAGCCCUUUUGGAAAGUAUUUACUAAUCCUAUUCCAAGCAAAACAAUUCGUCUAAGAUAAAGAAGGAAAAACAAAAAAGAUAAAAGUGGAGAAAAUGCUGCAGAGAGGGAGCAAACAUAAAGGAGAUUUUAAAAUGUAACUUCAAUUUCAAGAAGGUAAUACAAAUAAUACCUGCCCCCGUCAGUAUUCAUGAAAAUGAUACAAAGCAAGUUGUUAUAUGAAGGUACGAUAUUUCUAAUGUUAGGUUUCCUUGAAGACAUAUUCGGGGAAAAUAAUAAAUUUUAAUUUUUUUUAGAAUUUCAAGAAUAUUGUUAAAUGAAUUUAGAGUUGUUUAAAAUUUAUAUGAAGAUUACAUGAAGAUAAGAUGUCCCUUUUGACUUUGAGAAAUUAUUUCAAGGCUAGGUUGUUGUUCGGUCAUCAGAACCUUCAAAAUAUAAUCCUAAUUUUAUUAUCACAAACAAAAUAAAUUUGUAGUAUGAUCAUGAAAACUAGGUCGAACCCAAGAAAAAAUUUGUUUAAUCUUCCUACAAGAAACUUAAAUAAAUAAAAUAAAGGGAUUUGAAUAAUUAAAGAAAUGAAAUUCUGAAAAUAAAGUUGAUAUAUUGUUAACUCAGUUCAAAGGGUCCAUACAUUCANNNNNNNNNNNNNNNNNNNNNNNNNNNNNNNNNNNNNNNNNNNNNNNNNNNNNNNNNNNNNNNNNNNNNNNNNNNNNNNNNNNNNNNNNNNNNNNNNNNNNNNNNNNNNNNNNNNNNNNNNNNNNNNNNNNNNNNNNNNNNNNNNNNNNNNNNNNNNNNNNNNNNNNNNNNNNNNNNNNNNNNNNNNNNNNNNNNNNNNNNNNNNNNNNNNNNNNNNNNNNNNNNNNNNNNNNNNNNNNNNNNNNNNNNNNNNNNNNNNNNNNNNNNNNNNNNNNNNNNNNNNNNNNNNNNNNNNNNNNNNNNNNNNNNNNNNNNNNNNNNNNNNNNNNNNNNNNNNNNNNNNNNNNNNNNNNNNNNNNNNNNNNNNNNNNNNNNNNNNNNNNNNNNNNNNNNNNNNNNNNNNNNNNNNNNNNNNNNNNNNNNNNNNNNNNNNNNNNNNNNNNNNNNNNNNNNNNNNNNNNNNNNNNNNNNNNNNNNNNNNNNNNNNNNNNNNNNNNNNNNNNNNNNNNNNNNNNNNNNNNNNNNNNNNNNNNNNNNNNNNNNNNNNNNNNNNNNNNNNNNNNNNNNNNNNNNNNNNNNNNNNNNNNNNNNNNNNNNNNNNNNNNNNNNNNNNNNNNNNNNNNNNNNNNNNNNNNNNNNNNNNNNNNNNNNNNNNNNNNNNNNNNNNNNNNNNNNNNNNNNNNNNNNNNNNNNNNNNNNNNNNNNNNNNNNNNNNNNNNNNNNNNNNNNNNNNNNNNNNNNNNNNNNNNNNNNNNNNNNNNNNNNNNNNNNNNNNNNNNNNNNNNNNNNNNNNNNNNNNNNNNNNNNNNNNNNNNNNNNNNNNNNNNNNNNNNNNNNNNNNNNNNNNNNNNNNNNNNNNNNNNNNNNNNNNNNNNNNNNNNNNNNNNNNNNNNNNNNNNNNNNNNNNNNNNNNNNNNNNNNNNNNNNNNNNNNNNNNNNNNNNNNNNNNNNNNNNNNNNNNNNNNNNNNNNNNNNNNNNNNNNNNNNNNNNNNNNNNNNNNNNNNNNNNNNNNNNNNNNNNNNNNNNNNNNNNNNNNNNNNNNNNNNNNNNNNNNNNNNNNNNNNNNNNNNNNNNNNNNNNNNNNNNNNNNNNNNNNNNNNNNNNNNNNNNNNNNNNNNNNNNNNNNNNNNNNNNNNNNNNNNNNNNNNNNNNNNNNNNNNNNNNNNNNNNNNNNNNNNNNNNNNNNNNNNNNNNNNNNNNNNNNNNNNNNNNNNNNNNNNNNNNNNNNNNNNNNNNNNNNNNNNNNNNNNNNNNNNNNNNNNNNNNNNNNNNNNNNNNNNNNNNNNNNNNNNNNNNNNNNNNNNNNNNNNNNNNNNNNNNNNNNNNNNNNNNNNNNNNNNNNNNNNNNNNNNNNNNNNNNNNNNNNNNNNNNNNNNNNNNNNNNNNNNNNNNNNNNNNNNNNNNNNNNNNNNNNNNNNNNNNNNNNNNNNNNNNNNNNNNNNNNNNNNNNNNNNNNNNNNNNNNNNNNNNNNNNNNNNNNNNNNNNNNNNNNNNNNNNNNNNNNNNNNNNNNNNNNNNNNNNNNNNNNNNNNNNNNNNNNNNNNNNNNNNNNNNNNNNNNNNNNNNNNNNNNNNNNNNNNNNNNNNNNNNNNNNNNNNNNNNNNNNNNNNNNNNNNNNNNNNNNNNNNNNNNNNNNNNNNNNNNNNNNNNNNNNNNNNNNNNNNNNNNNNNNNNNNNNNNNNNNNNNNNNNNNNNNNNNNNNNNNNNNNNNNNNNNNNNNNNNNNNNNNNNNNNNNNNNNNNNNNNNNNNNNNNNNNNNNNNNNNNNNNNNNNNNNNNNNNNNNNNNNNNNNNNNNNNNNNNNNNNNNNNNNNNNNNNNNNNNNNNNNNNNNNNNNNNNNNNNNNNNNNNNNNNNNNNNNNNNNNNNNNNNNNNNNNNNNNNNNNNNNNNNNNNNNNNNNNNNNNNNNNNNNNNNNNNNNNNNNNNNNNNNNNNNNNNNNNNNNNNNNNNNNNNNNNNNNNNNNNNNNNNNNNNNNNNNNNNNNNNNNNNNNNNNNNNNNNNNNNNNNNNNNNNNNNNNNNNNNNNNNNNNNNNNNNNNNNNNNNNNNNNNNNNNNNNNNNNNNNNNNNNNNNNNNNNNNNNNNNNNNNNNNNNNNNNNNNNNNNNNNNNNNNNNNNNNNNNNNNNNNNNNNNNNNNNNNNNNNNNNNNNNNNNNNNNNNNNNNNNNNNNNNNNNNNNNNNNNNNNNNNNNNNNNNNNNNNNNNNNNNNNNNNNNNNNNNNNNNNNNNNNNNNNNNNNNNNNNNNNNNNNNNNNNNNNNNNNNNNNNNNNNNNNNNNNNNNNNNNNNNNNNNNNNNNNNNNNNNNNNNNNNNNNNNNNNNNNNNNNNNNNNNNNNNNNNNNNNNNNNNNNNNNNNNNNNNNNNNNNNNNNNNNNNNNNNNNNNNNNNNNNNNNNNNNNNNNNNNNNNNNNNNNNNNNNNNNNNNNNNNNNNNNNNNNNNNNNNNNNNNNNNNNNNNNNNNNNNNNNNNNNNNNNNNNNNNNNNNNNNNNNNNNNNNNNNNNNNNNNNNNNNNNNNNNNNNNNNNNNNNNNNNNNNNNNNNNNNNNNNNNNNNNNNNNNNNNNNNNNNNNNNNNNNNNNNNNNNNNNNNNNNNNNNNNNNNNNNNNNNNNNNNNNNNNNNNNNNNNNNNNNNNNNNNNNNNNNNNNNNNNNNNNNNNNNNNNNNNNNNNNNNNNNNNNNNNNNNNNNNNNNNNNNNNNNNNNNNNNNNNNNNNNNNNNNNNNNNNNNNNNNNNNNNNNNNNNNNNNNNNNNNNNNNNNNNNNNNNNNNNNNNNNNNNNNNNNNNNNNNNNNNNNNNNNNNNNNNNNNNNNNNNNNNNNNNNNNNNNNNNNNNNNNNNNNNNNNNNNNNNNNNNNNNNNNNNNNNNNNNNNNNNNNNNNNNNNNNNNNNNNNNNNNNNNNNNNNNNNNNNNNNNNNNNNNNNNNNNNNNNNNNNNNNNNNNNNNNNNNNNNNNNNNNNNNNNNNNNNNNNNNNNNNNNNNNNNNNNNNNNNNNNNNNNNNNNNNNNNNNNNNNNNNNNNNNNNNNNNNNNNNNNNNNNNNNNNNNNNNNNNNNNNNNNNNNNNNNNNNNNNNNNNNNNNNNNNNNNNNNNNNNNNNNNNNNNNNNNNNNNNNNNNNNNNNNNNNNNNNNNNNNNNNNNNNNNNNNNNNNNNNNNNNNNNNNNNNNNNNNNNNNNNNNNNNNNNNNNNNNNNNNNNNNNNNNNNNNNNNNNNNNNNNNNNNNNNNNNNNNNNNNNNNNNNNNNNNNNNNNNNNNNNNNNNNNNNNNNNNNNNNNNNNNNNNNNNNNNNNNNNNNNNNNNNNNNNNNNNNNNNNNNNNNNNNNNNNNNNNNNNNNNNNNNNNNNNNNNNNNNNNNNNNNNNNNNNNNNNNNNNNNNNNNNNNNNNNNNNNNCUUUCCUCAUAUGCACCUAACCCAAUCUCAUGGUCAAAGUACCAUAUUUUUAUUCCUUUAUUGGCUUUAAAUACAUAUUGCUCAUUCAUCUUUUCAAUAUGUUGUUGUGCCUUGGUAUGCAAAUUUUUGACAACUUGUGCUUUUCAAUUCCCAUCAAAACUUACUCUUUCAUCAACAGGUAAAUGCAAUAAAUCCAAUGGAGUUAAAGGAUUAAAACCAUACACAGUUUUAAAAGGAGAAAACUUUGAUAUAAAAUGCACAAUUUAUUAUAUGCAAACUGAAUGAAUGACAAACAAUCUUCUCAAUUUUUAAGAUUCUUUUGGAUAAUAGUUCUCAACAAUUAAGUUAAAGUUCUAUUUAGCUUCUCUGUUUGGCUAUUUGUUUGUGGAUGACAAGUAUUAAAAAAUAACAAUUUAGUUCCUAAUUUACCCAUAAAACUUUCCAAAAAUAUCUUAGAAAUUUAACAUCUUUAUCAGACAUAAUGCUCUUUGAAACACCAUAUAACCGAACUAUUUCUCAAAUAAAAAGAUUCGUUAUAUUUGUUGCAUCAUCGAUUUUAUUACUUGAUAUAAAAGGCGUCAUCAUAGAAAACCUAUCUACAACAAUAGAUAUUGAAUCUUUACCCUUCUUAGACCUAGGUAACCCUAAACAAAAUCCAUGGAUUUAUCAACCCAAGGUUCUUUAGGUACUGGUAAAGGUGUAUAUAAAUCAUAAGGCAUGACUUUAGACUUGGUUUGUUUACAUUCUAUGCAUCUAUCAUAUAUUCUUUAAACAUCCUAUUUCAUAUUAAGCUAGUAAAAAUGCUUAUGUAACAUAUCCAAAGUCUUAGCUACCCUAAAAUGUCCCAUUAAACCAUCCUCCUGAACUUCUCUCACAAGCAAUUCACGCAAUAAAUAUUUUGGCACGCAUAAUCUCGUAUCUUUAAAUAAAGAUUCAUCAUGCCUAAAAUACUUAUCAAAGGUCAAAUGCUCAUAUUGUCCACACGUUUGACCAAGGUCAUCACCAUUUACAUAUAAUUCUUUCACAUGUUCAAAUCCUAAAAGUCUAGUGUUCAAGGCGUUAAGAAAAACAUACUUUCAAAACAAUACAUCUGCAAUGAUUUUUUUCCUUACCUUUAUUGUACUUAAUGACAUAUAAGAACAUCUUAAUGAAUUCAAUUCACUCGGCAUGUUGCCUAUUCAACUUACCUCAAUGUUUUAAAGAUUUAUGGUCCGUAUGUAUCACAAACUCUUUAGGCCAAAGAUAAUGUUGCAAAGUCUCUAAGGUCCUCACCAAUCCAUAAAACAUUUUUUCAUAUGUUGGAUAAUUAAAAGUUGCUCCAUUAACCUUCUCACUAAAAUAGGCUAUGAGCCAUUUUUCUGCACCAAAAUUGUUCAAUUCUUAUACUUGAGGCAUCAUACUCAAUCUCAAAAGUUUUUGUAUAGUCUGGUAAAGCAAACAAUGGAGCCAAAAUCAACCUUUCUUUUAGCAAGUUAAAAGCCUUUUCUUAAUUGUCAUCCCAUUUAAAUCCUACUAUUUUCUUUACAAUUUCAGUCAAUGGUGCAACUAUAGUACUAAAAGCUUUGACAAAUCUUUUAUAAAAACUAAUUAAACAAUGAAAACCUCUUACCUCACUCACCAUCUUGGGUGUAGACCAUUCUUGAAAAGCCUUAAUCUUUGCCUUAUCCAUUUCAAUCCCCUUUGCAUUAAUAACAUAACCUAAAAAUACAAUUCUUUUCAUGCAAAAAUCACACUUAUUUAGAUUAGCAUAUAAUCUUUCAUUUUUAACUAUUUCAAGAACUUGUCUUAAACGAUUAAUAUGCUCAUUUAAUUCUUUUAUAUAAAUCAAGAUAUCAUCAAAAUAGACAACAAAUUUUUUUCAAUGAAAGAUCUCAACCCACGAUUCAUUAACCUCAUGAAUGUACUAAGAGAAUUAGUCAAACUAAAAGGCGUUACUAACCAUUCAUACAAUCCAUAUUUAGUUUUAAAUGUUGUUUUCCAUUCAUCUCUUUCUUUCAUUCUAAUUUAAUGAUAACCAUUUUUCAAAUCAGUUUUAGAAAACAUAGAAGAACCAUGCAACUUAUCAAGCAUAUCAUCUAAUCCAGAGAUAUGAUGUUUAUACAAUUAUUCAAAAACUUGAGAACAAACUUACGAGUAGCAAUUAAAUUUGUGCAAAUUUAAUAACAAAAACGAAGACACAAAAUAAAAGUAAGAAUUAUUAUUAAAAAACAAUGAAAACUAUAAAAAUUAAGAAAACGAUACAAGAAAUCAAGAAACUAAAGAAAUGGAUACAAGAUAAUUUUAUUCUACCUAAAUUUGCAAGAAAUCAAUCAAGAUCACCAAUAAUUUCCAAGACAAGUUUCAGUUAAACCUUAGUUCAUGCAAGAUCCAAAAUUUAUGAAUUUCUUCUUCAAGAACCCUUUCAAGAUUGUGAUUUUGAUUUUUCUUUCUUUCUUUUGUUUUUUUAAUAUAUAUGUGCUUAAUUUCUCAAGUCACAAAGAUGAACACAAUUUGUUGUUUUGUAUGCAAUUUUUCAACAACUAUAAGACUUUUUCCUAUCAAAACCAAUUUUUUUCUUCCUUUUUUUGUAUUAGCUGAAUAAAUCACAAUAAAGUUCAUCAGUCUUUUGAAGAGCUUGCAAGUCCAAUCAAGAACUUAUAUGAGAAUCACUCAACCAUACAAAGAGAAACAAAGCACAUAAUAUGCGGAAACUUUAGAGAAAAUUUAAUAAACUCCAAAAUAAUAUUAACAAUUGGUAUAUAUAGUAGAAAGCUAACCCUAAUUUGAUUUAAUGGACCCAAACUUGAUAAAUAGACCUUAACACAUUAAAAGCUCAAAAUAACAAAAUAAAGAAAUAAAAUGUAGCCCAAAUAAAUCCUUAAAUGUCGCAGGCCCUAAAAUAAACUAAAAGAUAAAUAAAUAAUAGUUCAACUAAUUAAAACAAGAUCAAGGUCGAAUUUUGUAAUUUGCCGAUAGAAUCGAAGCCCAACUUCAAAUGAAUGGUUCUCCCACAUCUUGAAAAGUUAUAAGACCUACGACAUGAACAUUUAUUUUGUGGCUCCAGUUAUGGUAAAAACAAUAGCUAAAGGUCAAAACUAGCAGAUUUGAAUAUUUUUUAUUCUAAUCUUUAUGUAAUGUUUGGAUGCUAACCUAUAAGCCCUUAUUGAAUAUGAAUCAAAUUAAUCAAGACUUGUUUUUCAUUCUUUGAUAUCCUCUCGAAGUCCACAUUUACUCAUGGAUCUUGAAGAACAUUAAUUGCCUCUUUAAACCUCUUUGCUCUAAGUCUUAUGAUUGGACUCAAUGAAAUCUCUAAUGGAUCUCUUGGUGUUGAAGCUAGGAUCGUAUCAAGUCAAGCAUUGUAAUAUGUUGAAUCAUCCACAUUAAAAAUAAUAUGUGUGUGUAUGUAUUAAUUCAUUUCUCAUUCCAUACAGAGUACAUAAUAAAUUAUUGAAAUAUGGAAAUGAAUGACUUGUAAUACAGUAAAAGAGAAAAAUAUUGGAGUUAUCAUUUAAAAUGAAUAGUCCACUUGCAUGAAACAUGUUAAUACAUGUUGAUAUAAAUGGGAUUAUAAAAAAAAUAAUAUUAUAUAAAUGAAUUGGAUUUNNNNNNNNNNNNNNNNNNNNNNNNNNNNNNNNNNNNNNNNNNNNNNNNNNNNNNNNNNNNNNNNNNNNNNNNNNNNNNNNNNNNNNNNNNNNNNNNNNNNAAAAAGGUUUGGUGCCCCUUUCAAAUUUAUGGCCAAUUUCCAAGAGUUUAGUAGAGGGCUGCUCAAGGCUUUGAGGACAGUGUUGAGUAAGGAGAAGCCCAAGUAUUAUCGGAAAAGACUGGAUAGAGUUGUGGAAGAGGAAAAAGUCUGUAUCUUUUAAAGGCAAACCAUUUUCCAAAUAGAAAAGGUGGACAACAAUAGACUCAAUCUUUUAAAAGAGGAGGGGGAUUUCCCCAUAAAAGGAUCAUUUCAUAGAUUUUACCAGCGUAGUAGGGGAAUGCCCCUUGUUCAAAACCCAAUAAUAGGAUAUAAUGAUAACAAGCUAGCCUAGUGAUGGUCUUUUAGAUAGACUUCUUGGAAGAGCUGUUGGAGGUACAUCAUUCUGAUUGUUUAGUAGAGAAACAAUAUCUAGAUCAGUAAUUAAGUCAGCUUCAACCCAUAAAAAAAAAGGACUUUGAUUGCUCAGUUGUUGUAGUAUCAUGAUCAGAAUAGUGACUAGCAUCAAAUGAUUCAACAAUUGCACUAUAUCUUACAACAUCAUCAUAAAUUGUGAAAAAUCGAUCUAUUAUAAGGUAGAGGAUUCCCAGCCUUGGAUGAGGAAGAGAGUUCUGAAAAUAUUCUACAAUUGACCAAAAGGACUGGAUUAUGAUUAGAUCCAUAUGGUUAUAGAAUGAAAUUCUAAUGGCGACACACAACAUUCAUGUGACUUAUUAAUGCAAAAUAUAUCACUUGUGUUCAAUAUGUUCAUAAUGUUCUCAGGAACUUGGAACAAAAAAAUGAGUUUUCAUGCACUUAUAUAUGUUCAUCUCUUUGUUCACGUGGAAGUGUGCCAGUAUUGAGCCGUGUACGAAGGAAUGCUCGCUAAUGGAAUUACAACCUCGAAAUCACAUGAUCACGCAACUCACAAUCAAGAAUGAGAUUUGAUCCUGGAAAGCCAAAAGAGGUUUAAUAGGAGCGUGACACAAUAGACACCAACACUAUUGGAAUGAAGUCGAAUGACGCCAUGAAAUUAGUUAAUCUUUGAUAAGUCAGAUUCAGUUCGUUCAAGAAUCAAAGAAUGCAAGAAUCUCUUCCAUAUGUCAAACUGAAAAAUUUAGAAAUAUUAUUUAUCUAAGGUAUUUUUUAAAACAUUUAGGCUUUACAUGUGUUCCAAUAUUUAUGAGAAAUUAACCCUAAUCGAUCUACUUUUGUACACUGAAUUGACCCACUUACAAAAACUGACUCAAAACCUUUACUAAAAGUCAAAACUCUAAUCCAAACAAACCUUAAAUCUUAGUUGAAAACCAAAGUAUUAAUAAAGCUCAAACAUAUAAAUAAUAAUGAAAACAACAAUUCUAGACAGUAGCUUAUUAAUGCUAUAUAUAAUAGAAAGAAAAACAAGAUAAAAUAUAUUAAUUCCCUAGCUUAAAUAACUCUUGGCUGAGAUCCAACUUCUUAAAUACUCUAGGAUUGCUUAGCCAACUUUUAAAGUCAUUUAGAUGCUAGGAAAUCUAAUUUGAAUAGGAAUUUAAUUGGUGAAGUCUUCUUACCUUGUAAGACUAGGAUUUCCCUUCAGAGUAUGAAAAACAUUUUAAAAAAUUAAUUCUUCUUGUAGCCACUCAUCAUUCUUUAUUGACUAGGAGAAUCAAAUCUUUAGCAUUAAAUAAUCAUUCUAAGUCUAGGAUUCAGAUUUGAUAGUGUCCUUUGGUUUCCUUGCAUGACUAAGAAACUUUCUUCUUUGUUGCUAAAUAUUAUUCUAAAUAACAAUAAUGAACAAAUUUCCCUUUUUAAUUUUAGGAGAAUAUUUUGCUGAUCUCUGUAAGAAAAGUAUCCCAACAUCUUAAUUAACCCAAGCCAACUUUGGAACCCAUAUGACCCAAACUCAUAUUCAUUAAUAUAACUUAAAUCAAACCUGAUACAAGCUCCCAACAAGCUUACUUUGUUGCCUAAAUCAGACUGAUACAUGAGCUGACCUAAUUUGGCCUAAUGAACCUUCAAAAAAAUUAGAUCGAAUCCAUUAUCAUGCACAAACCAAAACUAACUAAAACUAUCUUAUGUCAAAAACUCAUCAUGGCCGAAUGGAACAUAAACUAAAUUUAAAGAAAAAAUAUAAUCUUAGCCGAAUGGCCUCCCCAUCAAACCAAAGCACAAAAUCAAAGGCCCUUCACAAAAAUCUAUCAAAAUAAUAUAUUUUUUUAUUCAAAAGAAUCUUUCUAUUGUUUUUUUUUUGUUUGAUGCAAAGUGUUUUUCAAUUAAAAGUACUUCAAAACAAUGUUUCUUAUUUUUUUAUAUUAACACAUUAAAAAUACUUAAAAAAAUAUCAAUUUAAUCUCAAAUUAAUUUAAAAAAAUAUUUUAAAAGGCCUAGAAAACAAGUGCUCUCUUUGUCUCCUCGAAAAUAAGCGUUGCUUUAAAAUGGGUUAAUCAGGAGACGAGUUAAUUUAAAAAUAGAAAUAAGUUUAUUAGUUGAGAGUGGAUCAGAUCAUGUUGGUUGAGAUCUUCUUGAGCCACCAAUGGCAUCGCCAUUAGGUCAACAAAAACAUAAAAAAUGGUCUUACUGGAACAUUCCAAAAUCUGUUGCUGUUAUCAUUAAUUAAGUGGCUAUAUAUAUAUAUAUAUAGAUGCAGCCUUGCGCAAUCGUGAUGUUUCAAAUUGUUGCUUUAUCUAAUGAUUUGAUAUUUCAUGAACAAAAUCAAUAACGUGUUUGUUUUUGAAUUUAAAAAACGUUGUUGGAAUUGCUUCCUCCAAUGCUCCUCUGCAUAGCCUCUUGCAUUAAGUCGUCAUGUGAAAAAUCUUUCCUUUUUCAAUAUUUACGCGCUCUUGCUUUCUUUACUCAAUCAGUCUCACAAGGUUGUCUUGCUAAUAGAGUUGAUUAUUUUUUUAUUUUUACAAAUAAAAAUAAUCAAAACUGAAAUUUAGAAAGAAAAAAAAAAUAAAAAUCAAACUGAAAUCAAUUUUAACCAACCAGUUUUGAUUCGGUUUUUUAUAUCAAAAAACCAAAAAAACCUAUAUUGAUUUUCUUUGCCUUUUUAAAUGUCUAUUAUCCUUUCUCUACGCAAUCCAGGGAUUUCACCCACCCAAAUGGAGUCGAACCUUCACUGUGUUUUCUCAGCUCACUUCAGUUGCUUGACACGCCUUCAUCUCUACCCACUUAUUUGAAUUCUAAUCGUGACCAGCCAUGACAAGGCUGAAUGGAUUAAAACGGGGGUGGCUUGCUCUGACCAAGACUCCACUUUUUGCUCCAUCCAUGGAUCGUAUGAAUUUCCUAGAUUAUAGAUGGACCAAAAGAGCGGGCUGCUGCUAAUGGGUGUUGCAGGGAAGCCUAGGAUGCUAGAUCUAGAGUGGAAAUUGAAGAAUGAAGAUUGGAAGAUGGGGCGUCUGAUUGUCUGUGUGAUUGUGUCUCAAAGAGGAAGGGGAAGGUGCGGCCGUGCGGGUGUGUGGCUCUAGGUUACUGCUCUGCAAAAGUCUUUUUUUUAUUUAUAGUAUCUUUUUUUAUUUGAACCGAACAUAUUCGGUUUGGUUGGGGUUUAAUUGGUUUUAACAUUAUAAAAUUGAAAUCGAACAAAACUGAAAGUGUUUUUAAAUAUUUUGAUCAGUUUUUUUUUUAGGUUUUUUAAUUAAUUUUUUUUAUUUUAUCAGUUUAAUCAAUUUAUUGGUUUUUUUUCACACCCGGGUGCUAGUAAUACAUUGCUGCUAAUGCCAAGAUGAACGAAAUUUCUACUUCAGUAAUGGAAGAAACAAGCAACCCGUCCUAAAUGCCAUUCUUACCUUUCCAAAACUUGCAAGGUCUGAAGAGACUGCAUCUAAUGGAAUGCUACCAUCAGUCCAUUUCUUCUCAUGCACACCGAAUCCAAGAGUUGCACAGGUUGGCGUCCCCUUUUCUAGAAACCCUUCCGGUGAACUAGGUUUUGUUUUCUCAUUACUUGAAGUCUCAUCUUGAAUGGAUUGUCGACUGUUUGCAUCACUUAGACGUCUAGAUAGGGCAGCCUGGGAAACGGCCAACGCAAGUACUUAUCGUGGCAAUCUUUGUGACAUGGGUUCUGUCCGAGAAGAAAGAUCUCAGAGAUAAAUGGAGGCGAAUUCGUUUCUCGAUGGUCCCUGUACCCUUACAGUUUUCUUUCUUGUUUAUUUUACACUUCGAGUUACUUUCAGUGGAAUCAGAUUAGGAGGUUCACUCCGAACUUGUAAUGUUAAUUUUGUAGCAUGUCCCUCUAAUGGCACUUGGUACUUGCCAUUAAGGAAAGUUGAUGGACCAAAAGUAGUUUGGAAAAAAUUAUUCCAUGUAGCAAACACGAAUUCAUAACUGUAUUAUAGACACCGAACCAGGCCCGAGCAAGCGAAAACUCGUAUAUCAAAACAUAGACCAUCAAAAUGAUGUUUCCGUAGGUUUUAAUCCUAAAUUUAACGAAAUGUUGUAUUGCAGGACAUUCUGCCAUAGAAGGCACAGUUUUUCAGGACUCCAAAUAACAAUUUCAAGAAAUUUCAUCUUGUGAAGUCAGAAUUCCAUUAUCUCAUCAUUAAAAGAAUUGGAUGGACUGAGCGAAGCCUCUGUUUUGCCUACUUGAAUCAACUAAAAAUAAUCAAAUUCAGAAGUGAAAGCUCAGUAGAACUAGCAAGAUUUUGAAGGCAUUUAAUCAAACUAACAAAAAUGUUCAGUAGUCUAACAAAUACUGCAACAUUGAUAGAUAAAAAAAAUAUAAUAUCUUCAACAUAAGCUUAAUCAUAGUGUCAUUUCUUCAAACAGAAAAACCUAAGAUAGGACAUUACUGAGUCCACAAAAUCGCUUGCGCAUCCGGUUUCUUCAUGGCCUCGCCCUUCUCUUUGGGCUCCCCUUGACCCACCACAGCUGGCAUCUCAUCCCAGCUCUUCCCACUACUCUUUUCAGACCCCGCCUCCGAAACUUUUAAAAUCCCAGCGACAACAUUUGAAAUCUUCAUUCCAACAGAAUCCAACACAGCAGGCGACAGCUUCACUCCAGAAAGCCUCCUCCCAGGAGAAAGCGAAGCCCUUCGAGAAUUGGGAAAAGGAUGCUUCCUCCCAUUCGGAGACGACUUCCUGUACCUGGACGGAACAAUAAUGGCUGGCUCCCUUGCAAAUUUCCUGCUUUCCUCCUUGGAAGCCACCGAGCUCGGAACCACACAUUUGGAAUGCACUGGAGAUACUGAUCUCUUCCCUUUGACCACAGGAGAAGGAUCCCUCUCAAUCAAAGCAGCAUUUUUCUUCCCAACAGAAACAGAUCUCUCAGCAGCAGCAGGAGAAAAAUCUCUGCGGAACCUUAUCCGAACCAGUCUUAGCACCAAUCUCAUCCAACAUCAUCACAUUAUCUCGCGGCGCAAGCGCUUGUCUGGUAACUUUAGCAGUCACUUCACCUUUCUGAUCUUUUCUUGGAAACUCCCCGCAUUUUUUGUUAUUAGGUAAGUACACAGGUUGAAUCACAGAUUCUUUUUUCGAAGCUGAAAUUCUGGCAGCGAGAGGUUCUGGAGUACCGACAAAGGGGUGGUGGCCAGCAAUUAAUUCGGCGGAUUCUUGCAUGUUAGAAAUAUUGAAUGGAAGCAUAUUGAAAGACAAUCUUAUUUAGAUAAAUAUUACUCCUUUAAAAAAGAGUAAAUUUUAAUAUACUUGGAUUUAGAUUAUAGUACUUAACUAUUUAUAUAAUGUAAAGAUAACUCAAAAGACUCAAGGAAUAAAUAUAUAAUUAAUACAUUGCAUAAAAACAAUUUAAAGGACUGUUUGAAUGGAAUUCAAAAUUAAUUUGAACACUCUUUAAUUUUAAAAGUCUAAAAUCUUUUGAAAUUUGGAUUUUGAUGGUGGAUCAUCUUGUCAUGAUUAUUGCACCAUUCUCAUCUCUUGAUAAUGUCCAUGACAAAAAAAAUCAAUGUCUUCUCCCUUGCCUUCUCAGCCUUUGGUUUGUGGAUGCUUUCCAUUAAAACUUUAUUAGAUUAUUGAGUUGUUGUUGUAGAGCUCACACAAGAAGAAUUUGUUACUCCAAAACUUAUCUUCUUACUUUAGCAAUUGUAUUUGCUUAAACAUGACUUAUCUAUGUCAUUUUUCUUGUUUAGUGGCUACUGCCGCAUUCUUCAUCAUGGCUCUUUGGCCAUUUUCCAUCUUCUCCUUAUGAAGAUCUCUCUUUCUUUUUUAAUAUGUGUGAUCUCCUUAGUGCCACACUUAUCUCUUGUGCAAUAAGCUGUCAACAUGCACUAAGCCUCUUUCUUAGGUUUUUUCUAUCUCUUUUUUAUGCAAUGUCUCAAUUCACUUGUUGGGCUCCAUUAUAUUGAAUCUUCAUUUUUUUCUUUUUUGGAUGUUAGUUGUUCAUAUAUACUUUCAUCUUUCUCAAAUGCCCUUACUAGAUCGAACUAGCUCUGAUACCAUGCUAGAAAUAUUUGAAAGAGAAAAGGGAAGCAUGUUAGCGGGGACAAAAUCGAUUACUUGGAGAAGAGAGGAGUGGUGGUCACCGACAAUGAUGCAGGCAGUGGAGCAUAUUGGUUGGAGGAGUUUUAAGAGAAUGUUUGAAGUUAGAGCAUCAUUGUAAGACAAGACGGAGAGAGUGUGUGGCUGUGUGGAAAGAAGGAAAGAGUUAAAGAAAAUAAUUGAGGAGGAAGAGGAGGCAGUGAUUUCUGGUUGUUUGUUAUGUAAAUUCAAAUUCAAAUGUCUGCUCUAAUAUUUUAUUUUAGUUUUUAAAUUGUGGAUAACAACAAGCAUGAUGGUUUGGUGAGAUAGAGGAACAUUAAUUAUGACAUAAUUUCAUUACAAUAAUCCUUAUAAGUUGUCAUUAACCAAAUCUUUACAACUACUUCUCUAUUAUAAUUGAAUUUGAUUAUAUGUUUAAUUUAAAUUUAAUUAAUAAAUAAGUUGAAUUUAUAUGUUUUAAAAGAGAUAUUCUAAAAUUAAAUUUAAUUGAUUUUGUUUUCUAUAUUAUCCUUUUGACAAGUGGAAGAAGUGUCAUAAAAAAGUGGGUAAAUUGGUAUUUUAAAAAAGCUAGUUUUAACAUUAAUUUCUUUUUUAUAUAUAGUGUAGUAAAUUAGAAGAGUUGGCCACUGAUUUACUUUUAUACAAAUUUUAGAGAUUGAGUUCUUUAUGAAAUUUAAUUCUUGAAACUCAAAAUUAUUUCAAACAUGAGAUUUUAUUAAAACUUCUAAAUUGAAUUCAAUUCAGAUAGUUCUAAACAUGUUGUAAGCAAGACAAUAAGGGAGCACAUUACUAAAUUCAUUAAUUAGUGUGGUGAUGGUGUAGUAAAUCUUUUCAUGAAACUAAGAUUGUUUGGUUCAUCACUAACCAAAAUAAUCUUUUACUAGUUCUUUAUAUUGUUUCCCUACUUAAUUAAUAGUUUGGAUGAAAUUGAGACUCGUUUUCAUGAGCACUUCUAUAAAACAGAACCAAAGAUAACAUUGGAUGGCUUAGCCAAGAUAGUUCUAGAUUCAGGAGAUUUUAUAGAAAGUUAUGCUUCGAUUCAGAACUCUAAAAAUCAAGUGCAAUGCAGUUAUACUAGAGUAAAAGCACAUUAAACUUAUUUGGAAGGAAUAUAGUGGAAUAUCAAGAAGAGGUUUAUGGGAACCAAGUACCUGGAUAUCUACACCUUUACAAAUGAUACAUCUCGAUUUGAAAAAUUGUUAGCAAAAUGAAAAAAAAAGUCACUAAGGGGAACAUGCCUCGUUAACUAUUUGAAUGAUGUUACAAUUGCUCAUUCAAACCUGGUAGUAAAGAUGCAAAAGCUACCAAAGUAGUUCAUGAAAAUUGUCAUAACACAAUUUAAGGUUUUUCUAAAAUACAAAUGAACAAGAAACUUGAUUGGCAAAAACAAGCUGAAGAAAGAUCUACAUACAUUAAUAAAAGUUGGAAUGACCAAACUAAAUAUAUGGCGACUUUAGAAAUUCAAAUGCACCUUUGAAAGAUCCAAAUGCUAAAUACAAUGCAAGUUCAAGAUGAAUUUUAGACGAAGUUGCAUAAAAAUUAAGUUAAAGAACUUAAUUGGAUUUUUAAUGGGCUAAUUUGAUUUAAUCAUAGGCUUAAUUAAGAAUUUAGUUACGUCUAUAAAUUAUUUUAGGUAAAAAUUAAAAUAAUUAAUUAAUUAUAAGGACUUAAUUAGACUUUAAAUUGGUCAAAUUAAUUUUAUUUUGGAAUUAAUUGUUGAAAAAUUAAAUUUGAAAGCCUAAUUUGAGCUUAAUUGAUAAGAUUGGAAUUUUGGAGAACCAUAUUUUAGUUUUACGAGCUUAUUUGGAUGAAAUCAAAUGUUAAAUUGCAAAAAAAUCAAAUAUCAGGGUUUAAUUAAAGGUCAAAUUGAAGAAUCUCAAAACCAAGGACCAAAGUGAAAAGGACGUGUAAGUUUAAGGACUAAUAUGAAUCAAAAUCAGGGGUCAAUUUGAAAGAACUUAAAAGUUUAAUGGUUGAUAGGGGUCAAAUUGAACAAAUUAGAAACCAAUGAUCAAUUUGAAAAAUGUGCUCAAAUCAAAGGAUUCAAAUCACAAUUUUCGGGGGUGUGAUUGUAAAAAUUAAAAAGUUUUAGGGUAAAUUGAGGAUGUUUAUGCCAGAAUUGAAACAAUAAGGAUCAAAAAUGAAAUUUGCAAAAUCUCAAUUAGAAAACCCUAAUUUCUAGAGUUUAAUCAGAAUGACAUGUCAUUCAUCUUUAAUGAAGAGAACGAGUGACAUGUCAUCCAAUCCUUGUCAUCUUUUUUAGCAAAAAAGAUUGAUCGGGUUGUUAUUUUCAGGCGAAUGAACGUGGCAUAUUCGAUCACCUUAGAGACUUAAACCACCACUGAUGGACUGAGAAACAUCUCCUCUUUAAGGAUCAACUAUCCUCAUCGCACGUUUAUACCUACUUUGGCUCAAUGAACUCAAUAACAUCUUGUCACUGAACAACUUCCCCUGCAUUUGACAGUUUUAAGCUGAUCGAGAGCUCACUUUCUAAUAAAUAAAUGUGGAGUUAUGGACCUCCAAAUUAAAUAAGAUUUGAUGCCCAUGGUAGAUAUAUAUUCUCUCUACAAAGAUCAGCUACUUUUAUCCCAUAUUUACAUCUAGUUUGUCAUGAUGAUCUCUCUAAAGUAGCUCACUCGGUCAACUAUGACUCAAGAAGAAAACCAUCAUGAUUGUUUAAACUUCGUGGCUACCUUCUCUUGACAGGUUUAAGCUCAUAAAAUGACAAAAAGAACCAAAAUGCAUCUUUCUAGAGAGGUUAGAGUAGAGAAUGAGCAAAAGUCUUCUCUAACAAACUUUUGGCAUAACCACUAUGGUUUUGCCAUUUCUUAAGAACACCAAAAGGAAGGGGGUCCGAAAAAUAAGAGAAAAUCAUAAAAAAAGAAAAAGAGAAAGAAAAUAUAAAAAAAAGUCAAUAGAAUACUUAGAAUGGAAGGGAAAAAAAAGUAACAAAAUGGUGUUUUCAAAAGGAAGUAGAGUAUCAAUCUGAGAUUAAAAAGAAUCUAGAAAUCAAGAGGAAAGAAGCAAGGAAUUCAGAGAAAGAAUCAAUUUUUUCAUUGCUAGGUAAGCCUUCAAACUUUAAUAAAGGGGUAAUGAGCACACCCUCUCCAUCCUUUGAAAUCAUUUAUUAAUUUGGAGGCCAUGAUUAUUGUUUUGGAAUGUUUAAACAUGCUUUGAAUAUAGUUUGUAUAUAUAAACCCCUAGAAAAAAUAUUUGAAGUAAAUUUUAUAUGAAGGCAGUAAAUUGAAUAUUUGAAUGAAAAUGAUGACUUUGGAUUUUGAUAACUUGAAAUAAAAUGUUCAAGUGUUGUGAUGCGAACCCUAGCGGAAUUUAAUGGUAUUCGCGACCCCAAGAUCAAUCUAACACAAGUUUGUUGAGAUUUGAAUGAGCUUAUCACAAUGUAAGACUUGCUCCAAGGCAACAAGACUAUAAAUCAACUCGAUCACAACGCCUACACCUAGAGACGAGCAAAAGAAGUAUAAAUUCACAACAAAGAAUGGUCAAUUCUUUGAAGAGUUGAAAGUUCAAUCAAGAACCAAGAUUGAGCAACCAAAAGUCGGCUACAAUGCUGAAAAUAUUAUCAAAAGUCUGCCAUAAAAUUAUUCCUAAAGAGUAUUUAUACUCCAAGCCAAAACCCUAGUUUCCCUAAUAAGUCUCACAUAAACCCAAUUUAAAUAAUAAUCAACUCAAGCUAAAACUAGCCCAAACUAAUUAAAAUAAACAAAUAAACAAGUCUAAAACCCAAAAAAAUUGUCUCCUCUCAAAAUAAUUAAAGUUUGAUAGCCCAACUAAUUAAAUAAGACAAGUUCGUUGUUUCCGCAUUCUGUCUGGCAGCAGCAAGGCCCAACUUAAAAUGAAUGGUUCUCUCUCGUCUUAAUGAAUUAGAAGGCGUUCCACAUACCGUUGGAAAGGUAUGGAAGUGUAGUUUCCAACCCAACUAGAAUCACAUUAAAAUUUGAUCUGCAACUCCAGUUAUGACUAAAAGAGUAACAAAAGGUCAAACUGUCCGAAUCUAGUCUUCUUCUCACAAUCCUUGUGUAAUGGUCUUGGUUCCACCAACAAGCCCCUCUUGAACAUGAAUCAGAUUAAUCAAGGCUUGCUCUUUAUUAUUACAAAUCCUCUUGAAGUCCACCUUAGCCCAUGUAUCUUGAAGAAGUCCAUUGAAAGCUUCUUUGAACUUCUUAGCCCUAAGCCUAGUAACUGGACCAACUGGAACCUCCAAUGGAUCCUUUGAUGGUUAGACCGCAUCAUCCCCUCGCUCCUCAAAAGGAUUCGACCUCAAAUCAUCACCUACAUUAAACGAAGAAAGAUUAGAAACAUUGAAUGUAGCACUAACACCAUACUCACCUGGUAGAUCCACUUUGUAGGCAUUAUCAUUAAUCCUUUCUAUGAUCUGAUAAGUACCAUCUCCUCGAGGCAUCAACUUUGAUCUUAUUUGUUCAGGAAACCUUUCCUUCCUCAUAUGCACCCAAACCCAAUCACCUGGUUCAAAUCUCACUAAUUUUCAUCCCCUAUUGGCUUUGUUUGCAUAUUGUUCAUUCUUCUUUUCUAUUUGUUGCAUCACCACCUGUGCUUUUUUAUUACCAUCAAGACUAACCCUUUCAUCAACAGGCAAAGGAAUCAAAUCUAAUGGUGUCAAAGGGUUAAAACCAUAAACAAUCUCAAAUGGGGAAUAAUCAGUAGUAGAAUGCACACUAUGAUUAUAUGCAAAUUCAAUGAAUGACAAACAAUCUUCCCAAUUUUUAAGAUUCUUUUGAAUGAUAGCCCUUAACAAUUGAAUCAAAGUCUGGUUAACAACUUCAGUUUGGUCAUCUGUUUGUGGAUGACAAGUAGUAGAAUAUAAAAGUUUAGUUCCUAACUUACCCCACAAAACCUUCUAAAAGUAACUCAAAAACUUAACGUCUCGAUCGAAUACAAUGCUUCUAGGAAGACCAUGUAGCCGAAUGACCUCUCUAAAGAACAGGUCAGCUAUAUUUAUUGCAUCAUCAGUUUUAUGGUAAGCAAUGAGAUGUGUCAUCUUAGAAAAUCUAUCAACAACAACAAAUAUAGAAUCUCUCCCUUUCCUAGACCUAGGUAGACCCAAAAUGAAAUCCAUAGAAAUAACAACCCAAGGUUCCUUAGGAACAGGCAAAGGUGUGUAUAGUCCAUGAGGCAUUACCCUAGACUUAGCUUGUCUACAUGUUAUGCAUCUAUCACACAUUCUUUGAACAUCUCUUUUCAUAUUAGGCCAAUAAAAGUGCUCAUGCAGAACCUCCAAAGUUUUAGUAAUUCCAAAAUGCCCCAUUAAACCUCCCCCAUGUGCUUCCCUCAUAAGUAAUUUACGUAAAGAACAAUUAGGCACACAUAACUUAUUUUCCUUAAACAAAAAUCCAUCAUGCCUAAAAUAUUUAUCCAUGGUCAAAACCUUGCAUGUGUCAUGUAUAGCACCGAAAUCAUGAUCAUCAAGAUACAAUUCCAUAAUAUACUCAAAUCCUAGCAAUUUAGUAUUAAGAGUAUUAAGAAGAACAUACCUUCGCGACAAGGCAUCGACGACCACAUUUUCCUGACCUUGCUUGUAUUUAAUCACAUAUGGAAAAGUUUCAAUAAAUUUAUCCCACUUAGCAUGUCUCCUACUUAACUUACCUUGACCCUUCAAAUGUUUCAACGAUUGGUGAUCAGUAUGUAUGACAAACUCUCGGGGCCACAGAUAAUGUUGCCAAGUCUUCAAAGCCCGCACGACUGCAUACAACUCUUUAUCAUAAAUGGGAUAGUUAAUAGUUCCACCAUUGAGUUUCUCACUAAAAUAAGCGAUGGGUCGUUUUUCUUGCAUUAAAACGGCUCUAAUACCUAUUCCUGAAGCAUCACAUUCAAUCUUAGAAGCUUUAUUAAAAUCAGGUAAAGAUAGUAAAGGUGCCGAAAUCAACUUUGAUUUUAACAAGCUAAAAGCAUUUUCUUGUUCUUCUCCCCACUUGAAACCCACGGCUUUCUUAACAAUUUCAGUCAAUAGAGAGGCUAUCGUACUAAAGUCUUUAACAAAUCUCCUAUAAAAACUAGUCAAACCAUGAAAACUCCUAACUUCUGUUAUGGAUUUUGGUGUAGGCUAUUCUUGAAUAGCCUUAACCUUAGCCUCAUCCAUUUCUAUACCUUUUGCACUAACCACAUAUCCAAGAAAAUAAAUCAUAUCUAUGCAAAAGUCACACUUUUUCAAAUUAGCAUAUAAGGACUCUUUUCUAAGCACAUCAAGAACUUGUCUCAAAUGACUUAUAUGUUCAUCAAUCUCCUUACUAUAAAUCAAGAUAUCAUCAAAGUAAACGACUACAAACUUACCAAUAAAAACACGCAACACAUGAUUCAUCAAUCUCAUAAAAGUACUAGGUGCAUUAGUAAGUCCAAAAGGCAUAACCAACCACUCAUACAAACCAUAUUUAGUUUUAAAAGCAGUUUUCAUUCAUUCCCUUCUUUCAUCCUAAUUUGAUGAUAACCACUUUUCAAAUCAAUUUUUGAAAACAAUUUAGAACCAUGUAAUUCAUCCAACAUAUCAUCUAAUCUAGGAAUGGGAUGUCGAUACUUUACAGUGAUGUUAUUGAUAUCUUGACAAUCCACACAUAAGCAGACCAACUGGAACCUCCAAUGGAUCCUUUGAUGGUUGGAUCGCAUCAUGUUGAUUUAAAAAUGAAAAUAUAAAAAAUGGUUGAAACAAAAUAUAAAAACAUGAAUAAAAAUUAAAUGGAAGUGAUGUAUGAGGAAAUAAAGGUAGUGGAAUAUAAUUCAAUGAAAUUUGAAAUAACCCAACUUAAAUUUGAUAUAAAUAGGUGAUGGAAUCUAGAAAUAUUACUUGGUGAACAUAAAACGUAUAAUGUAAACCUCUAAUUAAGAAAUUGAUAAACUAGUUCUAAAUAUGUAAAAUGUAUGGUUUUAUGCGUGAAUGACCUUGACUAUUGGUAUAAGCCCUGCGUACAAUCGCGUAAUUUUUAACUCGAAAGGGGAAAAAGUUGAGGAGAAUUUGUAGUAUAGAUAGGAAUGAAAGUUUUUGAUGAAUUAUUUGGAACUAUUGCUGAUUUAAGUAGAUAAAACAAUACAAAAAUUUUGUAUUUUUGGCGUAAAAAUAACAUACUGACCAGUUUUACAUUACCAAGCAUAACUCUUAAUCUAACCAUUGGAUUGAGCUGAAAUUUACAAGGAGUAUCCUGACACAUAGUCCUACCUAGGGUUAAAAUUUCAGGACAAUCGGAAUUUGGGAAGGCCUCGCGAGAAUAACAACAUAUUGGACAAAUUCAUGGGUUCAUUAAGGGCAAAAUGGUCAUUUGGCCUCAAAACCUAGCUCUCCUUUCCUUUUAACUGAUAAGAAGCUAUUGGGAAAAAACUAAAGAAAAGAAGAGAGCAAGGCUUAGUGAACACCAAAAUCCAAGGAGAAAUCAUAGGAAUUGAGAGAUUAAAGUGAGAGUAGGCAAAUCCAAUAAGAGGAGCAUUAUUUGGAGGGUUUGGGAGAGGAAGAUAAGAGAGAGAAAGUGAUGGCAAGAGAGAGAAAGAAGAAGAAGAAGAGUGAAGAAAAGUCAAUAAGCUAACGUUUGAAGUUCAUUUUAUCAUUUGGUAAGGCGUUUCAAACCUAUUUAUACAAGUUUUAAUGAAAAUAAAUGAUGUUAAUGCAUGAUUCUUUGAUUUUUGGUUAGGGUUAUUAGAAGUAAAAUUGAAGAAAAUAAGAUUUUAUUGUUAAUUAAUGAAGUUAGGAUGUAUUAGGUUAUUGGUAAUAUAUAAUAAUGGUUAGAUUGGAUCAAUUGUUGGAAGAAUUGAAAAACCCACCAUUCUUUAACCUUAGGGUUCUUGGGAUAAUUAAAGAAAAUGCCUCGAGAUAUAAUUUUUUUUGUGUUUAAUGAUUAUAAGGAAGAUUUAAAGUUAGUUAUAAAUAUUGUGAUGCAAAUUACCCAAAUUAUACUAUUGAUGUUACUUGUGGGAAUGUGGAAAUUAUUAAAAAAAAAUGGAUGAAAUUAUAUUAGUUUUGUUACAAAUGUGAUGAUGGAAUUGUGUUCAAUCAUGGUUGUGAUUUUGAUUAUUGAAUAUUGAAUUAUGUUUGUUAAUUAUAUGUGAAAGAUAAGUAUAGAAAGAGUGGCACUGUAUAAACUUUAAUGUUUUUAUUUGAUAUUGCAUGCUUGGAAAGCGAUCUAGGAGCUUGUAAUUUGAUGUUUAUGUAUAUUAAGUGUUGGGUUGACAAGUUAGUAUAAUGAGAGAAAAAAAAAUGUUGGAUGUAUAUAUGGAAAGUAAGGAACGUGAAAUGGUAUAUUAAAUGCAAGUUAGAACUUGGAGCAAAUUCUAAACCUUAGAGACUUUUUUUAAUAUGGAUAUUUUGGUUAUGAUGUUAGUGAUUGAUAAAUUAAGUUGAUUGUGAUAGUUUUAAAUGAGUUGUUGUGUGUUUGAGUUACUAUUGAUAUGGAUUGAUAAGGAUAGGUAUGUUCAAAUUUCAAGUAUUAGAGGGUUGGAAUCCAAUGCCUACCAUAUGUUUCAUAUAAUAAUAGGACUUUUUGAAAUUGAGAAAUCAAUGAUGAAAAGUGAUGUCUCUAAACAUUGAAAAUUCAAUGACAAAAAGUAUGUCAUGGGGUAUUGAAAUUCAUCGAUGAAAAAUACAUACACUUAGACAUUAAGUAUUAGUUGACGGAAUUUGUGGAUAUUAAAAAUCAGACUAAGUAAGGGAUUGAUGAAAGUAUUAAAUGUCAAAAUACAUGAAGUUUCAAUACUGGAUGAAUAGUGAUUUUUACUAUUGGAUGAAUAUAAAUUUUUUUUGCUAUAUAAAUAGUGCUUACUUUAUGUUUUUUAUUAUCUUGAAUUUUAUGACCAUUUUUGGUUUGUGCAGACCUAUAUGCAAUUGCAUUGUGUUUAUAUCAUGGUAAUUAAGCAAAGUAGUAAACAUAAAAGGAUAUUACAAAAAUGGAUAACAAUAUGUUUGGACAAUGAAUGCAUUAUGAAAAUGGGUGCUCAUGUAAAUGUGUUGAUGUUAAUAAAAUGACUAAAGGAAAAUACCAAUCAUGAGAUAGGAUCCUACGUUUAAUGGAUGGUUUGAUAAUUAUCUGUCUUCUAUUGUGUAGCAGAAGCACGGGGAGUUAAAACGCUAACUGGAGGUGCAGGAUCCUCAACAGGAACGGGUAGGCGCUGGACACCCUAACAUAGCUAAUUAUGUGUUUAAAUUAAGUAGUCAAUUGCAACUUUUUUAUUUAGGUUGUGUUAAUAAUAAUAAGUGUGAGCUAAUUUCCCUGGAUUAGAGACUAGUGCCCGAUUUAGGCAAUGUGAGCUAAUUGCCCUAGUUUAGGGACUAGCACCAAGUUUGGGUAAUGUGAGCUAGUUGCCCUAGUUUAGGCACUAGGGCUCGAUUUGGGCAAUGUGACCUAGUUUUCCUAGUUAAGGGACUAGCGCUCGGUAUAGACAACAUAAUUUGUGUACCACGGUUGAGGGUUUGGGCCUAUUUUUGGGCAAAGAGAGAAAUUUUACUAUAGAUAUGAGAUGGAUGUCCGAGGAAGGAUUCAAGUUAACUUUGUCAAGUUAAAUCAAAGAAAUGUAUUUAAUAAAUUUAUAAAUAUUGUGAUUGAAGUGUAUGGUUAAUUUUUAUGUUGAAUUUAAUUUUCAAGUACUUCGCAGUAGUGUGUUGACCCAUAGAGAAUUAAAUAACUAAUUUAGUUUUGUUGAUAAGGAUAUUAAGCGAGUUGUCGAGUAUGGAUUCCAUGGAAAGUGGUGUGUUGAAGAUGUUUGUUAAUUAUAGAUAUGUAAAUUGGAAUGGAGCAUUAAGAAGUUUAUGAUAAAAAUAAAAUUAUCUUUCACUCGAUGAGAAAUGAAAUAACUAGCAUCAGAUUAUUGUUGUAACGAAUUCAGGAAAACAAAUUUAUGAUAGUUGUUGAUCAAGAGAGAAAUUGCAUAAAGUGUAUGACUAAUUAAAGAAGGAUAAAAUAACUCAUUCAAUAAUAUAAUGCACUAAAGGUUAAGGUAUUAGAUCUUAGAUAUUUAAGGAUAUCAUCUAUUUGAAAUUUGUUAUGAAUAAAUGACAUUAAGAUAGGUACUAUUAAGGAGGGGGAGAUAAUGGAUGAGAGACUAUAAAUAUAUUUUUUACGGCUAAUUGAAUAAACAACAAUAAGAAGAAUUAGCAAUAGAAUUCUCAUUAGUGACUUGUAAGAGAUCCUAAUAAUGGUUGAACUCACGGGAUUACAAAUAAAUGAGAUUAUAAUCAUCUUUGAUUAUUAAUAAGAUUUUGUGUAGUAGAUAAUCUAAAGGAACUAUAGAAAAAUAUUAGCAUCAAGGUUAAGGGGAAAAUGCUCAAAUGGUUAUGUGAUAAACCAAGGAGUUUGAUCUGCAAAAGUAAAAGUACAUAGUGUAUUGCUUAUCAAUUUAAAAUAAGCACAUGAAUCAUGAUUAAACUAUGUACUUAUAUAUAUAUAUAUAUAUAUAUAUAUGUUAUGUAAUUAAUUGAAUUGUUGAAUUCUUAUAUGAUGAAUUGAUUUAACUUUUAGGUUCUUUUUAUAUCAGAGCAUACCAAUAGACUUCUAUAGAGGUAUCUUUUGAUAUAGAUAUAAAUAUUAUAAUUUGUAGAUGUUAAUUUGAUAAGUAUUAUAAUUUUGGUUUUUAAUUUUGGGCUUGUAUUUAUGUUUAUAGAAUUAUGGAUAUCAUUAUUAUGUAUUUUUUGUUAAUUAGGUGAAUCAAUACAAUAAUAUAUAUUACUUUAGGAUUAAACCCUAAAGGAUGUUCAUAUUCUAAGUUCUAAUAUUUCUUAGAAUUGUUUAAUUAUGCAAGUUAUGCAAAUCUUAAAUUAUUUAUUUAUUUUGUUUUUAUUGAUUGCUUUAUUAUUAUUGUCAAUACAUGCAUAUCAUUUUGAGAUGUCUUCAUGAGGGAAAAACAUCCAAGAUGAUUAGAUCAUGAUUAGAUAUUGAAUUGUGAUAGAAAUGAAGAUGUCGAUAACUUGGUAUGGUCUCGUUAUAGGGGAAAUUCUACCAAAUUUUUGGUAGAAUUGAAAAAAACAAUUUACCCAAAUUUUUAUGUACUAUAUCGUUGGAAAUUAACUAUAAAUGCAUAUGAAAGUGUAAGGCAUUACAAUAGAUGCUCAAGUUUUGUUUAUAGCUUUGUUUUGAUGUGUUAAAAUAUGAUUAUGGAAUAACAUAUGUUAAUAUAGAAUAUUGUUUUUUCAUGCUUUGAUUUUAAGCUAAUCUUGUUUAAAGUUAUACAAUAUGUUUUAGGUUUAGAUUUUUGUCAUGGUUUAGUUUUGUCUACUGGUGUUGCUGAAUUUAUAAUCAUGUUGUUUAAGAUUCAAGACAUUGUUUAUGAUCAAUGGAACAAUGUUUAUACAUAGGGAGGGGUUUCUUUUGCUUACUGUCAUUAUAGUUUUUUCUUGUUGUUUUUUCCUUUAAUCUUUUGUUUCUUAUUGUUUUGAUGAUUCCAACAAUUUGUAAAAAACAUGUUUAAGCUUGGGUUACUAGAUUUAACUUUCUUUUCUGAGUUUUAUUGCUUUUUUAUAGGUUUAGACCUUUCAUUGGGUUUCUAGGUUUGCUGACUUUUCUGUGUUGACAUUCACAUGUUAAACUUGCCUUAAGUUGUUAUUUUUUGAGUCAUUUUGAUCGAUUGAUAGUUUUAAUGUGUGCAUGCAUGUCUAUUGAUCUUUAAUCUAAUAUUUUUAUAGCUUCAAAACACCAACUAAGAGUUUUUUAUCUUCUUUUCUUUUGUUUUAUUUUUUAUAUAAAAUCAAAUAGUUAUGACAUUACUCGAUUAUCAUGAUGAUUCAGCCUUAAAUUCUUAUUUGAAUAAUGUGUUUACAUGUCUUUGGGUCUUCAUUUUGAUUUGAUUUGGUCUAUUUUUGAAUCUUUGUUUAUGGUUUUCUUUUUAUAUUCUUGGUGUUAUUAAGCAAAUUCAAAUGUUUUUUCCCCUUUGAUCUUUUUUUUUUUUUCCUCUUUGGUUUUGGGUCGUGUUUUGGCAAACACGCCCUACUGAUUUUUCAAUAUUGUUUAUAUUCUCAUUUUUUAUGCUUUUGUCAAACAAACCCACAAAUAAUUUCCAAAAAUUCUAAAACAAUUCAGAGACUAUUUUAAAAUUAUUUGUAAGUCCCUUACAUAUUUUUCCAAUCUUUUCACCUAAAAUUGAGGUUGUGGGCUUAUAUUAUAAAAUACUAACCCGGUAUUAAAAAUACUUACUUUUCUCUAAAACUUCAAAAAAAAAUCUAAAAAGUUCUCAUUUCAAAAAUACAAAAAUAUAUUUUGUGCAUAUGGCCAAAAUUAUUUAUAAAAAAUUCAUGUAUAUUUUCUAAUAAAAAAACAAAAAAAAAUUAUCAUGUUUUAAAAAUAUAAAAUAAAUAUCAUAAUCGGUUUAUAAUUAUCCAUUGGAAUUUAAUCAAAAUUUCAAAAAUAUCACAAAAAUUAAUUUGUUUAAUUAAUAUUCGGGGUAUGAAUUUUACAACGUAAUGCAUACUUCUGGUAUUAAAUUAAAUGAAUUAAUAGCAAAAACAUUAGGAUUUAGCUGUAGACUUUAAUAUUUGGGGGUUUAAAUUACAUUGUAAAGUAUACCCUCAGGUAUUAAAGAUACAUAAUAGAAAAUAAAUGUGAUGUUAAAAUUAGGGCUUUAGAAUGGUUAGGAUUUAACCUAAUAAGAUAGAGAUUUCCUCACGAAAAGAGAUAUGUCUUGAACUUUAGAUGAGACCAAUGGAUAUAAAUAUGACUUAGAUUAACAAUCAAUCAACAAUGCAACUUAUCAUAGAUAGGGUGCACUGGGAGUGAUAAGUAUUUUUCUUGCACAACCAGACCCCUUACCCAGCAGACUAUAGGUUUUUUAGUAACCAUGAUACUAGGUGGCGACUCUUUCAAAUCAUAAAUUUAUGAUUAAACUCAAAACCCCCUUUAUUCCAAGAGGCAGACCCAUCAUUUGACGUAGUGCAUGUCAUGACAAAAAUAAAGAGUACUCUUUUGACAUCAAAAAAGUUGAUUUUUUUUAACUAAUUAAUAUAUGAGAGGAAAAUCAAACUCCUUGACAACCAUAUAAUCUCUGUUGUAGAUCAAAACAAGGGAAAAAUUACUACAAGUGGUAUGACUCAUAAAGACAUGAUACUAACAUUAUUUUUCAAGAACCAUAUUCAAAAGGCAUUAGAGUCUGGUCACAUUCAUUUUCUAGAAAAUAAUAUGAAAAUGGAUAGCAACUCAUUCCUCAAAGUGGAACAAUAAUGACUAAACAUAAGUUAAAAGGACUCGUAAUAAAAGGAAAUUAUAAAAAGUAAGGCUUGGUCAACCAUGAUAAAUGCUUGAAUUUUUCACGAACACUACUACUAUAAAAAGGUACACUGAUCAUGGUAAGGCUAAAGAGUUGGCACUAGAACUUUAGGAAAUACAAAUGUUUUACAUAUCAUACCAUUCUUCAUAAGAAUGAAAACUUAAGGGGAAAACUAAACAAGUCACAACUUAGCGAUAGGUUAAGACUCUUAGACCUUAAAAAACAGCUAACACUAAGUGACAUAAACAACAUUCACAAUAGAAAUCACCUAAACCUAGUCAUGAAGAUGACAAUUUGAUUAAAAACCACCAAUAUCUCCUGGACCUAUAAAGUGUUGGGAUUGGAAUGAUUAAGUAAAAAACAAUAAAAAAAAUAGAAAUUAAGUGCAUGCAACACCUAAUUUACAUGGUUCAACGAAUAUGCCUAUAUUUAUAGGGUUGUGGAGAUUUCGCUAUUAUAAAGAAUAUUUAUAACAACUUUUAUGGCAACACAUUAACUCUUUUUUGUUUGACACACACACACAAACUAAAUAACGUUCAUGUCAUAAGGAUAUAAAUAUAUCAAUCUUUGGGUCAAACAGUAUGCCUUGAUUAAUAAAAGAGUCCAAGCUUAACAAUUCUCCCACUUGAAGAUUGGUUUAACCACUAGCAAAAACCCAUAUGUCUCCAACACAAUACCUAUCUUUAAAACUCAUGAUGUAAAAGUCUUCAAGUUAGUUCAACUAAUAUGUUUGCUAGAUUCUUAAUUCCAUAAAUCUUUUCUAGCAUCAAUUACUCAUCAUUAAAUAUAUAUUAGAUAAAGUGAUAUAUGAUUUGAAUAUGUUUAGUUUUGGAAUGAAAUGUUAGAUUUUUAGCAAGAAUGCACUCUAACUAUCAAGCUAUAAAGUACCCUUAUUGUUAGCAAUGAUGUUUUGUAAAAUUGAACUCUAGGAGAUAAUAGUACCACCUAAAGUGAUACAAGCCCUAUAAUACUCUCUUUGCUUAUAACUCAUUUUAUUGUCUCUCAUUGUUGCAUUUUUGGGUUGGAUACUUAUAUGAUCAUAACUCCAACUUUCUUAACAUGAAAGAUUUGCCACUCUUUUUGAAGUUGAGUUUUUUUAGAUUUUCUAAAAAUACAACUCUCACACAUGUUAGAUAAAUUGAGUUAAGCUCUGAUAGCUCUCUUUUUUACAAAAGUAGCUUCAUACUUUUUUGACAUAUAUGAUCGAGUCUGCAGUGGUAUAGUUCUGCAUAAUUUUUAGCUUUGGUAAAAACAAUGGUAUCUUUUGGUCCUAAGGUCAUAUACAAAAUACUAAUUUUCUUACCAUGAUUAAAGAUAUUUUUUCUUUUUGUGACAAUCAUGUGCCUCUAAAAAAUUUUAUUGAAUGGCCACAAUUAACAAGUUGUCUUGAAAAAAUCAGAUUCUUCUACGAUUCAGUAUCAUGUAUCACACAUUACAAAUUCCAUAUAAAACUAGUUGGCAACUUAAUUUGCUAAUCUUCUACACCUACGACAUUCAAUGGUUCUCCAUAAACCAAGCACAUCAUUUUGUAUCACUGGUAACAUAAUUUUGUAUGAUUUCUUAAUGUUUAGUAUGAAAUAAAGCACCUAACUUGAGAACUCAAUCAUCAAUUGGAAUAUAAAUAACAAGAAUCAUAAUGUCAUGUACCACUUUAGUAGAAACAUUUGCAGAAUCAAUCUUAGCUUUUUCUUGGAGGGUAAAAACCCUUGAAUUCACACAUAAAAAAAACUUAUACUGAGGCACCAAAGUUAUUAGAUAAAAAAGACCAAAACCCUAUGAUUAUAAUGAAUCACAAAUUGGAAGUAUAGGAUGAACACCACAGAGAUAGUUGAUCUUUGAUAAGCCCAAGAAAAGUUCAGCGAAAAACCUAAAGUUUGAGCAACCUUUUACACAUAAAAUAUUAUUUUAAAAUCAAAGUCUAUAAAAAAAUCCAAAUAUGAGCUCAAUAACCCUAUUUAUACUAUGUAAAAACAUCCUAAAGAUGGCACAAAAAAUAACCAGAGAGUUCUAAAAAAAUAGAGAAAAACAAAUCCUACAUCAAAUAGGAAACUAAACAUAGUAACUUCUUGAUUUUAUCACAAGGCCUUAUCGAUGUUUGAUUGUUAUAAAAUUUUAAUCAUAUAUAAAAAAAGGCAUCUAGCAUCUUCUGCAAAUAUUUUAGCCCAAUCCAGUGGUCGAAUUAAAAUUUAUGUUUGUUAGCAUAAAAUUGUCAAUAGAAAAAAUAAAUCCAAAACCAUCUCUAAUGUCAUUGAAUAAUAAGGAAAACCUUGUCAAGAGAGAAUCCACAAAAAAAAAAAAAAAAAACACAAGUUGUUGCCUAAUUGAUCUUCUUAGAAAGUAAGGAAUCCUUUCAAAAUAAGGAUUCCACGUAUAAUUAAAUCCUUGCCUUGUAGGAAUCCACAAAUCAUAUGGAAAAUAGUCUUUGACCGAUUUUCUUUGUUUAUUGGCAUAUUUCAAGUCUGACUUGAAACACAUCAUUCUCUCUCGCUUGAAUGAGUUAUCUGACUUGAAACACAUCAUUCUCUCUCACCUGAAUGAGUUAUUUGUCCUACCAUAUAUGAAUAGAAAGUUUAUCUUUUCAAAAAAGUGGUUAUCAUCAAAUUAGGAUGAAAGAAGGGGAUGAAUGUAAAACUACUUUUAAAACUAAAUAUGGUUUGUAUGAGUGGUUGGUUAUGUCUUUUGAACUUACUAAUGCACCUGGUACUUUUAUGAGAUUGAUGAAUCAUGUUUUGCGUGCUUUCAUUAGUAAGUUAGUAGUUGUCUACUUUGAUGAUAUUUUGAUUUAUAGUAAGGAGUUUGAUGAGCAUAUGGGUCAUUUGAGACAAGUUCUUGAUGUGCUUAGAAAAGAUUUCGUAUAUGCUAAUUUGAAAAAGUGUGACUUUUGCAUGGAUAUAAUUUUUUUUUUUUUUUUUGAAUAUGUUGUUAGUGCAAAAGGUAUAUAGAUAGAUGAGACUAAGGUUAAGGCUAUUUAAGAAUGGCCUAAACCAAAAUCAAUAACAGAAGUUAGAAGUUUUCAUGGUUUGACUAGUUUCUAUAGGAGGUUUGUUAAAGACUUUAGUAUGAUAACCUCUCUAUUGACUGAAAUCAUUAAGAAAUUCAUAGGGUUCAAGUGGGGUGAAGAACAAGAAAAUGCAUUUAGCUUGUUAAAAUCAAAGUUAAUUUCGGCACCAUUACUAUCUUCACCUGAUUUUAAUAAAGAUUUUGAGAUUGAAUAUGAUGCUUCAGGAAUAGGUAUUGGAGCUGUUCUAAUGCAAGAGAAACGACCCAUUGCUUAUUUUAGUGAGAAACUCAAUGGUGGAUCUCUUAACUAUCCCAUUUAUCACAAAGAGUUGCAUGCAUUAGUGAGAGCAUUUAAAAUUUGGCAACAUUAUCUAUGACCCCGAGAGUUUGUUAUACAUACCGAUCACCGGUCAUUAAAACAUUUGAAGGGUCAAGGUAAGAUAAGUAAACGACAUGCCAAGUGGAUUGAGUUUAUUAAAACUUUCCCAUAUGUGAUUAAGUACAAGCAAGGUCAGGAAAAUCUGGUUGCAUAUGCUUUGUCACGAAAGUAUGUUCUUCUUAAUACUCUGAAUUCUAAAUUAUUAGGAUUUGAGUAUAUUAAAGAAUUGUAUCUUGACGAUAAUGAUUUUGGUUCUAUAUAUGAUGAGUGCAAAGUUUCGGCCAAGGAUAAGUUUUUUAGGCAUGAUGGAUUUUUGUUUAAGGAAAAUAAAUUACGUAUGCCUAAUUAUUUUUACGUGAAUUGCUUGUAAGGGAAGUUCAUGGGGGUGGUUUAAUGGGGCAUUUUGGAAUUGCUAAGACUUUGGAUGUUUUACAUGAACACUUUUAUUGGUCUAACAUAAAAAGAGAUGUGCAAAUAAUUUGUGAUAGGUGUAUAACAUGUAGACAAGCUAAGUCUAGAGUAAUGCCUCAUGGGUUAUACACACCUUUACCUGUUCCUAAGGAACCUUGGGUUGAUGUUUCUAUAAAUUUUAUUUUGGGUCUAAAAAAGCACAGGUGGUGAAGGAUUUACAUGCAAAGAUUUAGCAACAAAUAGAGAAAACAAGUGAACAAUAUGCACACAAUGCUAAUAGAGGAUAGAAAUUGGUGAGGUUUGAACUAGGUGAUUGGGUUUGGGUACAUAUAAGGAAGGAAAGGUUCCCUGAACAAAGGAGAUCGAAGUUGAUGCCUCAAGGAGAUGGUCCUUUUCAAAUCAUAGAAAGGAUUAAUGAUAAAGCCUACAAAGUGGAUCUACCAGGUGAGUAUGGUGUUAGUGCUCAAUUCAAUGUUGCUGAUCUUUCUUUGUUUGAUGUAGGUGAAGAUUUGAGUCGAAUUCUUUUAAGGAGAGAAGAGAGGGGAUGAUGCGAUCCAAGCACCAAAGGAUCCAUUGGAGGUUCCGGUUGGUCUAGUUAUAAGGCUUAGAGCUAAGAGUGGACUUCUUCAAGAUACGUGGGCUAAGGUGGAUUUUAAAAGGAUAUUAAAUAAUGGGAGCAAGCCGUGAUUAAUCUUAUUCAUGUUCAAGAGGGGCUUGUUGGUGGAGCCAAAACCAUUACACAAGGAUUGGGAGAAGAAGACUAGAUUCGGACAGUUUGCCCUUUGGCUAUGUUUGUUUAUCAUAACUGGAGCUACAGUUCGAAUUUUGAGGUGAUUCUAGUUGUACUGGAAACUAGACUUCCAUACCUUUCCAACAAUAUAUGGCACACCUUCUAAUUCUUUAAGACGAGAGAGAACCAUCCGUUUGAAGUUGGGCUUCGCUGCUGUCAGACAAAAUACGAAAAUAACUGAAUUUGUCUUAUUAAAUUAGUUGGGCUAUUAAACUUUUUUUAUUUUAUAAGAAAACACUUGUUUGGGUUUUAGACUUAUUUAUUUUAAUUAUUUUGGGCUAGUUUUAGCUUAGGUUGAUUAUUAUUUAAAUUGAGUUUAUAUGUGACCCAUUAGGGAAACUAGGGUUUAUGGCUUGGGGUAUAAAUACUCUUGAGAAUAAUUUUCAGCAUACUUUUUUUUUGCUAAUAAUAUUCUGAUUUUGCUGACAUUUGGUUGUCAAUCUUGAUUCUUGAUUGAACUUUCAAUUCUUCAAAGAAUUGACCAAUCUUUGUUGUGAAUUUAUACUCCUUUAACUCGUCUCCAAGUGUAAGUGUUGUGAUUGGGUUGGUUUAUAGUCUUGCUGCCUUGAAGCAAGUCUUCCAUUGUAAUAAGCUCAUCCUAUUUUCAGCAAACUUGGAUUAGAUAGAUCUUGGGCUCGUGAAUUCUAUUCAACUCCACUAAGGUUCACAUCAAAAUCCAUCUUCACCUCUAAUGAAACCAACCACCAACAUUGACCUAAAAUUUCCUAAUUAGUUGUGCCUACCCUUCUCCCCUUUACCACAUUUAUUUCCAUCUUUUCCAAACCAAGAAACCAUAUCUCUUCACAUUCAUCACUAUCACCAUAACACCCACUAGCAAUAAAGGAAUUUCCAUCCUUUUUUUCUCAUUUACCGUCAUCAAACCAUCAACUCUCUAUCCCCAUGGUGGUUAAGACACAAUAGUAGCUUCUUCCUCCUCUCGGUUUCCACCAUCCACAACAACAUCAUUGCCAACAACCCCUAUCUUGGCUGUGAGCCCUCACUAGCCAUAAAAUUUAGCUUGUGUAACCCAAAACCAAUAACCACCAUCAACUCACCCUUUAACAGUGACAACCCAUCUCUUCCCUUUAAUAAGAAGGAUAUCAACCUCUCAUCCACCCUUUUCAUGGCCAAGUCCAGUCCCAACAGACCCAUGAUUUUUUGGUUUUCCACCAUGCCAUCUUCUCCUGCUUUGAUUGUUAGGAACAAUGGUGACACCACAAUAGCCAUUAAUCCACAAUAGAAAGGAAGAAACAUUAGGAAAAAAUAUAGGGAGAAGAGGAGAUACACAAAUUGAUUGUGUUUGUGUGAUUUUGUUUUCUUUUAUGGGUAGCAGUGACACUCAUCGCUGGUACAUUGAGAAAAAAAAGGGAUAGACGCUUCAAAUCCACUAAGUGUUGGCUUCCCAUUAGUGAUAAUGCAUGAGUUCACACAACAACAAUAACAAUGUUGUAUAGGACCCAACAACUCCUCUGACUAUUCUGACCUUGUCUAGAAGGUGUUUUGCGAAUUUAAUAUAUCUUAAUUCCAUGUGAUAAUUGUAAAUGUAAUUGUUUGGUAUGUGUAAAUUAGUGAAAGAGAUGGGUGUGUCUGUGAUGCAUGAUUUUAAUUCCUAGCACAUGUUAGAACAAAUAACAUAAACAACAAAAAAUGUAUUUUUAUUAAACAUUUGUUAUCUUAAAAAAAUGCAUCAUGGACAAGUUUUAAAUAAUUUAUAAAAAAAAUGUGUUUGCAUCAACUUGUGAUUUCUUAGCUUAAAAAGAAAAAAAGAAAAAGAAACUCAAAAAACAUUUUUUUUGCAUGUUUAGCAUUUUACAUUUUUAGUAAAACAAAUAAUUUGCAUGCUUGUGGGCUUUAUAACAAGUUUAUAAAGUCCAUUAGAACUUAACCCAAAUAAAAUGACUCAUUGAGCCUAUAUACAAAAAAAUAAAUAAAUCAAAACCCAUUAAUUUUUUAUUUAUUUAUGAAAAUAAACAAUAACAAGAGUUUUAAAUAAAAGGUUCAAACCUAUUUUUAACAUUCAUAUGGAUCCAAAGUCCAUUUUUACUCUUUUUUGUUUUUUGGGUCAAAGAUUAUUUUCAUCAUCCAUAUAGGUCAAAUGUUUGUCUUGACCUAUUAGGUAAACAUAUUUUUGGUUUUUCAAAAUUUUCAAUAAGCCUAUUGUUAGCAUGAUGAUUCAACUCACUAAUAUGACUUGAUUGAUAAUAACUUAAAGGUUGUGAUCAAGAGUGAUCAAAUAGUUCAACUUAUUGACAUGAUUUGAUAAAAAAUUGUCACAAGUUGUGAUCAGAAGCGACCAAAUCGUUUAGUUUACUAAUAUGAUUGGAUCCACAAAUAAUCAUAAGUUGUGAUCAGGAGUGAGCAAAGAAUUUUCAAUUCACCAGUAUCAUCUAAAGAUAGUAACUAUGAAUAAUAAAAAUAAAUCAAACCAUAGAAUGGUUAGGUUCAACCUUCAACCUAGGGUUUAACAUUCAGAGAUAACUCAUUGUUACUUUGUAAAUAAACAAUUAGUACACCAAAAUUUUAGAAAUAAAAGACAUCCAGCAAUGCAGUUUACCUCAGGUAGAAUGCUUUAAGGUAAUAUUAUGUUUCCUAUAGCAUAACUAAUCUCUUACGCAAAAUAUCUAAAAGACCACUUAGGGUUUCUAGUUACGAUAAAACUAAGUGGCGACUUCUUUUUCAUAUUUUUACCCUUUUCACAUGAUCUUAAGCUUGCCAUGACGUCCAUCAAGGUACAACAACUACUUCAAAUGGAAUCAUAUUAAAGUUAUUAAAGUCAAUCUUCUUGAUUAGAAUCAUUAGCAUAAUGUUGAGUUUUGCAGUGUUAUCGACCAAAACUCGCUAUACUUGUACACUAUUGAAUUUUGUUGUGAUGUCUAGAAGUUUAAGGUGACAACUCGUAGUCGUUGUUGGCUUAGAAAAAUCAAGACUUUAUUGUUGGUAAUCUAAAUGUUGUAAUUGAUUGAUUUUCAUAAUUUUUGUCUUUUUUCUAUCCUAUUUCUAGCUAUUUCUAGAAUCACAAUUGAGAUUAUGAAAUUAGCCAGGUUUGGCCUCAAAAGAAUAUGGGAAAGCAAAAAUGGUCACUCAUCUUAGUGUCAAAAAGAACUUGUAAUCUAUCAUCAUAUUUGAAUAUGUUUUGUUCAUCUAGUUGUUGAAUCAAGAUUCAAGAUUCAUUAACUUUUUUCUCCUUAGUACAUAAAUUUCAUCCCUUCUUCUAAUAUACCCUCAUCUAGAAAAUCAUUAGCCUUGACAAUCAUAUAAUCUAUUUCUUUAAGUUGAUCUUCUUUGCUUGUGAAGAUAUUUAUGGUAGCCAAUUUAGACUUUAUGAAAACAAUUUGUAUUAGUUUUGGAUAAUAAUGUUGUCCUCAAGUUCUUUAAUUGUCAUUUAAUGAGCAAUAUGUUGUGGUUGUUUGUUUAUUAGGAUUUUUUCGUAGUUUCAUUGAAAGCAAUGUCUUUUUUAUUCUUUAAAAAUAAUUGAAGCUAUCUUUUUUUUUUUCUUUUUUUUUUUAGUUAUCACUUCUUUGAGCCAAUACUAAAAUACUCAUUUCAUUUAUUUAUGUUCCUGAGCUAUUGGCUUAACACAUUGAACUGUUUUAUCUUAUUGGUGUUAUUGGUCAAUUUCUAACCCAUUCUUGACUUUAGAUUUAACUUUCACUUUUUUAACUUGUGGUUAGAGGCCUUUUCCAAAUUUCUAUACUAUCUUAAUGAUAGACAUGUCCACUUUCCUAGAGAUUUCUUUGAAGAUAUGUCUUUUAAGUUGCUUAGUGUCUAAAUCUAUCUCUUGAGUGGAUAACGAUAAUGUUUGGUUCCUUCGUUAUUAUUUCAACCAAGGUCUUUGAUUAUAAUAUUAUCCUAUUUUAGUAAAAAUCAAUCGCCAUAUAUCAUUACUAGAUUCUAUAGGAUUUAGGUCAAUCUUAUCUAGCACUGAUAAAGGAUGAUCUUAGGUGCCUUAUAAUAGUAGUUUGAAAGGUGCAUAAGGUUGUUUAUUAUUGACCAUAUGACUGGUCUAGUUUAUGUCUAAAACGUGUUUCUUUGGUAAGGUUUAUGGUUUUUUUUAAGCUUUCCUUACCAAAAUGUUUAGGCACUAUAUUCUUUCAAAUUCUAUUUUGGAUAAAUGUCUUCGUUUCCAUUAUUUUAUGUUGGACUUGGUUUAUAGAACCUACGUUCUUUUGUUUAUGUUUUUUUUUUUUUGUUAAUGAAGGCCUACUAUCCAUCCCAAGGGUUGAUAUAUUUAUAUCAUCAUAACACUAAGGUUAGUUGGGGUGUAUAUGUUAGAAAAAAAGGAGUUUGUGUGCUAUCAUAAAAAGUUCUUGUAAAAUAUUCUAUAGAAUAGUGAAAUAUUUUCAACCUUGUGGAUAUAGGAAGAUUUGUCAAACCAUGUAAUUUUGUGUUUGGUAUGCUUGAUUUUUAUUUUCUUAUUAUCUCAUGCUUAAUCAUUCCAAUCUUAAUAAGUGGUAUUAAAGCUAGGUUUGGGUUUUAAUGGGAGUAAUAGUUGGAAAAGAAGUAAGGGUGUCGGAAAUUGAUAAAUUUGAUCAUAGAUUUUGAGUAUUGAAGGAUGCAGAUAAAAAAUUACCUUUAUAAAAAGAGACUUCAUUUUCCUUUAUUACAGAAGUCAAAUAAGAUGGAGGAGAUGAAAUGAAACCUUCUUACCGGACAAGUUUUCAAUGUUAUCCACUUAACCUUAUCAAUAUCAGUUGCACGUAAUAUUAUAAAGGAAAGGACCAUAAUAGAGAUGAUGGUAGCCUUGUCCAUCAUAUAUGAAAAGUCAUAAAAAAAACAAAGUGCAUCUGAUAAAGAAGUUGUUCAACCUAAAGAUGAAAUGAGGUAUGUUUGUUGCACACACCUAAAUAAAUUCAAUACCAUUACAAAUCAAUUAUCAUAUGUUGAAAAUGAGUUUGAUGAUAAGAUUCAUGAAUUGAUUGUUUCCUUUACUUCUAAAUAGUAGGAAGGUUAUGAGAAUGGUUGUAAGAAACUCUACUAUAAAGUUUAAAUUGAAAUAUGAUGAUAUAUGUGGCUUGAUUAUGGCUUAAAAGUGCAUAAAAAAAGAUUGAUAUAAAGGUUCGGUUUUAAUUCAACCUUUAAUAUUGAUAUUUAAGAAAUAUGAUGAUAUAAAAACUUAAAUAAGGACAUAUUGGAACCCAAAUUUUGGAGUAAAAGCAAGUCAAAGUCUUGGAAGCAAUAUUUAUGUUAUAAUUAUGGUAAAUCUAGUCACUUCAUAAGGAAUUGCUUAUACAAAUCAAUGAGUAUCACCAAAGGAUCCAUUAGAGAUAUUAAUUGGGUUUAUUACAAGGUUUAAAACUAAAAUGAUCCAAGAAAAAAUCAUUGGGUUGAUUCUGGAUGUUAAGGUUAACAAGUUGCAAAUAUGUUAGACUAGAUCUUUAUGUACUUUCUAUUCAUAUAUGCUCCUAUAUGCCAGCCUAUUUGGUAUAGAUGCUCCUGGAACAAUGUCGAUUUGAUGUUCAAUUUCCCUAAUUGGUGGCAAGCCACUAGGAAUCUCUUCUUGAAAGACAUCUUUAAAUUCCUGUAAAAGAACUUUAACAAUACUAGGAACACAGGAAUCCAAAUUAUCAAAGCUAAAGUUUGUCUCCUUAUACACAAGUAAAAUCAUAGGCAAUUCAGAAAGAUAAGCAUGUUUAAAAUCACUAGAUUUUGCAAACAAAUUAAGGUUUUUCCCCACUUUUUCUACACUCUUCUUUUCUCACCCUUUCUUUCUUCUCUCCACUCUCAGCCUUCCUUCUAUCUUUCUUUCUUUUUUCGUGACCCUUCCCUAAUUUCCUAAGGGCCAAAACUUUGUCCCCUUUUAUUUUUAACUCAUGGCUCACUUUAUUUUCACUAUUCCUUACAUUCUCACCAUGUUGUUUGACUUGUUCUUCCACUUUGGCCGAAUCUGAAUGCUCCUCCUCAUAGCUUUUCUUCAACUGAAUUUGAUCUCCAUACACUUGUUUUGGUGUUCAUGGGGCAAAUGUAUAAAUUCAACCAUCUUUCUCCAAUGAAUACUUGUUCUUAAACCCAUCAUGCUUGGCUUUUCUAUCAAAUUGCCAAGGCCUCCCUAGUAACAGAUAAGUAGCAUGCAUAGGCACAACAUCAUAUAACACUUCAUCCUUAUACUUGCCUACUAAAAAAGAAAUCAUCACCUGUCAAUUCACCCUAACAACACCACAUCCAUUCAACAAUUGAAGUUGAUAAGGCCUCUCAUGCUUUAUGAUAUUCAACCCCAACUUUCUAACCAAAGUUACACUAGCAACAUUAGUACAACUACUACUAUCAAUUAUCAUACUACAUACCUUAUCAUUGAUUAGGCAUCUAGUAUGGAAGAUGUUCUUCUUUUGUUGCUCCACAUCAUCCUUCUUAGUCUGAACACUGAGCAACCUUCUAAUCACCAAAACUUUAUCACCAACAGUAUACUCUAAAUCACUAGCAUCCUCAAGUGGUGGCAUCUCAUCACAAUCAAACUCCUCAUUAUUGGACACAAUCUCUCCAUCAUCCCUUGGAAUCAUAACUCGGCGAUUUGCACACUCUGAUGCAUAGUGUCCCAAUCUCUGACACUUGAAACCCUUUAUAUCACGAUUACGCUUCAGUUGGACUUCUCCCUUAAGUUUUUAAUCACUGGCCAAAACCUGUUUUUUCAUGGAGGUAGGUUCGGCAACUUUAGAAGACACCAAGGGCUUCGAUGGCACACUACCCUCUCUUCUAUAAUUCAUCUUCCAACCCGAAGAAGACCCCGAAUAAGCUCCAGAUCGUGUAUUACACUUCCUUUUCAGUUGUCCUUCAACCUUAAUGGCUAAAUGCACUAACUCUUCCAAUUCAACAUAAGAUUGCAACUCCACAACAUUAGUUAUGUCUCUAUUCAAGCCAUUCAAAAACCUAGACAUAGUAACUUCCUUAUCUUCAUUAACAUUAGCUCUAAUCAUACCCACCUUUAAUUCUUUCUGAUACUCCUCCACACUCUUAAUACCAUGUGUAAUCAUUUGUAAACGAUUAAACAACUCCCUAUAAUAGUGUUUAGGAACAUACCUCUUCUUCAUUAUUGUCUUCAACUCCUCUCACGUGCUAAUUGGUCUUUCUCUAUUCCUUCUUCUUUCUACCACCAAUCUCUCUCACCAAACAAUGCAUAAUCAGUAAACUCCAUUACAGCUAACUUAACCUUCUUUUCUUCAUAGUACCUAUGGAUGUCAAAAAUCAUCUCUACCUUCUUCUUUUUUUUCAAUCUAAGUAAGCUUUUGGAUCAGUUUUUCCUUUAAAGGCUAGGAUUUUUAACUUGAUACUACCUAAAUUUCGGUCUAUAUCACCCAAAACAUCAAAAUCCCUUUUAUACUCAAAAUCCCUAAGUGGUCAAAUAUGUCCCCUCCUUGGUCGAUUCUCAUACCUCUCUCCCCUAUGUGUACGAAACCCACUACCAUGGUUAAAAUCAUCCUUGGCUUUAUCUAUAGAGUUUCCAGUAACACUCUCCUCCUUCCUAGCUUCUUUACCCUUUUUACUACGUCCCCCAUCAGACAUAGUCUCCAAUUUUUCAAUCCUAGUCAUCAGCUCACCAAACAUAAAUUUCAUCUGUUGUUGUAUUCUUAAAAGCCUAUCUUUUGGGAUUUCACCCUUCUUCUGUGGCACACUAUUAGAAGAUAUUUUUUUUAAACCUGCACGAAAAUCGUUAGCAAUAAAAAUAACACCUCACACACUUGUGUUUCACACAAAUUUAUAGGGUUUUCACUCUAAUAUGCUCCCUACGCCUUUUUCCACUCAAAUUGUCUUUCUUUAGUUCUUGAAAUCACUUAACAACAAUUCAAAAAAGCAAACAACUACGCAGUGAAUUUAUAAAUUUCAUAUAGACUCAAGAAGCAGGAAAUUUACGAAAUUAACAAAAACAAAACUAAGAUGACAAAUUCACGAGUAGCAAUGCAAAUUUGUACGAGUAAUAUGACGAUUCGAAGAUGCGAAAUAAACUAAAUGGAAGCAAUAAUACUAAAGAGAUUUACUAUCCAAACUGAAAAUUAAAUCAAACAAUGAUAAAACCUAAAAAAAAGAUAAAGAGCAACACAAAUUCUCAAUGACCAAUUUUCUUUCCCUAACUCUCGGCCAAACUCUAAAAUGUUGAUUUUCUUCUUCUUCUUCUUUUUGGUGGCAACAAUCAAAAUUUUGAAGAUCAAGCCCCUCUUUUUUCUUUUCUUUUUUGUAUACCAAUUCAGCAAUUAAGAAAAAAAAUCAACACUUUUUUAAUGUAAAUAUUGUGGCAAGAUCAAGAUUCAACAAGAACACUACCUUAUGAUUUUGGUGUUCAACAAUUCAAGAGAAUGCAAGAACCCUAAUUUUAUUUUAUUUUUAGUAUAUGUGGCCGAAACUAAUCAAGAAAAAUCAAGUAACAAAAGACACAAAUUGAAGGAUAUAACCUGUGAUUAGAUCUGCUCCGAUACCAACUGAUGUGUACCUUAGCAAAAUUGAAUGGAAUUCGCAAACCCAAGAUCUAUCUAAAGUUUGCUAAAAAUAGGAUGAGUUUAUCACAAUGAAAGACCUGCUCCAAGGCAACAAGACUAUAAACCAACCAAAUCACAACGCCUACACCUGGAGACGAGCAAAAGGAAUAUAAAUUCAUAAUAAAGAUUGGUCAAUUCUUUGAAGAGUUGAAAGUUCAAUCAAGAACCAAGAUUGACAACCAAAUAUCAGCAAAAUCAGAAUAUUAUUAGCCAAAACAAAGUAUAUUGAAAAUUAUUCUCAAGAGUAUUUAUACCCCAAGCCAAAAACCAUAAUUUUCCUAAUGGGUCACAUAUAAACCCAAUUUAAAUAAUAAUCAACCCAAGCUAAAACUAGCCCAAACUAAUUAAAAUAAAUAAAAUAAACAAGUGUUUCCUCAUAAAAUAAAGAAAGCAUAAUAGCCCAACUAAUUUAAUAAGACAAGUUCGGUUAUUUCAGCAUUUUAUCUGGCAGCAACAAAGCGCAACUUCAAACGGAUGGUUCUCUCUCGUCUUAAAGAAUUAGAAGGUGUGCUAUUUACUGUUGGAAAGGUUUGGAAGUCUAGUUUCCAUCACAACUAGAAUCACCUCAAAAUUCGACUUGUAGCUCCAGUUAUGAUAAAAAAAAAAGUUUUGAAAGGUCAAACUAUCCGAAUCUAGUGUUCUUCUCUCAAUCCUUGUGUAAUGGUUUUGGUUCCACCAACAAGCCCCUCUUGAACAUGAAUAAGAUUAAUCAUGGCUUACUCCUCAUUAUUUAAUAUCCUCUUGAAGUCCACCUUAGCCCACGUAUCUUGAAGAAGUUCAUUGAAAGCCUCUUUGAACCUCUUAGCUCUAAUCCUUGUAACUAGACCAACCGGAACCUCCAAUGGAUCCUGUAGUGCUUGGAUCGCAUCAAAUUUUUUAUGGGUUUUUCCUCUAGUUCUUGAAUGAUUCCCUCCACUUAGAGAUGAGCUGAAUUUGGGUUUUUACAAGGAAAAAAAUGAUUGUGGCAGACCAUGCAUGAUGAGAGAGGCUAAAUGUUUUAUUUUUAUUUUUAUUUUGGUCUUUAUGUGGUGUGUGUUUGUGAGUGGACGAGAGAAUUAGGGAGUGAGUGCAUGUGAGAGGUAUGGAGAAUGAGUGACUGUGCUAGUGAGUGGAAAAAUAUAGGGUCCAAUUUUUACUUUUCAAUUCCUUCCUCUUCUCCACACACCACUCACUCUUCUUUUCUUCUUUUUUUUAAUUCUUAGCACCUUAUACAAACAUUCUCCCACUUCCUUUUUUUUUAUUCCUUUUUAUCCAUCUACUCUAGUCUUUUUCUUUAAUCUUCACUGUAGUCCUUCUCCAUCUCCAAUUGCACUAUGCUCUCCGAACUUUUUUCAAAUACAAUUUUUUAUAUUUUUAUUUUUUUGAUUUUUCACAAUGAUUUGUAAACACAAAAAUAAUAGGUAAAAGGGUUGAAAUUAUGAAAUAGCCAAAAUUGGUUAAAUAGUGUUGAAAAUACAUUGUUUGGGAUUUUUGUAUUUUAAAAAAAAAUUAAAAAUAAAGGGUCAAAAUUAGAGUAUGAUAGUAAACAUGUCAAAUUUUAUAAAGGACAUAGAGACAUUAUAGGAGUGUUAUAGAUGGAUUAAUGGUUGGGUCUAAGACCUCCAACACGUCUUUCUUUAUGGUUGAAACAAAAACAAGCUAUAACAUCUUACUUGCACGAGAUUGGAUACAUGCUAACAUGUGUGUGCAAUUAUCCUUACAUCAAACUUUGAUGUUUGGUUAUUACAUUACAUGGUCAAUUGAGAAAGUUAAAGCAUAUGACAAGUCAUUUGUAAUUAACUCAAGAAUGGUAAAUGCAUGGCUAUAUAGCAAUGAUGUUGGCCUAGUCCAAUUUAUGAGCAUAAAUAAUAUGGGUUGCCUAAUCAACUUUUUAGUAAAUAAGAAAUUAGUAUGAAUUGGGUGAAUAACAACAAUUUAUUUCUAGGCCAAGUGACUUGUAUCUAGAAAGUAAUGGUUAGGAAUUCUAAACACAUGAAUAAAUGAGUCACUGUGACUUAUUUGCAUGUUUUAAGGCUUUUAAUGAAGCCUAUGAAUGUAUUAAGUACAAGAUGCGGUGCAUUUUUCCAAUAUUAGACUCAUAGAAACCAUCAUUAUUUGACCAAGGAUGAGUAUUCACUAGGAAAAAUGUAAGGCAAUUCACUCAAGAGUAUAGACUUAAAAUAAUUUAUUCUACUUUUUAUUAUGCCAACACAAUGGACAAGCAGAAUCAACCAAAAAAACUUUAAUAUUCAACAUUCAAAAAUUAGUUAAAAACAAUCAUAAAGCUCGACAUGAUUCAGUGAUAUGAGCAUACAAUAUUUCAUAGAAGAUUGCUUUAAGAACCUUACCAUUCAUUGUAACUUACUUAGAAAGAUUGCACAAUGUGUUAUGAAUAAUAGAUAUUAUCAAUCUAUUAUGCUAGUUAAGUUAGAAAAUUUGUAUAAACAAUUAUCAAGAAUAGAAAAACAAUUUAUAUAAAGGUUACUAAGUUAAAGAGUUGCUUUAUCUUCCUUUUAAAAUAAAUCAUUUUUUUAAGUUUAAAUACUAUAAAUGAAGGAUUUGAAUUCAAAUUCUUUUUACAAAUGUAAAACACUUAGUGUCACCUAACUCAGAGUUAGUGUCAAAUUCUCUUUUCAAAUUCAAGUUAGUGUUGUGUUGACCUUCCCAACCUGUGACAUAAACCUUACCUUGAUCAACCUUCAUUUUAAAUUUUAAAACUACGAUAAUAACAAUUUUUAUCCUUACAUUGACCAGGAUUAACUAAGGUUGAUCAUCCUAAUCUAUAACCUAGACCUUGACCUGGAUUGACCUCCGAAUUAAGUUUGAAAACUAUUAUAAUAAAUACUUUUAUUUUAUAUUAACCCAGGUAAACCCAAGUUGACCCUCCAAACAUAUAAUUUGAGCUUUACUUAGCAUCAACCCCCGAGUCAGAUUUUAAAACUAGGAUAUUAAUCACUUUUAUCCUUACGUUGACCUAGGUCAACAGUCAACCUCACUCGUGACCCAAGUCUUGCCCCAUGUCAACUCUCAAAUCAAGUUUUAAAACUAUAAUAGUAAUCACUUUUAUUCUUUAACUCGGGUUAACCCAUGUCAACACGACUCGCGACCCAAGCCUUGAUUGGUGAAAUAGACUUUUUCCCAAAUAAACCUUUGAAUUGAGUUUUAAAACUAUCAUAAUAAUUAUUUUUAUUCUUUCAUGUCUUAGACAAUUUUAAAACUAUAAGUUUUUACAAUAAUAUUUUAAAAAUAACAAAUAAUAAAUAUUAUUUCUGAAGACAUGUUCCCUAUGUACCUCUUAUUUUAAAAAUACAAAAAUUCACUCUAAAAUUAUUUGUUUCUCUUCAACAAAAAAAUAUUUACAUCUUCAAUGUCUCCAUCUAUUCUCCCCCAAAACAGUAACUAAACGCUGCAUUACUGUUUGUGAUGACCAACGUCUGUCAACGUAAACAGACUUCAUGGCAGUGAGGUCCCUAAUAAGUCGCUUAAAAAAAUAAUCAGGAUCGCUAUCUGAAUAUUACAUGGACGCCACUUGAGCCAUGAACCGCACAGCAUAACAUUUACCAAAAUCCACAAUCAGCACAAGACCACCCCAGUAUCAAUGCCAUGAGUGACGUGAUCAUAUAGGAACAAUUACACCAAGCCCUAUUUUAUCAUUAUUAUGCACUUGUCCUCGUUCUUGCAUACAAGGAUACAAGAAGGAUUUCCGGAACAAAUUAAGCAGGGUUUAAAGUCAAAACUGUGUAGAGAAUAGAGACAAAAAAAAAAACAAAAAAACAUUGGGAGCAGGAAAUAUACGCUUCCGGUGCAUUUUCUUGUAUACUCUCAUGCCACAAAAAAAACGAAAAACAUGAGGAAUACAAUAAGUACAAGAAAUAUUUUCAUCAUCAGCCAUCGGUUGGAUGAAAUACUGUUAAGAUACCUGACCAGUUGGCCCUGCGCGCCCUCUACAUUUGACAGUGACUCAUCCAUGUUCUCGUCAAUCCUGUGUCAGCAAUGCCCUUAGGUGAGUUGUAAAUGAUUGCUAAAUAAACAGUAAUAGAUUAAAGCAAUUUCUUUUGCUUUUGCUUUCAGUAAGGAUUUUUAGUAUGUUUUACAUUUGUUCCUUUAUACUGGUGAAUUUUUACUCCUCUCAAACUGCCAAUCCCCAAUCAUAAGAUGCAUUGGCAGAUAGCAGCAGCCAACAUACCAGUCAUCUUUAAGAAAGACGCAGCCGUGUCUAGGACUUGGAGACACAGAAACUGUUUCCAGUACGAGGAGCUGAAGAGUUCAACUGUCCAGAUGAUCCUCAUGCAUCUAUUUAUGCACAAAUACUGAAAUACUUGUGCUUAAUCAAAGCAUCAUUUGUAGCAAUGGAAACCAUAACAAAGAACAAACCUGAUUGCCAGCUCUCCUUGCUGAGAAACCAUUGUUGCUAGUUGAGUAAAGAUGUUGCUCAGCUCAUGGAUUGUUGACUCCACGUUAUGAAGGGCUUCAGCUCUGCUAUGCAUGUAACUGUCUUGUAGUGGAACCAUUUGCUGUUGCUGCUGUUGCAAAAGCGGCUGGGACUCAACAUCUGUCGAUUUGCUGCAAAGGAGAAGGGACAAUUUUCAGUGGGAAAAUAAAGACUCUCUUGUCUAUAGACAUCAAUCAACCCAUCCUCACCCAAAAAAAAUUCCACAUCAAGAAUAGAGGAAAUUUCAUGAAUUGGUACAUAAGAAAGAAGAAAAGAAAAAAAAGUAAAGAAAAUACGAGGCCAUUCCUACUACAACUUCCUAAUAGCACAACAAAUGCUGUAACUUGUACCUGGGAACUAGCUGGGAUGAGGAUACAGAAGCAUUGGCCCAUGGAGGGGGAGGAGCCUGUGUUGCACUAGCAGCUGUCCUGGAAGUGAGUGGACGCUGACGAACAAAGGGAUUUGAAGAGUCUUUUGAAGCAGUGGAAGAAAACAACUGCCUUCGGUUCUCAUGAACCUUUAGAUUCUGUACAUUUACAUAAAAUUCAAGACAUCAACAAUACAUUACAAUACCAAAAAUCCUGAUUAUGGAAUCUUGAGCUGCUUCAUGUGUUAGAUGCAACUUUCAAUUUACCUCUGUCCGCGUUGUGAGGACUUCUUUAAACUCCUUUGUAGCAGUCAUCAAGCGAUUCUUUAGGUUAUCUACAACUGUGGUUGAAUGAGUUGUAGUAUCACUUGAGAUGUUUCCGCUUUCAUUCUGGGAGUUGCAAAGGAGUUGGAGGUCUACUACAGCUGCAUUAAGUGCAGUAAUAUCUUGUUUUAUAACUGCUGUCAACUCUUGGAUCUCCAGAGUUGGAUCAUCAAACACCGAUGUUCUUUUCGCCACUGAUCAAAAUGCAAGAAAUAUUAAUGCUAAACAUUUUUUUGGCUUCAUUAGAUUAUUACAAGUCAAUUCCAACCUCAAAAUAGCUAUACUGUUUUCAAACUCAGUCUGUAAACAUUGAAUGUAAAGUAAUUCAUUGUUUUAGAUCCAAGCAAUGGAAUGACCGAUUGCUAAAAUAGACUGUGAAAAACACAGAAAAGGCAAGAGAGAUCUAGCACAACAAAAACUCAUCAUAUAAUCACAAAUUUCCAUAAAACUUACAUAAUAAAGGGCUGCAUUUGUAGAAUUCCUGGUGUAAGAAGAUAUCAAUCAAUGAACGGAAAAAUGAAAAGACUUACAAAUCAACAUCCAUUUCAAUGGUUUCAAUUCCUAAAAUUUUGUUGCAGCUACCAUCAAGGUGAUGAGGUCUGAUUAUCAUAUUCAAUCGGUAGUUUUAGAUACCUUCUGACAAUUUUCCACAUGCAACACUCUAUAUUUCCAGGAGGUGUACUGCUCUCCCAGGAGAGCUGAGACCCCAUGGCUCUCCCAGUCAGAAUAAUGAUUUGUUUAAUUCAAAACUUAAGAACAACUUAACUUCUCUUAUUUAUGGAAAUUUACAAAGUUAUAUGAGAAACAGAGGAACUACCAAUAAGAUGUGAAACUCUAAUAGUUGCAACCAUACCCGUGCACUAAUUAUUUCCAGGUUCUGUUUUUGCUGAGAAGAGAAUUCAUCGAUAAGGAUUGAGGAAAUAAGUAAAACAAAAUUACAAAGUAAAUACAACAGAGAAAUUCAAUAUCAUUGACAAUCCACCAGACACUUCUGGAAAAGCCCUCAAGAAAGAGCACCAUAAGGAUGGCAAGAAAACUGUCUUCUCACAAUAAAUGCUUCCAGAGAGUAGUUCUUGAAGAUUCUCAAAUUCAAUUCUAUCCACAUACUCCCAAAAUCUCCAAAAAUACUCAAUUUCCAAGCACUAGUAAUCAUUGAUACAAAGUCACCUCCAUAAAUUUCAUUGGAACAAAAACAAAAGAAGAGACUAAUAAAAGAUGGGGAUCAAGAUGACAAUACUUACAUAAUGAGCCUAAAUUAGAUAAGAUUGAAACUCAUGUAAGUAAAAUAUGAGGAAUAUGAUAAUUCUCACUAAGAAUCAGUAUAACAAAGUUGCCUUCUCAUUAUAUUCACCUUCGUCAACUUCUUCCCACUCCUAUGAACUGAAAACCUUCAAAAUAUGCCAGGUUAAGUAAUUUGAACCUUAAAAUUAUGUAAAUGUUCUCCUAGGAAGCAUAAACCAUGCAUCAAACUAACACCUGAAGAAAGUGGAAAGAGCAACUGAUCAGCUGAUGCACUUUGGUUUGGUCUGAGUUGCCACAAUAUCCUUGUACCACUCCUAUAUUUUUAUUCGGAAGAUUCUUUCCAGAAUGCGGAACAUUUUCAAUAAAGAACAUUAAAUUUAUUGAUUACACUUUCCAAAUUAACAAACAAUAAUCUUAGUCUAAGACUAUGAAUAAUAAAGGAAAAAUAUUUGUAAAGGACCAACUAUGAUUACACUUUCCAAAAAUAUUUUAAUUAUGUAUUUUCUAAAUCACAUUUGGCAAAACACAUUUCUUUUCUUGUCAUACAAACAUUUUUUCUUUUGUAAAGGACCAAGAAUUGAAAAAUAACAAAGACGAUAGCAUUCAAAGAUAGAUAGAAAGAAUGAAAAAACAACCACCAUGCGAGAAACAGUUACCAAUUUUUCUGAACAUGUGCUAACUCCCUUCCAAAAAGAAAUAAUAAUAAUAAUAAUAAUAAUAAUAAUAGCAGCGACAAAAACUUAUCCUUAAGAAAUCUCUAUGGAUAAACACAAGAUAUUCGGAUCCUCACACUUCGAAGAACAUAGCUCCAGCCCUCGUACUUGCUCUAGGAAUGAAUAGAAUUAUUGUUUUACACCAACGAUGAAGUGAAUUUUACUAAUCUUGUGUUUUAAGAAUGUACCAAAUUCUUUCUUCAAUCAUUACCAUUACAUCACCAUUACCAUUGCCACAACACGAUAUUACUCGCAUCAAUUAUCAAUCAUCAAAAUCAUUUAAAUUGAGGACAAAAAGAGAAGGAAGUAGCUCACGUUUUGCCAGCUUCGCCAGCUUCUGAGAUGUCUGGUGGAUCCCAUACCCGAUCAUGGAUGCUCUUUUACUAAAUUCGGAUUGAAUCGCCACAGCAGAUCGCUUAGCAUCCGGCUUCGUGCUGCUACCGGUACUGGAUGAUGCCGCAUUGCUCGCCGAUGAGAACGAUUUCUUUAGCCUCUCUGCUACACUCAGAAACUCUUGUGUCCGGUCCCGAUAGGAUGUUUUUACCGGCGGCAUCAUCUAAUUUUUACAAAAGAAAAAUAAUAAUUCUAGUUUAUUAUAAUCUCGAAACCCUAAAUUGAGGAUUGAUUGGGUUGUCUGUGAAACGGCAAGAGAUGCUGCGUUGGGGAAGAUAAAGCAGGACAAAUUGUAAAUAGGGGUAGAAUUGAGGAAGAUUAUAAAACGUAAAAGGAAAGAGUGACUGACCGCUUCCUCAAAGCGAGAGGAGAUCUAGAUCUACCUCAUCAAAUUCUUUUCUUUCUUUCUUUCUUUCUUUUGUCCAGUUUGGGUGCAGCUGCAAAAUUAAAACGCACAGUUUUAAGCUCCGACUGGUUUUACGACAUCGUUCAGAAGUAUAGCGUUAGCUAAAAUCUUAAAAAGUGGGGCAUGCUGCGUCCAAUUUUGAAUACUUGUUUUGAUAACCAUUAAUCAUUAUUCUAGUUUUUUUUUUCUCAAAAAAAUAAUAAUUAAAAUUAUAUAUAUUGAGAAUCAAUAAUUUUAAUAACCAGUCCAUCACUGGACUUGAUUACUGCGCUUUGAUGCAGGCAAUUGAUCGUGUUGUUGUUACCAGCGAUUGUUGCCGAAAAAAGCACAAAUUAUUUUUGGAAAGUUACUAUUAUCAAAAUAUAAAUCAAAAGAAGGAGAGUAUGCUGGAAAAUUUUGCAGCAGCAGUUGAUACUAGGAUCGCCAUCAGUUUUCAACCUUUGUACAUGUGUAUGCAAUUCUAUUUACAGGAGAAGUCUUACCCUAUAAAUUUUAACCUAAUAGGCUUUGGAUCCUAAGCUAGUGUUACAUUAGGUGACCCGCGUUACUUAAAUUUUAUUUUGGUAUAAAAUAUAUCAAAAAAAUAUAAAUAUUUUUUAAAAUAUAUAUAUAUAAUAUUCAUGUAAUUGGUUCGAGUAAAUUUAAUAAAUUUUAUUAAUUUAAUAAUAUCAUUAGAAAAUAAGAUAUCAACAAUGAUACGUCAUGGUUUCCUUAAGACUCCCCUGUUUAAAGGUCAUCGCACAAAAAUCAUAACCCAAAAUGCAGCUAUGUCUUUUUUAGUGCCCAACCCUAAGUUGGGCCGUGGCAUUCUCGCGCCCAACUCCAAGUUGGGUAAGGGUACGUCCGCGCCCAACCCCACAUUAGGCAACGGACGCACCCGCACCCAACUCCACGUUGGGCUAUGGGGGUCAACACCCAAUCCCCUAUUGGGUCAGGGACACGAUCGCGCCCAACUCCACGUUGGGCUAUGGCAUGUUUGUCCCUAACCAUUCUUGGGUGCAGUCACAAGCUGAACUCAACUCCUUUUGGGCUCAGUGUGUGAGUAGAACCCAACACCCUCAGGUUGAUUGCAUAGCAGAAAGGUAACUCCACACUAAGUCUCUCAUACUCUGGGUCUGGGUUAGUAAUUAUGAUACUCAUCGCAUUCUAUUAAAUACGAACAAGCAGUUAAUUAGACUUGAUGGUACGAGCAGUAAAAUAAUAUUAUCUUACUAGUAUAAGAUUACAUUUCUACCCCUCCUACGUUACAUGAAACAGGUCAAGUCAGAUAAUAUAAAAGAGAGCAGUAAUAUACGAAAAGGGAUUCGAAACCUUAUACUUUGAUACAUAAACACACUUCUUCUUCUUCUACCUGAAUUCUAUAUCUUCUUCCCUUUCCUCUUCUUUAUCUUCAUAAAAGCUGAUUAAUAUCUUCAUUAAUGUCAUUUUAACACAUGAAAAUACCUCGUACUAACUUAAUCUUUGGAGGGUCCCCCAUCAACACCCCCAGGGGUCUCUAAGGAAUUUUAUGCAUGUAUUUAUUCCAGAAGAAUUUCACACCCUCUGAGGAGAUCCAUUAAAGAAGAAGCCGAAAGUAAAGGUCGUAAAACACGUUGUGAAUGACAUACAAGGAUCUCUAAGAGCAAUUCAUUCCAGAAUAUCCCUUGUGAUUUUUGUAUCCUCAUCAUUUGGCGCCGUCUGUGGGAACCUUUACAAAAAGCUAAUUACUUCUCCAGCAAAAAACUAAGCUUUGACGUACGGUUCCAUCUAUUACACCAACACGACAGAUCCAGGGUAUAUCACAGAUACCAACAUUGUUGUUGGUACGUCCGCCCAACCUCAGAUUGAGAUGAUGGUUGAGCAGAUAUGUUUGCUCUCUAAAGAGGUCGUCAGAUUGAGAGAACAGCUUACGGUUCAUCCUCAACUAGCUCACGGUUCAUCCUCAACUAGCUCACGAUGUCCCAGCACACAUCUUACCACCUCAGCCACAAAGAACCCUUGUAGCCCGAAGACGCCUCAAUUAUGUAGAGGGAUAUGGGUAGAAUGAAGAGGAACCACUUAGAGAUCGUUCUCGUAGUCCAACUCGAGAACGUUCACAUCGUCUCACGUUACUAGUGAGAAGUGAACAUUCUCGUAGAGUUCAAACUAGCCACCGUGGGAAAGAAAGAGUUCAUCACUCCCACCAUUCCAUGCUAGAUUCCUUCAGUUCAUCUGGUUCACACCGAGAACGACCUAGAAGAAGGGCUGAGGAGAACUUACGGCAUCACCAACCUGCCCACUAGUACCAAGUGGAAGGCUCUCCAUUAUCCAAGAGAGUUUUGGAAGUCAAGGUACCCAAAGAGUAUUUAUCCGCGAAGAUGAACCUAGACAAAUAUGAUGGACUUACAGACCCUCGGGAACAUAUCCAGAAUGUGAGGGGGAGCCUUGAGCUGGUCAUCCAUGAUAAUGACGUCAUGUGUAAGAUAUUGCUUACCACCUUCAGAGGGGACGUGAGGACAUGGUAUAACAACUUGAAGUCAAGAUCGAUCCUGAGCUUCCAGGAUCUAUGUGCUAAGCUGGUAGCACGUUUUAGCACCAGCAUCCUCAUGAAAAAAAGCUCCACAGAGCUAUUUGGAAUUAUCCAAAGCGAGAAGGAGUUUACUCGGGCAUAUCUGAGGAGAUUUAAUGAAGAAAUGCUUUGAUCAAGGGGGUUAGGAGUGAAGAUUUGUGGAAACAGCUCUACCCGCUACAAGACAGAACUCUCCUAAGGGUCAAAUAGAUGAUCGAGAGCCAUAUCAGAGUGGAGAAAGCCUUGCCUGCUCGUAGAAACUCCUCCUAAAUUCAUAGAAAGGGGGUUAGAGUUGAACCUCCCAACCGGAACCGUUCCCCUAUCAAACGGCAAGAUGUUAAGAAGAAAUGGUCUUCUAGGGAACAUCCUACUAGGUUUGAAAGGGUCUACACCUCUGUGAACACCAGUUAUACAUAAAUCUACACGGCUUUGAGGGGUCAGAACUUGCUUUAAUAUCCUCCUCCUUUAAAGCCUAAUCCCAAUCUCAAGUUCUCUAAGAAGUACUACCAGUUUCAUAUGGAGAAAGGACAUGAUACCAAGGAUUGUUAUGCUCUAAAAAAAGAGGUGGAGAGACUUCUAGCACAAGGAUACCUCAUCCAGUUCUUAAAAAAGGAUUCAUCUCUAGACGGGAGAGAGGUGAAGUGAGACAACAAAGACCAGCACUCCUAGAGGUUCUUAUCAUACUAGGGGGCUCAUCAACCAAUGUAGGCGUCACCAGUAAUAAAAGAACAAGGCUGGGAGAUCAAGUUCUAGUUACAAUGGGUUAAGAAAGUUCUUGGCAUAAACCCAUCACCUUCACUCUUGCUGAUGGACAAGGGAUUAAACACCCACAUGAAGAUGCCUUGGUGAUUUCCACGGUCAUGGAGGGUCACAGGGUCCACAAGAUCCUAGUGGAUAGUGGUAGCUUAGUGAACAUCCUAUUAGCAGAGGUCAUGACAAAGAUGGGCAUAGACGCCUCCAGAAUGACUCUUGUGCUAACACCUCUCAUCGGGAUAGAAGGGUCAGCAGUGCUUGUGAAAGGGGCAAUAGGGUUUACCGUCACUAUGGGAACUGCACCUCAUUGUGUAACUCUCCAGCGGACAUUUAUGGUCAUUGACACCCAUCUCUCAUAUAAUGCCAUCAUCUGGAGGUCACUGCUUCACCAAAUCAGUGCAGUAGUCCGUACUAAAUAUUUGACCCUGAAGUUCCCAACUGUUAAAGGGGUAGUUGUGGUGAAGGGGAACCAAGAAGCCUCAAGAGAGUACGCAAACACAUGUCUGAAGGGCAAGAAUGCCCUAUUGAUUAAUCGUCUUCAAGCCUACGAAGAGAAGCCCGAAGUCAUAAUAGAGGCAGCUGAAGAACUAGUUGAAGUUCGUUUGGGCUCCACCAAUAAAGAGGUCACGAGAGUGGGUUGCACCCUGAACAGUCAAUAGAAACACGACCUCACGGAGUUGCUGGUAUCGCAAAAAAGCAACUUUGCUUUCCAUCCAGAGGACUUGCCAGGGAUCAACCCUGAAAUAGCUUCACAUCGGCUGAAUAUAGACCCUAGCUUUCCUCCUAUACGAUAGAAAAAGAGAAGUGUAAGGAGGGACAGACAGAAGGCCAUCUCUAAGGAGGUAGAUAAGCUCAUGUCAGCAGGAUUCAUGUAGGAGGUAACAUACCUUGAGUGGCUCGCCAACGUUGUGAUGGUAAAGAAGGCUAAUAACAAAUGGCAAAUGUGUGUGGACUUCAUCGACUUGAACAAGGCAUGCUCGAAGGAUAACUAUCCCCUUCCCAAAAUAGAUAAAUUAGUGGAUUCAACAGCGGGGUAUGAGUUCCUCAACUCAUUGGAUGCAUACUCUAGGUAUCAUCAAAUUCUCAUGCAUCUAGCUGAUGAAGAGAAAACAUCCUUCAUAACCAAAAGAGGGACCUACUGCUACAGGGUUAUGCCUUUCGGUUUGAAGAAUGUAGGGGCAACAUACCAGAAGAUGGUGGACAAGGUGUUCAAACAUCAGUUAGGCAGGAUCAUGGAAGGAUAUGUGGAUACAUGUUGGUAAAAAUUAUGACUUUUGAAUAGCAUCUACAAGACCUUAAAGAAGUCUUCCAAGUACUGGAGAGCCAUAGUAUGAAGCUGAACCCCUUCAAGUGCGUGUUCGCCAUCCGGGGGGGUUCUUGGGUUUUCUGGUCAACCAUAGAGGGAUUGAGCCCAAUCCAAAAAAAAUUCAAGUACUGUUGGGCAUGAACCCCCCCUAGACAGUGAGGGAGGUGCAACACCUUAUAUGAAGGUUAACAGCUUUGAGCAGAUUCAUAACUAGAAUAGUGGAACGAGGUUUGCUAUUUUUCAAAGCUCUAAAGAAUACCCCCAACUUCCAGUGGACACCUGAGUGUCACAAAUCCUUUGAAGAGCUGAAGGUUUACCUUUCCUCCCUAAAUGUUCUCUUUCAGCCCAAAGAGGGGAGACUCUGUUCUUGUAUUUGGGGGUGGCAGACCGGGUUGUCAAUGCAGUGUUGGUCAGGGAGGAAGAAUGAGUACAACGUCUGGUCUAUUAUGCGGCCAAGACACUUUUAGAUGCCGAAACCCGCUAUUUGAGGAUAGAAAAAUAGCCUUAGCAUUGGUGACAGCUUCUAGGAAGCUGAGGGCCUACUUCCAAGCACACCAAAUGGUGGUAUUGAUGAACUAGGCUUUGAGAUAGAUCCUUCACAAACUAGACAUGUCAGGACAACUAGUGAAAUACGCAAUAGAAUUGGAAGAGUAUGGGUUGUAGUAUAAACCAAGGCCCGUAAUCAAGAGGCAAGCUAUGGCCGACUUCAUAGUUGAAUGUAGAUGUAAGAGUAUUUAAUUAUAAAUACCAACUAUAUGAAAAACGAGUGAAUGUUUUUGGGUCAGACGAGUUGGCCGUGGUACACACCUUACUCAUCAAAAUUUGAACUCGAGUUGGAGCCUGUCCUAUGCCUUUGGAUAGGUACUAGACCCAUCAACAUCUAAUUUUAUCAUAUUAAUGUUUAAGAGUCUGUUUGAUAUUAUGGUAAUGUAAAAUAUUUUUUAUUUAAAAAUAUAUUAAAAUAAUAUAUAUUUUUUAUUUUUUUUUAUAUUAGUUCAUCAAAAAAAUUUAAAAAUAUUAAAAAAUCAUUUUGAGAAAAAAAACCAUUUUUUUUUAAAUAUUUUUCAACCGUGAAACAAAUUGGGCAUUCGUACAUUUAUGUCCACGUGAUUUACAGACCCACACGUGAGAUAAUUUAGUUUUUCCAAAAGUGAUACCGAUGAAAAAGAAAAAUUGGACGGAAGUGUUAGAUUUGUGCACUAAAGUCGGACUUGCUAUAUUACAGAUUGACCGCCAAGGACGCUCCAAGAGAAAAUUCCAAAAAAUCCAAAUUCUUUCGCUCUCUUUUUGUUUGGUGGGAAAUAGAAGCGAAGCCACCAAUAAAGGAAAGGAAAAGAAAGUCAUAAAAUGAACACAGAAACAAUGCAGCGGAAUCGUCAGGGUCAAGGGUCGAGAAUUUCCAAGCCUGCCACCAUUCAUAGCUGUGCUCAAUCGGGAGAUCUUCUUGGGUUCCAAAGGUUACUCAGUGGAAACCCUUAUCUCCUCAAUGAAAGAAACCCUGUUGUAAGAUCCCAUUAGUUUCCUUUCUUUAAUUCUCAUCAUGUUCAUGAUUCUGUUUUGUUACCGGGUGGGUUUUUCUAGGUUCUGUGAAAAUGGUGUUCUUUAACGGGUAUAUUGUGAAAAUGAAAGAUCUUGCUUCAUUUUAUCUGCUGGGUUGGUUCGUGUAUUUUUGCUCGUUUUGUUCUUGUGAUUGGUUGGUGGAUCUGUUAUGGACACAAUUGAAUGGAAACUGGUGAAUUUGUUGUCACUUGUAUUGUUGACUAUGGUAUCUGUGACUGAGUUAAAGAAAGAAGAAAAGUUCAUGCAUCUUUUUAUCUGACUGUAUUUUUUUUUCUUUAAAUUUUAACUUGAUUUGCUUAAUUGCAGAUGGCGCAGACUCCACUUCAUGUUUCUGCUGGUUACAACAGGGCUGAGAUAAUUAAAUUUCUUCUUGAUUGGCAAGGAGCUGAGAAGGUUGAACUGGAGCCUAGGAAUAUGGUAAGCGGAGAGUACAUGCUUAUGUGUCAGUUUCCUGGUCAAAUUUUAUACCAAUUGCUUAGAUCUUUCUAUAAAUUUAUGCAAGCUUCUCUUGAUUAACACAUCUGAUUUCGUUGUGGUUGUUAUCAUCCUGAAAUUUGCAGUAUGGAGAAACUCCUUUACACAUGGCAGCAAAGAAUGGUUGCAGCGAAGCUGCACGGUUGCUUCUUGCUCAUGGUGCUAUUAUUGAAGCCAAAGCGAAUGUCUGCUUUCUUGGCGCCAUGUUAUCCAUUUUUUGUUUUGUUUCAAAUUAAAACUGGGAACUUUUUAAGACAAUUUCUAAUAUGAACUGCUUUUUUCCUACUUGUCUUAUUCUUGCAGAAUGGAAUGACACCGUUACACCUUGCAGUUUGGUACUCAAUCAGAGUGGAAGAUCACUCAACUGUUAAGACAUUGCUGGAGUAUAAUGCUGACUGCAGUGCAGAGGACAAUGUAUUGUAGAUGCCAGUGCCCAAUUUUUUCCAUUUUAAAUUAAUUUUCUUUAUUAUAAAACACUGGUAAUUUGUGUAACCUUAAAUUUGCAGGAAGGCAUGACUCCUUUGAAUCAUCUCUCACCAGGUCCAAGGAGUGAGGAGUUGUGUAAACUAUUGCAGUGGCAUCUUGAAGAGCAGAGAAAGAGAAAAGCACUUGAAGCAUGCUCUAAAACAAAAGCUAAGAUGGAUGAACUUGAAGAUGCUUUAUCAAAUGUUGUGGGGUUGCAUGACCUCAAGAUACAACUGAGAAAAUGGGCAAAGGGUAUGCUUUUGGAUGAGAGGCGCAGGGCCCUUGGUAUGAAAGUUGGUCUGAGAAGACCGCCUCAUAUGGCUUUCUUGGGAAGCCCUGGAACAGGUAUUGGGCUGUUUGAUUGUUUCUGUAUCAUUAUGCUAUUUCAUCAUAUUCCAUAAAUCAUUCUUCAGUCCUGAAAUCCAAAAAAAGAAAAUCUUGAUCUAAUAUUUUAGUUUUACUAUGCUAUUUUGCCUUCUCUUCUGGUGAAUAACUUAUGAUCUUCCUUUUUGCAAGUGUUUCAGAAUUCUCAAAUCCCAUUGCUAUUUAACAAUAAUUUAAUGAUUGCAUUCUCAUGUGUAUUGUCAAACUUGUGUCAUUAGCUUGGAUUAACUCUUAACACUCUUGUGUUGUGGAGACAGACAAUGGAGUUCUGAGCUAAAUUUAAUAAGGCCUUGUUGCCAAAAAAUUGGCUCGAUGCCCCCUUUUGUAUUCCACUAUUUACUGAACCACAGUUUUCAUUAAAUUAUAGACCAAAAUCUCUUUUUCCAGAUAAGUCAAUCCAUCCCAUUUUGUUUCUGAGAUUGUUCUUCUCAAACAUUUGCAAGUUUUCCCAGUUAAUGCUACCUGUACCUUAUAGUUUAUGUUGCCAGUUGGCUUCCCCUAUUAGAUGUGAGAAGGAAAGACUAAGCUGCUCAUGAUGUUCUUGGGGUGACAAAAAAGAUUAUCAUUCAUUUCUUCAGUUUAUCAAUAUGUAUGCCUGUUGCUCUCUUGUUUAAACCCUUAUUUCUCUUUAGGAGUCUGGAUCUCAUUUUUUGCUGAAAAGUGGUAGAGAAGUACAAGAAUAGUCAACUGAUUGAUUUUAAAUUAUCUUGUGAUUGAACUCAAAUUUUUCUGUAUAUCUUUGAUUAAGUCAUAAAGUGAGAUGAUAAUUAUCAUAUUCUAUAGGUAAGACCAUGGUAGCUCGAAUACUUGGAAGAUUACUGCAUAUGGUAGGAGUUCUACCUACUGACAAGGUAACAGAAGUACAACGUACAGAUUUGGUUGGUGAAUUUGUUGGUCACACUGGACCCAAGACUAGAAGAAAGGUUUGUUGCUGGGGUUUCUGAAAUCAAAUGUCAGCUUUCUUGGCAGAUAAUGUAAUGCUUUCUUCUGCCAAACUAAUUUACAACACCUGUUGCAGAUUGCAGAAGCAGAGGGAGGAAUUCUUUUUGUGGAUGAAGCAUAUCGGCUUAUACCAUCGCAGAAAGAGGAUGAGAAGGACUAUGGGAUUGAAGCCUUAGAAGAAAUUAUGUCUGUUAUGGACAGUGGAAAAGUCGUAGUCAUAUUUGCUGGCUAUAGUGAACCUAUGAAGCGUGUGAUAUCUUCAAAUGAGGGUUUCUGUAGAAGGGUUACCAAGUUUUUCCAUUUUAAUGACUUCUCUUCUGAAGAUUUAGCAAAUAUUUGCCACAUCAAGAUGAAUAAUCAGGAUGAAGGUAGUUCGCUGUAUGGUUUUAAAUUACAUUCUUCAUGCAGUGGAGAUGCCAUUGCCGCCCUGAUUGAGAGAGAAACAACAGAAAAGCAGCGUAGGGAAAUGAAUGGAGGUUUAGUAAAUGUCAUGUUAGCUAAUGCUAGAGAGAUUUUGGAUCUCAGGCUUGAUUUCAACUGUAUCGAUACCGAUGAACUGCAGACCAUCACCUUAGAGGAUUUGGAAGCUGGCUGUCAACUGUUAUAGUCAUGAUAAGGAAAGAAUGUUGAGUAAUAUAUUUUUGGUAGUCUGGUAGGAUUCCAUUGUUUUCUAAUGUUUAUAUCCUCGUUCCUCCAACUGUCUUGGGGUCUAAGUUUGUCAAAGAUUUUGCAUAUCCUGUCCAUGAUCAGGAAAGAAUGUCCUGUUUGUUGUUGUUUUAGUUUAUGAAACGAGGGAAAUGUCCUCAUGAUAGGUAUUCCCUCAAUCUCUUAUUAAUUCAUUCAUAUGGCCAUUCAUUAUGCCUGUGCCUUCUUGUAGUUAAUCUUUUUCAACUUAUGCUUACAAAUUUCUUUGUAUUCUGUAAUUGUAAAACCUUUGGCAUUAGUAAUUCUAUUAUGAAUCCCUUCUUCAUCUUUCCUAUUCUCUCUCUCUCCCUCUCUCUCCAUCGUGGGGUGUGGAGAGAAGCAAUUAUGGUCUCAAGUUCCCUAUCGAUUAUACUCACUGCCCACCUCUUCAAUUCCUUCAAUUUGAACCUCUCAUUUAUCUUCUACAUCCACUUCUCUGAGGCCUAUACUAAUGUUUAAAAACAACUCAAAGCCAGUCAAAAUUUCACCUUUUCUUUGCUUUUCUUUUCAACGAUCUUCAAAAGUGUUUGCUUUUUCUUCCAAUAAUCAAGAUGGGUCAGCAGAACAGUUCUUAGAAAACAAUUCUAUUGUGGAUCUCAUGAAGUUCAAGAGAGGCUCUGAUAGAAGCAGUGGUGAGUUGCAGACUGCUGCUGUUGUUUAUAGAAAGAGACUCCCUUGGUCCAUUCUCUACCCUUUUUUUCAGGUACUUCUUUCUCAAUCUUGGCUUGUUUCAAUUGGGUUUGAUGUUUUAGUGAGCUUACUAAAUUAUUUAUUGUUUGCUUUUGUUCAUAUACAAUUUUGCCCGUGCUGGUUGAUUUGGUUCUACAAUUCACAUUGCGGAUAAAGAGCAUGUCCUACUUUGUUUGAAUAUGGUUUUUUCAUUUCUCUGGUGUUGUUUAAGAUUGAUUACAGACGGUGUGUAUAUCUUAUCUUAUACGAAGGCUACAUUUAUUUUUUAAUUAUUUGAUACUUCUAGUUAUACUGAUGCAAUAAAGUUUCUAGUAAUUAUGAGAUUUGUGAAACUCGAAAUAGAUCUUUAAAAAAUAAAUUUAAAAUUUGACUAGUUGAAUUACACCCCUCAGGAUUAAGAUAUGAUUUAAUAUUGCAAGUGGAAUAUGGGUGGAGCAAAUUUUGGCUCCAACCCAAUCCAUUAAAUUUUUACUUUUGAAGAACAUAAAAAAGAAAAGAAAAAAGUUUAACACCAUUUGGUAUGUGGAUGUGUUGCAUGCUUACUUCCCUUGUGAUGAAAAAGUUUAUCUUAUAUGAAUGAAACUUUAGUAAUGAAAAUUUUAUUCGAAUCUUAUUGAGACCAAUUUAAACUGAUUUAAAUGAAUAGAAUUUUUUGUAUUCGGGUUUUAGUCAAAUUUAGGUAUUCCUUAAAAUAAAAAAGUUAGAUCUAAAUAAAAUAUGGAUAUUGCCCGACUCCGCUUGAACCUUAUUUGAACUAUAAAAAUAACUUUAUUUGUUGCAUCCAUAUCAUUGAAAUGAGAUAUAUGUUGUUAAUAUAUCAUUGAAAUGUGUUGCAUCCAUAUCCCUGUUGAGAAUAUAAUGCUUUCUUUGGAUAGCAGGUUGUUUCUCUCUCUAAAGAGGUAUCUUGAAGGCUGUAGCAUGGCUCUUGCUUGUAGUUCCCAUGUCAUCUCAUGUCUCAGUUUUGUUUUGUUUUUUUUUCUGCUUUUAAUUAUUAUGAACUACUAGUUUGCAGGUCUAUUUUUAAUUAUAAAAUAGGGUCAGGUACACAAGCAAGGCAUAAGGCCUCCAAAUUUGCUCGUGUCUGAUUACUACUAGUGGGCUAGGCUCUGGACCUAGCCCUUACAUUGUAAGAGAUGAUUUGUCGUCUGUCAUAUUUAAAAUAAUAAUAAAAGGUGAACAACAUAUCAUUCGUUUGUUUAAUAAAAAAAAUAAAACAUAGUGGCUAGGCACUAGGCCUCUACCUUCGAUGUCUUUUUCCUUUUUCUUUUUUGUUUGGUUUUUUAGAAACUCAGAAAAUUUUUAGCACACUCACUUAGUCUUGAGUUUUAACAUUGUUUUUAAAUGUUAUUAUGAAUUUUUAUUUCAAUUUUAAUAAUUUGUUUUCAAUUAUUAUGUAUAUGAUCUAAAAAUAAUAAUACUAAUAAUAUAUUGUUCAUGAGAAUUGAUUGAAAUUAGUUUUUUUAUUAUUAUAAAUUUUAGAUAUUAUAAAGAAACAAGUACUCGGGUUUGAUUUUUUUUUUUUGAUACCUCAAUCUAUGAGGUCAAAGCAAUUAACUGACUUUUUUAGGCUUUCCGCUCAAAAUAAAAUGAAAUAAUUAUUCCUUCUUUUUUUUAUCAAUAAAGUGAGGAAUUUAGUUGGAACUUACUAAUAGACGUUUUUCAGAUUAGGCUUUGUAUCAUUGAACAGACACCAGGAUUCUCUCAAUGCUAAGAAAAGCGCGAGAAAGGUAUAAAUGGAGAGUGCUGUGGUAGAUUGGCGCUUUCCUAUUUGAAGAAGUUGCAGGUAAUGGAGGAUUCUACUGCACAACAACGACCACCCAAAAACACACAUACACAGACAUGUUUGAUCACUAGCAGUUUCUUACGAGUAUAUAUCAUGUUUCCAUUCCCUCCCUUGGGAUCUAAGAAUUAUCAGUGUUCUUCUGGAUGCUGCUCUCAUGUGUAAGAGAUGCUAAUCAGUAAAGAAUAAUUGAAUAGCCACUUUGAGGAGGCUAAGUCCUCCUAGUACUGAUAAAAUUCUGCAUACCUUUUUAUUCAAUCUCACCACUUAAAUAACAAAACAAUUACUGAAAUUAAGUAACAAUUAACAACCCAUAAUUAAUACUACUCCAUAACAUACUCUAACGUAACUCUCAAAUAAUUAACUACAUAAUAGUUCUAUUUUCCUAAGACCCACGUUCAGGUCACCUUAACAACCCAAAAUUAAUAACGACUGCGCAAAACCUUCUAAUGUAACAGCCAAAUAAUUAACUGCAUAACAACCCCAUGUUUCCAAGACCCACGUCCAGAUCAUCUAAAGCCACAUCCUAACAGACCCAUGACAAUCCUUCCCCCAUCAGAAAACCUUGCCCUCAAGGUCAGGGAAGUCUUUUUGCAGCUUAUGAAAUUCAACCCAGGAGGCAUCAUCAAUCUCCAACCCUUUCCAUUUAACCAACAACUCACUAACAGUGCGUCCAUUCUUCUUCAUGAGGCGUCGCUGCAAAAUUUCUUGAGGCUCGGCUUGUGGACUACCUCUAACAGUUAAUGGAGGAAUAGUAGUCACCAGCAUAUUUCAAGCACCCAGCUUCUUCUUCAAAAUCAAAACAUGAAACACUGGAUGAAGGAGGGAGGUGGAGGGAAGGUCCAAACGAUAAGCAACACCACCAAUUCGCUCUACAAUCUGAUAGGGUCUAUAAAAUCUGGGAGAAAGCUUGAGAUUUUUGCGCUGCACAACCGAAUGUUGUUUAUAUGGUUGGAGACGAAGGUAGACCCAGUCUCCUAUUUCAAAAUGUCGUUCAAUACGUUUUAAAUCUACAAAACGCUUCAUCCUCUCUUGGGCCACCUGUAGGUUCCCACGUAAUAGGCGCAAGAUCUGAUCCCGGCUCCUCAGGGUGUCUUUCACAAAUUGAACUGUAGCUGUCCCUGACGAAUGAGCCAACAAAGAUGGGGCUGGGUAUCCGUAAAUUGCCUCAAAUGGUCAAAGUUUAGUAGAAGCAUGAAUGUUGGUAUUAUACCACCAUUCUGCAAGAGGCAACCAACAUGACCACUCCCCAGAAAAACACCAUAAAUACUGCUCCACACAUUUAUUCACAAUCUCUGUUUGACCAUCCGUUUGGGGAUGAUAAGGCGACGAAAAUUUGAGCUUAGUCCCAUGCAAUUUAAACAGCUCUUUCCAAAAUAGGCUAGUGAACAAAGGGUCUCUGUCACUAACAAUAAAGCUAGGCAUUCCAUGUAGUUUAAAAAUAUUGGCAAUAAAAAUCUGUGCGAUUUUAGUGGCUGUAUAAGGAUGCACAACUAAGAUGAAAUGUGCAUACUUACUCAAUUUAUCAACCACGACCAAAAUCACAUUGAACCCAUUAGAAAGAGGCAACCCUUCAAUAAAGUCUAAGGAGAUAUCCGCCCAUACCUUUGUAGGAAUAGGCAAAGGUUGGAGAAGACCUGCGAGGUGGAUGGUCUCAUUUUUAUUGCGUUGGCAAAUAUCACAUUCUUUAAUAAAAUUCUUAAUGUCAGCCUUCAUGCCCAUCCAAUAAAAAUUAUCUCUAGCCCAAGAGAGAGUUUUAUGGAAUCCUGAGUGGCCUGCCUGAGGGCUUCCAUAAGAUAAGUGGAGUAACUGAUUCUUGAGAGCAGUAGAAUCACUAAUAUACAGUCUGCCCCUGUAAAAUAACAACCCAUCCUUCAUGUCAUAUUUGGUCUCAUCCAGACUGUGUCCUACAAAAUUAGAAAUCAGUUUUUGUCAUUUGGGAUCCUCUGAAUAGGAGUCCUGUAAUUUUGAAAUCCAGUUAUCAGAAGGGAAUGACAAGGCAGUCAGCAUUACUGGUGCAUUGUCAAAUUUCCUGGACAAGGCAUCAACGACCAGAUUUUCUUUGCCUUGUAUUCCACCAAAAAAUCAAAGCUUAACAAUUUAGUUAGCCAUUUCUGCUGCAUGGGUGUCCCUACUUUCUGCUCAAGUAGGUACUUAAGACUUUGAUGGUCUGUCUGCACUCGAAAAGUUUGCCCCAAAACAUAAGAACUCCACUUCUUGAUUGCCAAAACCAAGGCCAUAAGCUCCCUUUCAUAUAUAGAGAGGUGCAAGGCCUUCCCAUGAAUGGCCUGACUCAUAAAGGCAAUGGGUCUUUCUUGUUGCAUCAAAACAGCACCUACACCACAACCAGAAGCAUCACAUUGAAUAAUAAAGGGGUUUAGUAAAGUCAGGAAGAAUUAAGAUAGGGGGGUUGGUCACAAUAUUCUUAAAGGUAGUGAAAGCUUCUUUGGCUGUAAGGGUCCACUCAAAGGAAUUUUUUCGGAGUAAAGAAGUUAAAGGAGUGGCAAUAGAACCAUAACCUUUGAUGAAUUUGCAAUAAUACCCAGUUAGACCAAGAAAUCCCCUUAAGGAUUUAAGGAUGGAAGGAAAAGGUCAAUUUAACAUAGAUUCAAUUUUUUUAGGAUCAGCCCAGACUCCAUUUUUAGAGAUUAAAUGAUCAAGAUAUUCAAUCUCUUGACAACCAAAGGAACACUUAGGUUUUUUUGCAAAAAGCUAAUGAUGUUUUAAAAUAUUCAAUACCAAUGUUAAAUGGUGUUGAUGCUCUUCCAAAUUUAUGCUAUAAAUAAGAAUGUCAUCAAAGAAAACUAACAUGAAUUUUCGCAAGGGCUUAAAAAUAUGAUUCAUGAGAGAUUGAAAAGUGGCUGGAGCAUUUGUAAGGCCGAAAGGCAUUACGAGAAAUUCGUAAUGGCCUUCAUGAGUGCGGAAAGCAGUUUUUGGGAUAUCCUCAGAGUUAACUCGAAUUUGAUGAUAACCGGAACGUAAGUCUAAUUUACUGAAGAUAGUUGCCCCAUGCAACUCAUCUAGAAGUUCAUCCACAAUAGGAAUAAGAAAUUUGGCCUUAAUGGUGUUUUUAUUUAAGGCUCUAUAAUCAACACAAAGACGUCAACUACCAUCCUGUUUACAAACUAAAAGAACUGGAGAAGAAAAAGGACUAUGACUAGGUCGAAUGAUACCCGAACUAAACAUGUCAUUAACAAUUUUUUCAAUUUCAGUUUUUUUAAAAUAGGGGUAGCGAUAUGGUCCAACACAUACUGGUUUAGCCCCUGGUUGGAGAAUAAUAUUGUGAUUAUGGUCACGAUUUGGUGGAAGUCCGGUGGGUUCACCAAAAACUUCUUGGAAUUGGUCAAGUAAAUUAGCAAAGAAGGGGUCAGUUUCAAGAGUAGAAAUGCAAAAUGCAUCAGGUAAAAGUAGUUGUAAUACUAAACCUUGCUUGUCUUGAUUCAUAGCCCUUCCAAACUGCUCCCCAUUCAUCAAGGAAACUUCUAUGGGUGUAAUGCCCUGUAAAACAUGCCUAGAAUCCAAGAGAUUAAAUUCCAUGCGUAAUUUAACAAAAUCCCAUAAAAUAGGCCCUAAGGUACUGAGCAAUUGAACUCCUAACACAAUAUCACAACUACCCAAAGUCAAAACAUAAAAAUCUCUGUGAUAAGUCCCUGCACGUGGAACGAAAUAUCCACACAUUUCCCUGUACUGCACAAACUGUCCCCAUUGGCUACUCUCACCAAGAGUCUUGUUGUUGAUUGUAAGUAAAGAUGCGCUCGUUGCUGAAUUGAGGGGUCCAUGAAAUUAUGGGUGCUCCUGGUAUCGAUGAGGAUCACCACAACACAACCAUUAACAUAUCCAAGAAUGCACAUGGUUUUGGGGCUCGGAGAACCUGCCAAAGCAUGAAUGGAAAUCUCAAGUGCUGUUUCUGGAUUCACCUCACUUCCUCCUGAAAGACUAUCGGCUUCUUCUAAAAGUUGAGGCUGUUGAAUGGGUUGCAGCUCUUCCCCCUCCGAAUCCUCACAUUCCAUUAUAAACAAACGAGUUGAUUUGUAUUUGUGGCCCGACCCCCACUUUUCAUCACAAUUGUAACAUAAUCUCGUUGCUCUCCUCUCUUUCAUUUAUAUUGGGGACAAACGUUGGAUUGGAACAAGUGCCUUCUUAUCUGAUGUAGGGGAGUUAGGAAAUGGGCGUGGGGAAGUAGAUCCCAACCGUGAACUCCGCCUGAAAGCAACUAUAUUUUCCUCCUGCAUUUUUACCAUACCAAAAGCCACUGUGAGGUUAAAGGGAUUUAACAUGCGAACCAUGAAACAAAUAUCCUCUCGUAAGCCACUUAAAAAACAACUGAGCUUGUAUGAUUCUGCCAACCCUUUAAGUUGAUUAGAUAAGAUCUCAAAUUGGGACUUGUAAACCUCCACAGUUGUGGUUUGAUGUAGCCUUGUAAGAGUCUCCAUUAGAUCAUCCAAAAUGGAAGGGCCAAACCUGGUAAGUAAGGAUUGUGUGAAACCAUCCCAACUAGUGAUGCUACUCGAGGCCUCUAAAUCCUGAAACCAAGUGAGGGUUUUACCCUCCAUGUGAAAAGAAGCCAAAAAGACUUAAUGAUGAGGGUUGGUUUGAUGAUAAGUAAAAAAUUGAUUAGCGUGAUAAAUCCAACCAUUGGGUUCUUCACCAUUAAACUUAGAAAAGUCGAGACGAAUAUCCCGUGUUUGAAUGCCACCCUGUUCUUCAAAUAACGGAUUUUGUAUGUGGGACCUUGACCUAGAUGGAGUAUCCUCUGUCUGAUUCUUGUGGGUAUAGACCAAGGUGUCCACAUUAGCAACGACCAGUUGUAAUUGGUUUGUCAAGCCUUUAAUUGCCUGUUACAAGGCUUCCUGAUUUUAGCGCUGCAUUUCUUGAGUUUGCCUAACGGAAGAUAAAGAUUCCGCCAAUUGUGAAUAACAUGUAUUGUGCCCAUCAGCCAUGGAUUGAACGGCUCUGAUACCCUUGUAAGAUGCUAAUCAUUAAAGAAUAAUUGAAUAGCCACUUCGAGGGGGCUAAGUCCUCCUAGUACUCUGUAUGGAUAAAAUUCUGCAUACUUUUUUAUUCAAUCUCACAACUUAAAUAACAAAACAAUUACUGAAAUUAAGCAACAAUUAACAACCCAUAAUUAAUACUACUCCGUAACAGACUCUAACAUAACUUCCAAAUAAUUAACUACAUAACAAUCCUAUUUUUCUAAAACUCAUGUUCAGGUCACCUUAACAACCUAAAAUUAAUAACGAAUGCGUAAAACCUUCUAACGUAAUAGUCAAAUAAUUAACUGCAUAACAACCCCAUGUUUCCAAGAACCACGUCCAGAUCACCUAAGGCCACGUCCUAACAGACCCAUGACAUCAUGGCUGCCUAAGAAGUUUAUCAGAUAUUCUUUUUAAUGCUGCUAUAUGAAAGCUAAUGACUAUUAAUUAAGGAAAGCAAUCUUACAGGAACAAAGAUGGAAAUGAUUUUGAUAAGUUGACAUAUAAAUACCCAACUUUCUUUCUUUGGAUUCAUCUUUCUUUUUCGUUUCUUGAGGCUAAAUAUGGGUGCAUCCUUAGGAUGUCGAAACAUCUUUAGGACAUUUUAACCUAAGCCUAUCCAGAUAUGAAUUAUUCUCCAACGUUUUUGAGAGGCAUUAAGUAAAUAUUUUAAUAAAUAAAUAAUAGAUUCUCAGUUAAAUUAAUUCAUCCAAAACUGUAACGUAUUAAUUAAACAGAUAUCUUCAAAUAUAUUAUUAAAAUAAAAACAUAAAUUGAACCAAACUAUACUAUCCAACGCGCCUUAACAUCUAAGCUUUUAUGAAUCUCAUGAGUGUUUAGCUGCAAUAAUAAUGAUGUGCGACAUUUAUGUGUAACUGUUGUCAUUAUACAUAUUUUGGCCACUGGUCUAACAAUGAUGCACAGAAAACAAAAAGGAUAUAUCUGUGAGAGGAAGCGAUUAAAAAAAUCGCUCGCUAUCAACAAGAGGGACCGCUUUAUACAGGUAUGAAAGGCGGCCCCUGUUGUUGCUGGGCUCAAGAGGAAUGGCCAUUUCAUUACUUGGGUUGGGUCUGCUCUCAAAGUAUCUUGAGCAGUCAAACAGUAAGGCUUUAUGGGCCAUUGCAUUGUGUGUAGCAGCCGUAUGUGCUGCUGCAUCCUCCUUCUUUUCAAUGUGGCUGAUGCCAAUUACAUGGGUCUACUCAUCAUAGAUAUUUCCGACAAGGUUAAGGGCGCAAGGUUCAAGCUUGGCAAUAUCCUUGAACAGGUUGGUAGGUGGGAUCACGACCAUGACGUUUCAAAAACAGGUAAACAUUUGGAGGCAUGUUUUUUGCACUUGCUGGAAUUAUAGCAGCGGGCGGUGUUUUCUUUUAUUUCUGUUUGCUUGAAAUGAAAGGAAAGACCUUGGAAGAGAUUAGGGUUCUCUUUGAAGAUAAAGUCUAUGGAAAUGACAAAAUUAUUAAUUCAUAACAACCUAGAUUACAGUUUGGAUUAUGGGUAGUAUUGCUUGCGAAUUGAGAAUGAAAAUCACCUUCCAGUCUAAUUCUAACAGGAAAUAAAAACCCUAUGCAGUUUAGGCUAUGAGGAGAAUGACGUUUGUAAUUUAUUGAUUUAAUUUUGGCUGUUAAAACAAUAUGUUUAAUAUGUAUGCAUUGAAGCUAUUGUCUUUAUACUAUUUUUCAUUCCACUAAAAUAAAAAAGUUCUUAUGUAUUCAUGCAAACAUAUGCAUGCCAAAGAUCAAUAUGCAUUGAAGGUAUUACAAGAAAUAAAUAUUACAUAACUUUAGUCUUUAACUUGCAUAAAUGAAGAGGUUUAGUUUAAAAUAUAAGUUAAGAUUUAAAGCAUAAUAAUAAAAUUAAGUUUGAUUAAUAUCCCCUACUUCCUUAACCAUCCGAUUUACUUCCCUUUAAGGACAUUAAUUACAAAAUAUAAUAUAUGUUUGAUUUACUAACAUCUUAGUAUAAAAUGAAUUACAUAUCCAAAAUAUUUCUACAACUAAAUUACAUAAAUUUUUUGUUUAACUUGGUCCUGCGGCAUGAGAUGGACUUGCAUAAUAUUAAUAUUUGUUAUUUUUUUGAAUUAGUUAUAAAAAUUCUCCUAUGUUUAAUGUAAUUUAUGAUAUCACAAAAUAAACAUUCAUCUUACAACCAACACAACCGAUUUCUUAUAUGACCUUAGAAUAUACAAAACAUAACACCUCAUUUAAAUUUUUCUUUAAACACAUACCAUUGUAACAUAUAUGAUAUUUAAAACGUGAUUCAAUUCUUCUCGAACUCUCAUCAACUUAUCUAUUCAUUUAUUUGUUAAUAAUUUUUAACUCUAAGUUUGUACUGCAAACAAAUCUUCAUUCAUAUUAGAGAGGUGACUCCAAGGAUUUUUGUUUUCUUUGGAAGUUCCCACUUUACAUUAGUUUUCAUCUCAUGAUGAAGACACAUACAAUAAUUUCCUUUUUUUUUUGGUUAGAAACAACACUUAAUGACCUCCAUAUAUACAAAAAUAUAGGCAACCCCAAUGGUUAUCAUUCAAUUGGAAACAACAAAACAAUGGUUUUUUUUCAUUUAGAAACAAUAACACAAUGGUUUCGAUUUUCAUUCAAUUGAAAACAACAAAACAAUGGUUUCUUUUCAUUUGGAAACAAUAACACAAUGGUUUCCAUGCAAUUAAAAACAUCAGCACAAUGAUUUCUUUCUAUUUGGGAACAACAACAAAACGAUUUCCAUGCAAUUAGAAACAAUAACACAAUGGUUUCCUUCCAUUUGAAAACAACAACACAACAAUUUCCAUGCAAUUGGAAAUAACAACACAACAAAUCUUCAUUUAAUAAUGAAGAUCACCCAAGGAUUUCCUUUCAUUGAGAAAUAAUAAUCAUAAAAUAAUCUUCAACACUAAUAACUUAAUUAAAAUAAGUUUAUCAACUCAAAUAAGAGAGUAAGGAAAAGGACCUAUUUACUCUUCCAGCAACGUGAUCUUCUCCAAUGAUCCAGUCCUCGGUGUCCCUCCUAGUUCACAAGGAGAACUUAUGUCAACACAUCAUUUAGAACCAUUUUCACAUAUUCAUGUUCGUACCAAAACAUAUAAUAAUACAUUUACAUCACCCAUUUCUUUAUACCAAUUUGUACUUAUUGAAUUAUUUUCCCUCUAUAUUCUCCCAUUUGAUCAAAUUCAACACGGACACAUCCUUCUAGGUAUUUUCUUGAAAAUAUUUCAUGUAUUCAUGUUGGUAUGACAUCUACCAUAAUACUUUAUUUAUUGUGUUAUUUUCAACCCUCUUUAUAUUUACCAUUCUCUAGAUGAACUUUACUCACCUAUUUAUGUUCACUUUUCCCUAGCUACAUGCAAGUGUAACAUUUAAUACAUCAUAAAAGGUAUUUUUUCCCCACCAUCUGCAUGAUUGGCUGGAUUAUGGGCCAUGUUUUUUAGGUAUCUAUUUCAACAUUUUUCAAACACGUAUACAUAAAUCCACAUCUUUAUAUUAUUUCAAGACUUCUCUAUAUAUUAUUUAACUUGAUUAUGUACAAGUAAAAUUUAUGCUUUCCAAGUGAUAAUUUCUAAGAUUAAAACUCAUAUUCAUUUAUGAUAGUCUAGAUUAUACACAAUUGUUCUAGUUCUACUAUUGUGAAGAGUAUCUUCCUCACUCUUCCUUAACAUAACCAAAAUCAAGACUUCAUUUCCAAGAAGUCUUCUUCUUCUCCCCUACUCUUUCCUUUUUGUAUAACAUGCUACUAUAUCAUACACUCCCUAUAAUUUAUCCAUAACAUUAACCAAUUCCAUUCAAUUUAUAACAUUUAAAUAUACAAAACUUAACUCUAAUCAUUAUCUUUUAAAAUAAGGUAUUCAAUAUAAUUUGAUGUAAAAUUACACAUUUAAAGUUCCUUCUAAAUUUUCUUCAUUUUGGCCAAAACAUCACCUUUAAAUUGCCACAUAUCUUUCCUAGUUUUUCUUUCUCAAUUUAACAUGUGUUCCUAAGCUCACAUAUUAGUGUAACUUAUUCAUACUAAUUAUAGUCAUUUAUUCAAACACUUCAAUAUUAAGGAAAUUCAAAUCAAAACAUCUUUUGAUUGUUCAUUUCAUUAAGAAAUCAUCAUAAUUAUGUUUAAUGGUGUUAAUCUUCAACAUGCAUGUUCAAAAAAUCACAUUUGAAAACUCUCCUAUUUGGCCAAAACAUUAGGCCUCUUCAACACCCAUUUGUCUUCAUCAUUUCUUCACAAUUUUCACUUGUUUCUAAGUUAUUUCUCCUCUACUUUAGUUGUUCAACAUUAGGGUUCUCCCCUAGGUUAAACAUUUAGGGUUUUACAUUAAUAUUUACCAAGAAUGUCUUCAAAUUGACUUGAGUAAACCUAGGACCCUUUUUCUUAUUUGUUUUUUAGCUCCAAUUUUCCUCAUGACUUCUUCCACUCUUCCUCUUUAUAAUGGUGUCCUUUCCUCUCUAGUUUAUACCUAUAAAGUUAACUCUCAUGCUUGCAUACAAGGGGUCUUUGGUAAGAAAGUGUUGAAGAGAAGAUAAAAGAGGAGAAAAAUUAUUUAUUGUUGUGUAUAAAGUUACUAUUUUAUACUGAUAAAACUACUGAUAGAAUAUAAAAUACCAAUAGAAUUAUCAAUGGACUAAGUCCCUCAGAGAGUUCUAAAGAGUUAGAAAAACAUUACAGGACUUUGCCACUGAAAAUUAUAAAUGAAAAUAUUGACGAACUAUGUCCCUUCUGAGUAGGAUGUAUACAAUAGAAAAUAUAUUGCUCAGUGGAAGCCUGAGCACAACAUGUGAGUUUGUUUUCCUUUCCUGUAUGGUAAAAAAAAUCAACAACAAUGGAUAAUUUAUGAAUAAUUAAUUUCAAUGAAUGAAUGAAAUUUCAAGUUUACAGAUGUGGAGGAUGCUCACACGAUAACAUCGACAAUGAAAUUAUCAAUGGAUGUGCCUUUGUUUCAAUAUAGUGGGGUUUCCAAAAAUUCUAAAUGUAAGCCUAUGAUUGAUACUUGGUUUGAAAAGUUCAAGGUUAGUAUAUUCAUAAAUAUGUUUUUAAAAAUAUUUAAUUUGGUUAGUUUUUUCAAUUUAAUAAACUAAUUAUUUUAUGAAAUUUAUGUGUAAAGAAAUUUUUUAUUGGGAGUAGGCUGACAAUGACAUUUCCAGAAGAGUAUGGGAGAAUCACAUUGUUAUUAGAUAAGAUUGAAUUCAAAUUGUGAUAUAUAUUUUUUAAAAAAGGUUAAAAUUUCAUUUUCAUAAUCUUAACGAUAAUUAUUUUCUAUGAACCAAGUUGCAUGAUUUCUAGUACAAGGCCCAUAAAGAAUCAAAGAAAUAUGGAAAAAAAUAAAGGUCUUCUAGGCUGGGAAGACAUGGGAGUGUGGAGGGAUUCCAGACCUCCAUACAUCUCGGAGGGUAUCUUAGAUGCUUAUAUCCAACACGUAAUUUAUAAGUGUUUCUUGUGGUGAUCACAGUCUGGUGCGAAGAACCGAAUCAAGAAGAUUCAUGGUUCAUUACCAUACAUACUGAUGGAUCCUUUCCGUUCAUAUUUUUUUAAAAAAACAAUUGUUUUAUAUGAAAAUAUUUAAUUAACAAUAGUUUUAUUUUAUAGGCUAUGAUGCUUGGGCACGAUCUAAGAAUGAUAUAGCCUUAUGUUGAAACAUAUGAGUGGAAUGAGGAGUUUAGUUUACACUAACCAAUAAUUAAGGGUAUAAAGAUCAACUAAUCAAAACUAGUCAAGUUCCUGAGCUCCAAUACCGGGCAAAUCAAUUUUCUUUCAAUGCAAAAAGAAAUAAUAUAUAUAGAUGUUGUCAACCUGUUUUACACCACCCUGAAAAGUUUUAAUUGCAAAUCAAAAGUUGAUGUAUGUGAUUAAUAAGAUAAAUCAAGAAUUAUAUGUGUUAAUAAAUAUUAAGAAAUUGUUAACGUUAACCAAAGAUUAAGUCAGUGAGUUAAGACAAAAACACAUAUUAAGAUAUCUGAUCAUGUCACGCGGUGAAUACAUCCAAUUUGUUUUCUUAAUUAUAGUGCAAUAAAAUUGUUUUUGUAAAAAUAAAUAAUUAUUCCAACUCAUUUAAAAAAUAAAAUAAUUGUUUUAGUAUAAUUCCUCCUUUUCUUAUUAAUAUAUUUUUUUUCAAUAAAUUUUUUUUUUCUCUUGGGUUCUUAAUACAAUAGAAAUCGAAAGCAAUUAGAAUAAAUGUAAAACAAAUCUAGAUGAUUUGAAAUAAGAAUAAAAAAAUAUAUAUAUUCAAUUAAAACCUCAUUAUCUUAUUAAUGUGCUACUUUUUUUUGGAAUUUUAUCAGGAUAAUAGUUUUAGACAACAAUUUAUCAUAAUCAUAAAAGCAAGCUUUAAUAAGCAAAAACUACGUAUUGAUAAUCUUGACUUAAAUGUAUUGAAAAUAUAAAAACAAUACAUUGUAUGUGCAUUGACAAGAAGAAAUUUUUGGAAUUCAUUGUUUUUAAUCAUACGAUAAUAAAAAUAGACAUGCGUAAGAAAAACAACAAAUAAAUUCAAGAAAUAUUAAAAAAAAUCAUGAAGAGCUAUACAAAAACAACAAUUGUUGAUAUUAUAUAAAAAAGAAUGAUAUAAUCUUAUCUAAAAAAAAGUAAAAACCAAACAAUAUUUUAUAAAUACUAUCCUACAAAUAUUUUUAAUAAUUUAAUUUUAAUGAAUUCAAAUUAAAAAUAAGGAGAACAAUAAAGGCCUACAUAAACAGAGCCUAUAACCAUAAGCCAAGUUGGGCUGACACAUAAGAAAGAAGGCUAGGCAUGUGUGGGACUUGGAAGGCCAGCCCGCAUGGCCAUGUUAUAGUUUUUUCUUUUUGUUAAAAUGAGCGAAUAAUGCAUUGUUUGUGUAUUUUUUUAAAUAAAGUAGAUGGUGUGUUGUCUAUGUUUGUAAGUAAUGCGUCCGUUGCUUGUCUAUAUUUCAGCCAUUAGAGAGGUGGAUGCAAAUUCGAACUGAGGUUUUGGUAUCCAAAAAUCAUUUUUUAAAAACUUUUUCACCUAAAAGCACCUAUUAAACAUGAUUAGAGUAUAAAGUAACUAAUUUCUCAACUUAAAACACCCCUAAAUCAGGCCAAAAACACAAAAUUAAACCAGGCAAAAAAUUCAUUUCUCAACCCCGAUCUACUUUUUCUAGCAAGAUGAAGGUAAAAAAUCACUUCAAUGAAACUUUUUUUUGUAAAAUGAAACUCAUUGAAACAAAGAUCAAUAUUUUUUGUUAUCGAAAUGAGACUAACCGAUAAUUUUCUUUUUCAUUCAUUGUUUUUUUUUUAUGAAUUUCUUUCUCUCCUUUCUCAAACUCAAUGACUGAAAUAUGAACAAAAUAAAGUUUUGAACCAAAACGUAUAACUACCAAAUAGAGAAAAAGGAAAUUGAAAAACAUAGAAGGAAAACUUUUCAAAAAAGUAUUGAGUCAAUAGUUAAAAAAAAACUUAAUUUUUGUCUUAUUGUUAAUUUUAGUCCUUUUAUUUUUAAUUUUUCACAAACAAUAAAAAUGAUUUUUUUUUUGUAAUAUUGAGCAUUUACUCAAAAUUAAGAUAUUUUUUCGACACUACAAUAGUUCUAUAAAACAUAAAUUAAAAUAAAUUAUUAAAUCCAUGAUUAAAAAUGAAAUUAAAAAAUAAAGGAUAAUAAAAAGGAAAAACACGCUUGAAUUCCGCAGUAUUUUGUGAAGAAUGAACUCGUCACCUUUUUAUAGUAACAGGAACACAGUCCCUGCGACUUUAUUUGUCCAGUGCUUAACUCUCAACUAAACAAAUUCAUGUGCAAUUAUUGUGCCUAUCCAGAGGAAGCACCACCGCGUAGAGUAAAGAGACGAAAGUUUUGCCUUCUAUCAUUCAACAUCUGUAAGAGUAAAUUCGUCUUUAAUCGUUGAUUUAUGAACACUUUUAUUUUUGAAAAUAUAUAAUUUAGUUGCUUGACUGACAUUUACUUCUUAAUUUUUCUUUAGUCCUCAAUAUUUUGAUUUUUCUCUAAAAGAAAAAAAAAAACAUGCAGUUGAGUUUACAAUAACACCAACAACAUAUAUUUUUGAUAAAAGAGUGGUCAACAAGAACUUAGGACAAAGAACAAAGUAAAAAUCUUAUAAUUAACUGGGAAGAGUAGAUGCAUGGUGAUAGUGCCCGCCAUGCCACCGUGAAAAUCUAGUUAUCCAAACCGAGCUUGUACUCCACGCCGCCCAGUAUAGUAUUUGGGCCACUGCCAGCCUGACUUGUGCGUUUGUAGUGUGGUUUACCUGCGUUCUGGAAUCCUAGGCCCAACAAACUCCUACCUUUUCACCUACUUCCUUCUUUCACCCUCUAUAUUCUCCCAUAGAAAGUGGUCCCUUCAAAUUUAACAUUAGUCCUUGGACGAAGACGAAAACGGAGCAGACGAGGAAAUCAACAUAUGGCUGACACUGAACUUGCUCAAGCCCAAGAAGCCAUUUCACCGGUGGGAGUUCAUAGUCCUACAAGUAUUAAGCCUCACCGUCUCAACAACCAUGCUCUUGCUUGUGCUCUUCUGGCCUCUACAAACUCCAUCUUAUUAGGCUAUGGUAAGCCCGAUUUCACCUUUCUGUCAUUUCUUGUUGAUGUACCAUUCCCAAACGGUACGUGCAUCAAAGCACUGAAUCAAUUACAGCAACAACCUGAAUUACCCUUUUCAAAAUAUUAUACUAGUACACUAACUAGCAAUUAAUGUAAUCAAAUCAAUUAAUGUUGGCUGGGUUAAAUUUCUACUUGCAGAUAUCGGUGUGAUGAGUGGUGCAGUGCUCUUUAUCAAAGAAAACCUAGAAAUCUCAUCUACUCAGGUAGAGAUAUUGGUUGGUGUUCUAAAUGUUUCUUCAUUAAUAGGCUCACUGGCUUCAGGAAAAACCUCAGAUUAUAUAGGCAGGCGUUAUACCAUAGUCUUAGCAGCCACAACAUUUUUAAUCGGUGCACUUCUAAUGGGCUUGGCACCAUCCUUCCCAUUCCUCAUGGCCGGCCGUGUCAUUGCCGGUGUCGGGGUUGGAUAUUCCCUCAUGAUUGCUCCGGUCUACUCCGCUGAGAUCUCCCCGGCAAUGGCACGCGGCUUUCUUACCUCCCUUCCUGAGGUUUUCAUUGUUUUUGGCAUUCUCCUUGGUUACAUUGUUAACUAUGCGUUAUCAGGUCUCCCACAGCAUAUUAACUGGAGGCUAAUGUUGGGUCUUGCUGCUAUACCUUCGUUGUUAAUUGGCUGUGGUGUUAUAGCAAUGCCUGAAUCCCCUCGUUGGCUUGUAAUGCAAGGUAGGUUGGACGAUGCAAAGCAGGUCUUGAUUAAAAUAUCUGAUACAAUACAAGAAGCUGAUUUCAGACUCAGUGAAAUAACAAAGCAGCUUCAUCAGAUCAUUUAGAUUCUUCAAGUGCUAAAUGGCAUGGGCAUGGGGUAUAUAAGGAACUACUGUUGAGACCUUCUCGGCCUGUUCGCCGAAUGCUUAUUGCUGCUCUAGGGAUUAAUUUCUUCAUGCAAGCUUCAGGCAAUGACGCUGUUAUAUAUUACUGCCCAGAAGUGUUCAAGGAUGCAGGAAUUCACAGCAAGAAAGUGCUCUUUGGUGUUAAUGUCAUCAUGGGAUCUGCCAAAACUUCUUUUGUGUUGUUCUCAGCUCUUUUUCUGGACCGGUUUGGUAGGCGGCCUCUUUUUUUGUUGGGCUCAGCUGGAAUGGCGUUGUCGUUGGCUGUUUUGGGAAUGAGCUCUAAGUUUCUCGAGCAUUCCAACAGUAAGCCUAUGUGGGCUAUCGUGUUAUGCGUCGUGGCUGUGUGUGGGGUUGUUUCUUUCUUUUCUAUAGGGCUUGGGCCAAUCACAUGGGUCUACUCGUCGGAGAUAUUUCCACUGAGAUUACGGGCUCAAGGUUCAGGCCUGGCCAUAUCUGUUAACCGGCUGGUCAGCGGAGUUAUGUCUAUGACAUUUUUAACCAUUUCAAAGAAGAUAACAUUCGGAGGAAUGUUUUUUGUGCUAUCUGGAAUAAUGGUAGUGGCCACGGUGUUCUUUUAUGUCUUUAUGCCGGAGACAAAAGGGAAGACCUUAGAAGAGAUUGGGGCUCUCUUCGAGGAUAAGAAUGCGGAAGCAAGCAUUGACUAUGGAAGAGAAAUGGGAUAAAUAUAGUGUGUAUGAUCAAUUAGUUUGAACUUUUCAUCCCCCUUUUUUUUCUUAAUAAAAUCUUCUCAUAAAACGCUCACUCUCAUGAGGUCUACAAUUUGAAUCUCACCUAUAACAGACUUCUUGAUGAUAUAUUUAUGUUUACAUACAAUACAUUAUAAUAGCUGCCUUUGAAAAAAAUGAUAAACUUCAACCUUGCUAUGAGUCUUUCCAGAUCAAAGAAUGGUGCAUCUGUUCUCUCUCUCUCGUGUGUGUGUGUCUAAAGAAAGAUAACAUGCUUACCUUUCUAUCUUUCACCGUAUGGUUUAUUAUCUCAUCUUUAUUUUACCAAACUCACAUGAAGAGGUAAGCCCUUGACAGGCCGGAGUUUGAGAGCCAGUAGGCCUAACAAUUACAGCGUAAGAGGGGUCUUAAUUAUCUUGCAAAAAUGUUGGGGGUAGCUUGUAAAAUGGGUGCAAAUAUUAGUCCUGCAUCAUAUUUGCACGCGAUCAACACUGAAAGAUAUUGCUUAAAGUUACGUUAGAGGGAGUCAUAUAUGUUAGAAUUGCCACUGGCGUUCUUUCUUUUGAAAAUAAAUGAAAUUGCAUGGAAAAUGACCUGAGAGAGUUCGAAUCGAGUUUCAAAAAGCAGUAAAAAUUGAGUUUGGGUAGGAAUUAAUUGUAGAUAAUAAAAAGGGAUGAAAUCUUACAGAAUAAUGAUUUAAAUUACAAGGAUAGGAAACAAAAGAUAAGAGAAGAGUUUGAUUCUGAAUUAAGGAGUAAUAAUUAAUUUUACGUAGUAAAUUUGAUAGAAUAGUAACAUAGGGAUGCUACCUAACACGGAUAAACGAAUGGAUCAUGAAAAUGUUUUAUGUGCAAGUAAUAAUACGAAAAUGAAAAUAUAUUUAAAUAUAUAACAAAGGCCCAUUUGGGUUGGCCCAAACGACCAGCCUAGUCAUAUGAGCCAAUCCCAUGUGAUAAGCGCCCUGACUGACCCAAUUUUUCUUUUUUUAUUCUAGCUUUCUUCUUUUUUUUUUUUGCCCAAGGACUUAUAAUAUUAGUACAAUCAAUGAAAAUAUUCUUAACAUUUUAAUGCUAUCACUUUUUAUUGGACAAUAGCACGACGAAUCGAGUGGCCUAGUCUAAAGUCAAUAAGAGUAAGAUUUUUCUUUUAAAAUCAACUAUUUGCUCUAUAAAUUAAGCAUCUUGAACAUGCUUUCACCAUUAUUUUGGAAAUUUAACCACCUUCAUUGAUCAAUCUAUACUAGCAUUGUCACCCUUACUAUGAUUAACUACACUUUCUAUUCAUCUUCCAAGAUAAAUCGAGAUAUUUAUUUAAAUACAAGUGUGCACAAAUGAUACAAAAAAAAACACACAACUACCUGCUACACGUUAUCUGCUCAUCAUUUCUAUUAAACUCUCUUGCUAAGCCUUAAAAUGACUUAAGCAUUGGAGACUUUAUUUUGCAGGUAACACAAACUCACUCCAGAUCACCCAGUCCAAUUGCCAACUAUGAAAAAUCACAGGCAAAUUCAAUGAAGUUUUUUCACCCAAAUAAUUUUAUAGCCAUAAAAAUAAAUCCUGAUAAUUAUAAUGGUCAGAAUGACCCUAGAGAACAUGUAUAGAAUGUUAAAAACACUUUAGAGCUGGUGAUAAAAAUAGCAAUGCGAUGUGUACGAUUCUCCCAACCACCUUUCAUGGAUCUACUCAAGCGUGAUACGAUAGCCUAGAACUAGGUUCCAUACUCAAUUUCUCUGAUUUAUUUAGCAAGUUGAUUGCUCAUUUCAGCACAAACAUCCCUAAAUAAAUAUAUACUAUUCUAACAUCCUCGUUAAACUUAGAGAGUGGUAGCAUACAAGCUAGCUUGAUUUUAAAAAAUAGAUACCUUUUUAGUGGUAUGGCAAAAUUAUUUUGAAUGAAAAAACUUGUUAGACCCAACUAUCAUAUGAUAUCAUCACUCAAAUGUGUUGAAAUAAAUCAUGAUAUGAAAGAACAUACGGUCUGUGACCAUUAAAUAGUGAAACACGAACCAUAAAUAGCAUAGAAUGAGUCAUAGAAUAUAGUAAAAUAUCCAGCGAGUCAAGAAAAUCUUAUUUAUAAAAUCCAAGAUUUAGAAAUCUAUGUAACCCAAAAAUAAACUUGAAGUCAAAAGAGUAUUUUACAAAUAUAGAAUCAACCAAAACCAAGUUUAAACUGGAAAGAACAUGUUUAGAAAUCUUAUGAUCAGUGUGCGUUGGUGAAAAUCUAGGCUAAAAGAGCAAAUGAAAGACCAAAUGCUAAACUAGUACUCAAGAGGUAGAAUCUAUAAAAAUAAAGGGGGGAGGAACGCACACCCAAAAAACCUUAGGAAUCAAUCAAAUAUAAUAAAAAAAAUAAGUUAAAGGUUGUCAAAAUACAAGACUAAUAAAGUAAUGUUGUAAGUUGGUUGAACCAUAUAGAAGAAACAAUAAAGUAGUGUGAAACAUAAGCACUUUAGAGUGGAUGAUGCUACUAAAACUUUUGAUAAAGAGUAAGGCCACGUACUAGCUCUAAUUAUGAUAAAACAUUAUUGGAAAGUUUGUUGGAGCAUAAGGAAUUUAAUUGUUCAGAACUAAAAAGUUGGUAUAACAAAAAGUGAAAUAUGCUUCACAAGUGUAGACAACAAAUGAAAUAAUAAGAAAAGAAACACCAAAAGCUUGCUAAAUUGAAAAACAAAAAACUUAGCUUACAAGGAAUAGCUUUGAUAUCGUGAUAAAAUAAAGAAAAUAUUAAUGAUAUAAUUUAUUUAUAUCAGAUGAGCACGUGAAACUACAAGGUGCUACAUCUUAAAUAACUUUUUUUUUUUUACCUUAAGGUAAUCUAAGUUAUUUAUAUAUAACCUAUACACCUAAAUAAAAAAUAAAAUCAUAAUUUCUAAAUAAAAAUUAUUAUAGCAAUUUUGUGGAUUGACCCUCAAGAAUAUCCUAUAAUCAUUACAUAAUAUUAUAGUAUAGGUGCAUAAUAUUCUAUUAUUUACCAUGUUGAGUACAUUGAUCUGAAUAAGAGAAACAAAAAAAGAAGUUUUUUAUUUUUUUUAUUUAUUUUGUGUUUUUUUAUACUAAUAUUAGAUUAACAAGAUCUUUUCAUGGCACUAACCAAUAAAGAUGAAUCAAUCUCAUGAACCAAGAAUAAACUUUAGCAUGAAGUUUUGGAUAGACAUGGUAGCUUGUUAUAACUAUCAUUAAAUGUUAUGUCAUAUGUGAGGUAUAAAUAAAACUCCAAAGUAACUCAAUUGAAUUUUUUUUCUUAUUUUGUUUCAUGAUUAAUUAAUAAGUGUAUUAAAAUAUAAGCAUCUUUGUAAUAUUGUUUGUGGUAAAUUGCUUUAUUACAUUAAAUAUUGUUGGUUGUCGCAUAUAUGAUAAAAGAGCAAGGACAAGUUUAUAACUGUUGAAAAUGGAAAGCAUAAUUAAUAAAAUAAGAUAUUUAUAUGGAGAAUAUAUUGAUAAUAAGGAUGACAAAAUAAAAUAAGAUAGCUUAAAUACAUGAUCAAAAGUCCUAUUAUAUUGAUUUAUGGAUAGUAUCAUGAAAUAGACAAAUUAAUUUAUUUAUUAAUAGAGUAAAGUGAGAUAGAUAUACUUGAUUUUCUAAGACCCAUUUUUAUUUUAAUACGUUUUCCUAACUGAUAAAGUCAUGAAAAUUUCAGGAUUAUAUUUUUCUUUUCAUGAUUGUGUCUUGGAACAAAGUACAUGGAUUUGGUUAUAGGCUUUGUCUUCAAGUUCAGUAGUUUUUGUAAAACAAGCCCCUUAUCGGAAUAAAGAGCCUUUUGAUGCUUAAGUUAAUAAAUAUAAAGUAAUCAAUAAAAAUAGAAUGAAGAUCAUAAAGAGUGUUUGAUUGAAUAAAUUGGUAUUAAACCCUUGAAUGAGCUUGAAUGGCUUUUUAUGGCCUUGAGUGGUGAUGAAAUGGCCUAGAAUGGACAUGAAUAACUAUGAAAGGCCUUAAGUGGUCGUGAGUAGCCUCGAGUGGCUAGGAGUUGCCAUGAGUAACCAAGAGUGGCCAUAAGUGUUGUGAUCUCUUGCAUGGAGUUUUGUUCUAAGUGAUGUUUUUAAAUGAAUUAUUGAAUAUCUUGAAUGAACUUGUGGUGGUCAAAUCUUCUUAACUUACCUAGUGACCCAAGGUAUUUAUAUACCUCAGUCACAUGAGUUUACCUCAUGAAGAGUGAAGAUGAAUGAGUAUUAUUGGUGAAGAGGUUGAUGCUUGUCGUUGUUGUGGUGUCUCACUACAUAUUGGUGGAGAGAUUAGUGGUCGGUCAGCGCCUCUAAGGUGACAUGUUGUAAGAAGUAACCAUUAGCGAGAAAUGAGGUGCAUAUGGUCUCCAUAUAAAGUUUAUAUGUGCCAAAAACACCACUAGGUUGUUUGAAGGUAUACAGGUGAGCACUAGUGGAUGGUGGGCAUCACUUGCUCUAACAUUUUGAAACUUUCAAAUACAUUGAGGUGUAUAGUUGAAAAAAAGUGUCUUGGACAAUCCAAGGUGAGUUAAAAUAAACAUGUACUAAAAUAGCUAGUUGUUCAGGCCAAUUCUAAAUGAUGAGGAAAUUUGUUCAUGCCUAACUCGAAUUGCUAAAACAUCUAGCCAUUCGGGCUUGGUAAGCCUAAAUGAGUAGAUUAUUAUUAUUAUUAUUAUUAUUAUUAUGUAGUAUGACUAGCUCUCUAAGUCUUUUAAACAAUUGUGUUUCAAAGACUUGACCAAUAUAAAUAGAGAAAAGAAAAUAUUUAUAUUUUAUAAAGGUGAUGUUACAUUUUGUGGCUUUUGUUAAUGUGUCUGCAAGAGAGAUGAAUAUUUGCUUGCAAGAUUGAUAAUUGUUUUCCUUCUUAUAACUUUUGAGUGUUUACCUGCAAGAGAGGUGAGAGUUUUAUCAGUUUGUUGAUUCCUUUUAGAGUAAAGAACAUUUUUAUUUAGAAAGUAAAGAAUGCUUUGUGAAAAAACAAUAUCAAAGCAUUGUGUAAAGAGACAUGAAAAAAAUCAAUUGAGACAUGAAGAUUUCAUAGUGGAGAUCUUAUUGGAAAUAUGAAUAUCUCGCUAUGAAGAUUUCAUUCAGAGAUAAGCGGUUAUGGAGACUUGGAGAGGAUCCCAGAUUUCAUCAGAGAUAAGCGAUCAUGAAGACUUGGAGAGGAUCCCUGAUCCUUUUAGAGAUUAGCGAUCAUGGAGACCUAGAAAAGGAUUCAUGAUCUUUUUGAAAAUAAAUGGUCACAUAAACCUACAGAGGCUAGAGUACCUAUAAUGGAGAGGUUAGUUACUCUCUCAUAUACAAGUGUUUUUAAGUUGUAAGCUUUGUAAAGAACUUUUUUGACGAUGUGUGAAAUAAGAAUGAAUUAGUUUUUGUUUACUUUUCACAUAUGACACUACUAAUAAAUUUAUGAAAACUUCAGGAUUGGGUAUUCUAUAGCUGUAUCUUAGGUUGAACCGUGUGGGUUUGAAUAUAGGAUUUGUUUUUCCAAUUGAUUGAAGUUCCUAGUCAAAACAAGGUACCUUUUAAUACUUAAAUCAAUAAAUAUAAAAGGUGUAAUAAUGUACAAGAAAUAUAAUGAAGAUGGUAAGCAGUGUGUCAUUGAAUAAACUGGUGUUAAACCCUUAAAUGAGCUUAAAUGGCUUUUUAUGAUCAUGCGUGGCCUUGAGUAGUGAUGAAGUGGGCUGGAAUGGAUAUGAGUGGUCAUGAUUGGCUAGAGGUGACCUUGAGUAGCCAUGACUAGCCAUGAGUUUUGUGAUCUCUUGAAAUUUUGUUCUGAACGGUGUUCUUCAAUGAAUGAUCGAAUGUCUUAAAUGGACUUGUGGUGGCCGAAUCUUCUUAACUUUCCUAGUGACUUGAGUUAUUUAUAUACCCAGUUAUAUGAACCUGUCUGAUGGAGAGUGAAGGGAAAUAAGUGCCGCUGGUGGAAGGUUAAUGUUUGUUAUUGGUUCUAGUGGGUUGCUGCAUCAUUGCUGAAGAUGUGGGUUGUCAGGCCUUUGAGGUGACAAGUAGCAGGAAAUGACUAUCUGCGUGGAAAAGUUAUGUGUUCCAAGAGCAUCAUUACUGAGUGGUUUGACGGUGUGUACCAAUUAAUGAUGUGUUUCUCUAAAUCUGAUUUUUUAAAACUAGAAAAUAUAUUAAGAUAUGUGCUCAGGGCAUGGGUAUUGGACCACGCUAUAUGAGUCAUAUAUACACCAAAUAGCUAACUAUUGGGGCUAGGCUUUGGAGGACAGGAAAUCUAGCUCAACGGCUAGGAUUAUUUUUAUUUUUAUUACUGCUAAUUUUUGUUAACUAUCACCAUCCAUUACUAAGUGCCCAGACGUCUCACUGGGACAUGCAGUACAGAUCUUUUUGUUAACAAUAUUAUUUCUGUGACCUAAGAGGGAAGAUACCAAGGUUAAAGGACUUGGAAAGAUAAUUAUGGUGAAUUAACAAUUUUGACACAUGUUAUCAGCCAAAUGUAAAAAGACAAGCACACAUAAAGAGGGACAUGCACAAGCCCGAAUUAAUCAGAGGUCAAUUAAAUUUGUCAAACACUAAAGUCCAAUCGAAAUUUUCAGAGCCUUUCUAGUCAUAACCACAGCAAGAGUAGGCUCAAGAAAUCUAAGUCAAUGCAGUAGUUUCCUGUUGUCACAGAGCUGAUUUCGUACUUUGAAAAGCUGAAUCCAACUUGCCCAAAACUGUCUGUUAGCUUUUGGUGCCUUUGAUGUGUUUUUGUGCUGUUGGAAACUUCUCAGGCUUUGAGAUGCUCUUGGAGAUUUAAGGGCUUUAUAAGCCGUUUACAGAGAUGGGAGUCCUCUCUUUAGAUUCAUUUUCUAGAUGCAGCCAAAGACUUAGAGCACUUCAUUUGUCUUUUACGCAGUGAAAAAAGCUCAGGCCAGCCAAUAGCAUGUUGACAAAGCAAUACAAUUUAACUUAGAUUUAAACAUAAAGAAUGUGUACCAUAACAUUUUCCAGCAAGAAACAUGGAAAAGGUGACAAUGCUACCUUUGUCAUCCACCCUGAAUCUCACGUUUCAAAACUCUCUCUCUUUCUUCCCACCCACAAUUUCCCCUCUCCUUUUAUGCUUGAAUUUUGAGAGGAGGAUUCUGGGUUCCUCUUGAUGCCUUUUGUUUACUUUUUGUAAUUGCAAGAUUUGCCAACUAUAUGAUCUGAUGGAAUAAACGUGGAAUCUGUCUGAAUGAUGAAUACAUACAGAGCAGGUGAUAUAAAGUGUACAAAACAGAUUAUAAGUACUGCCUACCAACCCCUCCGUUUCAAUGCUUCACAUGCACAACGUCCCUUUCAAUUUUAACGUAAAAGAAAUCACAGGGAAGUGAAGGACUGGCCAAAACCAGCUUGACAGAUAAAUUUAUCUACAAAUAGGAAUGAAAGGAUCAUUGUCCUAACUAAGCCUUACAUGUCAAAGCUAUCAGUCCUUUUCUUUCUUUCUUUUUUAGAUUAUGAAAUGGUGGAAGAAAACGAAAAGAAAGAUAAAAAGCGCUCCUCCUCCAUGGUAGCUGCAGGAUAUUAUAAAACAGCAGGUCGAUGCUUCACAGCUUCAACACAAUUAAUUGACAUACUUCCCACGCUAAGCUGUAGAUUAGACUAAAAGAUUUUUAAACAUAAGAAAAAAAAAUUAAAGGAUAAAAAAAGAAAAGAAAAGAGAAGGUGUGCAAGUACAAUCUUUUUUUUUAAAAAAAAAAAAAAAAUUUAAGAUGAUAUUUUUAUUUUUUAAAAUAUUAAAAUAAUAAAGUAUUUGAUCAACUUGGGUUAACUCAUCAAACCCAAUGAGUUCAAUAAUAUUUUUUAUUUAAUUAUAUGAUAUAAAAUUGAAGACUAAUUCAAAAUAAAAAAAAUAUUAAAUGAUAAAAUUAAAAAAAAUAAUUAAAAAAAAUUCAAUGUUGAAGAAUAAAAUUAAAAAAAAAAAGCUAUACAAGGUGCGCAGGCCUGAGUGGUCCAGUUCAUUAAGGCCUUAAGAAAAAAAGCUCAGGCAUACAUGUUUUGUGAUAUGACCUAAAAAAAGGUUGAACAAGAAAUUUGCAUUCUAGUAUAAUUGUAUCUAUUUUCUAGUUUUACUCUAUCAAGCAUAACUCUCAAUCUUAUUGUUGGAUCAGAGUAAGAUUUUAUCAAGAGUUUCUAGGCAUAUUGUUCUACAUUAGGUUAAAAUUUCAAGUCAAUCAAAGUUUUGAAAAGCAUCACGAUACAGGUCAGAAGAUGCAUUAUGGAUUUUGUUAUUUGUUGUCUUUUGACUUGUGAACUUUCUAUUUAGAGAUGAUUUUUUUCUUAAUAAUGCAAAUAUAUUCAAUAGCUAAUUUUGGUAAUUUUUUAAAUUCUACAAGGAGACUAAGGGGCAACAAUUAUUACAAAGAUUUUCACGCAUAUUUAGGAGAGUUAAAGUCAGUUUUGUGUUGAUUUUUUCUAAUACAUAGAUUUGUUAUAACAUGCAUAAUUUUUAAUCUGAUCAUUAAACUGAGCUGGAAUUUAACCAAAAACUUUUAGAGGUCUUGUUUUAUAUCCAUUUAAAAUCUCAAGUCAAUCAAACAUUAGAAAGAAAUUUUGAUAAGAUUUAGAAACUACUACGCAAGAUUUGUAUUAUAUAGUUUCCUAGUUGAUUUAACAUUUCUUUUUCUAUUUUAUUAUUUUUCCAAACUUGUUUAAGAUGUUUUUACCUAAUAUCAAUAGGGUUAUUUAGCUUGUACUUAUGUUUUUGUUUUUAAGCCAUGAUAUUUCGAAUAAACUUGUGUUUUGUGUGAUGCAAGACUUUUUUUCCUUACCGGAACAAAGAACAAUUGAACUUAUCAAAGUAUAACUGACUUUGUGACGUUCUUCCUUAUACUUUAUUUUUUUGCGAUUUGCCAAUUGUUGAGUGGAGGUUCAUCCUAAUAGUAUUGGUGUCUUGGUUCAUGUAAUCAUUAUGUCACACACUCUUAUAUCAAGUUUGAUUUUUGGCUUUCUGAGAUUAUGUCAAUCUUGCUUGUGGGUUUCUAGAUCUUUAUAUCCAUGAGAUUCACAUCACUUGAGCUAUUUUUUUUCCUUAUAAAGGGUAGAUGGCAUAUUUAAAGAAAAAUAUUGUCGGCUUGUUGCUACCCAGGUUAGAAUCCGGCCACCACUAUAAUGGCUAAGAAAGUAAGAGGGGGCAGGGGUUUUUUUUUUGUUGAAAAUCUAUUUUUCAAACUAUUUUCACCCAAAAAUACUUAAUAAACAAUACAAAAACUCCCUAAACCACCUAUUAACCCCAAAACACCCUAAAAUCACAUAAAAAAAACUAAAAUCAACUGAAUCAAAAAAUCAAAAUGAAACUCAAUCUUUUUUUAAGCAUGUUUAUAGGAAAAAAACACAUCAUCAUCGAAGUCCUCUUUUUUAAUGGAACCGAUUGACACUAAGCUUGGCUAUUUUGGUUGUCGAAAUCGUGACAACCAACCAUUUCUCUCUUUCACUGUUUUGUAGCGACUUUCUCUCUUCUAUCUUAAAAUUAAAGACUUAAAAAUAAAAGAAACUUUUAAACGAAUGAAAAAUGUCUUGAAUUUGGAUUGAAUCAUGUAUUUUCUUUAAGUCUUACUUUUUAGUGCUUUAUUUGAUAUUUUCUUUUCAUAAUUUCAAGCUUAAUUGUACCUAAUUAGACUAUAAAAGGAUUUAAUUAAAAAAAUAAAUUAAAAAUGAAAAGAAAAAAUUAAGAUUCUUUAUUUUUUAAAUGAACAGUGAAACUCCCAAAAAAACAUCCAUAGCACCUUGUUGCAUUUCUCUAAACUCUUAAUAAAGAGCAGGAAAAAAACAAACUGGAUGGCCUAUUAGUGAGUGUGUGUGUGUAUGGUCAUUAUUGAAUUCUUGGACCUCUCAUUUUUUUUCUAAUUAUGAUGAGAAAAUCCAUCAUUAAUUGCAAUAUUUAUAUAAUAUUUUGAUAUUCAAUAAUUUAAGUACAUUUAUAUUUAUUUUAUAAUUUGUAAAUCUUUAUUCCUCAAUCUAUGAAAUAAAUAAAUUAUAGCAACAAUUAAUUGAAGGAUAGGAACAAAAGAAAAAUUUAACACAAUAAAUGUUAAUUUUAUAAAAGUAUUUCAAAGUUCAUUUUUAAGUCAUAAAUAAAUAAUUUCUUCAAAUGAUAAUCAACUUAACAUUUGAUUAUGAUUGUAAACGAUUCAAUAUUCACAUCAUCAAUCUCGUGCAUCACGGUGGGCCUUUUACUAUCUUUUUGGUCAUAUUUUUUUUAAUAGAUUGCAUAAAUACAUCCAUACUAUUAUAUCUAUAUAUUGAGAGAUUUAUUCUCAAGACUCUUUUAUCAAAGAUAUCAUUAUCGCUAAAAUUAUUGUCAAAUAAAUAUCUAGUUUGAACUUUGAAAUAUAUAUAUUUUUGUUUUGGUGUUGCCAUACGUCAUUUUUGUUUUCUUUUUCGUGUUGAUAGUUUAGUAAUUACUAGAUAGGUAGCUCACGUUAUGCCGCAUAUUAGGUCAAUUUUUUCAAAAAAAUAUCUCAAGGCGAUGAUGAUCCAAGUCAACUCGAGUAAAUUUACUAACAUAUGACCAAGGAUUAUCAAAAUAACCUAUAAAAAGAAAGGAAGAAAAAACAUUGCAAAGUUCAAGGGCCAAUAGCCUAAUAUCAAAUGCUUAAACAAAAAAAAAUCAAUUUUUUUAAAAAUAGUUUCAAAGAAAAAAAUCUAAGUCAGCCCAAGUUAAUUUGAUUAAAUAACCACCCGCGAUAUGAGAUCGGCAAAAAAGAUCAAAGUUAAAUUAAAAAAACAUUGAAAAAAACUCAAGCUAACCUGAGUUAACUUGACUAACUCACACUUGAGAUAACCUCACAAAAAGAAAAGGAAAAACAUGACAAAGCUUAAGUGCCAAUAAUUUAAUACCAAAUGAUGAAACUAAAAAAACAAAAAUCACUUUCAUAAAAAUAAGGUUGAGGAUACAAAACUUAGUCAACCUAGGUUAACUCAACUAACCUGCCACCCGUAAUAUGAGAUUGAGAAAAAAAAAAUUAGACUUUUAAAAGAAAAACAUAGCAAAGAAGACCGAAGUUAAAUAAAAAAAAUUAUUGAAAAAAAAAAACCAAGUUAGCCCGAAUCAACUUGAUUAACCCAUACUAGGGAUAACCCCAUAAAAAGAAAAGCAAGAAAAUCACAAAAGCUCAAUGACCAAUAAUUUAAUGCCAAAAGGAUGAAAUUAGAAACAAAAUCAAUUUUAAAAAAACCAUCGAGAAAAAACUCUGAGUCAACCCGGGUUAACUCGACUAACCUAUUACUUGGGAUAUGAGAUCGGGAUAACAAAAAAAAAAUGAAACAAAUAAUGAAGUCCAAAGCCUAAUAACUAAAAUGUCAAAUGAUGAAUUUGAGAAAAAAAUCAAUUUUUAAUAAAUAGACAAAAACAAACAAACUUAAUCGAAUCUGAGUUAUGAGACCAAGAUUACCCCAUAGAAAGGUAGAUACAAAAAAAUAACAAAGUAUAACUUCCAGUCACAAAACAAUUUAAAAUCCAAACAAUGCGGACCAAAUCUGAUAUAAAAACUAAAUGAAAGAAAAUAAUUAGGGACUAAAUUGAAAAACAAAAUAAAUUAACAAAAGGAUAAAAAAUAAUAAUUAAAAGAAUAAGGAUCAAAAUAGGAUAAAAAACUAAAUAAAAUAAGAAAAUAACAAUAAAAAGAAUGAUGAUAAAAAUUGAAUAAAAAAAUAAAUGCAAUAAAAUGACUAGUGAAGAAAUAAAAAAAAUCAAGGAAAGGAUAAAACACAAAAAAAAAAAAAAGAAUCAAAAGAAUGAGAACAAAAUUGGAUAUAAAAAUCAAAUUAAAUAAAAUUUUCAGGGAAAAAAUUAAAAAAAAAUCUAAAAUAUAAAAGUAUCAAAAGCAAAAUAAAUAAUAAUUAAAAGAAAGAAGACCAAAAUUAAUAUGAAUACAAACUAAACGACAUAAUUGUAUUUUGGAGGGGUUGAUGUGAAUUUCAAGGCCAUAAGAAAGGAUAAAAAGCAUGUUGGAGGCCAAUCGUGCCUUCGCAUCAAGCACGCAUCAUACUGUUGGAAAAAAAACGAUGUGCCACUCUUAAUGCUGCCAUAGAUGAUGAAAUUUGAUAACUGGAUGACCCUGCACUUGCUGACAUUUGCAAGCAUUGUUUUUAUAUAUAUUAUUUAAUUUAUUAAAAUUAUAAAAAGACCCAUGCAAACAUAAAAAUAACAAAAAAAAGCAGGAAAAUACUAAAAAACCCUUGAAUGAAGCCUCUUUUCUUUAACUUGAAGGGCAAUCUUGUAACUUUAAUAUAUAAACAGAAGGAAAAGACAAAAAAUCCCCUUUGUGAAAUUCUUUGGUUUUUUCCUUUCAAUGGUAUUGAAGUAAUUAUAGUGUGAAAAUAAUUUUAAAAAGAUAAAAAGCUCUUAAUGGAAAUUAAGCAUUGAUUUUAUUUUUUCUUUUAAAAAUAAUAAAAUAAUUUAACUAUACUAAAUAAAGUAUACUAAUCAAUUUAUCCCCGAGCAAUCUUUGUAAUGCAUAAAUGGAUUCCCAUGAAAACAUGAUUUUACCGUCAACUACAAGCUUUGUAAGUUUUGAUGAGAAGGACAAAAUAAUUAUUAUAUAUAUUGUUCUAAUAAAUAGUACUCAUAUUUUAUUAGUUUUUUAAAGAUAUUUAUUUAUUUUAUUAUAUUCGAACUCCAAUACUUUUAAUUGUCGUAGUUUUUUUUUUUUCUAAAAAAAAAUCUCUUAUGCGAUAAAUAUUAUCUUUUUUUUUUGGAUUUGAGGAAACUCUACUCUCCAGAAAGCGCACUUUGUGGGUUUAGAUGAGCGAGUAAAACUCUAGCUAUCCCAGUCUCUUACAAGAGAUGUACCCUGACUCGAUUUAGUCCAUCGCAAAUUCUAGUAUAAAAUAUAAACACACUACAAUUUACAUGAAACACUUUUAAAGGCUCUAAGGUAUUUACCUUUUAUAGACUUGGCUACGUAUUUUCUGAGUUCAUAUUUAGAAUUUCUUUCAGCCUAUGUUUUUUUCAUAUUUAGUAUAAAAUAAUAUAUAUUAUAUUUUGGUUUAGCUAAUUUAGAUUUAGUCCAUGGUUGGAAUAGGUUAAUUUAAAGAUAUUUAUAACCAUCAAAUUAAAAAAUAUAAAAAUUAAAUAAACAAUGUCUUUUAUUCUUAAAAAAAAAAAAACAUGAACCGACAAAUUGAAAGAAUAGUUAGCUAUGCAUUCGUGAUUCAUUAUCAUCUUGCCUAAUUCUCUGCUAUUUGAAUUUCAAAUACCAAAAGAUUCCUGCAAAAGUGCUCUCUUAUUUUUUUUUGUCCCCUACCUACUCUCUCUCUCUCUCUCUCUCUCUCUCUCUAUACAAUAUAUAUAUAUAUAUAAGUAAGUUUGCAUUCAUGCUUUUUGUUACCUUGCUAUAGUUAUUUUUUUAAAUAUUUUUUAUAUAAAAAUAUAUUAAAAUAAUAUAUAUUUUUUAAAAAUUUAUUUUUGAUAUCAGCACAUUAAAAAGAUCUGAAAACAUAAAAAGAAAUUAAUUUAAAAUAAAAAAAUUUUAAUUUUUAAUUUUUUUAAAAUACUUUUAAAACGCAAAAACAUGGUCUAAUUAGGUUGUUCAUGACCGCUGCUUUAUUAGUACCUGUUUUUUUAAUUUUAAUGACAAAUGAUUUCCGUUUACUAUUAAAAAAGUUAGUCAAUAGACACUUUUCAAUUAAAAAAAAAUUUAACUUGGUUUUAAGAAAAAAAAUAUUUUUUAAUUUUGGACAAAAAAUACUUUCUAGAAGUUUUAAAAAAGUAAAAAAAUAUAUCUAAUUAUUUGUUAAUUAUAUCAAAUUUUAUCUUUAAUAUAUUGAUUGCUAUAUAUUUUGUUUCAAAUUUGUUUUCUUUAAUUUUAUCCUUGGAAUUUGAUUUAGUUUGAUUUUCAUACCAAGUUGAUUCUUUUUUUUUAUUGUUAUUUAUUUUUCUCUUAUCCUUUUCUUAAUUUGUAUUAUUUAUCUAUCAAGUUUGAUCUCUAUUUUUUUAAUUGCUAUUUAUUUUAUUUUAAAUAAUUUAUGAAAUCAAAUUAUUUUUUUCAAUUUCAUUCUCUUUUAAUUUAUCUAUCUAUUAGAUUUGGUCUCAAUUCUUUUGAUUACUACUUGUUUUAUUUGAAAUAAUUUAUAAAAUUAGAAAUUAUUUUUCAAUUUUAUCAUUCUUUAACUUUUUUAUCUGUCAAAUUUAGUCUAUUGUUUCUAAUAAAUUUGAGAAAAAAAUUAAAAAAUUAUUUUCCACCUUAUUUUUUAUAAUAUAGCCAAACAUUAAAUAAUAUUUUCUAACUCAUUUUUCAUAACACUAUUAAAUAAAAAAAUAAUAUACUUUUAAGAAAUUUAUUUUCUAUAAAAAUUAUUUUCUAAAAAAAUUUAUUUUUCGGCAAAUAAACAACACCUAAGUGUUUAAAGGAGGUUUUUAUUUUUCUUUCAAAUGGUGGAUUUAAUAAUUAUAAAGAUUCACUUAUUAUCUUAAUUUCAUAAGGAAAUAUUAUUAUUAAAAAAAUCUAUUCUCCUAAAUAUAUUAUGAUGUGAAAGAUAAAUUCUUAAAAUUAAUGUACAAGAAAAAAAAUUAGAAUUCAAUCAUAAAAAUACUUUUUAUGGUGAGUUAUAAAAAAAAAGUGCACCUAGAAUGGCUUUUAAACGUUCCAAAGGAAGUCCAAUUCAAAAUAAAGUGUUGAUGGAGUAAUUUAUGUAUAAUAUAAUAAUUUAUUAAUCAUGGAUGAUGAAAAAAAAAUGUAAUAAUUAAAUAAUGAUUGAUUUGAGGUCGUCUCCUCUAUCAAUUUUUUUCCAUGUCCAAGAAAGAAACGACGAAAAGUAUGAUGAUUCAUUUAUGAGUACGCUAAAACCCUUAAUAUAAUAAUAAACUUUCAUUUUCGGUUUCUCAUGUAUUUAUAUCUCAACCAUCCUUAUACCACCACUCCCUUCAUAAACCUAUAUCCCUCUCCCUCUCUCUGCUUCUUCUGCAAUAUUUCUCUCUUUCUCUAAUGGAAAACCGAUUCAGGUUGCGAAUCUCUAGCAUGUUUCGAGGCUCAUGUCGGACCCGAAACUUAUCGGACGUGGCUGAAAAAGCUGUGUUUGUGCCUCAAAACCAUAAAAACUUCCACUUGAUCGACCAUUUACCUCCCAAGGCUCGACCUUUCCCUUCUAUUUGCAUACGCAAAUGCCCUGAAGCAACAAACCAAGCCAUCAAUCCCUCUAUCAUCUCCAGGAAAAACCUAUCACACCGGUAUCCUCCUGCUUCCCCCAUUUUUCCUAUGAAUCCAUUCUAUAAAGAAUUGGGUUUCCAAGAGAAAACGAAGGGACGUUGUAGCUCAAUUAGAAACAGGAGUAAAAAGAAGAAGAACAUCACUAACAAAAAAGACCAGAUGAGUUUGUUGAGCUCAUCUUCACAAGACAGUGCAUGUUUUGGAGGUCGCUAUUACUGGUUCAGCAGCGAAGAUGAAAACAAGAGAGAGGAUGAUGAGUCGGACACUCUUUUCUCUUCAAGAAGUCUUUCUUCAGAUUCAUCCGGAUCUCUCAGGCACCCUUCUUCUCGCCGCAGAAAGUACACUUCUCGGAGGAGAAGGGCAAAAGUGAAGAGUUCUCAAGUGGGUGGUUUGCCAUUAGAUGGAAAUGUGAAGGACAGCUUUGCAGUGGUGAAGAGUUCUAGUGAUCCUUAUAACGAUUUUAGAAAAUCAAUGGUUGAGAUGAUUGUUGAGAAGCAGAUAUUUGCAGCUAAGGAUCUCGAACAGCUGUUGCAGUGUUACUUGUCUUUGAACUCUUAUCAUCAUCACGGGAUAAUUGUUGAGGUUUUUAUGGAGAUUUGGGAGGCUUUGUUCUCUAAUUGGACUGCUUGUUGAUUUUCUUCUAUCUUUGUUUUAAAACAUGUAGUUUAGAGUUCUAACUCUGAUAAACUGUGUUAAAUUAAUAGAUUAGUUUUCCAUUAAUUCCCAUAUGUUGUCUAUAUAUUGUCAUUUCUCUCUUUCUUUCUCUGUUAUUUUCUCGAUGAUCAUGCCCGCUCCACUCACUUUUCUUGACGGCUUCUUUCUUUCUUUCUUGCUUUCUUUUUUUACUGUAAAACUUGACAUCCAUUAAGUGUCAUUUUCUUAAUAAAAAAAAUAAUAAUAAGAAAACAGUUAGGUCAAAAAGAAGUUCACGGGGACAUAUAAAAGGUGACAAACCAAGUCUUUGAUAUGGUUUCCUUAACUUUCAGAGAGGUGCUUUAGACUUGAAAGAUGGGGAUGGCAACUUUUCUGAUACGAACGCAAAUGGAGUUAAAAUAAUUCAAAAGUUGUCUCGGACUUUCGGAUUUCUUUUCCAAUUAAUACACCAAAAUAAUAGAAAGAAAAUAGAGAAGCCUAUGCUAUAGUUUCACCUGCAGAAGAAAAGAGAGUGAGAGAGCUGUUUUAUUAUGGAGAAAAUAUGCUCCAUUAGCAUUUCUAAGCAACAAUUUCUUGAACAUCAAGCUCUUUUCAUCAAUUAAUUAUUCGGUUCAGCAUCCUAUAUAAGCUUAUUUUUUUGUUGAUUGUUUUUGGUCAUUGUAUAUUAAUUAUCAGAAAUUCUGGGAACAAUUUCCUGUUAAUUUCGGAUCAGUUUGAAUUAUAUCCUAAACAACUAGCAAUAAAAUUAUAGCAAAAAAAAUGAGGUUGACGAUUGGAUUUCUUUCUUGUCUCCGUUGUUGAAUCCACCUGACCAACAAAAAAAAGAAGAAAAAAGAACAGUUAGCUAGGACGUAGGAGAACUUCCAUGGUGAGUUCGAAAAAGAAGAAGAAGAUUUAUUUACAAGAACUGCCACAUGAUAUGUACGAGACCAAAUGCCUCACUCUCUUUUAAGAAGAAAAUAAAUUCUACCCUACAAGUACUCUAAUCAUUUACAGGACUACAAAAACUGGAUGAUUCCAUCUAAAUCCUUUUUCUAUUAAAUUAAAAAAAGAGAGACAGAAAUAAAGAAUAAGGUCAUAUUAUUAUAUGUCAUUGAAAUGAUGAAGCAAUAGGCCGUUGGCAUGAUGCCCGCGGACAAAGAACCAAGUUUUAAAUUUUUUGGUCUUAAAAGAGACAAUUUUUGGGAGCUAAACACAUAAAAAGAGACAAGUGUUAGGUACAUCUAUUUCUUGUUGUAUUAUUAACCGAAUCAAAUUAAUUAAUGGGAUUCAUUUGUUUCCAUUAUUACAUGGUAACACAGGCAAGACAAAGCAAACACAGCCCCCCACCACCCCAACAUCGAACAGAACAGAGUUUUAGUUCUUGCGUGGUGUCCGUCCAAAACCUGAAACCUUGUUUUUCAAAAAACCGAAGAGAAGUUGUUCUGAUGGGGGCUAGCUAGGCUGCUUAAUUAGCAGUGCUGUGGCAUUCCUAAAAAGACUGAAAACUGAUAUGUCGGAUGCAUAUAAUUUUCUGUGAGCACUCGUACGUUCAUUUCAAACAACGGUUGUACAUAGCUUAAGAAAUAAAAUAUGAGAGAGGCCAUAAUGGACGGAGAAAAAUAGGGCAUAUAACAGAGAGAAUGGGAGCCAAAACCAUGCAAGAAGUGGGGUGCAGUGAUGUAGCUUUUAGUGGAUUUGAUAACAAUGUCACGUCAGAUUUGAUUCUUAGCUCGGUACACUCUGUUCUAAUGGUAAAUGAGUUCGAAAGCCUUUUGUAACAAUGCUGAUGACAAAGUAAAGAAUGUCUGAUCAUGGCAGUGGCUAUGUUUUUUUGUUGUGACUCAUAGAACCACAGACUGGCCUAUAUAGGUGAGCAGAUAUACAAUUGACAUUGACAAUCCAAUUGUGGUCUUGGGUUUUCUUGGCCCACUUUCCUAGAGCCGACUCUACAGGAUGUCGACAUAUGCAAAGCCUCUAAUGAGCUGAAGUUAAAUAUGCUAAUCUAGUUUGGAGUCUUCAUGAUGAUCUCGGAUGAAGCUUAAAUUCAAUUUCUAGUUUGCUGCUAGUCCUUUUUCUUUUUCUUUCGAUAUUUUGGACCAACAUAUACAUCAAUCAAGAUUAAAUUAUUUCCAAACGAUUUUAAGGAUGCAUCCCUGCAUACAUAAACCUGAUACAUUAAAUUGUUUUUAAUAAACAGAGAAGGGAUACUCUGUAAAACCAAAAAUAAAAAAGUUGAACUAAAGAUCAAGGGUAGGAUUGUAAUUCUAAGUACAAGGAAAAUAUAAAUAGAUACUUGGCUUCCUAAAAAAAUCAAGUUGGCCGGUUGCUUGAGGGACAAAGAAAGAGAGAAAAAUUGAAGAAAAUUUGUGGGGAGUUCUUGCUAAAAAAAAAUACCAAAUAGAGAUAAAUAAAAAGAUCAAAGAGGGAUUAGGAAGGGAUUAAACAAGAAAAUUGAAGAUUACCAGAUUUAAUAGCUUCCAAAUAAAAAUAUUGAAAUAAUUGGUAUUUGAAUAAGAUAUCAGAUUGAUUGGUAUCUAAUUAAAAUUACCGAAAUUAAUGAUUUUUAAAUGGAAAUGCUGGAAUAACUAGCAUUCGAGUUAGAUGUUGAAUUGAUUAGUAUCUAGUUAGGAUUACCAAAAACUAUUAUAUUCCAAAUGAGAAUACCAAAAUAAAUGAUAGUUAUGAGAAUUGUCAUGUAUAUGGGUAACCAAACGAGGGAUUACAAUAUCUUUAGUACUUGAAAUGAAUGACUAAACAAAUUAACUAUGAAAUAAAAUAGUCAAUUUAUAUAACCAUUCAAGUAGGAUGGAUGGAUGGAAAGAAAAGAAGAAAUUAGUGAAAGAUUUUAUUUAAUUCAUUGUUGAAUUAGUAGGACAAAAAAGAAUGUAAUAGAGAUGAAAAUGAAUUCUAAAAAAGAGAGAGACUAAUUAUGAUUGAAUAAAAUUAUAGUAAAUAUUAAUGCGUUCUAGUGUUAAUUUCUUCUUUAAAGCCUUUACAAGAUCAUCAAGAAUGCACUUUUAAUAUUGCUUUCCUAUUCUAGCUAAUAGGAAAGAUAUGUAUGUAAUUUAUUAGUUAUAGAUAAUGUAUUGUACUACUUUAAGUAUUUCCUUUUCGCAUGUAAAUUAGAACUUAUAGACUUUAAUGUUUUAUUAGAAAAGAACUUGAAAUUUAAAAAGUGAAUACGUUUUAUUAUAUGUUCUUCCAUAUUGUUUAAAUUAUCUUAUCAUUUUAUUAAUAUACUAAAUUGAUUAGGUUGAAAUGAUAUGGUAAGUAGUAUCAUUAGAUUAUUAAUGAGAUGAAAAUUCUAGAUAAGUUGAAUUGAUGUUUAAUAUUGGAUUGAUUAAAUCGUUUUGAUGUCAACACUUGAGAUAAUGAUAUAUUAGUAAAACAAUCCCUUGUUUUGAGAAAUCAUCAUUUGACAUGUUGAUUAUAAGUAGAAAGAUUUGGAAUCGUUACAAUUGGUAUCAUAGCUUUUGUCUGAUUCAGUAGACUUUGAAUGAUGAUUUGAAGUUUAUUAAAUCUAUUUUUGUGAAAAUUAAAAUGUAGUUCUUUUAUAAAUGAUUGGAGCAAAUUGAUCAACAUUGAGGCAAGAAGACCAAAUUACCACAAACACAGGGCACAAAAAGAUAAUAUAUAUAUAUAUAUAUAUAUAUAUAUAUAUAUAUAUUUGUUAUAUUUUAAACGCAUAAAAACAAAAUCUAAAUUUAUAACUUCACUGUAUAAUUGAAAUAUUUAUAAUUAUGAAUAUAUAGUAAUGAAAAAUAAUUAUAUUAAUGAAAAACAUUUUAAAUAUUAGGAUGCUAUCGUUCCUUAAUAUUAUACAAUAUACUAAAAGAGAUCAGUUUUUUGUCACUUUUCACCUCCUUACAUAAUACUGUGGAUUGGAGCGAUUUUUUUUAUUUUCACUUUGAUCCUCCAACUUUUAUUCUAUGCAAUUUAGCCUUUUUUAGCCAAAAUAGCACCCAAUUGCAUAUUUUUUUAGAAGGGAGGUUGAAUUGAAAGACAGGGGACUAAAAUGAAAAAAACAAGUAGAAUAAGUGGUGGAUAUGAAAUUUAUUAUAAAAGCUCAUUUUAGUCCCUCAUAGUUUUUAGUUAUUAGGUAACUGGUCCCUUUAAUUUUCAAAAAAAAAAUUUGGUACUGAACUUUAUUUUCCUUAUUUUUCAGUUUUGUUUAGUGGGAAGAAAUAGGGAGUCGUCGGAUUCCGGUGUAGAAAGAGAAAGUGGUCGUUGGUGACGAUUAUAGCCACUAAAACAGUCGAUUUUGGUGUCAAAUGGUUCCAUAUGAUGAGGAGAGUACAAAUAAUGCAUUUUUUUGACCUUGAAAGUGUCUAAAAAAACAUAUCUGAGUUUGAGAAGAUUUUGGGUUUCAAGUUGAUUUACAUCUGAGAUUUUUUUAUGUAAAAUAACAUGUUGAAAAAUUCCGCAUGUUCAAUUUUUUUAUUAUGUUUUGAUGUUUUAUAUUUGAUCCUUAUUCUUAUGAUUUUUUUCUUGACCCUUUUAUGUUGGAUUCAUGGUUUUUUGUUUUUGUUUGCUUUCCAGGUCACUAUCUUGAUAACACGUGCGACCUCUUUAACUUAUCAAAAUUUAAAUUUUUCUUACUCAUUUUAAAACUUUGAUAUCACAUGAAUGAAGAAACUAAUUUGUCUUGUGGUAUAGCACGAACCAUUUAUCUAGUUAUAUAAGUAGUUGUGAACCUAGCCUUUACUCACGAGAUAUAUUCUUAUAACGCAUAUAGAAUUAUUAACAAUACUCUUUCAAUCACUUUUUUCCAAUUGCAAAAAAAGAUGAAAAAUAGAUAAUAAAAGGUAUUGACUGAAAAUGCAUGGCUUGACCUGGCUUGUAUUUGCAGAGAUUGUUUGUUUUUUGUUGUUGAAAUCACGUUUCAUAAUUUUUUAAAUUUUGUUUUGCUUGAAAUUAUUAUUUUUAGUGUUUUUGUAUCAUUUUGAUGUGCUGAUAUAAAAAAUAAUUUUUAAAAAUAAAAAUACUUGGCUUGUAUUUGCAGAGAUUAAUUGUUUGUUUUUGUUGUUGAAAUCGCGUUUCAGAAUUUUUUAAAUUUUGUUUUGCUUGAAAUUAUUUUUUUUGGUGUUUUUGCAUCAUUUUGAUGUGCUGAUAUAAAAAAUAAUUUUUAAAAAUAAAAACAAAUUAUUUUCAUGCAUUUCCGAGCGAAAAACAUUUUGAAAAUUAACCGCUGCUACAAGACAUAACACACCACAGGGCUGUUUUGUGGUUACAUAUUUUACUUGUUAAUGAUUUCUUGGGAAAUAAAUUAAUCAAUACCAUGAAGUAUGUGUGGGGGUAUACUGGUACAAAAAUAAAAGUUCCAUGAAAAAUAAUAAAUUUUUAAAAUGAUUUUUAAAAAAUAAAAAAAUAUUAUUUCACGUAUUUUCGAGCAAAAUACACUUUCAAAAGCAACAGCUGUCACACUCUCAAACACUACUGCAAGACAUAACUCCACCAUGGCUAGGACAUAACAUACCUCGACUAAGGUUGUUUUGUGGUUACAUAUUUUACUUGUCAAUGAUUUCCUAGGAAAGCAAUAAAGCAAUUAAUCAAGACCAUGAAGCAUGUGUAGGGGUAUACUAGAACAAAAAUAAAAGAUCCUUGAAAAUUAAUCAAUUUUUUUAAAAAAUAAAAAAACAUUAUUUUCAUGCAUUUCCAAGCAAAAGCCACUUUGAAAAAUAACUCUCAUCACCCUUCCAAACACUACCACAAGACAUAACACACAACAACCAGAAAAUAUUAUAUCAUAGUCAGGCCUGUUUUGUGGUUACAUAUUUUACUUGUCAACGAUUUCCUGGGAAAGAAAUUAAUCAAGACCAUGAAGUAUGUGUGGUAGAAAUACUUGUAUACUGGAACAAAAAUACAAGAUCUAAGAAAAUUAAUUAUUUUUUAAAAAUAAAAAAAUAUUAUUUUCAUGCAUUUCCACUCGAAAAACACUUUUAAAAUCAAUCACUAUCACACUCUCAAACACUACCACAAGACAUAACACACCACGACUAAGGUUGUUUUGUGGUUGCAUAUUUUACUUGUGAACGAUUUCCUAGGAAAGAAAUUAAUCAAGACCAUGAAGUAUGUAUGACGGAAAUACAGGGGUAUGCUGGAACAAAAAAUAAAAGAUCUUUGAAAAUUAAUUAUUUUUUAAAAUGAUUUUUAAAAAUAAAAUUUUUUUUAUGUAUUUUUAUGUGAAAAACAUUUUGAAAAGUAACUGCUAUCAUAUUCUCAAACACUAUCUCAAGACAUAACACACCACAAAGAAAACUAUUUUGUGGUUAUAUAUUUUACUUGUCAAUGAUUUCCUAAGAAGAAAUUAAUCAAUACCAUGAAAUAUUAAAAACUUAUCAUCAUCAUCAAUAAAUUAAAGAUUUUAGACAAAAUUAGGAUAACAUAUAAACCCUAGGUAAAUUUAAAUGUUUAUACUUAUCAUCAUCAUCGAAUAAACAAUAAUAUUAAAAACUAAUUUAAUAUUAUUAUAUAUAAUAAUAUAAUAUCUUAAACAAAUUCCAUGUAGCAUAAAAAAAUUAUAUUUUUUUAAAAUUAAUCCUCCUAAUACAUUUAUUAUUUAUUUUAUAGGAUUCUCAAUAAUUUUUAUAUUAAUUCAUAUAAAAUAAUUAUAAAUCAAGUUUAGGAUAUUUUUUAAUAUAUUGCAGAAGUUAUAUUUGUCACAAAACUAAAUGUUACUUUCUUAAUUAGUACUUGGAAAAGGGUUUAAAAUUAUCAUACAUCCCUUUACCAUAUGAAUUUGAUCAUAUUACCCUCUCCAUGUUAAAAAGGGUAAAAUUGAAUUCUCCAUCGUAUGAAUUUGGCCAUUUUUAGCUUAUUUUUAAUGAAAUUAUGACACAUGUCAAUAUCUAAUUGGCUAGAAAUUGUCCAACUGACAUCAUUCCUUCUAAAAUGAUCAAAUUCAUAUGGCUGAGGGGUAUUAGACCUUUUUUUUUUUUUUUAUGUAAAGAAGUUGAUCUGACCAAAUUAAUAUAGUAUAAGGAUGAUUUUAGAUCAUUUUAUUUUAUAAUAAACCCAAAAAAAUAUAUAAUUAAUUUAUGAAUACUUAGCUCAUAUAAUUUUUUUUUAUAAGAUACAUCCACAUCGAUUGUUUUUUAAAUUUUCAAUGUAAGAUAGUUAUAUAUAAAGUCUAUAUUCACAUAGAAUAUUUCUUGACUUUUUGAUAUGAAAUAACUAUAUAACUUACAUCUACAUAUAUUAUUUUUUAAUUUUUUGAUGUAGAAUAACUAUACUGUACAUCACAUUUAUUUUUUAUAUUCUACAUUUAAAAUAUACUGGUUGGUUGACGUAUGUUAAUCAUCUGGAUGAAUGAUCUUCCAAUGACUCCAUAUUUUUUUAAAAAUUAGUAUAUAUAUUGAAAUUAAUGAUUAAAUUAUAAUACUGAAAAGUUAAAGUUCAAAUAUCUCAAAUUAACUCAAUGAAUUGGUAUAAUCUUAAGUGUAUAUGAUUUUAACCUAAAAUAAAAAGUCUUCACACCACGAAGACAUGAUAUUUAAGAUAACACUUUGAGAUAUUUAAUUAUUUUAUUGAAUUUCUUCACCAAGAGACGUGACCUUUAUCUGAUUAUUGUUUAAUCAUAUUCAAUUUCAUAAUUAUAAGAUCUAAUGUCCAUAUAUAGUUUGGAAUUCUUUCAUUAUAAUAAAUGUUACGUCAUUUAAUAAAUAAAAAUUGGUGAAAAAAAAUUAAUAUCUCAAGCAUCACAUGUUUAUUUAUUGACACAGCAAGGUCAAGGUGUCGUAUUUUACGUGAAAGGUAUGUUUCUUCGACAUAUUACAUCAGGCACCCAAAAAAAAAAAAAAGAGUAGUAGGAGAACCUAUCGGCUAACUAGACGUUACACUUGUUACGAUGCCGCGACCACCAAUUGCAGGAUCGGUAGGCUGACAGCCCUAAGCAACGCCCGAACGUUGUUCUUCGAACCCUUGCUUUUCUGUAGUGGCUGAAAAGUCAUAACUUGCUUCAACUGCAUCUUCCAUGCACAAAAAUAUGGAUUCCUUCCCGAUCUUAUCUACGAAUUUUGAUUUCAUCAUUUUCUCCAAAACAUCUAGCCUGGGGUUUACAAUUUUCAUCUGCCAUGAACAAUUAAGGGAUAUACUUAUUUAAUUCUCUAGCAAAAACAAACAAAUAAACAAACAAAUAAAUAAAUAAAAAGAAGAUGUCUUAUCAUGAUUUUAAAAACAAGUUUUAAAAAGUAAUUUUAAAAGAAUAUUUCAAUAUUUUGUAUGAAAAAAAAUAAUUAAUAUGAUAAAAUCAUAUAAAACUCUAUUAAAAAAUCAUGUUGAAUAUUUUGUUUAGAGUGCAUUUAAAAAAAAAACUAAAAAAAAAUGAAAAAAAAAAUUAUAAAAAAAAACCACAUGCUUGUGCCUAAAAGAUUGGUCCUGACUACUUGGCUUAACAUAGAAAAGGCCCAAUACACAUGAGCCUACAAGCUCAGACCCGUGCACCUAGCUUCUUUUAUUUUAAUGUUUAUAGGCGAAAGACUAUUUUUUUUUAAAAAAUAAAACAGAUAAUUUAUUACUUGCUAAUUUAAAUUCUAGCAAAAUGAGUGGUUGUUGGAAAGUCAAGUCAGAGAUUUUUUGGACUAAGAGUUAACUCAAUUUUAAGCUAUUUUUAUCUAAAAACAUGUAAUAAACACACUAAAAAUUUUAAUAAACUAAUUGUUAACCUUAAAACACUCUUAAAUUAGUCCAAAGAAAAUUAAUCAAACAAAUAAAUUAUUUUUAAACAUCAAUCUCUUUUUUUCAAUGAAAUAAAAAUUUAAAAAAUAUCUCAAUGAUACUCUUCUUGCCGGGAGAAACUCAUUAAUAAAUAUCGGUUUUUUUGUAGUUAAAUGUGUUCAUCUAACUAUUUUCUUUAUCAUCUCAAAUUUCAAGGAGUGAAAUAUAAAAUCAUUGAAGCUUAGGACUAAAACAUGAAACCCCAAAAAACUAGGGAUCAAAAAGUAAAAGCUUCAUAGGCUAAAUUGUAGUUUUUCAACAGCACACAAUACACCAAGGUCUGGCCUGCAUGAACAAUACAAGAAAGAGCAAAAAGCUUCCUCUCAAUGUAAUUUUACCUUGAUGUGUUUGACUUCUAAGAUUCUGAGCACUUCAGCUAAAGUUUCGAUGCCUGUCGUGUCAAUGGAUGUAACUCCUGUUGCAGCAGUAUUUAUAAUUUUGGAUCAGCAUUGACAUGGAGUCGUCAAAUUUGGAAUGUAGCACUAGCUAGGUUGAGGCUGCACGCAAAUUAAUUAACCUUACCCGUCAAAUCUAGCAAAACAUGCUUCACAGCUUUCCCAUUACCCUCGUCAUUUCGAAUCCACCGGAGAAUCCUAUUCACAUAAAAUUAAUUAGUUACUAAUUAAAAUGCUGCGCACGUGUGUGAUAAACCGAAGAUUGUUUCUUCUUCUUCUUCUUCUUCUUAAGAAAGCAUGUCAAGUGUGAUUACCUCUCUCUUAUAUAGUUGCCAUUUGCAUAAUAAAUAGGAGAACCAAGUUGUAUAGCAAGAAUUCCAGGGGGACCUGAGGCUUCAGCAUACUGUUCGGUGUCGCGGUACAAGGUUGAGUCUGGCAAUUUUCCAAGCUUACAAGCAGCAGGUCUGGCCACAUAUAGAAGUGCCCUCAACAAAGCAAGCGCAACCUGAAAUCGAAGAAUGGAAAAUUAGCUGUUAAUUUCCUGUGAUAUAUAAAGAUAUACAGGUGGGUUGAAAAUCCUUACUGAUAUCAUGAGGCCCAUAUCCAUGGUUAUGAACGCAACACCAAAAAAAGCAGCUAAGCAAAUGCAGAAAUCAAACUUGUCAACCUUGAACAAGUGAUAAGCCUCCUCAUAUUUGAUGAGGCCUAACAUCGCAGACAUGAUAAUGGCAGAUAGAGCAACGAGAGGGGUAUAGCUAAAGAGAGGAGCCAAGAAUAGGAGAGUGAGCAUCAUGCCAAUAGCCAUUACUAAGUUCGACGCUGCUGUCUUACACCCAGAGUUGUAAUUCACUGCAGUUUUUGAGAAUGGUCCUGCAAAUUAAAGCACUACUCAUAUGAAAAAUGCUCUACUAAGUUUUUCUUUUCUACUUUCAUUUCUCAAACAAACCAAGAAUUGAAGAACACGCAUAUGCAUAGAUACCAGUGGUCAAGUAGCAUGAAAAGCAAGACCCAACAAUGUUCAUGAAACCAAAAGCUAUCAUCUCCUUGUUUCCAUCAACUUGUUCAUUAUUCAUUAUGGCAAAGCUUCUUCCAAUUGCAAUCCCUUCCUGCAAUAAGUAUCGUUUUAGUUCGCUAUCGAUUAAUAAUAAUAUUCGGUUUUGGUAAAUGAGUAAAAGAAAUUUAGCGAGCUUACAGCCAAAGCAAUUAUGCCAGUAAUGAUUCCAGCUUUCAAAGUGUAGGGCAGAUACUCAGCGUCAAAAUUCAAGUAUUCGAUGCUUAUCGGAUUUAACCCUUUAUGCAGGUUCCCAACCUAAUUAGUGAUAGAACACAGAUAGGAGGCAAGUCGUAAGCAUGUACAUAUAUUUGACAAGAACUAAUUAGACGUGGUUUUUGUAAGUUAGAAAAAAGUCAAUUUACAGUUUGGAUGCUGUAUUUACUGUCACGAGUAAAGUAGGCUAACAAGCAGCCGAGUACAACGACCACCAUCGGAGCCAUAGCUGAGACCCAAAAUAGCUUGGGUUUUCUUUGCCUCUGAAAAUCCACCAUUUUCAAAAUGUUAUUAGAAUUAGCACAGUAAGAGAAUACUCUCAGCCGCAAUCUCAUGCAUGCAGGUACCAUAAUGAGAUAAAGUACAUGUGUAGAGAUUUUUGAUGGUUCAAUCUUGAUGUUGAUCCCAGAAUUUGAACCCGAGAAAUUAAAAAAUAAAGUAAACCUCUUUAAUCCCAUAAUAAUAAUAAUAAUAAUAAUAAUAAUAAUACUUGGAUUCAUGGUUUACAACUUCUUAACCUUAGAUGAAAAACAGGGAUGUUGUGUGAUUAAAAAAAAAGAAGAAAAAAAUCUCAUUUUUUUUUUAAAAAUAAAACUCAAAAGAAGCAGUUUAGCUUUUGAUUGUUGAAAGCUGGAGAAAAGAGGGAACAAAGUAAGAUGUUGACAAGUGUUCAAAAAGUACUUUUACAUUGAAAGCAACCACUUUAAUAAUAAUACGAAAUAGCCGACCUCGCUAUCAAAUUUGUUAGUGCAGACACAAGACUUGAUGUGUGCAAAGCAUAUUGUGAACGAUAAUACAUGCAUGGCAUCAUAUGUUGAUGUCAUAUUAAUGGAGAGUGCACCACUCACCAGAUAGCGGGUGAACAGCAGGAAAACAAGGAAGGCCAUGCCGACAACCGCGGUUUCCCAUUUCCACUGAAAAAGGACAAAAAGAAAAAAAACCAUUAGCCUAUAUAUGUAAAGUUGGAAUAGAAUCUUCUCAUGGAUAUUGAUGAAGUGAUAGUUAUAACCAAAUUGGAUGAUCCAAAAUAUAUAUAUCACCCUUUUAUGCCAAAUGUUUUCCACUCUUAGAACAACAAGAAAGAAAGAAGGAAUUAAGAACGUUUUAAUUUGUUAGUCUUCUGCAGUGCAAACCUCAUUCCUAUUCUUGAAAACUGCAUGCAAAACAGAAACCACAUCUGUUUUUGUGGUGAAAUGGCUCACUCCAAGCAAGCCCUUCAAUUGCUGUAGGCAGAUAAUAAUCGCUGUGCCUCCCAUGAAACCAGUGAUUGUGGAAUGUGACAAGAAAUCCACCAGAAUCCCCAGUCUGCACGUAUUCAACUCGGCUCAAAUAAAGAAUUAUACAUACAAUAAUUUGAGUGCAUUAUCUGUUUUAAACUCGCCUUAGAAAUCCUAGAGCAGCCUGAAAAACUCCAGUGAUGAAAGCGGCCGUGAAAACUAAGUGGAGGUACAAUGUUGGGUCAUCUUUGGAUGAUACUUUGGAUCCAAUUGUAUCUGCUAUGAGCAAUGAGCACGCAGCUACUGUCCCCACCGCCACAUGUUUCGAACUCCCGAGAAUUGCAUAAACUAAAGCAGGCACAAAGCUCGAGUCUGCAACCAGAAUCAUGAAAGAAAUCAAUAAACCUCGUUUUUGAUACAAAAAAAAAAAAAAAUUACACCAGCAGACGGCCGAAAACAAAAACGUAAGAGAACAGUGAGAUUACUUACAUAGGCCAAUGAUUGGAGGAAUUUCAGCGAGUUUGGCAUAGCUGAUUCCUUGAGGAAUGGCAAGGCUGGUAAUGGUGAUACCAGCAAGAAGGUCGAAUCUAAACAUCUUAAGAUUGUAUUGAGGCAGCCAUUCAAAGAUUGGAACGAAAUAUUGAAGGGUUUUCUUGGCCUUGCCGAGAGGCUUCUCAUUCUUGAAUUGUCUAAAUGGGUCGUCAGGGAAGAAGGUCUCUUUGCAUUUAGAUUUCAAUGUUGUCCUAAACUUUCUCGGGGAGUUGAAAUUCACCUGGGUAGGAUUCAUGCUGGAAUUGCGUGUGGGCAUGUGAAGAAAAUAUUAUGGAGCAAGUAAAUAAAUCGGCUGGUUACUCAAUUUAGGUGCUUAUCCUUUAUAUAGAUAGAUAGAUAGAUAGAUAAAGAUGCUCGUAAUAAAAAUAGAAGGGUUUUUCUGAUGUGUGCCUCAAGGGCAAAACGUUGUUAAAGUCAAAAAUAAUAUUUUAUUGAGAUAAAGAUAAUGAGACUUCUUCAGAUAUCGUCGUUAUCUAUUAACAAAAAGUAAAACAAAUUACCAAAUAAACUAGAGCAGAUCAUGUUCUUCGCUGUCACAGUGCAUCCAAAUAAACUAAAACAACUGUUCAUUGUGCUUUUUUGCCAGGUUUUUCUAAGCAUUCGAGAUUUGGUUGUAAAUGUGGAUAUCCGACGUCUUCACCAAGAUAUAUUACCCAAUUUAUAUAUUUUUUAAGUAGCAAACCACUAUAAUAAUACCUGUUUUUCUUCCUUGGUUAAAACCCAAAAGCUUUAAUGGAUUUUGAUCAAUUCAUUAAAUUUGAUGUUAUUAAUUUAUUUUUAAAUUAAUUGGUUUAAUCCAACUUACCGCGUAACGCGAGCCAUAAAACUACUUAUAUCUAAAAAUUAUAUUAUAAUCAUGAAAAUAUUUUUAACAGGUAUAACUUAUUUUAUAAAACCCCAAAUCAAAAGUUUUGUUCUAUCAAAACUAUUAAUAUUCAUAAUUUAAAUUAUUUUUUUUAUCAUCUCAAUAUCAUUUUAUGUGCACCUAUCCAUUCAAACUACCCUUCAAACUAUAUUAAAACUUUAUAUCCAAAACAUAAAUAUGAGAAUGUAAGAAAAAAAUUAAAAAUAUUUAUAUAUAAUAUAUCCCGUGUUCUUAAUACAUAAUCAAUUUAAAUUCUUAAUUUGCUUUAGAUUUUUGAAUGAGAUACUAUAACUAUAUAUCAAAUAAUUUUUUAUUAUAAAGAACUUAAGUUUUUUGGUAAUUUUAAAAGGAUUUAAUUUAAAAAUAAUAUGGAUGCAAAACAAUACAUAAUUCAAAUUAUACUAUUAGAAAUUUUUAAACAAAUUAAGAGAUGAACUGAAACAGUAUUAGAGAUGUAUAGACACAUUUUUUUUUGUCUCAUACUUCUUAAAAAAAAAAGAGAGUAAAAUACAACUUAAAUUAAAGAUUACAGCACAAGCUUUCUAUUAAACAAGUAAAAAUAUUUAACAAUAAGCAUUUGUAAUUUGUUCAAAUUUGUUCGUUUAAAAAGAAUUAAAGUUUUAAUUUCUCUUUCUGCAAAUUAUCAUUCAUGGUUUUUCUUAUUUGAGUGUGAUACUCUCUUUUUAAUGUACUUGUGGAAUAGGGACUAUCUUAUGUCUUUCUUUUUAUUUCAAAGCACAGCAAUAUGUGAUUGAUUAAUAAUUCACACUAGCUAUUUGAUCCAUGUUCUGCCGCAUGUUGAAUAUUUUUUAACAGAAAAUUAAACAUGGAAGCUUUUUCAACAUGUUAUUUUAAAUAAAAAAAUAUUAAGUGUAAAUAAAAAAAAUUAUUCACACAUUUAAUUAAAAAAAUCAAGAACCAUCUAUGUCAAUAGAAAAAAAACUAGAGAUAACUAAAUACAUAUCUAGAAAAGUCGAGAGGCGGAUGCAAAUCAAGAUAUUUAAUAUCGUAAUACGGACUAUUUAUCCAAUUGUGUUGAUUGACUUUGUUUAUUAAUAUAAAUUUUUUAUUUAAUCAAAUGAUAGUAGAAAUAAACACACAUAAAAUUGAUUCGGUAAAAUCAAAUGAAAAAACAAAUCUUGUGAGGUUGAACUUAUUAGAAAUACUAUCUAAAAUAAGUAUUUUUUUAUUUUUAUUAAAUAAAUUUCAAUUAUACAAAACAUUAAAAAACAAUUAUAGAUGAAUUAUAAUAAUAUCUUAAAAAAAUAAACAUAUACAAAAUAACUAAAAAACAAUUAUUUAAAAGAGGCUUAAUACAAAAAAUAAGAAAUAAGAGAGAAUGUGUAUUAAUUUAAAUAUAAAUUAUAGAAUCAUUUAAAAAGAUACAUAUAAGAAAAGGCAUGAUUUUUUAAAAGUAAAAAAAAAACAAAAGAUGAAGAAGAAAAAGAAAGAGGUUAGGCGCCACAAGACCUAACCCAAUUAGAAAGGCCCUGUUCGUAGGCUCUAUUUUUUUAAAAUAUUACAAUUAGGGUGGAUGACAUACCAUUCGCCUCAAUAUGUUUUGAAAUUCUUUUUCCAGAAGAUGCGUCAUCUGGUUUUUUUGAUAUUCCGGACGUUAUGAUGACCACAAAAACAUGGUCUAUGUUUUUUUGAUCUAAAAUUCAUUUUUUAACUUUUUUUUUCCUCCAAAAAACAACUAGAAAAGAGACUAAAAUCCUUGAUAAAUCCAUAGAUGCCUUUAAAAAACCAAAACCAUAAAAACUCGAAUUCAACUUGAAACCUAAAAUCUUCUUCAGUUUAGAUUCGGUUUUUUAGGUAAUUUCAAGUUGAAAAAAAAUACCUUAAUGAAACUCUUCUCAUCAAACAUUGAAACCCUUUGACUCAAGAUCGACCAUUUUAGUAGCCGAAAUUAGUCUCAACGUUGAUUAUCCCUUUCUAUAACCGGAAUCCGGUGAUCUCUCUCUCUUAUCUUAAAACAGGGAUUAAAAAAAUGAAAUUUUAUAACAAAAUAUAAUUGAAAAACUAUUGAGGGACCGAAUAGGUAUAAUUUGUAAAAUUUGAGGACUAAAAUAAACUUUUUAUGAUAAUUUUAAAAUCAUCAUCCAUUUGUAGCGUAUUUUUUUACUUUGAUUCUUUGUCUUUUAAUUUUAUUCUUAAUUAAUAAAUUUGAUUUAAUUAUUAUUUAUUUUUUUCUAAAAAAAUGCAAUCACGCAAAAAAAAAUUGAGGAUUAAAAUAAAAAAAAAAAAAUUUUAAAAAAUGAGCUCUUAGGAAAAUGUAAGAUGGUGAACUGUGCAUGUACACAUAGUAUUUUAGCCAUAAUAUUUAGAGUAUUGUAUAAAAGGGUCCGCCCCAUGCAUAUCUCAUGGAGAAUUCAUCGGAUUUGCUAGUAUUAAUUACCCAGUAGACACCCAGUUCAGCUACAAACUCAUGACAUUCUAUUACAAAAUUAAGCUGCUAAAGAGUAAAGAGGGAAUUAAAGGAUAUGAUAAGCAAAAUUAUUGCUGUAGCUUUUAGAGAAGAAAACUAGCAGCUGCAUAUCUUGAUCGCCACCUUCAUGUGUGUGUGUGUGGCUAGAAAUUAGGCAUGAAUCUUUGGAUGUUUGCUCAAACAUCACUCCCCAGAUAAGUUCAUACGGAGAAUGUCUAAAUCCAAUGAAGAGACAAUAACCAUUGGCAAGCAUCCAAAGAACACUCAAUAUAUAAACUUAUCUGGGGAGUGAUGUUUGAGCAAACAUCCAAAGAUUCAUACCUAAUUUCUUAAUUAACUUGCUUGCUUACUUUCUUUCUAAUUUUAACUCUCACUUGACUAAUUUACAUCGCAUUUGCUUAGUAAAUGUUUCCACCAAGAUAAUUUUGUUUUAUGGAAAUUGAGUUAUGUUUCUUAAUUUGUUUUGAGAAGAAUAAAUUUUUUAAUAGAAUUUCAUAGUUAUCUAUUCAAUAAAAUAAAAAAUAAUAAUAGCAUGUAUUCUUAGGAGUCUUAGGUGUUCGUUUGCUUAUUAUAAGUGAAAGUUUUAAAAUCAAAAUGUAGGAAUUAGAAUGAUAAUUAAAAAAAUUAGAAUGGCGUUUUAAUAAUAAGAAUCAAAAUAAAAUUUAUAAUUUUUAAAAUUUGGUUAUUAACAUAAAAAAAAUUAAUGAUUAAAAAAAUAAUUUUAUUAACAAUAAUAACAUCAUAGGAGAUGAUUUUGGUGGAACAAUAAUAAUAAUAAUAAUAAUAAUAAUUUAUAAUUACCACUGUAAUAUAAUGACGAAGAUGACGAUAAUAAUAAAUAUAGUAAUAAUUAUAAAAGUAGUUGAUAUAUAAUAAAUAAAAAUAAUAAAUUAUUUUUAUUUGAAAAAAAUCUUAUUCGUAUUCUUUAUUUUUAUUCUUACCCUUGAAACUAUGUUUAAUUUUUAUUUACAAGCUUAUCGUUCAUUCUCAUUAAUUAAUUGUCGCUUCAUUUUUUUUAACCAAAAACCUUCAUAAUAGGAAUAGAAUUUUCAUACCUUAUGACCAAAAAUCCAUAGACAGAUUGUAUACUAAUUUAACCUUUGAACAAAAAUCCAAUCAGCUGUAAAAAGUUUUCAUCGAAGUUGACAGAUUUGUUCUUCAAUAAAUAUCUAAUGCUCGAAAACUAUAUAUUUUGACUUGAACACUUCCUUGUCGGAGAGCUUAUCUGAUGCGCAGAGAUAUGUUCACAUCUUCAGUGAGUUUGCAUGUGUAAUUAAGAGCUUCCGUGGACAUCGAUCAUCGAUCGAUCUUAAGGUUUAUUAAUUUAGACCAUGAAUCAAUUUUACUUCUGGGAAUGACAAACGCCAAUCAUUAGUUGAGAGGUAAUUAAGAAGAUCAGUUAAGAUCAAUUUAGAGAUGAAGCAUCCAUCCAAAAUAUAUAUAGCUGUGAUAUAUUGUCGUCUAAAUGAAGCACCAAAUGAAGCCUCCCUCAGUUACCCAAAUCAAAGAGGGCUGGGCAGCUGCUUCGAUCGACAACUUGGAGAUAUUGUGAGGACUGCAAUCAAUCUCUACUGACCAAGUUUGAAACGGAAGUCUUGGGGUAGUGUUUGUUGUGUCAAUCUCUAGUCACCACACUAACUUGUCAGUUUCAUUUCAACCGCAUCAAUCAUUGUUUCUUACAAAUUCCACAGAGGAAGGAAGGAAGAAACAUUCAUGAUCUGGUGAAGGGGUUAUCUUGGUCCUGUCUUAACCAUUAACUGCAGCAGCAAACCUUCCCAUGAUGAAAUAAUUGAUUUUUGCUCUUCCCCCGGUGCUUAUCUUGGUGGUCCCUGUCUGUCUUUACCAUUAUUAUUUUGUACUCAACUGUCAGCUCCCUUUCUCUACACAGUGACUCUAGUUUUCAUAUAUUACUUCUCAUAUUUCGACGUGAAAUCUUCAAUCUCAUUUUUUUUUUUCCUUCAGAUUUUGUGAUACCUAUUAAACACUUAAGGGUGUGUUCUGUUAUAGAAAAUAUAUAUUUUUUUUCAAUUUUCCUUUUCUAAUAAAAAUUAAAAAACAUGUUUAUCUUGAAAAUAAAGUUUACUUUUCAUUUAAUUGAAGUUUGUUUAUCUCAUCAUCUUCAUCAACUUCUGUAUAUCCAUUAGUUCUUAAUAUAUCAUUUAGCUCAUUAGUAACAUCAACAACAAAAAUAUUCUUAGCAACAUGAAAAAUUAAAUUUUCUUCUAAGUUGGUAGACGGAGCAACUCGACAUGGAUCAACUAACUCAUAAAGUUGAAAGAUAUCGUCUUUUGCAGUUAUUUUAUCUUUACCAUCCCAAACAACUUGGACAUGACCCUUGAGUUUGGUUUUUACAACGGAUAACCAAUCAACUUUAGAACAAUCAUUUCUAAAAAAACAUAUAUGUGUAAUAAACUUGUUGGCAUUACUUCAUUAAAACAAAGACAUUGUCGAUGUUGCGAAGUCUAGUCUUUGUAUUAAUUUUGACCAAAUCAUAGUAGAGAUCUAAUCUAACUUUUUUAUCGGUGGUAUCAUACCAAUAUCAUGUGAAUAAAAAGACUCUAUUAUGCUUACUAUGAUAUUGCAAUUCAAUCACCUCUUCUAACUUUCCAUAAUAAUCAACUUUAAACUCAUUAGAAGUUGAUUCAUGAACACAAACUUUAUUGUUACAUAUCUUUAUAUUUUGACCAUAAUCUUCAAUAUGAAAGAUAUAUCCAUUAAUGAAAUACAUGUUAUAAUAUUUGACCUAUCUUUCAGGAUCCAAACAUAGUAAAUUCAAACUACCAUUUUAUAAAUCUAGCAUAUGAUUACAACCACUAACAGUUAAAGAGAAAAGUAUAAUAAAAUUAAGUAUUAUAGGAGUUAAGAAUUAUUAAGUACUACUUACAUGUGUUUUAAACCACGUGGAAAAUUACUCAUAUUGUAAUCGAAAAUUUUAAGAUUCAGUCAGAUAUUAAUUUUAGGAUAGUAAAAAUUGAUGAUAUUACCUAUAAGAAAUUAUUCAAUAAAUCAGUUUAUAUGGGUGUUAGAGAAAAUCGUUUAAAAAUAGCAACAUGUUAAUAUUGUACUCAUGGAAUAUAAUGUAUUUACAGGGAAUAAUGUUAAAAAUUCCUAUUAUGUCCCUUUAAACCUUUUAUUUUUUACGGGUAAUAUUUUCUAGGUCCUAAUACUGGUUAUACCAGACUUAAAAUAGGUGAAUCCGAAUUCCAUUAAACUUUAUGCCACAACAAUUUUUUUCCAUUUUUUAUCUAUGUUUCUGUAUUUUUUAUUUUUUAGCUAUUUUUCAUAAAUUAUUUUUAAAAAACCCAUACCUAAACAUUUUAUUUUAAUUUCUUCCAUUUUUCAUCAUUCCCAUGAAUUGAUUAUUCCUUGUACUUAUCAUUGUAGUCCCUUCAUUAAUUUUACAUGUUUCUUCUUACAUGUUUCUUCUCAAGGGUUUACAUAAAGUCCUCUUUCAAGAAUGGGAGAAUAUAAAAUUAUUUCAAUAUUUUUAGUUUUAGUUUUCAAAAUUGAUAGGAUCCUCAAUACCAUAAAUUGAAUCAUAGGGAAAAGAGAUAGAAACAUUAAACACACCAUAGAUAAUAGGUUAGAAAAAAAACUCUCUUCUAAAAGAAAAAUCACUCUCGUUUGAAAAAAAAUAAAGAGCAGAAAACAAACCCUCUCAUAUCAAAACUAGACCUAGCAAUCACAUGUUUUUAUCCCUUUCCUUGUCAGAAUCUAAUGACAAAACAACAUAUCUUUUUCUUAUUCCAAAAAAACAUCACUACUCCCACCGAACAAGCCAACCACAUAACAACCUUCUCUCACUCCUACAAGCUUAGUCUACCAAACAUUAGCCUCAUCAUCAUCGAUCAAACCACUAACCUCUUAUCUUUGAAUCGAUCUCUUUCAUCUCUAUCCAAAAUCAAAAACCUACUGCUACCAAUCAACACCUAGAAUCUCUUCAUCACAACAACUCUAACCUUGCUCUUUCUCCACCACACAACAAUCCCUCUCUCCUAGUAACACCAACGGAUCACCAUAUACCUUAACCACAACAGCCCCUCCACACUAUAGACCAAAAAACCAUCAUUUUCUCGAUCAACCCAACAACAACCACACAACUUAUAGCCAAACAACCUAUUGGAACAACCUUUCUCUUCCUUAUUAGUCAAUCAACCUCCAAAUCACCAUAAAUUCUAGCCUUCAAAUUAGAUUGUUUAUGUUCUUUUUAUAGGUUUUAGAAAGGCAUGUGAGAUAUGUGUGCCCCUAUCUAUAACACACAUUAGUGUGCCAGCAUGUGAGACGCACUUGCCAUCGAUGUCUAGUCCUAGUUCCAAUAUCUUCCUAUCGACUCCAACAGCUCUCAAAAGUCGUUUUUGAAUCCCGAACAAAUUUUUGCUUUUCUUGAAUAAUUUUCAAUGUAUUUUUUUAUAUUAUAAUAAAUAUUUGAAGUUUUGAGAUCUAUUAUAGGGCAACCCUGAAGAUAUAUAACAGUUGGAUAUUUAUUUUUUGAGAAGUGACAAGGUUAGAAUCAAUAUCUCAUGAUGGAGUUGAGAGGACAAGUUGUAACAGGAUUAUCCAAGGUGUAAUUGUUUGACAUCGGUGUAGAAUGUCGUGUGUGGAUGUGUAUGUUUUCUUGUUGUGGAAUUUGUACAUUUAUUUCACUAAAUAAACAAUAUGAAUUUUUUUUUCUUUUUUAUGUAGUUAUAUAUUGAUUUUCUUUUCUUAUCAAAUAUUCAAUAUGCGGAUAAUAUGAUGCUUAAACGAGUCAUGUGCUCUAGAAGUUGAGACUUUGUUAUUUUCAUAUAAAAAAUAAAAAGUUUGAUUUCAUUUUUUUACCAAUAAAUCAACCCAAAGAUGAUAUAAUUCUUAAAUGGAUCCUAUCUUUAUUUUCAUAUUAAAUAAAAAUAAAAAAAUUAUUUUUCCUAUUUACCUAAAAAUCAAUCCAGGAAUGCUAUGAUCUUUAAAUGGGUUGUGAUGCUUAAACGAUACAUGAUUCUCAUAAGUUGAAGGAUAUUAUAAAUGGUCAGUAUGACUUUAUUUUCAAAAUACACCACGUAAAUAAUUUUUAAAAAAUCUACCUAUUUGUAAAUAUCAUUCAAUUGUUUUUUUUUUAAUUUUUCAAUGUAUGCGAAUGUUUGUUUAGGAAUUUUUUGGUUUCAAGAUACAUCACUCUCUAUCAAUAUGAGUGGAUUCGUGUUAAGUCAAUGUGAUCCAACAAAGACUCAUCAAGAACGUGUGGUGGCCUUUGAGCCCAUUUUGAAUAUAAUAAAAAAUAGGCUUGAAUCCUUAUUAACCAUUACCAUCCCUAGAGUCUACAUAAGCAUUUUAAAAGUGAGGAUUGAGUUUUAUUGCCAAGCUUAGAUUUCAAAUCACUACUUAAGUCCUAAUAGUUUUUAUCUUUCAUAAAAAGUGCACAUAUACCAAUUUAGACAAACAUUUAACAUAUAGGCAUAAUAAACACCUUUAUCAUAAAACAAAAACACGAAGUGAUUUACCUUAGAUAGGAUGUCUUAGAAUGAUUUUCAUGUUCAUUUGGCAUAACUAACCCUUACUCAAUAAUUUUUGAAAGAUUAAUUAGAGUUUUCUAGUUACUAAUAAACUAGAUGAUGAUUUUUUUAUAUUUCGUCCUCAUUAAUUAUAUCCGCUCACCAAGAUGUCCCGUACGACAAUGAAAAAGGAAUUAACUAACCGAGAGCUUUGAUCUUAGAAUUGAGUUGCUAGUGGGCUGAGGUAGGAUUUUGAUAGCAAUUUAGACUUUGACUUGAAACCAAGUACAAACAAUUGCAAGCUGGUUUUCCUCACCAAUAUCACUCGGCUUUUUUCCUGGUUUGUUUAGGCUGAUAGCAAAAUGAUUGCAACUCCGAAGCCAGUAUUGGCAACAACACAAUUCUUCCAUAUGAUGAAACUCAAAUUCAGAUUGAUAUUUUAAUAAAAUUGAAAAAGGAAUAAUCAAUCGGUUUCUUUUCAAAAAACAUUUGAUGGCAUAUAUAUAAUCAAUCGGUUUCUAUUUCGUUUCGUCCGGAAUGGCCGAAACAUUUCAUACCAAUUCAAAAAACGAAACAAAACGAAAUAAUUUUCAUCUCAUUUCAAAUCUCGGUCCGUUCCGGAUUUUUCAGCUAAAUUCCGGUCGAAAUAUUCCGGUUUCAUUCCACAUGUUCCAUUCCAGUCUUGAAAAGCCAUUGAAUCAAAUUGAACUUGGUUCAAUUUAAUUAAUUAAACCACCCAAGUAUAAAAAGCUUUUUUUCAUUACUAUUUUCAAUAACAAUGAUAUUAAUAAUAAUAUUGAAAAUUAUUAUUACUAUUUUCAUUAACAAUGAUACUAUUUUUUUUAAAAUUAGAUUUAUCACUAAUAUAUAUGGUUUAUAUUCAUUUUGUUUUUUUCAAGUUUAUACUUUAGAUCCCAUCAGCCUUGAUAACAUUGACCUAGCUUUAUAUUUAAAAUAUUUGUAUUAAAACAUUUUAAUUUCAUAGUAUUUUGAUAUUUUGUUUAAGUUGAAUUACUUUAAAUUAAAGAUCUAUUUAAUCUUGACUAUUUAGAAAUAUUUUAAAUUUUAAAAAUAUAUUUGUUUGAUAUUAUGUUUGUAUUGCAUAAUUUAUAAUUAAUUUAUCUUGAAUUUGAAUUAUGUUUAUUGAAUAUAUAUAUAUAUAUAUAUAUAUAUAUAUAUAUAACACCUAGUUUUGUUAAUCUAUACAUGAAUAUCAAUAUAUAAAAGGAUGAAUGGUAUUCAAUAGCCAUUAAAUUCUCCAAAUUCUUCUAUUGUUUUGUUUUCAUGGUGUUGGAGCAAGAUCCUUUAGACCAAUCUCGAAGGGAAAGAUAUAUCUCAAUUAGUCAUGUUUUAGGUUUACUUUUUAAAAAUUAUCAGUUUGAGUCCUAUAAAUCUCAGGACCACUAAAAACUUAUAUGGUCAUUAACUCAGGGUCCAUAAAAUUAGUCGAUGUACAUACAAGCUAACCGAAUACCCACGUUAACCCAAAAAAAAAAACCUUUGAACCAAAAAAUACUACAUUUAUAUAACAUCAAUGGCUACCCCUUUUGCCUCUUUUUCCUUUUCUUCUUCUACCUCCUCCUCUACUGCAUCACGACUGUUCGCUUCACUUUAUUUGAACCAGUCAUAUUUACCGUUUUAAGCGCAAACUCCACUUUCUGGCCACUCUAAUCAACAAAAAGCAAUAAUCUUUCUUCUCUUUUUAUCUACUAAUAAAAUUUAGCAAAAAUACUAAAAUCUUAUUUAAAAUAAAAAAUAACUAACCCAACAUAAAAUCAAAGUUGUCCUUGUAAAUAACUCUGAGAACCCAUCUACAUAUAAAUACAAAAUGUUAGCCAAUGUCAAAUAAAAGGCAUAUAAACAUAAAAAAGAUGGUACCUUGGCAAUCUUCAUUUCCUCUUCAAGCACAUAGAAUCUGUCCUUCAAUCAGAAAAGUUGGAGGAGUAUUUGCUUUGAAAAUGGGUGGGGGCUGCGAGCAGUACAAGUGGAAUUGCCAUUUUGAAGAGAAAAGAAGGUACAGAGAAGAAGGGAGAAUCAUCCCUUUUCAAUUUUCAGGGGAUAAGGAACACUUAUCUCUAGAAUCAGUUCUAUAUGGAAAGCUGAAAAAUCCCAUAAAAAAACAAAACAAAGGCGCAAAUAACACAAAAAAUGGAUAACACCAGGGAAUCUUCAAAAAAGAUAGCCAUUGUUUUGCCCGAAACAAAUGGAUUUUGAACAUAAGCUAUGUUUGAAAAUAGUUUAAAGAAUAAGAAAUGAUAACGGGGAAGAAGCGUGAGGGUGUGUUUGGUAUUGCGGUAGUGGUUGUGGUUGUGGUUUAAAAAAAGUUGUUUUAUAUAAGUAUUUUUAGUCGAGGUUGGUUUGGAAAAAUAUAUGUUUGGUUAAAACUGUGGUUGAAAUUGAGGUUGAACAAAAAGUAGUUUAAUGUGUUUGGUUAAAAGAAUGCUUUUCAAAUUGAGGUUAUAAAAUAAUUAAAAAAAUAUUUAUUAAUCUUGAUUGUUUUUAAUUUAAAUAUUGUAGAUUUAACUACUGUUAUUACAUCAUGAAAUAAAUAAUAUUGAUAUCAAAUAUUUUUUAUUGUUCCAUUAAACUAUGUGCAAUUUCAUAACGUACGAAAUCUAUCCAACAAGGACUAUAUUUUUCAUAAUUUCUUAAGUGCGCAACAACAUCAGGUAAGAUAUCAUCAAGAACAAAAUUGAGGUUGGGAUCAAAUUUUGUAAAUGCUACGUCAUUAAACGAUCUACUUUUAAUUUUUUUAAUUAAAAUUAAAUUUUUUUUAACCAAGUCGGACCCAGCAAGAAUAAAAUUGGGAUUGCCUUCUAAUUUUUUGAAUAAAACACAAUUAAAAAAAUAAAAAUUAAUUUUUUUACUAGGUCGGACCCGGUUUAAUGCAUUUAGCUUUGGACCGGACCCUGACUGACCGGAACAGUGGAGAGUGACUCCACUGUUCAAGUGAACAGUGGAGUUUUACUCUCCACUGUUCACUUAAUUAAGUGAACAGUGGAGAGUUUGCUCUCCACUGUACAAAGACACAGCACAACAGGAAGAAGCAUAAAAAUAUUGUUUCAGCUGAACCUACGGUUACACCUCAAUUUUUGUGGGUCUCAUGCAUCAAAACACAACCACUACUUAAACCAAACACUAUAUUACUGAUUUUGAAAAAAAAAGCAGCAGCUGCCGCAUAGCCAAACGCUGAUUCGAGUGGGAGAAGAAACAGCCAAAGCUGCCACUUCUGUGUGCAAUUAAUGAACUAGAACAGUGGAAAAUCGAAGAGACCCCAUGACAAAUUAUAUCUAGAAAAAUAAACAAAGGACAAGAUCGUAAUAGCACACCGCGACUCAUGGUAGAGAGGGGAAAAGGACACGGUUAAGGUGAAAUUAUAUCAAAAACUAAAUGGCACGAAGUUUUUUCUGUUUAUUCUUUUUAUAUUGUUCAUUAUUGUGUAUUGAAUAACAUAAUUAUAUGGUCAUUCUUGCUAAAAGUUUUUUUUUCCAGAUAUAUAGUCAGAGGUGAGAUUGUUUUCUAUUAAAUAUAUUUGGUAUUGAAAAAAAAAAGAAUAAAAUGAUUUAUUUUGAUAUUUUAGGGUCUGACACUAGGAAAUAAUAUGGUUGUUAGACACGUGGCACUAGGAUCAAGCACGCCUGCCGAACCCUAGGUGUCGGGGCCGACAAACCCACGCGCUUGGAUCAGCAGACCCGCAUGCCUGAGUCUAGCAUCACACAUUGUUGUUGUUGUUGUUAUUAAAUUUUUUAAAAAUAUAUUAUUACAUUUGGAGAGAAAUUAUAGAUUUGAUUUGAAGAAUAAAAUUAAAAACUAUCUCCUUUAUGUAACUUUUAGUAAUGGAUUUCCAUGAUUCAACCAUCAAGUAAAACUUUUAACUUCUACAAUAGAAUCAUCCUCUUGUGAUGAGAAUCAUAUUAUAUUUUCGAUUCAACUUCUACAAUAGUGUAUUCAAUGUCUCUUUCAAUGCCUUUGUCUUGGACCGAGUUAUUGGACUAUUUGGAACGUGUAAUGGGUCCUUGCUGGUGUUUCUAAGCUGGUCCACAUCACAGACCUAAGUAGCUUGGGUCUAGCAGGGGCAACCCAAAUUUUUUAGGUAUAGGCAUCACCUUCCAAACUUAAGUAACUUGGUUUUCUCAGGUGUGCCAGACCCAAUUAACUUGAGUCUAGAAGGUAAUGUCAUACUCAAGAAACUUAGGUCUGACUCGGCCAGACCCCAGGAACCUGGGUGUGACAUGGCCGAAUCCCAGGAGUGAGGGUCUGGCAGGGGUGUCAGGCCCAAGUUACUUAGGUUUAGAAGGGGAUGUCAUACCCAAUGAACAUGAGUCUUAUUAUUAUAAUUGUUGUUGUUAUAUUAUUAUUAUUAUUAUUAGUAUUAUUAUUAAAUUUUUUAAAAAAAUAUUAUUACUAUUGAAGAAAAAUCAUAGAUUUGAUUUGAAGGGUAUUAUUAUUGUUAUUGUUAUUACUAGUAUUAUUCUUUUUAUUCAUAUUAUUAUUAAAUUUCAAAAAAAUAAUAUUAUUACUAUUGAAGAAAAACCAUAGAUUUUAUUUGAAGGGUAAAAUUAAAAACUAUAAGAACUUGGGACAUGCAUGUUUAGUAUUAUUAUAAAUAUUAUAAAUAUUAUUAUUUUAAUUAAUAUUAAUAAAUUUAGAAAAAAAAUAUUAUUACUAUUGAAAAAAAUCAUAGAUUUAAUUUGAAGGGUAAAAUUAAAAAUUAUUAUUAUUGUUAAUAUUAUUAUGAUUAUUAUCAUCAUUAUUAAUAAAUUUGAAAAAAAAAUAUUAAAAAAAAACCAUAAAUUUGAAUUGAAGGGAUUAAAAACUAUAAGAAUUUGGGUAAGAUAAAUUUAUUAUUAUUAUUAUUAUUAUUAUUAUUAUUAUUAGGAGCUCCAGACCCAAGUAACCUGGAUCUGGCAUGAGAGACAGACCUAAGACAGUUGGGUCUGAUAGCCAUUUCCAGACCCAAGGCUCUUGAAUCUAGUGUGGCUACCAGACCCAAGAAACUUGAGUCCGGAAAUUACCGUCAGACCCAAUUAUAAUGGGCAUGACAUAGUUGUUAUACCCAAAUUUAUUUUAAAAAUACUUUUUAAAAUAUAAUUUUUUUUAUACAUUUAAAAUAAAUUUAUUAUUAACCAGUUGCGAAAUGCUAGCCAAUACACUAGCAACAUACCAUUUACGUUCUUCUUCAUCCUCAACGUCAUGUUGUUGUUAAUGUAGUUCUGGUUCUUUGAGGACUUUCUUAAGGAACCUAGCUAAUAUUCCACGUUCUUUUCUGCUUCUAUAAAAUACAAACAUAAUUUGAUUGGAUUCCCAAAGUAAACCCCGAUUCGAUCCCCCUCCGGCUAGGAGAGUAAUAACCAUUUAAUCUCACAAAGCAAAAGAAGUGUGCCUACCAUGAAUAACCAACAGAAAUGGAUUUUAUAAACAAGAGGGAAGAAAGGAAUACAAGACAAAAGAAACUUCCAAUUUGAAAAUAACAGAGAAAAGAAAGGCAAAACAACAUGGUGGAAAAUGGAUAAAUGAUAAGCCACGCAGAUCAACCAGAGCCAUUAGGCCAAAUUCCAAGUAUGUAUGAUGAAGUGAACGUAAUUGCAUGUGGCAUGCGGGAAGAUAUCAAACGUGAAAUAAUAGUUGCAUGUGUCAUGCAGCAAUAGUUGAACGUGAACAGUGUUAACAUGGACAUGCAGAUAUACAGAAGAGAUAAAUAGUGUGUUGAGGAGGAGCGGUUUCAAUACAAGACUGGGUCUUGUAUAGUUGCGAUUUAUCAGUUGCUUUUAUUUCAAUUUGUUAAAGUUGUUGCAGUUAAUAUUCAGUACGUGUUAUUUUCAGUUUGUACGUAGGUAAACUCACAUCGUGAGUUACCAACUUUUCCUUAAUUUUAGAGUUCUCUGUACUGGCUUUGCUUAUUUAAAGCAGCCAAGAAUUAUGAAGAGGCAGAAAAUUUGAUAUUAAAAUAAUUGUGGUUCUUUCUCACCCGAAGAGAAACAAACAGUUCUCAGCAAAUACUUGUUAAAUAUUUGUUGAACUUAUCAUUGGUAUCAGAGCUUGUAGAAGAUCUUAUGGGCACUAAUAAGGAACACAUUGAGCAUUUAGAAGAAGAGCUGCACCGAAUGGAGCUGGGCAUGGCUGAUAGGUUGCAACAUCUGGAGGACACACUUAACCGACUUUCUGAUGUGUUGCUUACAAAUCAAGAGCCUCCAAACCAGGGCAACCAACAACGUGAAGGUCAAGAAGGGGGACGACUAAUUAUCUCAUCCAAAACAACACGACUUGAGUUUCCUAGAUUUUCAGGAGAUGAUCCCACUAAGUGGUUUAAUCGUGUGAAUCAGUUUUUUGCAUUUCAAAAUACUCCAUAACUUCAGAAGGUCGCCCUGGCUUCUUACCACUUGGAAGGGGAAGCCAACCAGUGGUGGCAAUGGGUUCACCGGUUGCAUGAAGAAGAAGGACGAGUUUUAUCAUGGACAAACUUUGAAGAUGAACUCUGGGCGCGUUUUGGUCCUUCAGAAUGUGAGGAUUUUGAUGAGGCCCUUUCCAGAAUAAGGCAAGGAGGAUCACUGCAAGAUUACCAACGCGAAUUCGAGUGCCUGGGCAACUGAGUACGCGGAUGGACGCAAAGGGCUCUUGUAGGUACAUUUAUGGGUGGUUUAAAAACUGAGAUUUCAGAUGGCAUACGCAUGUUUAAGCCAUAAAAUUUGAAGGAGGCCAUCAGUCUAGCCCGAAUGAAGGAUGAUCAACUUAGCAGACAGAGGAGGUUCAGUAGACCAGCACCAUCACCACCAAUGAGAUCUAUGAUUUCUCCUCCCAGUUUCAAUCGAGCUGCCCCAACGGUUCCUACCACUCCUAUUAGGCGCCUCACUUAGGAGGAAAUGUAGAGAAGACGAGCUCAGAAUUUAUGUUUUAAUUGCAAUGAUCGAUUUACUGCAGGACAUAAAUGUCGCGAGCCUCGCAUCUUAAUGUUAGAAGGGUACGAUGGCAGUAACACUUUGUUAUGUGAUAAUGAAGGUGAAGACCAACCACUUCAGGAGAUUGUUGAGACAAUCACCGAACCUGAAAUUACGCUACAUGCGUUGACAGGAUGGGCUGCACCCAAAACCAUGCGCAUCACUGCAAGGAUAGGGUCAAGCGAUGUCAUCGCACUAAUCGACAGUGGAUCAACUCACAACUUUAUUAGUGAGAGAUUGGCCAAUGCAUUACGAAUACUAGUGGUGCCUACUGCAUCCUUCACAGUGUGGGUUGCAAAUGGCGAAAAAUUAAAAUGCCAGGGACGUUUUGAAGAGGUCGGAGUGGACUUGCAAGGCACCCAUUUUUCAUUAACUCUUUAUUCUCUUCCACUUACAGGGUUGGAUCUAGUGUUGGGCAUCCAAUGGUUAGAAAUGCUAGGUUCUGUGGUUUGCAACUGGAAACAGUUAACCAUGGAAUUUCAGUGGAAGAACCAACUCAGGCAGUUACAUGGAAUGGGCGAUGAAGGCAUACAGAUUGCGUCUAUCACUGAAUUAACCAAAGCAAUUCACCAGAACCAUGCCAUUUUUGCAAUAUGUUUACAAAUCAGUACUGUGGAGCCACACAUCCAGACAACUCAUCCUGAUAUGGAGGCCAUUUUGCAUGAGUUUGCAGAUAUUCUAAAGGAACCAGCAGGUCUACCACCUACCAGAGGGGUUGAUCACUGCAUUUUUCUCAAAGACGGCAUCGAACCUAUUAAUGUUCGGCCUUAUCGAUAUGCAUAUUAUCAAAAGGAAGAAAUUGAGAAGCAAGUUCAUGAAAUGUUGAAUUCCGGCCUUAUCAAACCAAGUACCAGCCCUUUUUCAUCACCUGUACUGUUGGUGAAGAAAAAAGAUGGAACAUGGCGUUUUUGCACAGAUUACAGGGCCCUCAAUGCUGCAACCGUGAAAGACCGCUUCCCUAUUCCUACAGUUGAUGAUAUGUUAGACGAGCUUUAUGGUGCUUCAUAUUUCACUAAGCUUGAUCUUCGAGCUGGAUAUCAUCAGGUACGGGUUAAUCCUGUGGAUAUUCAAAAAACUGCUUUCCGCACUCACAACGGACACUAUGAAUAUUUGGUUAUGCCAUUUGGGUUGUGUAAUGCACCAUCAACAUUUCAAGCUAUCAUGAAUUCAAUAUUUCAACCUCAUCUUUGAAAAUUUAUAUUGGUUUUCUUCGAUGAUAUAUUAGUCUAUAGUCCUACGUGGGACAUGCAUCUGAUGCAUGUAAGAUAGACUUUUGAAAUAUUACAGCAACAACAAUUCUUUGUCAAGGCUAGUAAGUGUGCUUUUGGUCAACAAGAGCUGGAGUACUUAGGGCACAUAAUCACCAAUCAUGGCGUGAAGGUAGAUGAAAAUAAAAUUGCGGCAAUGGUGGCAUGGCCACGACCUAUUAAUAUUUCAGAGCUUCGUGGGUUUUUAGGGUUGACAGGAUAUUACAUGAAGUUUGUCAAGAAUUAUAGCAUUGUGGCGCGGGCUCUCAACAAUCUGCUUAAAAAGGGCCAAUUUGGGUGGAAUGAGGACGCUUAAACUGCCUUCAUCGCGCUCAAACAGGCAAUGACAAUGACACCAACGUUAGCAAUGCCCAAUUUCAAGGACGUCUUCACUGUAGAAACCGAUGCCUCAGGUGAUGGUAUUGGCGCCAUAUUAACCCAGCAAGGCAAACCAAUUGCAUUUAUGAGUAAAGCACUCGGAGUGGCAAAGAAGUCUUGGUCUACUUAUGCUAAAGAGAUGCUGGCCAUUCUUGAGGCCAUACGAUUGUGGCGUCCAUAUCUGUUAGGCCGAAAGUUCUAUAUUCAGACGGAUCAACGUAGUCUAAAAUUUUUGCUAGAGCAACAUAUCACCACACCAGAACAGCAAAAAUGGGUAGCCAAACUCUUGGGCUAUGACUAUGAGAUCAUAUACCGGUCUGGACGCGAAAAUGCUGCAGCCGAUGCUCUCUCUUGUAAACAAGGUAGUCCUGUUCUUCAUCAUCUUUUGGUUUCUCAGGUUACUUUGUGGGAAGAAAUUAAACAGGCGGCAACGACAGAUUUAUAUAUACAGUCCAUGAGUCAGAUAGCCGCGGAUCAGUUACACAGCCACUUUGUGUGGCGAAAUGGUUUGCUUCGUUACAAGGAACGGGUCAUCAUUCCUGCAGACCCUACUCUACGUGCAAAGCUACUGCACGAAAUGCAUGAUACCAAAGUUGGUGGCCACUCUGGUGUUCUGCGCACAUACAAGAAACUGGGGCAACAAUUCUAUUGGCCAGGAAUGCGUAAGUCGGUCCAAGAAUAUAUCAAGAAUUGUGUGGUAUGCCAGAAAACCAAAUCAGAUACAUUGGCACCCGCAGGUCUCCUCCAACCAUUGCCCAUCCCUUGCCAGGUGUGGGAGGACAUUACACUUGAUUUCAUCGAGCGUUUACCCGCUUCUCAGGGCCAAGAUACAAUCAUGGUUGUCGUCGAUAGACUCAGCAAAUCAGCUCAUUUCCUACCCUUAAAACAUCCUUUUACAGCUAAAAGUGUUGCAGAGAAAUUUGUGGCAGGUGUUAUUAAGCUACAUGGCAUGCCAAGGUCUAUAGUCAGCGAUCGGGAUCCAGUUUUUGUGAGCCAUUUCUGGCAGGAGUUCUUCAAGAUGUCAGGUACAAAAUUGCAGCUUAGCUCCGCGUAUCACCCACAAAAGGAUGGCCAAACCGAGGUUGUCAAUCGCUGCGCUGAACAGUAUUUGCGAUGUUUUGUUCACCAAUGGCCAACAAAAUGGAGCCUCUACUUACCAUGGGCAGAAUAUUGGUAUAAUACAACAUACCACAUCUCAACCGGAAUGACUCCUUUUCAGGCACUAUAUGGUCGGCUUCCACCAACUAUUCCAUCAUACAAUGAAGGUCUAUCGCUGGUGCAUGAAGUGGAUCAGCAGUUGCAAGACCGAGAUGAGUUACUUCAGCAGCUCAAAAUCAACUUGGCACGCUCGAUUAAUAAGAUGAAAUAAAUCGCAGAUAAAAAGAGAAGAGAUGUCUUAUUUGAUGUUGGUGAUUUAGUCCUUCUGAAACUCCAUCCAUAUCGACAGCAUACGGUUUUUAAGCGGGCAUACCAGAAACUUGCUAGUCGCUUCUAUGGACCCUAUGAAAUUCUGGAGAAAAUUGGACCCGUCGCUUACAAACUUCAUUUACCAGCAGAGUCACGCAUUCAUCCAAUAUUCCAUGUCUCUCUGCUUAAACAGUACAACACCAACUCAGAGGUUAACAACCACAGCACAGAGAUAAUGUCCUUCAAUGAUGAUGGGGAAGUUCUGCUAAUACCACAAGCUGUUAUUGAUCAUCGCUGGAUAAAACAAGGCGCCCAAAUUGUCGAAGAAAGUUUAAUUCACUAGAAAUAUUUACCCGUCGAGGAGGCCACAUGGGUAUCUACCAAACAGCUACUGGAACUGUUUCCAGAUGUCAACCUUGAGGACAAGGUUGCACGUGAUGGGGGAGGUAUUGAUAAGCCACACAGAUCAACCAGAGCCAUUAGGCCAAAUUCCAAGUAUGUAUGAUGAAGUGAACGUAAUUGCAUGUGGCAUGCGGGAAUAUAUCAAACGUGAAAUAAUAGUUGCAUGUGCCAUGCAGCAAUAGUUGAACGUGAACAGUGUUAACAUGGACAUGCAGAUAUACAGAAGAGAUAAAGAGUGUGUUGAGGAGGAGCGGUUUCAAUACAAGACUGGGUCUUGUAUAGUUGCGAUUUAUCAGUUGCUUUUAUUUUAAUUUGUUAAAGUUGUUGCAGUUAAUAUUCAGUACGUGUUAUUUUCAGUUUGUUCAUGGGUAAACUCACAUCGUGAGUUACCAACUUUUCCUUAAUUUUAGAGUUCUCUGUACUGGCUUUGCUUAUUUAAAGCAGCCAAGAAUUAUGAAGAGGCAGAAAAUUUGAUAUUAAAAUAAUUGUGGUUCUUUCUCACCCGAAGAGAAACAAACAGUUCUCAGCAAAUACUUGUUAAAUAUUUGUUGAACUUAUCAAUAAAACAACACAGUACAAAAAAAUAUUUUAAAAAAUAACAUAAUUUAAAAAAUCAUAAAUGACACUGCGACUCACAAGUGUCAUCCUUGACUUUCUCAAAUUCUAAGAUGACAUAAUUUAUAAUAAAAAAAAGACUAUAUCGAGAAAAACAAUGAAAGAAAAAAACUUCGUAGAUUCACCAAAACUCUAAUUACGACACAACCAAUAUCAUUAGAAAGAUAUCAACGAAACGAAUCCAAUGACAUUAAAAAGGUCAUCAACGUGGGCCACACAAGCUGUUCAAAUGUGUCAGAGCUCAUUUGUCUUCGGAUGGCUUAUAUGGCAUUCUUUGAUCACCAUUGGUGACCUUCCUUGAUGUUAUUAGAUUCGUCUUGUCGAUAUCUUUAUUAGUGGUAUUAUUAUUAGAGCCUCGAUGUGCCUCCGAUAUUUUGUUUUUUGUUUCUUUGUUUUUUCUCUUUCCUUGUAAUUUGUGCAAAUAGAGAAGAGAAAAAAAAAUCAAAAAAACAAUAAAAAGGUCACGAGGGCACAUUGAAGCUCUAGUGACGACCCUGUAAGUACCGUUGAAAAGAUCUUGACAAAUCUAAUGACAUUAAGGAAGAUCACCAACGAUGACAGUGUGCCACACAAACCGUUGAAAGCGAAAUGAGCCUUGACACAUUUAGACGGCUCGUGUGGCCUACUCUGAUCAUCAUUCAUGACCUUCUUCGGUAUCAUUAGAUUUGUCUUGUCAAUAUCUUUCCAACGUUAUCAGUGGUGUUGUUAUCGGAGUUUCAGUGUGUCUGCAGAGCUUUUUUUCUUUCCUUGUUUUUUUUUCUCUCUCUCCUUCUCAUCUCUCUCUAUUGUAAAUUAUGUCAAGUUAUUUUUAGCAUUGAAGAGAGUCGCAGAUGACAUCAACGACUUCUCAUGAGUCACAUAUGUUAUUUGUGAUUCUCUAAACUAUGCCAUUUUUGUGACUACUCUCGAAUCGCAUAUAUCAUUUGUAACUCUCUAAACUAUACUACUUUCCUAAAUAUUUUUGGUGCUAUAUUAUUUUAUCUUUUUUUUACAUGCUAAAGUACAAAAAUUCUCUUUGGGAGGUCUUAAAUAGGUUAAAUCCAGAUUUGUUUACAACAACAUAUAUAUAUAUAUAUAUAUAUAUAUCCCUCCCAUCACCGCGAAUGAGGGAACGAUCGCCGACGUUUAUUUUGAUGGAUCAAUACUGAUCUCUGUAUAAAUUAAAUAUGUUUUUGUUAUCGAAGCUAAGCCCGGUUUGUUUUUAUGUUUUAAAAGUAUUUUAAAAAAAAUUGAUUUUUUUUUACUUUAAAUUAAUAUUUUUUUGGUAUUUUUAAAUCAUUUUGAUAUGCUGAUAUUAAAAAUAAAUUUUUAAAAAAUAUUAUUUUAAUACACUUCUUAAUAAAAAAUAUUUUAAAAAAUAAUCGCAAUCACAUUUCCAAUCACACAAUAAAACUUGCUUAAUGGACUAGGAUUGUACAUCACCUAACAAGGCAAGACAAGGGGUUUUGGUCGGUCCAAAAUAUAUUUAAUCCUACUUGCCUUUGUUAAUUACAAAAAUACUCUUCACCUACAGUGCCGUUGUUAAUAUUAUCUUUCAUAAACGCUUGAACCGUUCCAUCUAUUUUUCAUUCAAAUAAGUUUACACAUUCUGUUAAAAACCUACAUGAAAAAUCCAUAAUUUAGAGUGGAAAAUAUACAAUUGAUAGUAAGGGAAAUUUAACAAAAAAUUGAAGACCUGAAGAUUUCAAUUUUUUAUAUUUAAAAAUUGAGCUUAAAUAGGAUUCAAAAUUCUCCUUUAAUUUAUUCUGAACUUCUGACUUUAUUUUUUUUUAAUUUUUAUUCUAAAUGGACUCAAUUUUUUUUUAAAAAAAGUUUUGUUUAAAUUAACCUUUCAUUUUUAAACAAUAAGAUUUAAUUAAUCUGCAUAUUCUACAACCUCCCCUUGGAUGUGUUUAAUGGAUUUAGAUGGAAAAUGAACGAAAAGAUAAAAUUGAAAACCUUAGACAACAUUAGGGUGGAAUUUAUAGAUACAAUUACUGAAGGAUAAUUGUUUCGUUGAUUAAUAUAAAUAUUCAGAUUAUCUUACACGUAUCUUAAUUAAAAUAAUUAAUAAAAAGCAUUUACGUAGUUAACCGUUACUUUAAUCAGGGAUAUCUCCACUAUUAUUCGUUCCUCGCACCACCAAGAAUUAUUUAUUUAUUUAUUUUUAUAAUAAGCUAGCCUUAAGUCCAACCACUCUGUGCUUCUACUAUACAAAUUUAGCAUAACAGAAGGCAAGUCAAGCGCACCCAAAAAUAAUUUUGAAGAAAGGUUAAAAAUUUGACUGUUAAAGUCAGAUUUAUUCUUUAAAUGGAAAACACAGGUGGCAUCCAUUAGCUAAUUACAAACAACAGAUAUUGAUGUGUAAGAUUCUGCCACCACGACCACUAUCACACUUUUGUUGGCACUCCCGAAACCAGAUAUGAGAACAGUAGAACUGGUGUUUCCAAGGACUAAAUUUGAUAUUUUUAUUAUUAUCCUAUAAACUAAAAAACAAAAACAUAUAUGUAUGAAUUCAAUGCACACAAUGAACAGUGCACAGUUUUUUUCUUUUAUUUAUAUGGGAAGUGAUUUCUGUAUAUAAAUAUAUGUUUUUCAGUUAUAUGUUGUGUUGGUUAUUUGGUUAAUUCUAAUCCGUUUAUAAGAGAUAGGUCAAAUUCAAGGUUGUUAAAAAUAUUUUUUUGACACGACACAAAAAAUAUAAUAUAAACUUAGAUCGUAAACUCGGAUUGUAAAAUCGUAAAAUCAUAAGUAAUUUUUUGUAACUAAUUAUAUAUUGAUAAUUCUAGUCAAUAAAUUAAAUUAAAUUAAAAUCUGAUAAAAUAAGUCAACAAUAUUAUAAUCAAUGAGUGAUCUAAAUAAAAUGAGAGAGAUAGAUAGUAUGAAUCAAUAAAUUAAUGACAUGGAAAAAUAAAAUGUCUCAGAACAAAAUUUUUCAAUGUAGAAGAAUCACUGAAAGGUAAGAAUCACACAUAAAUCUAGUGACAACCUGGUUGUUCCCAUCAUAAUAAGUCUUGAUAGACCCCUUUUUGGUUGCAAACUAAUGACACUACCAGAAAACCGGAGAAAACCAACGAAAUUACCAACGGACAUAAUUCCAUCUCAAAAUCUGUCGGUAUAUACUGACGGCCUCCAUCCGUCGGCGAAACGGUCGGUAUAUACUGACCGUUUCGCCGACGGGGUAUACAGUUUGUUUGGAAAUAUGCAACGACUUGGUGACGUCAGACGAUUUUACCGACGGAAUUACUGAGGGAUUCAAACUGAGAUAGCCGUACAGUGACGUGACACUUUCACAGACGGAAGCACCGACGGAAUGAAUCCGUCGGUGAUUCCAUCGGAAAAAACCAUUAUAUACCCACCCAUCUGCCGACACUCUCUUCCCUUGUUUCUCCUUCUUCUUCUUUCCCAUCCCACCUCUCCCCUCCCAAGCUGCAGCCAACCUCCCUCCCAUCCCAACUCUCCACUAUUCUCAACACGAGCACUCAAGUUAAUUUCUUAUAUCUUGUAUGUGGUCACAAUAUCCGUUUCUUGUAGAUUUUAUCAUUUUUUUAUAAGUAAAUCUAUCCUUUUUAGUUUUAAUAUUUAAUUGUGAAUUUUAUUGUUGUAGUAUAUGUAUUUUGUUAACAUUUGUACUUGUUUAAUUUUUAUUUUUCAAAGAAACUAGUAGUAUGAAUGUAUAAUUUUGUAGUUGUUAUAGUUUGUUUUAGAUUUUGUCAAAUUAUAUUUGUUUGUAAAUUGUUGAAAUUUUGUUUGAAUUACACCGAAUUAAAUGUGUCAUUGUGAUGAAAUAAAUAAUUAAUAGCUUGUUUAACGAGUCUUGUUUAAUUGUUAUCAAUUCUAUUUCGAAGUUGUGAUUUCUGUAAAUUUAUAUAUGUAUAAAUUUGUAUGUAUGAACGUUGAUAGUUGAUAAUUGAUAAUGAAUAUUUAACAUAAGUGUUGUUUUAGUUUGUUGGAUAAUGUCGGGGAAAACCAAUAUUUUUGUUAUGUUUUAUAGAGGUUCAAUAGAAGUCAUGAAUAAUCGUUCAUGGAUGUAUCGGGACUCACCCCAAAGAUUGCGGAGGAUGGAUUAUUGUAACGGUGUCCAGGGUUUUAUUAAUUUUGCAACAUCUAUUUCGAGGAAUUUUACUGAUGGCGGUAUUAGGUGUCCAUGCAGGAAAUGUAAAAAUUUAAAGUUUCUGCAUCAAGAUGUUGUAACGAUGCAUCUUCUAACCAAAGGGUUCAUGGAAGAUUACCUGUGUUGGUAUGCUCACGGAGAACUAUUUGUUCCUGAUGAGAGCAUAGAAGAACAGGUGGUUGUGCUAGCAACAUGCAUGAAGUUGGGAACAGUAAUCCUUACAGGAAUAUGGUUAUGGAUGCAAUGAGAAUGAGUGAAGGUAAUGUCAGGGAAUGUCCAAUCGUAGAAGAAGAACUUAAUGCAGAUGCAACAAGGUUUUUUGAUUUGUUGAGAGAUUCUGAUGAACCAUUAUGGGAUGGCUGCACGAACCACAGUAAAUUAUCAGCCGUAGCACAGGUGUUCACCAUCAAGUCAGAUCACGGGUUGAGUGAGGCCGGUUAUGACAAGAUUAUCGAAUGGGCGAGAAGCAUUUUACCUGAAGGGAACAGGAUGAAAGAGAACUUCUAUGCUGCCAAGUCCAUGAUGAAACCCCUCGGUUUAGGAUACUAGAAAAUUGAUAUACUUCCCAAUCACACCUAGACUGCAGAGGUUAUUCAUGUCACCAAGGACUGCUGAGCACAUGAUAUGACACCAAUCACACCAUGUGGUUGAUGGAGUGAUGGUUCAUCCUUCUGACGGUGAAGCCUGGAAACACUUUAACAGUAUGCAUCCUCACUUUCAGCUGAAUCAAGGAACGUGCGUCUUGGGUUGUGUACAAAAGGAUUCAACCCAUUCGGGUCAUUUGCUGCUCCUUAUUCUUGUUGGCCGGUCAUACUAACGAUUUAUAACUUGCCACCGGGGAUGUGUAUGAGGCCGGAGUUCAUGUUUUUAUCUAUGGUCAUACCAGGUCCGAGCAGUCCGGGUCGGAAUAUAGAUGUUUGUCUUCGUCCGUUGAUUGAUGAGUUGACGCAGUUGUGGUCCUCUGGAGCUUUGACUUAUGACAUCUCGAGGAAACAAAAUUUUGUUAUGAGAGCGGCUUUGAUGUGGACUAUCAAUGAUUUCCCAGCUUAUGGAAUGGUUUCUGGUUGGAGCAAGCAUGGAAAGCUAGCAUGUCCAUACUGUAUGGAGAACAACAAGGCAUUCACGCUAACAAACGAGGGUAAAGCUUCUUUUUUUGACUGUCACCGUCGUUUCUUUCCACAUAACCACAGGUACAGAAAGAACAGAAAGGAUUUCUUUGUUAGCAGAGUUGAAAAUGAUGUUGCACCCCAGUGUCUUUCCGGUGAAGAAUUGUUUGAUGUUGUGUUAGAGUACGGUGAAAUUGUGUUUAGUCUCCAAUCAGGUAAGCAGAAAUUUCCUGGUUUUGGUUUGACCCAUAAUUGGGUGAAGCGAAGUAUGUUUUGGGAGCUUUCUUAUUGGAAGACCAAUCUUCUCCGCCAUAACCUUGACGUCAUGCACAUUGAAAAGAACGUGUUUGAGAACAUUUUCAACACCGUCAUGGAUGUGAAGGGGAAGACAAAAGACAACAUCAAGGCUAGAUUGGAUGUAGCGCUGUUCUGUAACUGUAAAAAUAUGGAGUUGGUUUGUGAUGGGUCACGGGUCACAAAACCAAGAGCAAGCUUCGUGCUAGAGAAAAUCGCACAACUACUAGUCUACAAAUGGCUUAAGAGUCUGCGUUUCCUCGAUGGACAUGCCUCGAACAUAUCAAGGCUGGUUAAUACGGAGGAAUGCAGAUUAUAUGGAAUGAAGAGUCAUGACUGCCAUGUGUUUAUGCAAACACUCAUCCCAUUAGCUUUUCGUGAUUUGUUGUCAAAGGGGAUAUGGGAUGCACUAACGGAGAUUAGUCAUUUCUUCAGAGAUAUAUGCUCCAGCAAGUUGAAUGUUGAUCACAUUGAAAGGCUUGAAAAGAAUAUCAUCGAGACAAUAUGCAAACUUGAGAUGAUAUUCCCUCCAUCAUUUUUUGACUCAAUGGAGCAUCUACCCGCACAUUUACCGUUUGAGGUAAAAGUUGGAGGACCGGUCUAGUACAGAUAGAUGUAUCCAUUCGAGAGGUUAGAUAUUACAGUUGCUAUGACAUUUAUAAUUAAAUGUUUUUAUUUUUAUUUUAAUGUUUUUAAUUGAUAAUUAUAUAUAUAUAUGCAGGUAUUUGUUCAAUCUUAAAAAAAAGGUUAAGAACAAGGCGCAUGUUGAGGCGUCAAUAUGUGAGGCAUAUAUUGUUGAGGAGAUCUCAACAUUUAUCUCAUACUAUUUCGAACCUCAUUUGAGAACGAGGAUAAACCGUGUUCCACAACAUGAUGAUGGUGGUGAAGUGCAUUCAAGUGGGAACUUGUCAGUAUUCUCCAAUCCUGGACGACCCACACCUAAAAAUGUCGUGAGGGGAAGAUAUUUGUCUGAAAUAGAGUUCAGACAAGCACACAAUUAUGUCCUAUUUAACUGUGAUGAGCUGAGACUUUUUAUUAAGUAAGUAGAUGUUCGACUUAAACUUUGUCAAGAGUGUACUAUUUAUGUUUUGUGAUACCAUACACUCAUAUAAUUUGAAACAACCUUGUAGGCAACAUCGACGAUACUUACUGUCCAAUAACUCACAGCUGACCGAAUCCCAGAUCUUUCAAUUACAAGAUGAACAAUUUGCCACAUGGUUUAGAACACAUGUAAGUCCUAUCACAAACUCAUUAUCUCUUACAAUGUAAUUAAUUGUAGUCAAUGUUACAUAAUAUCCGUUUAUUGAUUAUUGUUGUAUUUAAUUUACAAGCUAGGUUUAUCAAAUGGGAGGUAGUGCUGCUAUUUCACUGUCUUUACUAUGUCUGGGCCCUGAAAGAAAAGUCAAGUGCUAUAACGGGUAUUUUGUCAAUGGAUAUGUCUUUCAUACUGAAGAAUACGGGCAUGGAAGAAAGACAUACAACAACGGUGUUUGUAUUAAGGGAUCGACUUCUAGUGAGUUUGAAGUUGACUACUACGGUAGAUUGGAAGAGGUCAUCGAACUUCAAUAUCAUAGCGAGCAAAAUAGAGUGUUUUUAUUCAAAUGCUAUUGGUAUGACACAACUGACAGAGGAAUCAGAGUAGAUCCUCACUAUGGUCUCGUUGAAAUCAACUCAAAAGCUAGACACCGCAACGUAAACGACGUCUUUGUUUUCGCAAAGCAAUGCCAACAAGUUUAUUACACAUACACCCCUUCCUUUAGAAAGGACCGAUCAAGAGUUGAUUGGUUAUCCGUUUUAAAAACAAAACCCAAUGGUCAUGUCGAGGUUGUUCAGGAUGAGAACGAAGACAUAAGUGUGAUAGAUGAAGUCUUUCAAGCUAGUGAGUUGGUUGAACCAUACCGAGUUGCUCCAUCGAUUGACUUAGAAGAAAAUUUGAAUUUUCGUGUUUUCAACGAUUGUCUUGUUGAUGUUGACGCAGAGGAGUUGAAUGUUGUUGAAGAAGAUGAUAACGAAAUUGAAGAGUACGAUGAAACUGAUGAUAACAAUUCAAUAGAGGACGAAGAUGAAAAUUCUGACUAACUAAACAUGUUAUAAAGCCUUAUUUUAUAAUGUAAUAAUUUGAAACAUGAAAUAUUUAUUCUUCUUUAAUGGUUAGCCGUUGUUAUUGUGUUGUGUGUGCUGUAAGAUUACAAUUCAAGAUUUUGUGACAGGGUUACAUAAAAAAAAAUAAGAAAAAUUUACGGUUUCACCGACGGGUAUACCGACGGACUAUAACCCGUCGGUAUUUCACAGAGACUUGCAAAAAACUUACGGGGUUGUGCCAUAAUCACCGACGGGUAUACCGACGGAAAAUAACCCGUCGGUAUUUCACAGAGAGUUGCAAAAAAAUUACGGGAAUGUGCCACAAUCACCGAUGGGUAUACCGACGGCUUUACCGACGUACCAUACCGAUGGAUUUACGCACAUCCCGAAGCGCACGCAUGUCUGACACGUGUCCGUCUGCACAAAUACCGACGGCUUUACCGACGAAUUUACGCACAUCCCGAAGCGCACACAUGUCUGACAUGUGUCCGUCUGCACAAAUACCGACGGAGUUUCCGACGGAUCGAAAAGUCUGGCGGGAUUUUCGAACUUUUUUUGGUGCGCAUUUCAAUUAAUUUCUGACGGUAUUACCGACGAAAUUUAAUUCCACCGAUAACAAUUAAUUUCCGUCGGUAAUACCGUCGAAAAAAUUGCUAUAUAUAACCCCCCCAUCCCCCCACUUGGUUCAUUUUCUUCUCUGCUUCCGUUUCUCUUCUUCUCCAUUUCUCUUCUCCUCUCGGUUUAUAUUUAGCUUUUAGAAGGGAUUUUACUGUUUUGGUGGUAGUUUUAAAAGGUAUGUAUUCUUUUUUCUUUAUCUUUGUAUUUUUUUUAUUUUGAUUAUGAUUUUUUUUUUUGGUGUUCUUUGUUUUGUGUAUUGUUUGUAGAUAAAAUCUUAAAUUCAACACACUAUUAAGGUAAGCAUUUUUUAUUCCCAAUUUUAUUUUGAAUUGAUAUAGUAUUUUUUAGUUUUGUGUAUUGUUUGUUUUGUGUUUAUGUUGUUUUGUCUAGUGUUUUUUAGUUUUUUAGUUUUAUUUAUUAAUUUUAUGAUAUUAUUGUUUGUAUUGCUAUAAUUGUUAUUGUUGAAUUUAUGUUAAAAAUGUUAAUUUAUAUAUAUAGAAUUACAUUUAAUUAGUUUAUCUUAAUUUAGGAUAUUAUUGUUUGUAUUGCUAUAAUUGUUAUUGUUGAAUUUAUGUUAAAAAUGUUAAUUUAUAUAUAUAGAAUUACAUUUAAUUAGUUUAUCUUAAUUUAGGAUAUUAUUGUUUACAUGUCAUUGUUAUUGCUUGUUAUUACAUUUUUUUAUUUAUGUGUAUACGUUAAUUUCUAUUUUGAGGUCCAUUAGGGUCGAUCGUGUUAGGAAUGAUAUUGAUUUAGUUACCUUUUGCUUUUGACCAUGUAAUUAUUUAUAAAUUAAGAGUCUUGUUUCCUAAAACAUGAAAUGUAAUAUUAAUCCGUAAAUUUGAAUGUAUGACUUUAAUCUAAUGAAUGUUCAUAGUUGAAAUUGAUUCUUUUACUUGAAUAUCAUUAUAUGAUGUUAUUGAAUAAAAUGUUGUGUUGAUGAUGAUGAGUUGGGUUGAGAUCCAGGAUGAUUGGAUCGGGAUGUGAAAUAAAAUUGAAAGUGUAAUAUGAUUUUGUCGAUAAUUUGGGACCCCCUAGUAUAGGGGAGACUCUGUCGAAUUUUUUUUAAAAUAAUCGAAGUUAAUUAUGUAAUUAUUCGUAUAAAUUUAUGUAGAUGCGUAGAAUGAAAUCUACAGCACGUCGUCAUAAGACGGUUGCAGCUAGUUCUUCUAGCAGCGAGGAGGACGUAUCCUUAGGUGCUGAUCACGGCGAGGAAUCUACGCCAACUUGUGAUGUUGCCUCUUCUAGCGCGGUUGCACAGCGCAGAAGCGGUGUGCCUUCACAGUGGGGUCAAUUCACCCGCAAGUACCAGGCACAAUGGAAGGAUGACCUCUCAAUGUAAGUUUGUUUAGGUUUUAGUUUUUUUGUUAUAUACUUAUAACAUAAUUUAUGAACAAUUAAUUAAUAUUACUACUUUUAUUUAAUUUCAGGUUCACAAACAUUGAGGCUGCAAGGACUAUAACAUUGGCAUUUAAAUCGUCGAUGGAGAUUCCAUUGUUUCAAUGGAGCCAGGUUUCCAGACAUCCUGAGUGGAAACCUAAUAUUGAUGCAUGGUUUAAGCGAUUUCAGGUCGGUGUUAAUUUUUAAUUUCCAGUUUAUUUUUAAUAAAUUAUUUUUAUAAUUUUAUAUCUUGUACUAUUUUUAUUUUAUAUGAAUUAUUUAUACACACAGAACAAAUUUGAGUAGGAUAGGGCGGACAACAAUGUUGUGAGGAGGGUAUGAGAGAAUCACGUGGCAACUAGGUAACAUCGAAAAUAAUAUUUAUUUUUGUUUUAUAAUUUUAUGUUCUAAAUUCUAAUUUGUUACUAUGGAAGUAGGUUGCGUGAUUUUUGGUAUGACACCCAAAAAAAAUCAAAAAGACAUGCGAGGGAUAACGGUCUUGAAGGAUGGAAUGAGGUGGUGGUUUGGCAGGAAUUCAAACCGCCAUUCAUCUCGGGGGAAAUAUGGACGACAUAUAUUGAGCACGUGACCUCAGAGCGGUUCUCACGGCGCUCACAGUCCGGCGCCGACAACCGGAACCGAAAAAUUCAUGGUUCGGUGACCACGCACACUGGCGGAUCCGUCCCAUUCAGUACACAUGCAAAGCGGGUGGUAAGAUUAAUUUUAAUGAAAUAUAUCGUUAAUUAAUUUGUCGUUCCUUAUAAUAUAUUUAACUUUCAACCAAUUUUUUCCUUACAGGCCGCGUCUCUUGGACGUGAACCGAGUCCAAUGGAGCUGUUUGUAGAGACGCAUGUGCGGAGUCAAGACCGCCAAAAGGGGGUGCAGCAGUUCGUGGACAACCGUGCUCAGCACUUCGUGGUAUGUUCGUUCAUUCAUUUUAUUUUGUAAGUUAUUAUUUUCUUGAAUUGCAUUUGAUGAUUUUUUUACCGACGGAAUUUUCAGGAGACCUAUAAUAGCCGGUUGAGGGAGAGAUAUGGGGACAAUCCGUCGACCCAUCCAGAUUUCGAUCCAGAUUUGUGGAUCAAGGCGGGAUCGUUUGGUGGACCCGAUAAAAAUCGGGUCUACGGGCUCUCCAACACUACGGCUGAAAACUUGCGUUCGACUCGUAGUGUCUCAACUAUUGGAAGCUCUCCAUCAGUAUCGAACACCCAGUUUGAGGAGUUCAUUGCGUUGAAACAACAAUAUCAACAACUCUCGACGAAUUAUGAUGAGCUCCGUCAAAUAGUCAUGGAGAUGAGAUCAAAGAUGGAUGACGAUACUUGUGCAGCUUCGUUUUGGCCGUAUGGUCCCGGAAACAACCAGCCUCCUCCUCCUCCUCCUCCUCCAGCUCCGCCGCUAUUCUAGUUUAAUUUUGUUUUUUAAACACAUUAAAUUUGUAAUGAAUAUUAUUUAACAUUACUUUUAUAUUUUUAAUGUUUAAUCCAUUUUUAUUUGUUUAUUAAUGUUUUUUACUAUUAAUAAAUUAUUUUUUUUAUAUAUUUUAAAUACAUACCAACGGCUUUACCGACGGAUAAUUUCCGUCUGUAUUUCACAGAGAGUUGCCAAACAAUUACCAGCCAUGCCAUAAUUACCGACGGAAUCUAUCCGUCGAUGAUUCAAUACAGACGGAUUUACCGACGGAUAAUAUCCGUCGGUAUUUCACAGAGGGUUGGCAAACAAUUACCAGCCAUGCCAUAAUUACCGACGGAUAUGCCGUCGGUAAUUACCGUUGAAAUUACAGACGGAUUUAUUCCGUCGGUAAUGUUCCCGCGGGAAACUUUUUUUUGACGCGCGAGUAUCCGUCUGUAAGACCAUCGGUGGGUGUUUUUUUUAUUUGCGACAGACUUAACGAUGGAAAUUGGAGUUACCGACGACUAGUAUACCGACGGACGUAUUUCGUCGGUGAGGCCGUCGGUAAUGAUUUCACCGACGGAUUUCAUUCCUGUCACCGACGGAAUUAGUCCGUCGGUAAAACUGUUUAAUGGUGUAGUGUGAGCAAGGUUGUCAAAAACGCUUUUUUAACACGACACGGAACAUACAAUAUAAACUCGACUCGUAAACUCGAAUCGUAAAAUCGUAAAAUCGCAAGUAAAUUUUUUUAACUAAAAAUCGUAAAAUCGCAAGUAAAAUAUUUUAAACAAUACAAAUAUCCAAACAUCUUAAAAUACAUAAUUCAAAUAAAAGUAAAAUAAACAAUACAAAUAUCCAAACAUCUUAAAAUACAUAAUUCAAAUAAAAAUUCAUACAUGUCCAUAUAAUUUCAAUAACUAAAAGUUAACAAACCUAAAACAAAUAAUCUGUAGGUGUGUCAUGUAAACUAAACAUCAUGUGGUAUAAAAUGUUCAAGCAAAAACUAUUCUUAAACUGGUGAAACUGGUGAUAAAUUUUAGGUAAACAUAGACAAAACGUUGACAGAUAUUCAUAAUGCAGCCAGGAUUUCAACAUACUUGGUCACAAUGCAGGAGUAGAAAAUUCACCGUCUCUUCCAACUGUUGCCAGCCACCUUUUACUGAAAGCAUAUAGUGGCAAAGAACAACACAAAAUAAACUCCUGAACUCAUAUGUUAAAAUUUUAAAUUCUCAGAAGCUGUACCAUAAAUAUGACACUUAACAUGACAGAAGAUUCACAAUUUGUAUUAAGCACAAUUUGAAUCACAAAGCACUGUAUUUUAUUCUAUAUUAAGCAUAAAUGCAUAUGUUGAACAAAAAAAAACAGAGGCUGUACAAGUCCUCCCUCUUUUCCACACUCAUUCUUAAUUCAAGCUCUAUUCCCGUAUUCAAAUAUUCUUCCAUUCACACCUUUUUUUGGUUUUAAUUCACAGUUCAAGAACUAUCAAGUGAAAUAUGGUUAUAUACUUGUAUCCAUUCAACAUAAGCACUCCUAGAAACAGAGGCUGUUAAUUCAAAAUAAUGAUAAUUUAGUUCUAACUUCUCUUCCAUUUCCAGCUCUGAUGUUUUUUAACUUGAUCGAAGCAUAGUAAAAAAAUUAAUUAAGAAAAAAGAACUGAAAUAAAAUAAAAUAAAAUUUUAACUUAAUAAAAUUUUUCUAAAUACUAAUCGAAAAAUAGAAGCAGAAAAAAAAUAUAAAGGGAGAAACUAGAAAAGCAGAAACAAAACAAGGAAAAAUGAUGUAAAAUAUAAAGGCUCCACAGUCUAGAUCAUGACUAGGCAUGACCCAUCAGCCAUUUCUCCGCAUGCUGUGCCACAAUUUCUCCCUAUAGGAGAUCUAAUUCAAUGCAAGCUUUCUUCAGAUCACACCAUUUCUACGCACUUUCUCUUUGACGUUUUAAACUGCGGUUUAGUUGGUUGAAAAGCAGCCAAAAUAAUAAUUUUUUAUAAUUAAUUCUAAGAGCGCAGUUUGAAAAGCACAAAAUCACGUAGACAAGCACACCUCUUCAGUAAUACAACCUAAUUCCUAUACGCCUCCACUCCAGUUUUGAUAAGAAAAAAUUAAGGAUAACGCAUAAUAAUCGACAGACAUUAAACACAAAAAAAAAAACUAAAAUAAACAUGAUAUUUUGAAAAUAUACCUGAUGAAAUCGAUCGGGUAAGAAAUCACAAAAAUCAAAGUUGAUGAAAUGAGGAGGAAGGACUGAGCCACUGGGGAGAUGAAUUUGGAGAGAGCGAAAUCGAUAGGACUGUAGCCUGUAGGAGCUCUUUAGAUCAGGAGAGAGAGCGUUUCAAGAGGAUGGAAGAUUGGAAAUUUGGAAGAAAGAGACUGUUGUGCUGAGUCAAAGGACAGAGGGCAUUUCAAAAUUCUGCAUUUGUUAAAAGUUUUGGUUAACUCGUGAAAACGUUACGUUUUUAAUGUUUUUUACGAGUUGACUUGUUUUUAAGCGAGUUUGACCGGGUUUGAUCGAUUUUACUGGUUUUUGAGUUUUAACCCCGAUUUCACACGUUUUAUGUGUUUUGACUCGUAAAAUCGAACGAUUUUACGAGUUAAAACGCAUUUUUAACAACCAUGAGUGUGAGUUUAAAUUAGUAAUUAACUAACAUAAAUUUAAUAAUGAAAUAAACCCCUAAACAAUGUUUAAUGCGCUAGAAAAAAUUCAAAUUAAAAAUUAUUAUUUAAAAUUAAAUAAAUAAAAAAAAUAGAAUAAUAAAAAAAGUCUUCAUGUUAAAAUUCUUCUAUGUAGCCUGAAUAUUCAAUUUUUGUAUAUUCCUUGUAGAUUUGAGUUAUGAUUUCAAACAUGUCGUUCUCUCUUAUUUGGAUGAAUUAUUGGGCUUAUGAUAUAUAGUUGAAAAGUUCCAGAUGUCUAAUUUCUAUCCCAACUUUAAUCGAAGCAACAUUUCACCAGUAGCUCUAGAUAUUUCCCAAACAGUACACGAAGGUCUUGUUUGAUAUAUUUGACAAUAUUAGUUAACUAACUUUGACCCUCUGAAAUAUUACGUUCUUUAACUCUAUUUGACCUGAAAAUUUACCACAAUAUAUUUUCAUGUAUCUAAUAUUUUCCUGUAAAAUUUUAGCAUUAUCCAAUAUACGGUUUGAAAGAUAUGCUCAAUCUCGCAAAAUUAGUCAGCAGAUAUUUUAAGGCCACAUUUGGAUUUGACUUGGUUCAUAUCAUAAAUUUAGUAAACUCGUACAAUCGGACCGAGUUUACCAUUUUGCAGGAGUUAAGUCUGAUUUGACUGGUUUCAAGUUUUUAGUCCAAUUUAGCACGUUAGAUACUUGUUAACUCAUAAAUCCAAUCUCGCGAUUUUAACAACCUUGGUCAAAUCCAAAUAUUUAGAGAAGUUACUAAAAGAAAUAACCACUUUCUCUACUUUUAUAUAUAUGAACAUAACUCAUAUGAAAAGAUAUAUAUAUAUAUAUAUAUAUAUAUAUAUAUAUAUAUAUAUAUAUAUAUAUAUAUAUAUGGGGACAUAACUCAUAUGAAAAGAGUUGUUUUAAUUUGUUGAAAGAAUAUAGUUCUCUCUUUCUCUUCUUUCAUCUUGGACUCUCUGCAUUAACUUGACAAGAUUUACAAAGACGUUCGUGAUGUGGAAUAUCACUUUGAUUUUAGUAAUUGAAGUGACAUUGAAGUAAUUGACUCGGGGAGAAGAAAACAAAUUCUCACAUCACAAGUGAAUUUCCUUUGAUUUCUACAUUGGUAUCAGAGGCAUGGUUUUAAUAUUGUUUUUGUGCAAUACAUCUGUUACUACAUAAACGCUAGAUGUACAUUCUGUGUAGAAAGAAUGCUUCUUUUGAGUCUUAGAUUUACAAAACUUUAUUUGAUGUAUUGUUAUUCAAAUUUAAUGAAGUAAUUUGGUUAGGAUUUUGUCUUUUCUAUCAUUAAUUAGAAAGACCCUUCUGCCAAAUAAAUGGCAGUUGUGUAACUGUCAUUUGUUAAUUAAUUAAAAAAAAACUACCAAUUAAUCGUGUGAAUUGGUAACUGACAUUUUAUAGUGCUGGCUAUGGGGUAAUUUUAAUAUGUCCUCGUAGUCAAUUGGAAACUGCUGUUUGGCAGUCAUGAAAAAAAAAAUGUGACAACACAUCUUGUUUGACAGUUGAAAAAAAAUAAUCAUGAGAACAAAUCUAGAAUUGGUAGAUGUCUAACUGCCAUUUGGCAGUUUUUUUUUUUAAAAAAACAAACAUGAGAGAGGGAAUUAAUAUUGAUGAAUUGUUAAUAUAAAUUGCUUAAUUAUAGUGCCAAUUUAGCUUUUAACAAAAAAAAAAAUGAUACAUGCCUUAAUUAAAUAUUGAUUACAAUAUUUAUGUGCUUUUGGAAUAUUUUAUUGUAGUGGAUAGGCAACAUCAAAUUGAUUAUUUAUUGGGUUAUGCCAUUAAUCUUGUUCACAAAAUUCAAGAGCAUAUUGAUUAUAUGUAUCAUUGGAUGAGUAGACUAGAUAUGAGUGGUGUUUACAAAUUCUACAUGGAAUAUCAAAUAUUAAUCAUUCUCAAUUCUCUACCUGAGGAAUGGAUGUCGGUGCAACUAUCGUUGGAUUAUAGGCUAGAAUCCUUAGAUUUGAACAAUCUCACUGAUGAAAUGUUGUUUGAGAGGGAACGUUAGUAUAACGAAAAGGGUAUAUGACAUACUGAAAGAAGCGCAGCUCAUUUGGAUGUUGCUGUUAAAUUCAUUCCAUGGUUUGAGCAUAAUGAACUUGAAGGAGAUGACUUUGAUGAAGUAGAUGAUGUAAUUGGAGACCCUACUUAUGUACCUACAAUAUAAAAUAAUUUUGAAAUUUAUUAUUCUUAAUUUUGUAUUUUUUUUUAUUUCAGUAUUUUUUUGUUAAGAUAAUUGGUUGUUUAUUUUGAAUUGCAUAUUUUAUGUAAUUUAAGUUUUAAUUACAUUUUAUGCAUGCAUAUGAAAAUAUCUGCAAUUUGAUCAGUGGGAGUUGUUAGUUGAAACUAAGAACUAUAAUUUUGCACUCAUUUAAAUUUGCAAUAAUAAUUAGACUAUACAAAUGAAAAUUGAUCAAGUGUUUGACAUUCUUUUCAAUUCUAUUGUAUAUGUUAGAUUAUUAUUUGUUUAAUUUAGAAUGGAAUGACAAUAAAUGUCAUUUAAAUUGUACUAGUUACUAAUAUUUAUAAUUGGUGUCAAUAACGCUUAAUACGACUGAAUCUUAGAGUAUUAUUGCUGAUUUGAACCAUGAAGACAAACUAAGUUAAAAGAAUUAUGAUGUUUGGCAUCAUAAGAUUGAAUAUCUCUUGGAAGAGCAAGAAAUGCUGGAAACAAUCACACAACUGAUGGUUGAACCCGAGUAAGGAAACACUGCUCAACAUAGGCUUGAUAUGAAAGCAUAUCAAACCUAUAAGCACAAGGAUCGUGUAGCUCGCAUUCUGAUGUUGAGCAACAUGAGAAAUAAUAUAAUGUUGCGUUUUGAAAAGCAUCGUUUAACCCAAUCAGUUUGGGACGCAAUAAAUAUUGAGUAUGAGAGAACCUCGAUUACGAGACUUCGUCAAUUAACCCUUAAAUUUGAUGGUCACCAAAAGCGCCAAAAUCAGAUGAUGAGGCAACAUUUUACAGUCAUGUCUAACAUGAUCAGUGAAUUAAGGGGGUGCUGGGCAUGAGAUGAUAAUUAGUACUUAAAAGUGCAUUUUUAUUAAGGUUUUAUAUUAUCAUAGUGCACUUAAAGUAUCAUUAAAUUCCCUAACUUAAGCAUGUUUUAUAAUAACAAGUCUGAUAACAUAAGAUAUCUUUAAUUUAUGGUAAAUACUCAUUUUAAAUGCAAGCAUAUCUCACAAUUUAAAGGAUUGAUUGAUGUGUUUAACUAUUGAAAGUGAAAAGACAAAGAGAGGGCUAAGUUUAAAGAAGAGAUGUUGGUUCAAUUCAAAUUAGAACACCAUUUGGUUAUUGGAUCAUAACUAGAGCUGUAGAACUUGGAUUUAGGUUUGGUUUAUAUGGAUAUAUAGCUAAGACAUAGGCCUAAAACUUUCAUGAAGAGUCCAAAAUUCAAAAGGGUCGUUUUCAAGUUCAAAUUGUAGCAACAAAAGAGAAGUCAGAAUCUGUCCUCCAGCCUAGACAUUGUUUAGUAUUCAACCAAUAUCUCGAGUUCUAGAAGUCCAAAUGAGCUUAUUCUUAUUUUGUUGGAAAGCAGAGAAAAAUGCCCAGAACUGUUAUGAGGACUAUCUAUUCAAAUUCUGAUGUUAGCAAUGACGUUUUGUUCAGACAAGAAGAUAAUGGUUGUCACUAAGUCAAGAGGUGGCAACCCACUCAAUAAUUAGUCAUGAAAUCAAUAGUUCUAAAUUUUAGCCUAUAAAAGGAGGCAUUUGCCAUGCAUUUAGAAAUCUUGGUGUUCAGAUCAAGAUCACUCUUUCUUUUUAUAUUUUGUAAUCUUUAAUUUUUAUUUUAUGUUAUAUUAAUCUCUUAUUUAUACUUUUCAUUUCCUUUACUAUACUUGGUUAACUUAUAUCAUAUUUAUGUUCUUUAUUGUUUAUUUAUGUUUUUCUUCUUCAUGAUGUUUAGCUAAGCUAAUGGUAUAAGAAUAAGUAUAAUAUAAACUCAACUCAACAUGGACUUUAAUGUUUGAUACUAACAUGUUUUGUAUUUGUUAUCUUACUCACUCUUAAUACCCUGCUUGUUAAAUGAUUAAUCUAGAUUUGUGUUGUACAACCCUUGGUACAACAAAUACUUGGCACUUUCAUAGCCUACUGUAUGGUAUAACUGACACCUGUGCUAUGAAAGGAACUUGAUUUGUUAUUAACAUAAGUUAACAUCAUGAAUUCCUGACAAUAUUUAAAAGUAUGGUGUUACUAAAAUAAGAUAAUUAAUAUGAUCAUGUUAAAAAUUUAUAAUGAACUAUUAAGGAUAAAUUAUCCGAUUGAAAUCUCCUUUGUGUGUGGUUUCCAGUUGAUUAAUAAAAAGAGUUUAUACUAUACUUAUUUCUAAUACUAUUAGUGGAUCCUCUAACCUUGACAAUUGCUUUUAUCUUUGAUUAAUACUCACAUCAAUAUCACUUCUCAAAAGUUCUCUUCAACUCCUUUUCAUUUGUUGUUUAUAAUUUUAUAUAGUUCACCUCCCUGUGGUUUAACCCCGGUCUUACCGGAUUAUUUAUUACUUCGACACUCCUACACUUGGGAUAAGACAUCAAUCUUUUGAUCGUGUCAAAUGACUGAUGAACAACAAGUCCAAGCUGUUAUCCGCUCUUUUCCAAGCAAUUAGGAGCACAUGCGUGUUAACUUUACCCACAAUGACAAUAUCAAGACAUUUGAUGAUGUUGCUCAUCACGUCGAGCUUAAAGAAGGUUGAUUUCACGCUGAAAAGCCUGUAAAUGAGGCUUUCAUAUCUGAGACUAAGAUGCGUGGAGCAUAUGACUCUAAAUAUGAAAAGGGUAAUGGUAAGGGUCCCAAAUAUGGCAAGAUAGGAAUAGAAGCAAGUAGUAAUGGAUAUAAGCACAAGCAUGGAAAACAUGGCGAUAAGUAAGAAAACAAUAUGAAUUGUUUCAAUUGUGGUAAACCUGGUCACUUUGCUUGUGAUUGCACUUAGCCAAAGGUAAUGUUUAACCACAAUCAUCCCUCUAACUUAUACAUCAGCAGUUGUUUAAUGCUUGUUGAAUUUAUUCCUUUUUGGACUAUAGACUUAGGAGCAACCGACCACAUAACAAGGAUUAAACAACCUUUAUAUGGAAUUUUGUCGAAUUCCAAAGGGAAAAAGAUACAUAUACAUGGGGAAUAACGUUUUUGCUACUAUGCUUGGGAUUGGUACCUGCAAAUUGGAUUUAUGAGGCAGUCGCACACUAUAUCUUCAUAAUGUACUCCACACUCUAGAAGUUCGAUGAAAUCUUGUGUCUAUCCUUGCAUUACUACAAUUGGCUUUAAUAUUGAGUUUGUUGGUUGUUGUGUAAAAAUAUAUAUGGAUAAUAUUUUUUAUGGUUUUGGUUUUGUAUUAAAUGGUUUUAUGGUGUUAGACACCGUUAAUGUAUCCAUUAAUGAUGAUGCUUCUAUUUAUAUUGUUCAAAAUGCCAACACUACUAAUAAUAGUGAUAUCGUAACUUGGCAUGUUAGAUUAGGAAAUAUUGAGCAAGACCUAUUAUAUAGAUUGAUAAAAGCUUGUCUUUUAGGAUCACGUACCAAAGAGUAAUUGCCUGUUUGUGAGUAUUGCCUUGCUGGAAAAGCAACGAGAUUACCAUUUGGCAAAGCGAAAAGAGCCAGUAGUCCAUUACAACUUAUUCAUUCAGAUAUUUAUGGCCCAAUAAAUGUGAGGGCAAGACAUAGAGCAAAAUAUUUCAUCACAUUUAUAAAUGAUUUCACAUGAUUUGGUCAUGUUUAUUUAAUCUCACAUAAGUUUAAAGCAUUGGAUUGCUUCAUUCAAUACACUAAUCUGGUAGAGAAUAAACUAAGUACCAAGAUCGAAGUUUUAAGAACUGAUCGAGGACGUGAAUACUUAUAUGAACAAUUUUAAAAAAAUUAUAAUGAAAAGAAUAUAGCUAUACAACUAACUAUUCCUUAUACUCCACAACAAAAUUGUGUAGCAAAAAGGAGGAAUAUGACCCUAUUUGACAUGGUUAGGUCAAUGAUGAUGCAUGCUAACUUACCAAUUUCUUUUGGGGGAGAUGCAUUAUUAACUACUGCCUACAUACUAAACUACUGCACCAUCUAAAUUUGUCUCAUCCACCUUAUAUAAACUAUGGAAUAACGAUAAACCUAAUCUAGGUUAUUUGCAUCUAUGAGGUUGUGCAGCUUAUAUUCACAAUAAUUCUCAUAAAUAUGGGAAAUUUAGUCCUAGAGGAAAGAAGUGUAUCUUUAUAAAAUAUUCUGAACAUUCCAAAGGAUUUGUAUUUAUUGGUGAAAAAGCUAAUGGAAGAGUGAUAGAGAUUGAAUCACGUGAUGUUAUAUUCUUAGAAAAGGAUUUUCCAAUGACAAGUGAGGUUAAUAAAGAUUUUUGAUUAUAUGAAAUGAAAAAUCUAGACUAUGGCGCAACAAGCUAUUCAGGAAAGGACUUAGAAGAAACUCUUAAUCCUCCUGGAAAUAGUGGGAGUGAUAUUUUGUUUAUUCCUGCUCUCAUGGAGAAAGAUCAUGAGCAAUCUCAACCUCGUAGAAGCAUUCGCGAACCAAUUCCUCGUCGUCGAUUUGAGAUUGAGGGGGAAGCAUUCAUGAUUGCUCCACAAGAUGAUAAAGAGCCUAAAACAUUCAGUCAUGCUCUAUCUGGUCCUAAAGCAAGAGAAUGGAUUAAAGCUUUGGAAAAAAAAUGGAGUCGAUAAAAUCUAAUCAAGUCUGAAACUUGGUCGAUUAACCAUCAGGACAAAGAUCCAUUGAAAAUAAAUGGGCUCUUAAAAUUAAAUGUAAGGUGGAUGGGUCAAUAGAACGUUAUAAGACUUGAUUAGUAGCAAAAGGCUACACUCAAGAAGAGGGAAUUGAUUAUGAAGAUAUUUUCUCACCAAUUAUGAGGAUUACUUCAAUUCACCUCAUUUUAGCUAUAGUCACAUAUAUGGACCUAGAGUUAUGCCAAAUGGAUGUUAGAACUACAUUUCUCAAUGGAGAACUAAAUGAGGAGAUCUAUAUAAAUCAGCCUUAGGAUUCGAGACUAAAGGACAAGAGUGCAAAGUUUGUAAGCUUAAAAGAUUAAUAUAUACUAUUAAGCAAGCUUCUAAACAAUGGAAUGUCAAGUUUCAUCAAGCUAUCCUUAAGAAUGGUUUUACAAUGAUGGAAGAAGAUCAUUUUGUGUAUUUAAAACAUUCUAAAAAUAGUUUUAUAAUAUUGUCUUUAUAUGUUGACAACAUCUUAAUAGCUAAAAAUAGCAAAGAGAUGAUUGAUACUAUUAAAAGGUGGUUAUCAUCAAAGUUUGAAAUGAAAGACAUGGGUGAGGCCAACUAUGUUCUUAAUGUGAAAAUUAUAAGAGAUCAUGCUAAAAGGCUUCUGGGUUUAACUCAAGAGACUUACAUCAAAAAGAUGUUAAAGCGUUAUCACAUGCAAGAUAGCAAACAAAUGGACACCCCUGUUGAUAAAAGUUUGAGUCUGAGUCAUGAUAUGUGUCCCAAAACUUUAGAAGAAAAGGACAAAAUGUCCAGAGUACCUUGUGCUAAUGUCGUCGGUAGUUUGAUGUAUGCAAUGAUGUGCACAUGUCCUGAUAUAUGUUAUGUCGUUGGAUUAGUUAGUCAAUAUCAAUCAAACCCUGGUAAAAAACACUAGUUAACCAAACAACAUCUUGUGAUGUUGCGGAACAAGCUACAUACACAGCCUCUAUAGUAGAUAAGGCUAUGCAGGAUUGUUUAUUGCUCCUCCAUAGUAUUGCACUAUCAUUAAGUAAAAAAGCAUAUCCCGAAGUUGAUUUGGAUUGAUCGACAUCUCCUUCCCAAUCAACAUUAGAGUAACCAAUCAAUCAUAAGUCUUUCUUUCCUUGGUAACAUAACAUGUAAUUCAAAAUUUCUUUUAAAUAUCGUAGAAUCCUUUUUACUGCCAUUUCUGAUAUAAAAAAGGGGUUUGUUUGGCCAGAUAUCAAAACAAAAAGGAAUAAAAUAAAGGGGAUUGAUAUAAGAGCGUGUUUUGCCAAACACAACCUUGGCCCAAAAUAAAUUGGGUCGGCUGGGCUAGAGGCCUAGGCCCAGCCCAACCUUUACUACUGAAAUGGUUCCUGAGGAAGAAGAUGAUGAAUAGUUUUUGAAAUAACAUCGUUUUCUUGAUUAAAAUGGUUAUUUUCAAUUUGGCCCCUGAACUUCUGACAUUUAACAAUUAAGUCCCUAUUCACGAAAUAUCUUUUUUUUAAUUUCUCCCCUGGAUAAAUUGCAAUGGACCCCUGCAUUUCGAUGCCAUUUACAAAAUGGUCCUUGGUUUCUAAUUUAAUAAAUUCAAUCCUUAAUUGGCUCCUCAACUUUUAAUUUUUUCAAAAUUAUCCCUGGAAAAAUCAAUUAAAUGCCCUAUAGUAUCCCCUACCGUUUCACUUUGGUCCAUGGACUAUAAUUUCUUGCAAUUUUGACCAAAUUGACUCCUAAAUUUAAUAAUUUCAUCCUUAAACUUUCAAUUUGUGUUUUCUUAACCUAAUUUCAAAUGUAUUUUUUUUUUAUUUUUUUGAAAAUUCAAAAAUUAGGUUAUGACACCAAAGACAACUUUAAACUUUAGACAUUACACUAUUGAAAUAGCUUUUAAAAACAUGCCCUAGUAUUAUUUCAUAGAUAGUCUUGGAACUCAUUUGAUAGUCAAUUGAAAUGAUCUUUUCUUUUACACUCACACAUGCUUUCAAAACAACCUUAAAUCAUAUCUAACUCCGUUACCAAAAUCAUCAAUGCCUUCAUUUCAACAAUUCAAUCAACCAUAUCAUCAUCAUCCUAAUGGUCAUCUCAGUUUUGACCAUUCCUCAUGGAUGUUUAUCAUCAAGGCUAUCUUUUUUUUUUCCUCAUACCAUCUUAUUUGGUUUCUUUCAACUAGUCCACCAAUGAUCUCAACAAGUCAGAGUACUGACGCUUCUAGCUUCUAUUGUGACCACUGGUUAAUAAAUAUCCUGACAAUCAAUUAUAUUUACACCAUUAUUUCCUUCUAGGUAAACUAAUCAAUCUAAUCAUUUUGAUCAUCAGUUUCAUUGAUGCCACUAACUCCUUUUGAAUAGCUAGUCUAACAAAUAUCCUGGUUAUCAAUGCAUUGAUGCCACUAGCUCUUUUUGGAUAACUAGUUUAACAAAUAUCAUGGUCAUCAAUUACACUAAUGUCACUAGCUCUUUUGAGAUAAUUAGUCUAAUCAUAUCCUGGUCAUCAGUCACAUUGAUGCCACUACCUCCUCUUAGGGCAACUAGUCAAAUUAAUCUUAUCAAAUACAUAUACAACAAGUUCACUUUGUUGAUCAAAAUCUACAUCUUAUACAUAAAUGCAUAAUGCCAUUUCCAUGUAGCAACCAUCAGUAUUCACCCCCAAAUGAACCAUCAAUAACUCAACAAACCAGUUGCAUUGACACCACUAGCUCCAUUUAAGGCAGUUAGUCUAACAAAUAUCUCAGUUAUCAGUCACAUUGAUGCCGCUAGCUCCUCUCAAGGUAACUAGUUAAAUUAAUUUUUCUAUGACAUAUACAUUUUAACAAAUACUUAUCACUUACAUAUACAACAAGUUCACUUUGUUAAUCAAAAUCUACACCUUAUACAUAAAUGCACAAUCCCAAUUCCAUGUAGCAACUAUCAGGUUUCACCCCUAAAUGAUCCAUUAAUAAUCCGAUGAACUAGUCAUGUCGAUGUUAUUAGCUCCACUCAGGACAACUAGUCAAAUCAACCUUUUCUUAAUAUUAACAUUUAUAUAAAUACACACACAUUUAAAGAAUUCAUAGUUCUAAAUUCUUAAGAAACUAUCUAAGUAGGAAAAUGAGCAGGGCACUUACCUAGAGUCUAUGUACAUGCUACUGCUCCUUGCUAUUGUUCAGUGUUCAUAGCCUCCCUUGUACCAUAUGUGAUUCAAUUAUCAUAAUUAAUAUAACCAGCAUCACAACUUCAUUUCAAUUCUCAUUCAACUAUUACUUUCAAGCCAAUGACAAGAAAAAUCAUUCAAAUUCCAUAUCCUUAUAAAUUUUCAUGUUCAUAUUCAUUCUUAUAAAUUUAAAUUUUAAAACCCUCACUCAAGAGCAAUUCCAAUGAAAGAUUAAAAUUGUCUAAUUCUGGUCGAUUUAGCUUAGCCAACCUAGAACAUUAUCUAGUGUUUUAAUCACAACUGAAGCUGUAAAACUCAGUUUUGGGUGUGGUUUGUCUCAAUGGAAAGCUAAAACUUAUAGCUACAACUUUCAUGAAUAAAUAAACACCAAGGUUUUCCAUUCUAAAAUCACCCAUUACAAGAGCAUAAUAAAUUUGUUCAAUAUUAUAUUGGUUUGGAUCUUUCCUCGGUCUUUAGUUUAUAUCUAAAGUUAUAUAACUUCAAAUUAAUCAAGACCAAUUUCAUUUAAUAUUUAACAUUCAUAGACCUUUUAUAAAGAAACCAACUCCAAAUUUCAUUGUUGUAAAGUUCAAAAUCAAUAAUCAUAGCAGCAUUCAAAAUCUAUCAAGAGUUUUGUCAGUUUAGACUUAUCCAUAUCUAAAAUUUUCCUAAAACUUCAACUCCAAAUUCUAUAGUUUCCAAGCUUUAAAUUCAACUUUAAUUAGCUGAUUCUUGUUUUUUUUUUAAAAAAAUGGAGGGGUUUGCUCCAUAUUACAACAAUAUCAUUAAUCCAUGUGUUAUUUUUUUUUGUAUUUUUUUCUGUUUAACGACACUCUCGCAAGGUCUUUUCAAACUCCAUUGACCUGAAAUUGCAACCCAACAUAGAACAAUAUAUUAAGAGACUGUUAGUAAAAUUUCAACCUGAUCCAACUAUCAGAUUAAGAGUUAUGUAUGAUAUCUUAAAACUAGAUGGUAGGUAAUUAUAAGCCAUGUAACUCAAUUUAUUUAUAUCCAAAGCUUUUUGUCAUCUUCUUUUAGUUACUUGGUCCCCAUGUAACUCAAUUUUAUUUUGAUCCUUUUUUUUUGUUUUGCACUUUAGCCCACUUGUCCAUUUUGCUUUCUAUUUUUUAUUUUGGUUUAAAAAAAAACAAUGAUAACAUCAAUUUGAUAAGCAAACCAAUCAAGAAAUACAAAAUGGACGCAUUAAAAAUCUAAAUACAUCAAAAUGGCUAGGUAUAAAAGGUGUUGAAGGGUCAAUUAACAUAGGAUCACUUGUGUAUAUGUGGAAAUUGUUUUGGCUUGCCACCUCGAUUUUGACAUUUCAACAAUUGAUCUCACUUUAAUCUCAAACCUUUGAGUUCUACCUCAUGCUUUGUUGUGACAUUGUUUCUUUAAAUAUGGAUUGUGCACCAUUAAUAGGGACGCCUUGGAGAGCUUUCCAUUUUGUUUUCCAUUUUCUUGCUUUUUUUUUUUGUAACAUUUUUAUCCCUUUCAUAUUUUUUGUAUUUAGAGAAUUUCAUCAAUCAUUUAAAAAUUCUAAAAAAUGUCCUAGUGUGAAGGUUGAUUCUAAUUUAGGUUAUUAUCCAAGAAAUAUUUAAGGCUUAUAAGGGAAGAUAUGAGAUAUUUUUAUUUGUGAAGGAUAUAUCAAAAAAGACUUUUCUUCAUCUCAAAUCCAAAUAUUCAUUUUGUUAAAUUUAGCCCUAUUCAAAGAGCAUCGUUAAUCAGCAAAACCAUGAGGCUAACCUUAAAAAAUAGGUGGUGGGGUCAUGACCCAAAUGCAUAGUAUGCAUCAACAUUUAUGUCAUUAAAUCAUUUGGUUCUAUUUUGGACUUAUUUUUAACAAGAUUUUUCUUUUUAAUGCUUAUUGAAUGUGGCGAAGGUAAUUAUAGAGGUUAAAAAGAAUGUUGGAAGCAAAACCUCACUUUUUUUAUGGUUUAUUUUGGGUGGAGAAGGACAUUUUGAGUUUUAAAAAUAAACAUUCCCUCUUAACAUUCGCAUAACAUGUCUCAGAUUUGAUCAAUUUUGAAUUAGUUUUCCAUGUUACUUUCAAAUAAACAAUCUUUUAGCUUUAAAACAAUAGUAAGACCAAAAAGGUACACUUAUUAACAAAAAAUUGACAUUGUAUUUUCGACUAAUGAAGGCCUUAUUAGCAAAACAAAUUCAAUUUAAGGAGGGAAAUUCAAAAUUUGAUGUUUAAGGACUCAAUUAGAAUUUUUCAAGGUUUAUUUGAAUUUAUUGAGGGUUUAAUUGCCAAAAAUAUUGAUCUUUAAAGUCAAUUCAGUCUUUAAUUGGAAGAAAUUAAAGUAUGGGGUUAAAUUGUAAUUUUUAGGAGUUAAUUUGUUCAAAUCAGGGGUGUAAUUGGAUAAAUAUUGAAGUUUGAUAGGCAAUUAGGGACAUGCUUGAAGAAAUCCAAAACCAAAGAUCAAACUAGAAAAGUCGUGUGAAUAUAGAGGUUGAAAUUAACCAAAUCAUGGGCCAAAUUGAAGAAAUUAAAAGUUUGUUAAUCAAUUGAGGGUCAAGAUGCACAAAUUUAAACCAAAGACUAAAAUAAAAAAGAUAACCAACUAAGGGGCUGAUAAUUAAGUUUGACAGGGAUAAAUUUGCAUGAAAUUAAAAGUUUGAAGGCAAUUAUAGGUGCAAUUAAAAGACAUUAAAAGAGUAGAGGCUCAAUUAAAAUUUACCGAUCCCAAAUAAAAAACCCUCAAUGACGCGUCAUUCAGACUGAAAGAAGAGAAGGUGAGUGACAUGUCGUUUAGUCGAUUGGUCUCUGUUUUUUAUAGUUUUGACUGAUCGAGCUGGCAACUUCAAACGAAUGAAUAUGGAGCUACAGACCUCCAAAUUAAACAAUGUUGGAUUUAAAUGAAAGGUGUGCAUUCUCUUUACCAACUUCAGGUUAUAGUAGACGACGAUGAAGUUAGAAUUGAUCUGAUGAGGCCUUAAAAGUGGGCAACCUAGUCAGCCCUAACAGUGCAACUUUCAUGCAAAAACCAAUUUUCUUUUCAUGUGUUCACAUACAAAGCCUUCUCAAUGGGUUCUUAUUAAGUGUUUACAACCUUUCUUUCAAGAUCAAGAGGUCACAAAUGAAUUGAAAACCCUAAGAAACCCCUAUAAAUACCCCCCCAAGUUUAAAGAAACAAAAAGAGGGGCAAAGAGAGGGGAGGGGAAAAAUAAAAGAAAAGAUAAGAAAAAGAGAAAUAUCAAUAAGAAACACAAGUGUAGAGGUCCAAGAGCUUAAAAAAAAGAUUUUUUUUAGCUUUGUAAGUUUAUGAGAGGCAAAAAUGUCUAAAAGAAAACAAAGAGAGUAGUUGUUCUAGAUAUAUUUUUCUGAUCCAAAAGUAGGUCUUUUAUGGCCUGUUCUUGAUAUUUUUCUUAUUUACUUUUUUUUUUAUGUUUAUGUUUAUAAGUAUAGAAAAGAGGUUUGAAUGAUCAACAAGUAAUGAUGUAUUCACCUAUUUGUUGCUGUGUUUUUCUUUAAUGAUGUUUAUUUUGAAGUUUUUUUUUUAUAUGUUUUUGAUACAUUAAAGUUGUUGUUUAAGUUUGUUUUUGAUAUAAAAUGUUAUUUUAGUUUUUGUUUAACUUAAGCUACGCAUGUUAAAGAAAUGAUGUUUUACCAUGGGUUUGCUAGAUUUGUUCAUGCACAAAAUGGGUUCAGAAAACCAAUUUUGGAUUUGGUAUCUCUUGUUUGAUUUUGAAUUUUUUGAUGUUUUUUGUUAGUUUUUUAAAUUUAAACAUGCUUGUGUAUGAUAUUGUGACUUUUUAGGAUAAAAAAAGGGAUGUUUUAUAAGCCAAAAAUGCCCAUUUGUUGGGCUUGGUAGUGGCUUCCAUUUCUGGGCAUAACUAGGUAAUUUUUUUUCUAGGUUUUGGCAAUGUUCUUCGUGUUUUUGGGGAGAAUAUUGUCUUAGCCCUUAGAUAUGGACCAAUUUUUGUCUAUUUCUUUGCACAUAAACCUUCCUUAUGCAUGAUUAACAAAAAUAUCUAGUGUUAUUCACAUCAAUAAUGUGUUUAAACGGUUUUUAAUCUUAGGGUUUCGGUUUUAAACUGAAACUCAUUUUGGCCAAAUCAUGAUGAUUCAUUGAUAAUUGGAGUGAAUAGAUGAUAGAUUAUUGAUCCUUACAUGAUUUCCAACAUGUAUGUGCAUUUGUUAUGACCAAACGUAGUGUGAUUAGACUCACAUUGUUGGGUUCAGUUUCAAGUGUUCUUUAUUUUUUUUGGUAUUCGAUUCGUUUUGUUGAAGAAUCUUUUUAGUUUUUAUGUUUUUUUUUGUGUUUAAUCUUUUUUUUUUGUUUUUAGGUUGUUUUCGGGUUAAACCAAGAUUUUUUGUUCGGUUUAUGGUGGAACAAAAAAUUUCAGGUCAACUCGAUCAGGUCGGGUAAAAAACAAUUGGGUCUAAAGGUCUUAUACCCUGUUUGGUUUGCCAUUUUUGUUAAGGGUUUUUAGGUUUAAAGGCAUGUUUAGCAAACACCCUUUUGGCUUAUUUUGGGUAGAUUUAUUGCAAAAAAUAAAAUGAGUUUUUGCCAUACAAAGCCUAAAAAAUAAAAAAUUAAUAAUUUUUUUUCUUGAUUAUGGCCAAAAAUUCUAAAUUAUUUUGAGCAUCUUUUUCAAAGAAAAUUUAAAAUAUUUUUGCAUGUUUUUUAAAAAAUACCGCAUGGAUUUUACAAGUUUGUAAAAUUUCAAAGGAUUUUGGCCUAUAUUUCAAAAAUACCAAAACUAUUUUUUUUGUUUCUUUUAAUAUACAGGAUUAUGAACUUAUAUGUAAGAUAUAUUUUUGAUAUUAAACAAAAAGACAAUUUAUUUUAUUUUUUAUAUUGGCAUUAGAACGAUUAGGUUUUAAACUUGAUAAGAUAAAGACCUCCUUAUUGAGAAAGACUUUUCUUAAACCCUAGAUAUUGAAACGAUUAGAAAACAUAAUAUUUUCAUAGUUUAUAUCAGACAAAUAAACAAUGCACUUAUCUCAGGUAAGGCGUAUUAGGGGUGCUAAUACCUUCCCUUAACGCAAUCAGUUCCCUUACCUAAACUCUAAGAUCAUUUAGGGUCCCUAAUGACCAGAAUACGUGGUGACGACUUUCAUUCUCUUUUUCUACUGACAAAGGACAAGAAUUCAUUGUCCUUUUCACCCAUAUCAUUCCCGACGAUACUAAUAUGAAAGGAUGAUCAUCGCACCCGUGCGACAAUCCCAAAACAAAUGAAGAAUAAAUCAAGGUUUUAAUGAAGUUAUUCAUAAAGUUCAAUAAAAAAAAUGGUGACAAUGUAAAACUUACCAAACGGCACACCAAUUGUUAUGUAAAACCCAAAUAAAAACAAUAAAUACAUAUGUAAAAUAAAAUAUUUAAAGACACUUUUGAUGCAUAAUCACUUGACAAGGCCCAUGUUUGUUUCCUUAAGCCAAGAUGAUUUACUUGGAUACGACCCUCAUUGGUUUUGGGCAAAUAGGCUGAGCCUUUUAAGGCCUAAUGUCCCAUUUGUCAAAGCCAAAAUAUAUUAAAGAAAAAUGCAUUUUUAGGUUUUUAAGACAUGUUUGGCAAACACGCUUUUAAGAAAAAUUUUAAACCAGUGUUUUUCAGCUAAGGGGGUGUUUGAAAAACAUAACCUAUCAUAUUUUUCACAACCUUUUUUUUUUUUUGUGUUUUGCAAAACACGCCUUAGUUUAAUUUUAAUUAAUUUUUAGUUUUUUGAAGGAUCAUUUUGCAAUUAAUUUUAUGUCUUUUAUACCAGUUUACCUUUUGUUUAUUUGAGAUUGUGAACUUAUAUGUAAGAUAUUUUUCCAAUAUUAAAUAAACCAGUUUUUUCCAAUAUAUAUAUAUAUAUAUAUAUAUAAUCUUUCUUUUAAAAAAUAUACAUUUAUGUUUUAAAUUGCAUACGACCAAGUUUUUUCAAAACAAUAAUAUUUGCAUUUUCUAUAAUAUAUAUAAAAAAAAGAAAAAGAUAAAAAAAAAAAACUAAAAAAAAAAUAUUUGCAUGAUUUAGCAUCUCUUAAAAAUACCAAAAAAAAUCAGAUUUUGCAUGUAUCAUGGAUUUAAUAACAACUUUAUUAAAGCUAUAAGGAUUUGGCCUAAAUUUUUAAAACACCAAAAAAUCUAUUUGUUUAUUUUUAAUACCAAAGAUUACGAACUUAUAUGUAAUAUGUAUUUCCGAUAUUAAAAGAAAUAAAUGCAAAAAAAUAUGUUUUGCUUUUAGAAUGCCUAGGUAUGACCUAUAAAGUCAUGGUCCACCUUGUUGGGGUGGACCUUCUAUAACUAAAACAAACCAAUGCGAAAAACACAAGAGUGCUUAAUAAUAUUUAGACAAAUAAACAAUACCACUUAUCUUUAUACUAGGUGUAACACCCCACCCCAUUAGCAAGAUAUUGUCUGCUUUGGCCCACGGGCCUCACGGAUUUGUUCUUGGUAGCCACUCAUGGCCCAAUAACGCAUCUUACUAGUCAAGGUGAGCAUGCUUAUAUAAGACCUUCUCCCAAGUCCUUAUUCACCGAUGUGGGAUAUUACAAUCCACCCCCUUAAGGAGCCCGACGACCCCGUCGGCACCACAGGACAACCAGUGAGUCGAGCUCUGAUACCAACUAUAAAACCCCACCCCACUAACAAGAUAUUGUUUGCUUUUGCCCACGGGCCUCAUGGAUUUGUUUUUGGCAACCACGCAUGGUCCCAAAACGCGUCUUACUAGUCAAGGUGAGCAUGCUCAUGUAAGGCCCUCCCCCAAAUUCUCACCCGCCGAUGUGGGAUAUUACACUAAGGGUGAUACAUAACUAGUCUCUUUAUCCAGACUUUAAAAAUCAAUUUGGGUCCCUAGUGACCAAAAAUAUUUGGUGGCAACUCCAAACCUUUUUAACGAUAAAAAUGACAAGAAUCCCUUAUUCUUUCCACUUAACACCAAAAUUUUGAUAUGGAUGGAUGAUCGCCAUAAACAUGUGACACUAAUGAACAAUGCCUUGUAAUAAAAAAGUGAGUGGUGAAUUCACUUUCUCUUUUAAUUUGUGUUAACCAAUUAAACUCGUGAUCUAGGUCAUAAAAUCGAGAUAAUUCCAUAAAAAUCAUAUCAAAAUAUAUUAUAUAGUUCAAUCUCGAAUAAAAUAAAUAGUAAAUGAUGAAAUUUUAAAAAAUAAAUUAAAACAAAAGAUUUAGGGAAAAGUGCAUAACCAGUCCCAACUACAUCACCUCUAAAGAAAAAUAGUGGUCAUACUCAAAUUAUUCCACCAAUUGUUAAGGAGCCACAAGCCCCUCAGAAGGUAUGAUUGACAACAGCUCGACAAUUUAGCCAUGAUAAAGAUGUUGGUUCUUAAGCAUUACCAGUAUCAAAAGAGAGCCAUGUUGGGCCAUCUCAACAAAGCUAUUUGGAAUUGACUCAUUGCACUAUUUACAAGAAAGUAUCACCCAUAAUCUCUCUUGAGAUCCCUUUAGAUGGUGAUUUCUCCCUUGUUACUCGAAGGAAGAGAAGAAGAACACAAGUUUUGUGUAAAACCUAAAAAAAAAUUAGUAUUACACCGGCCUAUACUAGAAAAGAAUUAAAGGAAACAAACCGGCCUACUCUAGGUGGGAAUUGUAGGAGAGGUAACUAACCUUAAGAUAACCCAAAAGAGAGAUAAGAUUAAGCAUGACCAUCACCCAAACACCUCCAUCUCAUUUAAGAGGGGUAUAAAUACAAGAGAGGAAAAGGAGAUGACUUUUUCUCUCCCCCAAAACCGACUGUAGCCCAACCUGCAACAACCCCUCUGAUAAGAACCCUCUGGGAAUUUUUAAGUGUGAACAUAUGAAAAAGUUGAAUGGUUUUGUGCAAAUGGGUAUCUCAGUCAAGAUUAACUACGAUGGCCACUUUCAAGGCCUCGUCAAAGCAAUACUGACGUCAUCAUUGUUGAAGACCACCUGAAGUUAGUAGAGGGGGUGUACAUAUUUUAUUUGGAUCCAACCUUGUUUAAUUUGGAGGUUUGUAGCUCUACAUUCACUCACUUGAAGGUUCCAACACGAUCAGUAGAAUAUGAAAAUUGAGUAAUGGCUGAUUAAGGACAAGAUGUUAGGGACUUCUAUGGAAGAAUUGGGAUGUAAACAUCUAAUUUCAUGGAAAGAGGGUUGUAGAGGGGAUGUUCCUCUUCCAUUUGCGAAAAACCACAUGUCAUUUGGUGGUCUAGAACUCCAUGGUGAGUUUUUAGAAGAUGUUAACCUAAUCCUCGCGAAUUGCCAAGGAAGAAGAUGGAACAGAGGCUGAACGAUGCAUUGUCUUGGUUAAGUCCCUAGAAAUUAGGGUUUUUAAUUUGGGAUCUAAAAUAUUUUAUUUUAGUUCUUGUUCUUCUAAUUGCUUUUAAUUGUCUAUCAAACUUUUAAUUUCAUGCAAUUUCAUUUAUGUCAAACUCAAUCAUCAACCCCAAAGUUUAGCGACCAUUUCAUCUUGGUUCUUUCUUUCUUAUUUAUGCAUUUGGAUUCUUAAUUGACUAUUAAAAUUUUAAUUUUCUUCAAUUUGACCCCUAAUUUUCUGUCUUUUACAAUUUGGUCUUUAGUUUUGAAUUUCUUUAAUCAAACCACUAAUUGGCUAUUAAACUUUAAUUUUUUUUACAAUUAAACCCGUGAUUUGACCAAUUAAACUUUUUAGAGUCCAAUUUCAAUCCUCAAACUUCAAUUUCUUUCAAUUAAAACCCAAAUUGACUUUAAAAAAUUGAUUUUCCUUGAAAUCAUGUCCUCAAUAAAAUUGAUUAAGCCUUCUAAAAUCUUUAUAAAGUCCUUACUCAUCCAAAUUGUAUCUCUUUACCCCAAAUCAAGAUAUUUUCACUGAAUGGGUCUUUCAUCAAUCAAGAUUGGAUAUCUAAUUUUGUCAAUCUUAUAUAUUCUGGUCCUUCAACUUUUCCACUUAUCAUUUUAGUCUUUCACCACCAACAUGGGCAAUCUUUUAAGUUUUCUUCAUGUGUAUCCUCUUGUAUUUUUUUUUUAUUUUUUUUUCUUUUCUUGAGUUUUGUGGGGUCAAAAAUAAGUAACAACAACUCUCAUUCCAUCUAAUUAAAUUAAUAAAUUAAUUGCAAGGUAGUAAUGGAUAUAUAUAAGUUUCAAGUUCAAAAAUGCAUUUACUUUGGGGUAUGUUAAGAAUAAUAUAAAAUAGUUUAAUAGCUUAAGUUUUUAGGUUGAGAUUGUUAUUUGACAAACUUGUGUGUGAAGUUUUUUCGUUGAAUGUUAGCAAUUGUUUUUUAUCUAGGGUUGUCAAGUUAUCUUGGUAAUAAUGUGAGGGUCAACCUAUGAGCUAGCUACGAUUUAUUAUGGUUGUUCAUGAGGUGAUUUAAAGGCUCUGUUGAUUGAAUAACUGAUUAUUCUAGAUGUCGAUGUAUUUUCUUUUUGUUAUCUUGCCAGAACUGCAUGGUUUGCUAGAUUGUAAUUUUGGUUUAUAUUUUGGGCUGUUCAAGGAAAUGGAACUACUUUAUUAGGAUUUAGUGCUGCAAUAUCUUAUAAAGUUUUACCUCUUUCCUAUACAAUAUGGUAAAUCUUGCAGUAUUUCUUGUAACAGAGAUUUUGAAGUCCGCGUUCUUGGCAUUUGAAGUUUCGAAACCAUGAUGAUGUCUGAUCAUGGUGUGGAGAGAGAAUUGUCGGAAAGUCUAACUAUGCUGUGACUUGCAAGGUUUUUCAGGAUUUGAUGGACAUGAAGGUUAUGUAUUAAAGAUCCAACAUAACAUUUUUCUCGUGGUUGGGAUUUCAUUGGUAGCGUAGACUCUUGUUUUACUAGCUAAUGAUAAUCUUGUCGGUUUAUGUUGUUAUAUAUUUGCUUUUAAGAUGCCACUAUCAUGUAAUCUGCGUAGCUUCUUUGAAUCAAUGGCUAAAAAUGUUACAUUUUUAUUAUAUUUUUCAUGUUUGUGAAUGUGAUUCUGGCCCAUACUGAAAAUAAGAAAGUGAUUGAAAAAGCCGGGUGCUUUAGUGACCCAUAAAUUACCUAUCAUUUUCUGUAGCCGAAGAUGGUAUAAUCUCAAGGUUUACAGGCAUAAUAGAAUACAACAGUAGUAACAGUGUCAAAAACAAGCACCGUGGAAUACAUAGAUACCAGCAUGGGCCCUUCCCAAAAACUGAUGCCCUUGCUCAUCUUAAACUCAAACAAACACUGAACUAGUCCAAGUCCCAUAUUACUCAACAAAGCCAUAACUAGAGCUGUUUGCUGUCUCCCGGCCAUCAUAUUACUGGCCUUAACUAAUGAUUUAAACCCACAGCACUCACUCUCCAAAACUGCCAAAACCUUGGCUAAAUUUGCUACAACCACAAGAUGCGCAAAUGCCAGACAGAAGGGUGCUCCUAGAAACCCCAGAAUUACCCGUAAUCCUAGCAUUCUAGAACAUAUUCCAUAAGCAAACAGUGUACCAGGAACUGACACCAAAGUAGCAACAAAAAUCACCCAAAGAGCAAGCAGGAUAAGUAACUCCCAAAAACAAGUUCGGAGAAGCUUAAUCCAAGCUGCCCCGCUUCUCACAAGUAACCGUCUUCCGUUGAGGUUUAUUCCAUUGUAGCUGUCUGAAACUAGUUGAACAGUAGCGGCUUGUCCAAGGAGCCCGAAUGUGAUGGAGGAGGGGAAGCAAAUGAUGAUGUGUAUUAAGGUUUUGGAGGCCAGUUGAGGGAGAACUCCAUAGUGUUCAAGUAGAUGAUCUGUUAUGCUGGUUGUUGAGAAUGGUAACUGGGGAGAACUGCGAGUGAGAAAAUGGGAGAUGAAGAGUGAGAUUGGGAGAGGAGAGAAGAGAAAAAUAGAGAUUGAAUGGAAAUGAGUAGGAUGUAGAAGCAUAACUCUAAUGGAUUCUUUGAAGAUAUGAAGAGUGUUUAUCAGAUAAAAAGAGUUAGGCACUUGUGCUGUCCUUCUGGGCAUUGUGUUCAGAGGUCCGAGAAUGGCUGUAGGUAUGUAUGUAAAUAUAAUAAUUAAGAGGCAUGUGAAAGUUUGCUGGUUAAUCAACUAAAGAAUUUGGUUGCUUCUAUGCUAAUUUAUCAUCAUUGAAGAGGUUAUAAUUGUUUCAUUGCUUCUAUGCCUUUGAUUUUAUUUUUAAGGUUUUCAAUAUUUGCCACACUUGCAAGGCACUGAUUUUUCUUCGUUUUUAAACUGUGUCUUCACGGAUGGUCCCCUUUAUUAUUAUUAUUUUUUAACCCAUGAUGAUGAUUGUCACCAAAAGGCAAAACAUUAAUUGAAUUACUUGGGUUGUUUGUGCAUCCAAUUUAUACUUUUCAGAUAUUUCCAAGUUUCAGAACAGCAAGUGGCUAUUAUUUACUUAAUUCACCCCCCCUAAAAAAAAAAAAAAAAAAAAGCAGAGAUCAACUAAGAAAUGAUUGUUCCGUGAGGGUAUUUAAGGUUGAAUACACAUGUAUAAAUAAUGAUGGGCUUGAAUGGGAUGACAUGGUUUUGUGCAACCAAGAAAUACGAUUGUGCAACUAAGAGUUUUUUCCUGAGCUCAUUACAUUUCUGCUAUAGAUGAUGGUGUUGGGUUUAUUGAAAUGCGUAUACAAGUGGAAAUUAUAGAUUUAAAAUUUGUCAGGAGUUUCAAGAAUCGUGUUAAAUAGAUGUAAAGUUUUUUAGGGUUUAUAUAAAGAUUGUCCGAAGAUUAAAUGUUCUUUUCAACUUUAAAUAUUCGCUUCAAGGAUGAGUUGUCGCAAACCACAAGUCGUUUAAAUGUUCAGCCUUUAAUAGUAAUCCACACAAAUCACCAGUGAAAAAUCUUCUAAACCCUUUUAAAAGAGGGAGAUUGUUAUAACUUAGAGUGCUAACUCUUUUCUUUUAUGUUUUAGUUGUUUCUAUAUUAUACUCUUCUCACCUUAAGAAAUAAGAGGCAUAGCAUUUUAUUUAUAAGAAAACCUGAAAAUUUUUAUAAAUAACAAAAUAUCAAUUUGCCUCUUAAAUAAUAUCACAUAUAUUAUUUUAGGAUAAUUUUAAAAAUUUAUUUAAUCAUGUCCCUACUUGAUUUUUUCUAGGUCUACAAUUGUAAUCUCAUGUAUUAAUUAUAUUCUAUUCCUUAAUUUCUAAAAUUUAUUUAUAAUCAAGUCACAAUUGAUUAAUCAUUCCAUUUUAAUUUCUAACAAAUGAUUUUUAUAUAUGUGACCCAUUAGGUUCCUUAAAGAGAACCGGAUUUGACACAAAAAGAAAAUAAAAAAAAAUUAUAAGGGAUGAAAUUGAAAAACAAUUUCAAUUAAGAAAAUGAUAAGAACAAUUAAAAAUAACAAUAAAAAAAUAAGGAUCAUAUCUAAUAUAAAAAUCAAAUGUCAAAUGAUGAAAUUAAAAGGAAUGACCAAAUCUAAUUCAAUAAAGGAUUCAAGACCAAAAACAUCACAAUUAAAAGAAUGAGGACAAAAUCUAAUAUAAAAAUCAAGUAUAAAGGAUGACAUUAAAGAGAAAAUUAACUCAAUAAAUGAUUAAUUAAAGACCAAAUACAUUGUAAUUAAAAGAAUGAGGAUCAAAUCUAAUAUAAAAAUCAAGUGUCAAAUGAUGAAAUUGAAAAAAAAAAUUAACUCAAUAAAUGAUUCGAGAUCAAAUAUAUUGUAAUCAAAAGAAUGAAGACCUAAUUUAACAUAACAAACAAAUUGCCCAACUUUUUUUUUUUUUUUUGCAAUAGUCAACAUGUUUUUCUAGGAGGGAAGAGAGGAAAGAAAGAGGGAUGGAAAAACUUGUGGUCGGAGCUCUGCUGCAAGCCAGAUGCGAACACGCUCCUCACCACCGCGAUGGGCCCUGAAAGGUUGUGUUCAGUGUUGUUUCGACGCUGCACACGUCACCUGAAUGGCAUAGAUAACACCUACUUGCUAACAAGUGCCUAGCAGGCACCAACCAUGAAUUAAAAUAAUAAUUUAUAUAUAUUAAAAGACCCAAUUACCCCUGAACCCAUAUGAAAAUUAUAAAAAUAAUAUUUUUGAGGAAGAUUAUUUUUUAAGGGCAUUUAAGUGAUUGAGUUGUACAAAAAAAGAUGAAAAACCUGAAAAGCCCCUGAAACCAAGGGAAAAAAAAUUUCUAAGGGUCAUUUAGUAAUUACACUAUGGGAAAAAAUGUCAAAAUACUGAUGAACUCUCUUCUUUAAUGUAAUUACUAAUAGGUCCCAUUAAAAAGACCUUCUUACCCCUAAACCUAAGAUUACCCACUAAGGGUAAAAUCAAACAUUCAUUGUGCAAAUCUAUCUCUUUUAGUAUAGAAUAUAAUAGCAUGGAGUAUGUUUGUUUUAUUAAAUCAUAUUAGUUCUAAACAUCAUAGUCAUUGAUUAUUUAAAUAAGAUUUAGAAAAUCUUCUCAAAACUCAUUCCAUCUUGGCUAAAGAUUUCAUAAUCAAUGUUAUUUGAGAACAAAUUAAAAAAUAAUAAUUCUAAUUCACUUAAGAUGAUGAAUCAUCUCUUGAUUACUUAAUCAAAGUAACAAAAAUGGUAAAUAUUUGGUAUAACAUAAACUAUAUGAAGGUACUUACGUGAUCAAGAGAUGAUUCAUUACCCUAAGUGAAUUAGGAAAAAUGUUUUAUUUUUUCUCAAAUAGUAUUGAUUAAGAAAUCCUCGACUAAUAUGGAAUGAGGUUUAAAAAGAGUUUUGAAUCUUAUUCAAACGAUCAAUGACUAUUAUAUAAAGAACAUAAAAGAUUUAGCAUAACAGACAUACUCCAUGCUUUAAUAUGAAAUCGAAACAAUAUUGAUGAAAAUAUAUUAAUUACACUGAGAAACCGGCCACUAAAAGAUUAAGUCAAACCACUAAUGACUUUUCUAAUAUUUGGGGGAUCAUGACACAUUGUUAAACGAUGCACCUGAACUUCAAAUAUAAAUUAAUCUAUUGUUGAAUUGAGAAUGAAUUAAAUUAUUUAAUUUAUUUAAUUCUAUUUAAUUAUAAUUAUAAGUUAUAUUUGAGUCAUUACAUUAGAAACCUAAUGGGUCACAUACAUUAAGAACCAUUAAUUAGAAAUUAAACGGGGAUGAUUUAAUUAAGUAUGACUUGAUUAAAAAUAUAUUUUAGAAAUUAAGGACUAUAAUAUAAUUAAUACAAGGAUUAUAUUUCUAGACCUACAAAAUCAAGUAAGGACUUGAUUGAGUUAAUUUUUAAAAUUUUCCUGAAUAAAUAUAUGGAUAUUAUUCAAUGGGAAAAUUGAUAUUUUAUCAAUUUAUGGGGUUUUUCAGAUUUUCAUAUAAAUAGUAAGCUACGCACUCUGAAAAAACUACAUAAGUCACAGAAUAAAGAACUAGCACUCUAAGUAUAGCAAUAUUUCUCUUCUGAAUAGGGAUUUAGGAAAUUUUUCACUAAUGGUUCUUGUGAAUUACCGUUGGUAGCUGGAUAAUUGGACGGCUUGUGAUUUGCGACAACUCAGUCUUUAAAGAAUUAUUCAAAACCGAAUAAUAUCAGAUCUUUAGGUAAUAAAUCACUAAUCAACUUUAUAUUUGUCUAACGAGAUCCUAGGGACUCUCGAAUAAUUUUGUUUUAUUGUUUUUUAUGCAUGUAUGACAUUCAGGAACCUAUCAAAUAGGUGAUCUUGCUAUAUGUAAUUAUCUUGCAGGUUAGUUCGAUGUACAUAUCAUUUAAUAAGCACCACAUAUUAGUUCCAGUUAUUUCUCAUACCUCAAUUUAUGUUAACACUUGUUUCCUUUCAUAAAUGAAUGAACAUAAUAUGUAUCAAUCUCAACACUUCUAAUUAAUAUCAAUUCCUAAUAGAAUAUUGACCAAUAACAUUUAAGAAUGAUGUUUGAUGCAAUAAGAAUCUCAUAACUAUAACAAUUUUAUAAUUUAUUUUGCAAAAGAUUUUUAUCUCAUAAACUUUAUCUUUACUAGAUUUUUUAAUUAAAUAUUAGAUUCAUUAAUCAAAUAUAAAUAAAUAUUAAAAAUAAAAUAAAUAUUUAUCAACAAUAAAUAUGUUUUACAUAAUUGCGACAUUGUAUAUUCACUUAAAGAUGCAACACAAGUAGGCAUGUAGCCUGUGCACUUACAUAGUUCUUCAUUAGGAAACAGGUCCUCAAUCCACUGUAUUUGAAUGCAGGUAAUAUCCCAAAGAUCAUCUCACCUUUUUUUGCAAUAAAAUUUCUUUUUCUUUCAUUUUCGUGAUCAUCUUCCUCGAUAAGUCUGGUACCGCCUGUUGCAAUUUUGUCUCUCCAAAUACUCCCAAAUCAGCCUUCAUGCAUGUAUCCAUUCUUCUCAUAGCUCCCAGCCACAAAGUGCUGAACCCAGGGCUGGCUGCUAUCUGCUUAUGUAAACAUCUGUAAGGAGCUCCAUUGCAAGUCUUAAGAGUCCCUUCCAUACUUCUCAUCGCCCUCUCUGCAUUCUCACGCCUUGAAUAUUCCCCCAUCUUUUCAUGCAAGUCAUCUACCAUUGCAAAUAUCACCAAGUUAAAACAAUUGAUACAGUUGAUUGGUGAGAAAUCAAGCUCCUCAGACAAAGUAAAACUUUUCUGAAGGGAGAAAAUUGUGUGGUUUCUCAUCUCUUGUUUUCCUAAAUGCUUCACCAAGUUUGACAAAUAGAUUCAUGGUAUAGUUACCAGAAACCUUUAUGUUGUCCUGUAAAGACGAAUUGCUCUCAUUGCUUACCAUGCGCUAUGAUUAGUUCCUGGAUCAGAGUAAUCUAUGUACCCAUGGAUAAGUAAAAUCACAGAAUCUGUUUGAAGGUCUAGAAUCUUCAGGUUCUUCUCCAGCGGACUGUUCUAGAGUGCAACAAAUUCAAAUUCACAAUCAAUACAGUAGUCAGUAGACAUAAUUUAUACGUUAAACAUGUUUAGGGUCAGACAUCAUGGUGAUCAAUGUCUCAACACCUUGCUCGUAAGCUUCGGAGUGUCGGCCAGAAACAGAUAACAAAUGAAGUGCUGAUGAUAUCCAGCCAAGAUGGGUUUGUAAAUUUUGUCGGUAUCCAACAAGAAACUUGCUUAUUGUAUUUGUUAUGGACUCACAACAUGUGUCAAGAAUUUCUCUAUCGGGCUUCCACAUCAAAUUUAUGCCUCUGAGAAUUUAUCAGCUCUGGAUGAAGAAAGGAGCUUCAGACAUACCUCGAAAAGUCCUAAGAUUGCCUUUUCAGCAAAUGGGAUAGGAGAAAAAGAGGAGCAACUACUAGCAAAUAAUCGUGGAAGGAAGGCCAAAAUGUCAGGAAUUUGUGAAUGUUUGCCGAAUAAAUGGCAAUUACCAAUUCCCCAACAGAACCUCGCUGUCACUACCCCUUCUACCGGGGUGUUGAAGAUCUCUACAGCGUAUUAAUGAUUAAUAAUUAACAAAAAAUAAUAAUUAAUUAAAAGAUCUGGAGCUUUUAUAUCGUUCACAACACUCCUGCCUACUCACAAAUCAUUAUUCAUUGCGUUGUUUAUUGGGAGUGCUUUUUUACACUUUGAUAUUUUGUAAUUCUCAAAUUUUAGGUUUCGGUCAUGCAUGCAACUUCAUUUGUAUCAAAUUUCAAUCCUUGAUAGUUGAGGGGAAAAAAAAGAUGUUAAAGAGGGAAUGAGAGAAGAAAAUUCAAUCGGCCAUAAAAUAAAAACGUCAAUCAUAAUGUCAUUGAAUUCACCUUGAAAAAAUGUGUUCAAUAAAGAUAGUUUAAUACUUAAAUCAUACUAGGAAAAAAAAUAUAUUAGAAUCCAAAGAAUGUGUUUUGAUUUGAUUUAAUUUUGAACUUUUAGACUAAUUAGAGUAUGUUUUUAGAUUGAAAAUGGAUUUAUGAAGUUUUAUUAGAUGUGUUUUUGAUAUCUUUUAGACUAAUUAGAGUAUGUUUUUAGAUUGAAAAUGGAUUACUUCCCGGUUUGAAUGUAAAUACAAAUUGAUAUCUUUUAAGAAUUGGUUGGAAAGUGCUCUCACUUGCUAAUAGGUUUUUGGUUCACAUGAUCUAUGUCCAAUGCUUGGGCUCUCUUGGCUCUUUCUCAAUUUUAUUUUUUAUUUAAUGAUUAUAUUUUUUAUAUUCUAAAAUAUUUUUUUUUCAAAUAAAAUAAUUAAAAUGAUAUUUUAAAAAUCAAAUGAUUAUAUAAUACUUUUCAUAUAAAAUUAUGGCUUUUACAAUAAUGUUAGCAAUUCUUUAUGAAUAAUUAUAUAGAAACUUAAUAAGGGUAUUUUUUUAACAAGGAAAAUAUCAUGAAUAUUCAAUGAAAAUAAAAUAUUUAUUUUUUAAUUGUGAAUUUUUUUAUGGAAGUUGCUUAAAUUAAUUUAUUCCUUUGUUUUUUCAAACAAUCACAUAAAAAUUAUUCAGAUGUAAUUGUUUUAAUUGUCAAAACUUGCUUUUCAAAUCAUUGUAAGCUUUUAUUAAAAAAAAAAAUGUUAUGAAUGAAAAAGAUAUGUUUUUGUGAAGAAAAAGAAAAGGAAAUGCACAAACAAGGAAAAUGAGUUUUAGCCAAAGGACAAUUUUGACAAAAAUUCAUAAGAAAUAUAUCUUGAGUCAGUAUCUAUCAAGUUUAAAUUAUUUCAUCAUCCCACCCAAAAAAUUAACUCGGGCAUUUAGACUAGUAUCUCCUAGUUCUUUCGAGCUUUGUUUAGAGAAGAUGCCUAUAGUAACCGAAUCGAUUGGGCCAGCACUCAUGCUAUAAUCGUAGAUUAGCUCUAAUCAUGUUGAAAGACUAAUUGUUGAAAGGAUUUUAAAUAGAUGUCCGAACAUUCGCCACGAUAACAGGAAUUAUCCCAACCUUUCAUCAAGGAAGCCUGCAUGCGUGCAACAUCAAUCAAUGUGUUGAAGAGAACUGAGACCCUAUUCAAGCAUCAAGGUAACGGUUAAUAGCUUGAUAAGCUCACCAGACUUCCGAUAGACCGACUUUUGAAGGUCAAAUUCAAGACAAAAUCAAUGGGGAGAAAAUAUACCAGUUCGUGCUUUGUAUAACAGGAGGGAAACUGGAAACAAGAGCAACCGAUGAACACCAAAUACAAGGUAUACUGCUCUUCCCUGUCAUUUCAGAACAUGAUAACUAUUAUGGGGAAAAAAAUCAUCCUCAGAUUAGGAUUCCUACAAUACAUUAUGCAGAUUCUAUCUACUCUUUGAGCUACAAGAUUCAUACGAGCUCUUCAACUCAUGCCACAAGCAAAACAAUGUGUCAUAAACAUCAUCAUCAUCAAAAUUACAAUCUCUGAUUCGUGAGACAUUUACCAGGGUCUUCAACCACUCUUCAUGGAGAGUUGAGAACUCAGACCUCCACUCACUUGACUUGAAACUUUCUCCAGUUGAAUUUUUCAUCAGUUGACCAGCAUGUGAAGCAGCUUCAACAACAUGCUCUGGAAUGCCAGCCAUAGUUGCCACUUGCAAUCCGUAGCUCCCUGGGCAUGCUCCAGAUGCAAGCCGGUACAAGAAGACAAGGUCCCGGUCGCUUUUAGAAUAGCUUUCAGGUUUUGACUUGAAUGCACAAGCCAUGUAUUGUAAUGAAACAUGUGGAUGAGAAGCAAAUUCUUUUGUGAGCGGGUGAUAGUGUGUUGCAAAAAGCAAUCGACAGUUUAUCUUCUCAACAAGAUGGCGGAAUACCUGCAUGAAUGAUCAGAAGCAGUAUAAUUUGCUAACGAAACCACUUCAAUUAUAAUAGGCGAAUAAAGUUUUGAAACACAACAGAUAUAUGAAGCUUGAUAUUAUUACAGGUAAUAGUGUCGUAAAAUAGAAGAUUUUAUAUUAGGCUGUUAACAUUACACUUCCAUAAAAAAGUUGAAACUAUUUCAAAUAUACCACACAACACUACAAUCACAACAUACUUUAAUUAUCACAGCGUGCAACUAGUCACAUAACUACAAGUAUUUGGAUUAUUAACAAAACACUAAAAGAUGUGUUGCUUUUAAUUUUCACCACUUUACAAAGUAUUAUUCAUUUUAAUAUUGCUUUGUUUUUGUUCAUCAUGUCUGAAACAAAACCCGUUGCUACCCAAGCCUCCAAUAACAAGCCACACUUAGUCCAAAUCACCACCAUCUGUCUUAAUGGUGAUAACUUGCAUUGGUCUCAAUUUGUGCGCAUGUAUAUUUAGAGGCAAGAGGGAAUAGGUUAUUUGACCAGUAAAAACAACCAACAAGGAAGGAUCCAACAUAUGCUACCUAGGAUGCUAAAAACUCCAUGUUAUGACGUGGCUUGUGAACUCCAUGGAUGAAGAUAUCAACUCCAACUAUGUGUUAUUCAACAACAGAGAAACUUUGGGAUAAUGUUUACCAGAUGUAUUCUGAUCUGGGUAAUCAAUCCCAGGUAUAUGACUUGACUUUGAAACUUGGUGAUAUCCGGCAAGGAGAAAACAAUGUCACCAAAUACUUCAACACACUAAGACAAUUGUGGAAAGACCUUAACUUUUUCAAUGAUUAUAAAUGGAAAUCUACAUAUGACUACAACCACUGCAAGAAAACGAAGGACUUUCAAAUUUACGAAUUCCUCGCUGGACUCGAUGUUGAGUUUGAUGAAGUUAAAAGGGAGAAUAAUAGGUAACAAACUCAUAACUCCAAUUAGCAAGGUAUUUUCAAAAGCUAAAAAAAUAGGAGAGUCAUGAGGAGUCAUGCUUGGAAAACAAGCAACUGGAAGUCCUAUUGAGAACUCUACAUUGGCUAUGCUAAUGCAAAUGUGAGUAGGAUUAUUGCAAAUCACUGUUAGGUGGAUUAAAAAUCUCACAUGUGUGACUAUUGUUACAAGCCACAUCAUACACAACAAAACUUGUUGGAAGCUCCAUGGAAAGCCAUCUAUUUGGAAAAGUAGCAGACCUGGUGAUGAACCCAACGUGUGGUUCCUCCAUAAAUAAAGUUGAGAAAAGCCUUUUUAGUAGAGUAGAUAUACCAAAUUCUACAAUUGUUACAUUCCAAUCAUCAUCUAGUAUUCCUAGUGUUUCCUUGGCUAAAAUAAAUAGCCAUCUUGUGCCUUAUAUCUUGUUGUUCAGAUUCUGCUUCUUGGAUUAUUGAUUCAGCCGAUCAUAUGACUAGUCAUUCUCAUCCAUUUACAAACUAUUCAUCAUAUCCUGAUAAUGAGAAAAUCAAAAUUACAGAUGAUAAUUUCUCAUCUAUUACAAGAAAAAGGUUAAUAAUAAUUUUUUAGAGCAUAAUUCUUAAAUUUGUCCUCCAUGUUCCUAAACUAACCAAGGAUUGUAAUUUUCAUGUUAUUUUUUAUUAUUCUAUCUGUAUAUUUCAAGACCAGAACUCAAGGAAUGUGAUUGGUAGUGCUAGGAUGAUAGACGGUUUUUACUACCUUGAUAACAACUUCAAUAAUAAUAAAAAAAAAAAUCUCAAGGCUUUAAUAGUAUAAAUUCAAUGUUUGUUUGUGAACAAAUAAUGCUUUGACAUUAUUUAUUGCUGAAAGAGAACUAGGACAUCGUAGUUUUCUCUAAUCUUAAACAUUUAGUUCCUGAGUUGUUUAAACAUUUGGAUUGUUUAUCUUUUCAAUGUGAAAGUUGUCAUUUAUCAAAAAAUCACCGUGUUCCGUAUAUUUCAAAACCCUACAUGCUUCAUAAUCUUUUUAUUUAAUUCAUAGUGAUGUGUGAGAUCCUUCAAAAUUCACUAUUGUAUCUAGAAAAAAAAUGAUUUGUUACAUUCAUAGAUUAUCACACAAGAUUAUAUUAGGUUUAUUUGAUGAGUGAAAAAUUUGAGGUAGUAACAUUGUUUAAAGAUAUAAAUCAAAUGAUAGAAAACCAAUAUCAGACAAGAAUUAUCAUACUUUAUUUAUUUGGGAAAUUUUUUGAAAGCAAAAAGGAUUCAACAUCGGUCUACAUGUCGUGACACUCUUAAGCAAAAUGAAAUUGUUGAGAGAAAAAACAAACAUUUACUUGAAGUAGCUCGUGAAUAUUCCAAAAUACUUAUGUGAUAAAGCUGGUUUGACGACAUCUUAUUUGAUUAAUAAAAGUUUUUAGUUGCAAUCUUUGUCACAUACUAAGUAAAUUCCAAUCUAAACUUGAUCCUAAAGCUGAAAAAUAUGUUUUCAUCUAAUAUGCCUCAAACAAAAAUGACUGCAAAUCUUAUAAUCCUUAAACUAUGAAAAUUCAUGUACGUAUGGAUGUUUCUUUUAUAGAAAAUCAACCUUAUUUUACCAAAAAUCAUCUUCAGGGGAGAAAAAAAGAAAAGAUGAUGGUUUUUUAAACAUAUAUGUUCAAUUACCUAUUACAAUUAUGAACAAUACGAUUUUCUCAGCAUCACAAUCCCAGGAAAAGGAUGUUCAUGAUAUUGAAAUAAAUGGAAAAACUAGUCAAUCAUUGUUAUGUGCAAGUGUAUUGCAAACAGGGGAAGUAUUACAAAAGGAUCAAACUUAUCCAUAUACCGAGCUUCAAGUUUAUACUAUAAGAACUCAUACGAAAGGUAAAGACUUUGCAUAUCAUCCCUACACAAGAUCAACCAAAAUUCUCUGAGAGAUGGUCCUGAGAAUAUUCCAUGUAUUCUUACUUCUAUUGUUCCUUUUAAUAAUGAGCUUAUAGACCUAGACAUUCCUAUAGCUACUAGAAAAGGUGUUUGAUCCUGUACCAGUUAUCCUAUUACUAAAUAUUUCUCUUACCAAAAACUUUCUAAUAAUCAUAAAGUUUUACCUUUAUGAUAUCUCAAUUGUUUAUUCUAAAAACUUCUUAGAGGUAGUUGACUUGCCAAUGAAUGCUCUAGACAAUCCAAAUUGAAAGUUAGUGGUUAUGGAAGAAAUGAAUGCUCUAAACAAAAAUAGCACUUUGAGUAGUUGACUUGCCAAGGCAAAUGAAGAAAGUAGGGUGCAAUUUAGUGUUUACAAUUAAAUGCAAAGCUGAUGGGAGCAUAGAAAGGCACAAGGUAAGGCUAGUGGCAAAACACUUCACACAAACAUACAUUGACUAUCAUGAUACAUUUGUUCAACCUAGCCAAAAUAAACUCAAUUCAGGUGUUAUCUUCACCGAUGAACUUUAGCUGUCCCUUACAUCAAUUGAAUGUUAAAAAUAUUUUUCUAAAUAAAGACUUGGAAGAGAAAGUCUUUAUAGACAUACCACUUGGGUAUGAAGAGAGAAUUGACUAACAUAAAGCCUACAGACUAAAAAAAUCUUUAUAUGGCCUUAAACAAACUCCUACUGAUGGUUUGAACACUUUGGAAAGGUUGUAAGACGUCAUAGUUAAUGUCUAAGUCAAGCAGAUCAUACCAUGUUCUAUAAACAUUCAAAGAAGGUAAAAUUGCUAUCUUGAUUAUUUAUGUAGAUGACAUAAUCUUGAUAAGUGAUAACAAUUUCGAGAUGGAAAGACUUAAGAAGAAACUUGUUGAAGAUUUUAAGAUCAAAGAUUUGAAGCUCCAACCUGCUAAAACUAAGGUGGUGAAUCGAGAGCAAUUGCACAUAGGAUUUGUGAAGUUGUGUGGAUUAAAAGGCUUUUACAAGACUAGAAGAUUCUUAACUCCUCACCCACAAAGGUAUAUUAUGACAAUAAGACAACUAUCUCAAUUGCUCAUAAUCCAGUUCUUCAUGAUAAAAUAAAGCACGUGAAAGUUGAUGAACACUUUAUCAAAGAAAAGAUUAAUAAUGGAAUGAUUUGUAUACUAUAUGUUCCAACCACCGAGCAAGUUGCUAAUAUACUUACAAAGGAACUUCACAAAAAUUUAACUAAUUAAUCAGCAAGCUAAUAAUGGAAAAUAUCUUCAGGCUAGCUUCAGGAGGAAUGUUGUAAAAUAGAAAAUUCUAUAUUUGGUUGUUUAUAAAUUAAAAAAUAAAUUUGGUAUUAAUCAACUCCUUAAAUUAAAGAUCACUUCUAAUUAGGAUAUAUGAUUUGAUUUGGUUCUAAUGUCUUGUAUUCUCUUUUAAAUAGAAACCUUGUGAAUUAAAUCAAUAAACUGAUGUCUUCAAAUAGAUCUCUCAGUUCAUAGAAUAGAGGAAGACUUUUUCGGUCACCCAAAAAGUGAGGUAGGUGUCCAAGUGGGUGGAUGCAGAAGACAGCAUUUCCUAGCCACAACAUUUCUAACGUUACAAAUUAUUUGUAUCAGCACAUGUCGAUGUGUAUAGAAACUAGAGUUGUACAUGCAACACAAGUUUGUCUAAGGCCAAAACACACAAAUCUAUGACCAUAAUGACCAAAAAAUGCUCCAAUAUGCAAGAAAUAUAUUUGCAUUAUUAUGUACCAGUUACCUACCCAUCUCAAGUGGAUAACCUAGAAAAGUAUAACUUGACUAGAACCAAGGAUGCGAACAUCCAUAGAGAUGAGAAAUAAUAAUUUAUAUCCUUAAGGAGUUUGAUAUAGAAUACGUGUUCUUAGUAAUGGAAUAAAAAGGGCAGGUAAAUCAAGGAAUAAUAGAUCAAUAAAAAGAAAUCUCACAGCAUAUGCAAUGGCGUAUCCAUCAUAAGUGCUUGUUCCUCGACCCAGUUCAUCAAGAAGGACAAGGGAAUCUUGAGUGGCAUUUUGAAGCACCGAAGCUGUUUCUGUGCACUCAAUGAAGAAUGUACCUAGAAAAAUGACAAGCUCGUUUCUAUUAUCAAACUCCGGAAUUAAGAAGCACAUAAGCAAACACUCAUUAAUGCAUGUGAUUGGGUCACAUCUAUUUGCAUAAUCCUCACUUUCAACAUUUAAAGGACUCUGGGGUCCAGAAGUGAGAGUGAGACAUCCGGGAUUAUAGGCCAAGUUAGUAUGUGGGUGCCUUACAUUCCACAACGGUUUCCUUUCUUCUACUUUAAGCAUUUUUGAAAUCAUAUGAUAUAUCCUAUUUUAAAUUGCCUUGAAGAGAUUUUGAAGAUUUAGAUGGACAAGAUCCAUUAGAACACAACCAUUUACAUCAAAUCUAUAGUAGAAUUACAACCAGAGUAAAACAACCACUGCACAAAACUCUAUCAACCUUAGAUUCACCACUGCUGUAUUUAUAGGCAUUAUGAAUCCUUUCUAAUAACUUAAAUCGAGGAGAAAUUUAGAGCAAGCCAACUAUGACAUAGAUUUAAACAAUUUUAAUUUUUUAAAAAAAAAACACUAAACAAAUCCAUAACACUGUAUUUUACCAUCAAGAAGCCAUUUAUGACCUUCAGAUGAAAAGCAGGAUUUCAAAUAAAACAGUCAACACUUACCAGAAUUUAUUCUUGCAACAUGAUAAUCAUGAUUUGGACCACAAAAGUGCAUAAACUAAAAAAUAUAAAUUUACAUCAAGAAAGUGAAUUUAGAUCACAUAAAGAGAAGCAAACUUCCAAGUGAAACCAGUAAACUGUUAUCUUGCUACAACUUACUCUCGCCUGUCAUUAUUCGAUCAGUGGCACCAAGCCGUGUAAAAAUUAUGUCAGCAAGUGAGAGAACACACUUCUCACCGGGAACAAAACAACCAAGCUGCAAAAUUGCCAUAGAAUUAAAAACUAUAUGGUUAAAAUAUGCCAAAGAAAUGAAUUUUCUAGGGAUGUAGGAAGCACAGAAGUAAUUUUUUCAAGCUAGGUCUAAAGUCAAACCUGUGCUAGUAUAACAGCUAGACAUGUGGCACGCAGAAGUGUUGAUUUUCCACCCAUAUUUGGUCCAGUCAGCAACACAGUGCGGGGAUGUUGGCUAUCUGAAUCCUCACCAAGGAACACAUCAUUUGGGACAGGCAAUCCAUUCUCUCCGAGAGCAAAUGGGUGCCAUAACCCUUUAAUCUUAAGUACAGGCCCCCCUUCCCCCUCACAGAAAGAAAUGGAUUUUGAAUCAGGCAAAAUAACAGGUCUACACAUAGCUCCACAUGACAUGCUUGCUGUGACUGUGAAAGAUCUAAGCACAUCAAUACAAUUGAUUGCAUGAAUGACUUCACCCCACUGUGCAGCUUUCUCAAUAAAUAACUCAAUCAGCACAGAAAGCAUUCCAGCCUCUGAAUCUGUCACAUCACGAUUCUGAUACCAAAUACAGUAUUAGUAAUGUGCAAAAGUAGGCAUAAAAACAGAAUGCAAUAUCAUCACCCACAUAAAGAAAAUAAACACUUACAAGAAAGUACAGAUGUUCCAAAAAGGAAUGGCCAUAUUGUUAAACAGUCAAUAUAAGCCAAUGUGUGGUGUGUGUGGUGUGAGAGAGAGACAAAGAGAGAGACAUUUUCUAACAGAGAAAUACAGAAUUCCACAGAGAUGCAUGCUCAGUUAUCAAGGAUGCCAAAAGUCCUUUAUUACUGCAGAACGUAAUAAUCUGAGGGGGGAAGAAAUCAAGACCGAAUGUUGAACUGUGAAAAAGAAAGCAGCAGCAGCUACACACCACAUUGCAUGUACACAUGCAUAACUAUAAUUUUAAUAGUAGCCUCGAAUAAAUAAAUUAGUAUAUAAUAAUUAAUAUAAUUUCAUACAAAAGAAUACAUCUGCAUCAUCUCAAUUAGAAACACAAGGAUCCAAAUGGGGAGAAAGGGAAAAACAUUGGUUGAUAUAUCCAAAACACAAACCAGAAAGAAGCAGACCUGGUAGUUUGGGAAUUCACUAUCUACAGCUGCUUCAAAUUGCACAAGGAAUUUUUCAAGCCCAUUACUACCAAGAAGCUCUGGAAGUUUAAAAUUUUUUGAUAAUGAUGAAAUUAGUUGCUCUUCCUUCAGUAAUAGCAAUAACAAAUCCAUUCCAUUCCGAAGCCCUUUCACCAGAGACCCGAACACUUUCACCUACACAACACUUACUGCCACUUCAGUAGAAGGUUCAGGACUAACUAGAGACUUGCUGAAUUGUGACACCCUAUGAAAAUCAUCGUACAUGUGCACUCAAAGAGAUUUUUACAAGUAAAGAUUUGAAAUCAAAUAAGACAACUUACUCGUUGUUUCAACAUUUUUUUGCUAAUCAAGGGCAGUGCAAGAGAACCUGAUGCCUGAAAGCUAACCUUAACUCGCCCAAGCAUUCUUUCUAAAUCUGGAAGCUUGCGAAGAUAUUGAGCAAUAACUAACAUAAUUUCUGAACGAGCCAUUAGAUUUUCAAUUACAUCAAGCCUAUUAUUAAUGCCUUCAACAUGUUUCAGUGGAUGGCAGAUCCAAUUCCUCAAAAGCCGCUUACCAGAUGAUGUCACGCAGUUAUCAAGAUAGUUAAACAAAGUACCUGAAAUCACGAAGAGAAAAGGCUUUCAAUACUUAAUUUAAAACUCUUAAAAAUCAAAACCAUAGAUUUGAGGAUGAUGAUAAUUUCAUGGGAGAUCAAGGAAUGAACACACUGGCCUGAUGAACCACCAUCAGCACUGUUACUAAAAACCUCCAGAUUUACUAGAGUCUGCCCAUCCAUUCUAAGGCAACCCUUAUAAACUUGGUAGGGUAGAAUAUCUGCAUUCCUUAAAACAUCAUCAAACUGCACAAAAGAAAAGGCACAGAAAUCUUUAUAAGCAACAAAUAAUCAGGGAUCUUAACAGUUAAAAGGCCAACCAGAGAAGGGAACGGAGGAGGUUGACAGGCAAGCAUACCAUCAAUCUGGAUAGAUGACCAAUAAGCCCGCCAAGAGCACAUAGAGAUAUAUCCUGGUGCAUUAUACUGUCAAGUGCAUGGUUCCAUGGAUUUGUAGACCAUUUAAAGUAAUCCUUCGAUUGAAUCAAAUUUUUAACUUCAGAAGCAUCCACAAAAUCAGUGCCUGGCAGCACUGGUGACAAUUGCAGUGCUGUAGAACCUGCAAGGAAUGGGUGAGGGAAAUGAAAAGGUGAGGUUGUGCUCCUCAUGAUAGCUUGGAUCAUAACUUACAUAUCCUUUUAAUGACAGAUUCUUCAGCAAUAAACCAAAUGUAGAAAGACUUAUUUAAGAGAUCAAUAAUGAAGGUGGCAAAUUAUUAAACAGGAUCACUUUAGAAAGGAGACAUGUAAAUUUAAAAUAAGUCAUGAGAUGUAUAAUUGGAGUAUGGUUAGACUACGUUCACCAACCAGGAGUAUGUUAGCUGGCUACCACAGUUGGACCUCACAUUGAUCAACUAACUUGUGCAUCAAAGCAAACAAAGGAGACUGUCAAACAUUUAUUCAUAACCUUGCUGGAGAAGUUGCAGCAAAGGAAUUCACAUUGAUUUGAGCAAAACACCCAAGAUAAUAAUAUGCAUGCAGGAACAGCAUCCCAUCGAAAUACAUAAAUGCAACUUGUUAUCUAGUAAGACUGCCUAAAGGCCUUCAUGCAUAGAGAAAGUGCACAGAGUAUAAAAUAGCUAAACCUGAAAUUACUAAAAAAUAGGACAUGAGUUACUAUCUUUACACAAGGCUACAAAGACUAAACAAAUCACAUACUAAUCAUCGAGCAUAUUUUAUACAUCCAACAAAUAUCCAGCAAGUUUCAAGUUGGUCCAGACAACUGUCUUUCAUUUUCUAGAAGAUUUUUACAAACAAAUUAUAGUGAAAAGACAAUAAUGACACAGGAAAUAAGGAAAGAUAAGAAGGAAGAUCAAGCUAAUCUAGGAAAAAAAUGUGCAAAAUAACAAAAUACAUUCUGGCAAAUGGAAAGUUCAGAAGGCAUGUACUCAUCCAAGGCAGGUGUACAAAGUCUUCCCUUCUUAUCAAGAAAUACCAGUUAAUAUAUUUGCAAGUGCAAUCCUUAAUCUUAAAUGUAUAUGAUAUAUCUUGUCAUAUGAAAAAGGUCGGUAUAAACUUACCUAUUAAUGAGUACUUCCUAAGUUCUUUCUGAGCGCCUCUGGAAAGCUCUGCAACAUAGAAAUCCUCAAGCUUUAAGCUAGGCAAAAAAAAAAAAAAAAACAAUCCAAGAGCAAGAGAACAAAAACAAGAAAAGGCAUGUACCUCUAUUUUCAUAUAUGACUUCCUUAGGUGAAAUCUAUAAUCAAAUCACAGUAAGAUAUUCAAAGGUUAAGUACUUGAGAGCACACAGAAUCAUUAAACAAACAAGAAAGAUAAAGGAGCAUACUUGCAUCAAUAAUGCCCCCAAAGCAGCAUGUGACGCAUCAUCAUUGAUUGAUCCAACCCAAACUCGUAGAGCAGCACAAUCAACAAAAGCAAACCCAUAAGCAGUUGCACCAUUAUCCACCCCAUAGUUUCCCUAAAGUUAUCACCCAAAGGAAUAACCAGAUAGGAUAGCACAAUAAACUUUCAAGAAAUGCAUAAAUAACAAGGACCAUUUAAAUGAAUAGAAUAACAAAUGAAACCAAAUUUCUAAUUCUCCACGCUGGGCAAGUUUAUAAGAACAAGAAAUGGUAGAAAAUAAUAAAGUCAACUGCAUAUCUAACAUACUACGUGGACACAAAGUAAUCAAAACAUUUUAAACAGACUGUUCAUUUUAAGUAGUGAUAAAGAAGAAAAAUUGCAUCAUAACAAUUCAGCAAUUCGCUCUUCUAACUCAUGAUUUAUCAAUAAUAGCCUGAUAUCAGGAAAAUGUGAGUUUUUAACAAAAAAAUUGUCCUCCAGUUAAAUGAUGCGAUCACAGAAUAAGCUCGCACAAGAUUAUUUUAGCAAUAUUUUGAAAUUGAAGAUGGGCAAAUUGCAACAAUUUGAGAGAGUUCAACACGAAAAAUGUUGCUGCAGCAGAAAACUGUAAGAAGGUAAUCAUUACAAACCUCUUUUAUGGCAAGAAGGUGAACAGCAUCAGGCCCCAUAUUAUGUCCAGUUGUGGUUGAUGGGGUGACAACUUGUACCAAUUUUCUUUGGAUUACCUGAAAUUCAACAUCAAUGAUAAAACAAGGAACUCAGAUAGUUACCCACAUCAUGGCAUUGAUUUACUAUUUCAGUUUCAUUGAAUUAAUGAAAACCACAAAUGAUGCAUGGUGUUGAGAACAUAAUCUAUAAGAGAUGUCAUAUCUGUCUGAAUGGUUGAAUCAACAAGAAUAAUUGAAAAACAAAAAUCUAUCAGAAACAUGUCUCCUUUAAAGCUGCACGGAAAACUCACAGAAUUUGCACCCCUAGAUUUUGCUUGAUCAGAUGUUUCCAAUUGCUCCACUCUUCCAACUUUAUAUCUUGACAAAGAGCACAAAAGCAAUAAGUGAACUGCAAAUGUUCCGGACAAAAAAUGUGGAAAGAGAACAUGGGAUUGGCUAAAUCUCAGCUAACUACUACGAUUUGAGUGAAAAGAUCUUGUUUCAUAUCUUCAGCCAAUAUAUGAUUAGCAUAAACGAUGCAUAAUGCAAGUUGAAAAAUGCUUUUCUUUUCAUUGUGCUUCUUAGAUACAGGAAGAAAUGAAGGAAAUAAAAAAAUUUCCAUGACAGAUGGCCAGUCUGGUCUACAUGCUGGCUUCUUACAAUUUUUGCAUAACAUUUUGCUGUAUUUAAGAAUAAUAUUAACUACAUAAAUAGAGAUAUAAAACUAGUAACAAUGAAAUCUUUCAUUCAUCUUGAAGGCAUGACAUAACAAUGAGAAAAAAGGAAAUUAUGGUUCAGAGACAAGGUCUGCUGCUCCCCUACCCACGAGCUACCAGCUUUUCAACAGCAUCGUCAAUCCCACUUUCAGAUAUACCAACCUGAUCACAAGGCAGAUGCUAUUAAAUAAAACACAUAUGCAUAGAACUGUAAUUGUAGCAAUUAAAAUUGGCUUUUAAAUUAGACAAAUUUAUCUUUGAAGUCACCUGCCGACAUUUCCCCACACCGCUUAAUGUCAUUUUCCAAUCAAGCUCUUUGUGACCAAUUUCAGCAUCCAGUUCAUAGAGCUCAUAGAAUUUUCCCUGUGUUUCAUCAGUCACAAAAACAUAUUGGUCUGAUUUAAGAACCCAAAACUUCAGAAGACACUAAAAGAAAGUUCUAAUUUUCAACCAUGACACACAUUAAUAAAUUUGUAAAUAUAAAUCUCAGUCAACAGAAAUGUGUGUGUGUGAAUGAGUGAGUGAGUGAGAGAGAGAGAGAGAGUUAAAAUACAAGUUACAGUUCAAGCACCGCAUGCCAACAUUGGCUGCAUGAUUGCGGUGGCAAUGCCUCUUUUUUCCUAUUGGAUCAUACAGCCAAGAUGCACAUCCACUAUUAAUGAGAAAGCAGAAAUUUCAGAAGAAAAUGAUGCAUGAUUAGCAUUAAAUCAUUACCCAAAACUUCAGAAGUCACUAGAAGAAAGUUCUAACUUUCCACCAUGACACACAUUAAUAAAUUUGUAAAUAUAAAUCUCAGUUAACAGAAAUGUGUGUGUGUGUGUGUGUGAGAGAGAGAGAGAGAGAGUUAAAAUACAAGUUACAGUUCAAGCACCGCAUGCCAACAUUGGCUGCAUGAUGUUAGUUUUGCAGUGGCAAUACCUCUUUUUCCCUAUUGGAUCAUACAGCCAAGAUACACGUGGUAUAUGCUCCACUAUUAAUGAGAAAGCAGAAAUUUAAGAAGAAAACGAUGCAUGAUUAGCAUUACAUCAUUCUUUUGAAUUGAAUUGGUUGCUGAUGAUGUUUAUUGCAAGUCCAACCAUUUAGCAAGGAAACAGAAAUUUUUCAGAAAAAUAAGAAUGAACUGCUUGCUGAUGAUGCUUAUUGCAUAAGAAAACAGAAACUUUUCAGAAAAAAUAGAAUGAAUAGCUGGGUCAUGCUUUAAUGUAACCUUAUGAUGUCAAAAAGUUUCAGCAACUUCAAAAGUAUCAGAAACUGCAGCAAUACUACUAACCACUUUAAAGAAAAGUAGAACAUCCAUGUACUGAGAUUUGACAGUCCAGUAUUGCUUUUGAGAAGCUGACAUUUUCUUCAAUGCAUCAGGUGGUAAGUACAGCGUCUUUUUGUCAUAGAGAGGAUCAUUGGGCCUUCUCCUAUUGGCAUCCCUGAUUUGGGCAGGGUCAAGCCAUUCAAACUUGCUUGUUGAAUUAGAUAUUUCCUCAUGAUUUUUGAUCAAGGAAGCUGGGUCCUGUAGUGGUUUCACUCUUUUGCUAGAGUUUAGGAAGGAACAACCAUUCUUAUCCUCAAACUUAGGAACGUCCUCUAGAAUUCUCUUCAGACGAGGAACUAGGGGUCGCAUGCCUGGUGUAUGUGGCCCAGGAACAUCAUUUACACUUUCAAUAUUCAAGACACUCGUUUGAUCAACCAUGCCACUGGAACUAAAACCAUUGUCUUUCUCAGAGUACAGUGUAUCCAUUCCAUGCUGAGGCAAUUCUUUUGGGAUAGUAAAUGUAACAGAUGUAGAGCAAACAUUAGCAGAAUGAACCUGGUUCCUGCAUCAAUUUGCAUCAGUUACACCCACUAUGAGAGAAAUUUGAGCCAGCAAGGUACAAGGACACAUAUUUAUCACUCAUAUACUAUUAGCGAUCAUCAAAACAAACAGAAAUUAGUCAAAAAAGGAAGCCUAUCACAUUAGGGUUCGAACACUAAAUCCUGAAACUAUUUCAUAAAUGUUCACAACACAAAAUCAAUCACAAGAUAGAAACUCAUUGUAUUUAAGAAAUGCCCUUAAAACAUAUUUGUCCUCAUAGACUCCACAAACUCGCUUCACUUAAUAACUUGCAACUCCAAAAUUUACUUCAAAUUUCAACAAUCAUUUCUAAAAUCUCCUCUCGUGAUCCGCACUCUUUUAGGAUUUCCAUUUGCUGGGAGUAUUCUUGAAAUAUUAAAAUUAACAAAUGAACGGCUUCAGUUCAGCUUCAACAAGAAGACUAAUUAUAAAAUAUUGAAUUAUUUUUUUAAAAAAAAUAUUCCCUUCAUAAUUACAUAGAUAAACAACAAUUCAAAGAUUUUAAUUAAUAUUCGAAAAAAAAAUGUUACCUCCCAUUAGGUUUUUCUCUGUCAUCGACCUUAACGAACUUAUGCAUUAUGCUCGAGAAAAGCGAAGCAACUUUGGCCUCCUCGUUCUCCUUGAUGUUCACCGGUAAUAUCUGACGUGGCACCUUUUCUGGUGGCGUGUCAGUUCCUCUAAUUUCAAUAGACGAGUCCACCGGUCCAUGAAUCGCAGGUUGAGACACGUUUUGAUUAUGUUGCUUCGCCGAGAACAGAGGAGCUUGCCGACCAUCGGUCCUUUCUCCGGCGUCGGAGCUCUGACUGGGCUGCGAGGGUUUUUGGAAGAACGAGAGUAUCGAUUUUUGGCGCGGCAUUUUCGUACUCCUAGAGAGAAUCAACCUUUAGAGAUGUGAAAUUUUUAUUAAAAUAUAUGGAGUCUAUGACUCUAUACAGUAGAAAACAAUUGGCGCCAAAAUCUGCCCCUUUCGGCUCUCAAAAUUUUCAAAGGAGAAAAUGACGCCCUGAUUUUAGAUUUCACUGGGUGGUUAUUGUUGAUCUGAUUUUCAUCGCUUCUUCUAAUACGGUCCUAUUUUUUACCUUUUAAAGGAUUAAUAUGGUAUUGUGUUAACUUUGUACAAGUAAACAUAUAUCUGCAUUUUAAAUUUUAUUUUUAAAAUAAUUUAUUUUUUAUUCAGAUCUAUAUUUAAAUAUUUUUUAAAAUUAUAAUUAAAAAUAUUUUUCUUAAAAUAUAACCACCCAAAACACAUGCUUAAAAGUUCAAUCUUAGUAUAAAAUAUAACCACGCAAAACACAUGCUUAAAAAUUCAAUCUUAGUAUAAAAAAAACUAUUUAAAAUUAACACUCUCAAAUUAUUUUAUUGUAGGACUUCAACCACUAAAUUAUGGUUUAUUUUGAUUUAAAAAAAAUCAUGAAGCAUUGGAGAGUUGAUUUAUUAAUAAUAAUUAUAUACAAAUUUAAGACAUUUUAGAAUAUUGGUGGAUGUUUAUUUUUAUAACUUUCUUUAACUUAUAUCUUUCAACUUAUUUUAUUUUUUUACAUUUUACAAAAAAAAGUGCAGCACGGGUCGUGUUAUCUAUAAUUCUAUAUAAAAUCACAAAUUAUUUAACAAAAUUUAUUUAUUUAUUUAUAUUUAAUACUAACAUUAUAAUAUAAUAUAAUAGUAAUACAUAAAUUUUAACUAACCACUAAUUAAGAAAAAUAAGUUUUAAAAUAUUGCAGACUUCUAAAAAUUAGAUCAAUCUCAUUUUUAUUUUUAUUUUCGUAUGAAAGAUUAAUAUAAAAUAGCAUGCGAGAAAAAUAGUUUAACAAAACAAGAACGAGAUGUUGAUGCAAGUAGCACCAAUUAAGAUUAAUGACGUGGAAAAAGCAUACAUCUCAAAUCAAGACUUGAGCAAUGACAUUCAACCAUGUCAUAGAAUACGAGAACAUGAAAACUUACGAUCAGCAAAGAUAGCCAAUAACGAUGAGCCAAAUCAUCACAAUCGGUGAAAUAAAGAGAAAUAUAUUAGAAUAUCAUAAAUUGAGGGGUAAUAUAAUCUCUUCUUAAAAAAUACUUAACCAAGCAUAACUUCAUUUAUUUUCUAGAGAUGUAGACUGUACAACAAAAAGGCAAUCAAGCACAAUUAAUCACAUAAACAAAACAGGAACAGGUUGAUGCUAUGAAAAAACAACCAAACACAAUUCAUUACAAAAUUUAAGUGAGCUAAAGAUUUAAGUUGAGCAGUCAAAAGACUGGUUCGAUAGCAACAAACUUUUCCACCAAUUAAAAGAUGAUUUGUGAGAAGGUGGCUGUAUAUCAAAACCAUGUAAAGAUACAUGUAUAAUAUUUAAAAACAUUAUACAAUUUUUUACAUAAAAAUUGCACAAGAUAUAAUCCUCAAUGAAGUCUAGCAAGACUUCAGCAAACAGAAACCCAGUAAAAUUCUAAGCCUAACAGGGCUGAAUUUGAUUUUCAAAGCCUAGCAAGACUUAAUUUAAUUUUCAAAGUCUAACAAGGUUUCGAGAAAGAAGAAAUGCAACAAAGUUCUAAAGCCCAACAAGGCUUAAGACAAUCUUAAACUCAGCAAGGUUUAGCAAGAAAGAGUUCCCGACAAAAAAGACCUAGUAAGGUUCUGAGUCUAGCAAGGCUUUAUUGAUUAAAAACCUGGCAAGGUUUUGAAAAAGAAAAAGUCUAACAAAACUCCAACAAAAUGGACCCAGUAAGGUUUUGAACCCAGCAAAGCCCUCAAUAAUUAAAAACUCAGCAAGGUUUUGACAGAGAAAGAGUUCGGCAAAGCUCCAACAAAAAAGACUCAACAAGGUUUUGAGCCAAAGAAGGCUCUCAUUGAUUAAAAACCCAGCAAGGUUUUGAUAUAGAAAGAUUCUGGCAAGACUCUAGCAAAAAGAACCUAAUAAGGCUCUCAACAAUUCAAGACUCCAACAAAAAAGACUCAGCAAGAUUUUGAGCUCAAAAGGGCUCCCAACGAUUAAAAACUGGCAAGUUUUUUACAAAGAAAAAGUUUGGCAAGACUCUAGCAAAAAGGACCUAGCAAGGCUCCGAUGAUUGAAAAUCAAUAAGGUUUGGACAAAGAAAAAGUCCAACAAGAGUCCACAAAAAAGGACCUAGCAAGGUUCUAAACCUAGCAAGGCUCCAACGAUUUAACCAACAAGGUUUUGACAAAGAAACAGUCAGACAAAACUCCAACAAAAAGGACCUAGCAAGAUUCUAAACCUAACAAGGCUCCUAACUAUUAAAAAUCGGUAAGGUCUUGAAAAAGAAAUAGCCCAACAAGAUUUCGGCAAAAAAGACCUAUCAACGUUCUAAGUCUAGCAAGGCUCAAUUUGAUUUUCAAAACCCAUUAAGGUUUUAGCAAAAGAAGAUUCAAGCAAAACUCCAACAAAUGAGAACCCAGUAAGGUACUGAGACGGCUUUAACUGAUAACAAGACGUCUAACAUAGAUAAUCCAAAGAAAAAUCAAAAGAUGGUCUACUUCAGAAAAUACAGGUCAUCCAAACAUAAACCAUUCGUGAAAAAAUCUAUAUAUGUUUUACCAAAAUUUGAACCCUACCAUUAAGAAGUCCAAGCUUGCCAUUAGGAAAGACAUGUGGUAACCUUGCAAUCAGGAAACACCGGGAAAUUUAACCAUGUCAUUAGGAACCUUCCAUUUUAACCUUGUUAUCAGGAAUCCUCCAUCCGAACCCUACCAUUAGGAAAUGAAAAUUUAACCCUGCAAUCAGGAAGAAUAUGUAUCAAUCCUAUAAUCAUGAAAUACUAUGAAACUUCACCUUGUUACAAGGAAUCCCAUAUUCCAAUCCUACCAUUAGGAAAUGAGAAUUUAACCCUGCCAUCAAGCAUGAUAGGUGCUAACCCUGCAAUAAUGAAAUGAAAAUUUAACCCUGCAAUCAGGAAGAAUAUGUAUCAAUCCUAUAAUCAUGAAAUAUUAUGAAACUUCACCUUGUUACAAGGAAUCCCAAAUUUCAAUCCUACCAUUAGGAAAUGAGAAUUUAAUCCUGCCAUCAAGCAUGAUAGGUGCUAACCCUGCAAUAAUGAAAAACCUUGAAAUUUAACCAUGUAAUUAGGAAUCUCAAAUUCAACUAUGUCAUUAGAAAAUCUCCAUUUUUUUAACUCUUUUAGAUAAUGCUUUUGGCAUUAUUUAUUUUUCAGUACCUUUUAAGCCCAUAUCUCUUUUCUUUUGAAUGCGUUUUCCAUCCCUAAGUUUUAAAAUAGUGCGCUUUCUAGCCUUAUCUUUUUUCUUCAAAGUAUACUUUCUAGCCCUCACCUUUCCGAUAAUGUGCCUUUAUGCCCUAUCGAUUUCCUCAUAAGUGCACUUUCCAACCCUCACCUACUAGAUAAUGCGCUUCCUAACCCUAUUUUUUUUUUCUUUUGAGUGCAUUUUCCAGCCCUCAUCUUUCAGAUAGUGCGCUUUUUAACCUUAUUUUUUUCCUUUUAAGUGUGCUUUCUAGCCCUCACCUACUAAAUAUCACUCUUUUUAACCCUAUUUUUUUUUCUUCUGAGUGUGUUUUCCAGCAAUCACCUUUCAGAUAAUCUGCUUUUAUACCCUAUCUAUUUCUUUCUAAGUGCGUUUUCAAGCCCUCACUUCUGACACUUUUGAAAAGAUUGAUCAUUUCUUGAUCUAGUAAAUCCACAACCUUUCUUUCUUUUUUUUCUUUACAAGUUUUCUAUCUAAAGUACUUGUUAUCGUAAGUAUUGUAAAGAGGGAGGCAACUGUCAUAACCUAAUUUUGAGUUUCCUUUUAAAAAAAAAUUUCUUUUAAAAACAAAAAAUGAAAAGCAACAAAAAAUAAAAAAAAGAAAAAAGAAAAAAACUAGCAACUAGGUAAGAGCAAGUUGAGAAGGGUUUCAAAUGCAUAGAGGAACUAAGCUAGAAUUUUGGACAAAAUUGGGAGCCCAAUUGUACCUAUUGUACCUAAGAUUGAAAGACAAUGUAGAUUUAAGGUUAAAUUAAAUGAUUUUCGAAUGAAUUUGCAUAAAAGUUAAGUCUGAUGACUUAAUAGACUUUUAAUAAGCCAAUUUGAUUUAAUCAUGGGCCCAAAUAAAGGUUUAAUUAAGUUUAAGAGUUAAUUAAUUAGGUUAAAUUAAAAGAAUUAAUUAAGUGCAAGGAUUUAAUUAGACUUUUAAUGGAUCAAAUUAAUUUUAUUGGGGAUUUAAUUGUUGAAAAAUUAAGUUUGAAAGCCUAAUUUGAGCUUAAUCGAGAAGAUUGAAAAUUUUAAGGACCAAAUUUAAUUUUUUAUGCCCAAUUGGAUGACAUCAAGGAUAAAAUUACAAGAAAUUAAAAGUUUAAAGAUCAAAUUGAAGAAUUACAAAAUCAAUGACCACUUUGUAAAAACCUCAGGGUCCAAUCAAAGAAGUUCAAGGUGAAAUUGCAAGGGAUCUAAAAUAUGAGGGCUGCUUAGGAGUUCUAUUACAAAGUUCUAAAAGUUUAAGGACUAAAUUUAAAAAAUACCAUAAUUUCGCUAUUUAUUAUCUUAUUCCUAUUAAAAUAAUAGAAAAGGAUGACAAAGUAUCCACCUUUAGCUAGGCCUUAAUAUCACAAAUAUUAUAUCAAUUCAUAUUGAUAUUUAUAUUUCACUCCAAGCUAAAAUUUUAGCUCUAAUGACACCAAAAACACUUGUAGAUUCUUUUGAAAAAAACAUCACCCAACACUAUUAUGCAUACAAAAAUAGCAUUGAUCUUUUCUUUAUUAGUUAUAAAGUAGGACAAAUUUUUGUUCUUAACUCCAAUAACUGGCUAGAAGUUUUUCUUCAAUAUUAAGAAUCGAGAUCUCAUUAACAUGUAAGCCUCCAAACCUUUUCAUUUCUCAUGUAAAAACCUAUAAAACCUUAUCCCAAGUAGUUAGAAAAAGAAGGAGCUUGUGAAGAAGUAAACAUAGCAUAUAAAAAAAAAUGUUUCCCACAUUCCCACAUAUAAAAACCCGUGACCUCUCAAGGAGAAAUCACCGAAAUAAUUAAUUCCCCUCCACGACAAGCUGCCACUAUGGUUCAUCUCCUCCUCACCAGCCGUCAGCAUAGGACAAAUUUUUGUUCUUAACUCCAAUAAAUCCAAUAAAUGGCUAGAAUUUAUUCUUCAAUAUUAAGUAUCGAGAUCUCAUUAACAUAUAAGCCUCCAAACCUUUUCACUUCUCCUUUAAAAACCCUAUAAAACCUUAUCCCAAGUAGCUAGAAAAAGGAGCUUGUGAAGAAGAAAACAUAGCAUAAAAAAAUGUUUCCCACAUUCCCACACACAAAAACUCGUGACCUCUCAAGGAGAAAUCACCGAAAUAAUUAACUCCCCUUCACGACAAGCUGCCACUAUGGUUCAUCUCCUCCUCACUAGCCGUCAGCCAUGAGCAGUAGCACCUGGAAGCAAAAAGAACCGUGAACUCUAGCAGCCCCAGCCAAGCAACAACAACUUCCUCUCCUCUAAUAUAGCAGCAACACUGGUUUCAACAACUUGAGUUUCAGUCACACCAUCAGCAACAAAUGCUAGCAGCUCCUCUCAACAAGCUGCCACUGUGAGCAGUAGAAAUCCUCUUCUCAGCAAGCUGCCAUCGUGAGCAGCAGAAGGUUUCCUCUUAGACCUUGUUAAGCCACGUCGAUCGGCAAGUACCCUUAGGCCAAAUCCCAAAUAUAUGAGUUGAAGUGAACGUGAAAUAUUAGCUGCAUAUGCCAUACAGGAAGAUUGGAACGUGGAAUGUUAGCUGCAAGUGUCAUGCAACAAGAUUGGAACGUGAACAAUAUAUAUAUAUAUAUAUAUAUAUAUAUAUAUAUAUAUAUAUAUAUAUAUAUAUAUAUAUAUAUAUAUAUAUAUGGGCACGCAGGUAUGCAGAAGAGAGUUCAAAAUUGUGCUGAGGAGUGGGUUACCUACAGGACUGAGUCCUCUGCAGUUGUGAUUUUUCUGUCACUUUUAUUUCAGUUUGUUAUAGUUGUUAUGCUUAUUGUUUUGUACGUGUUACUUUCAGUUUUUACGUGGGUAAUCUCACAUCGUGAGUUACCAGCUUUUCCUUAAUUUUAGUUUUGUUGAAAAAUAGCGAAAGAAAAAGAAAGUUGUUGAUUGUCACUAUUUCAACAACUAAAAUGGCCAAGCUUGGUGUUAGAGUUCUAUUUGACGAGAUGAGUUUGAUGGUGGUGGUAUUUUUUCCCUCUAGAUUAACUAAUAUACUAAAAUAUCUAGGGUAUAAUCCCAGUUAUGUUCAUUGUUCAUAUGAACAGUGAAGUAGUUGGAGGUUUUUUUUUUCAAUUUUCAAACUUUUUCCCCUUGCAAUUAAAUACAUUUAUAACCUAAUUAGAUAGAGUUAUACUUUAAAUUAUGGAAAAAAAUACCAAAUUAAAAUAUAGAGGAUUGAAAAGUAAAACACUAAGAAAAUACAUGACUCACUCCAAAUUCAUAAUAAUUUUUAUUUUGGUCCAAAAGUUUAUUUUGCUCAUUCUUAAUCUUUAGGUUUGAAAGAUGAUAGAGAAAGUCAUUGAAAAAAUAGUGAAAGAGGAAACAAGUUGUAAAUUGUCACAAUUUCAACAACCAAAAUGGCUUAGCUUGUGUUAAAGGGUUCUAUUUGAUGGAGUUUGAUGGUGAUGGUUUUUUCCUCUAAACAUAACAGGAAUGAAAAAUCGAGUUUAUUUUUUAUGUUUGGAAUUUAGUUGUUUGAUUUUGUUUAUAGAUAAUUUUGAGGUUUGUUGGGUGGUUUAUAAUGAUUUUAUGAUGUUAUUGUGUUUUUGGGUGAAAAUUGCUUAAAAAAUAAAAUUUUAGGCCAAAAAACUUAUCAUUUGAUUUUUUAGCCACCACAAUGGUGUCAAGAUUCGAGGCACUAAUAAGUGACAGCUCAUCUACCACUUGAAGUGACUUGUUGUUGGCUUCAUUAAAAUAACAAAAAACGGAUAACAUGCCAUUGACGCUUUAGGAAAAAAAACACAGGCGCGCAUGGGCUUUUUAAUUUAAUUUAGGCCCACACACUUAAAAAAAAUACCAUUCAAUUUUUACUUUAUUUUCAAAUAAGAAUAUAUCAAUCUUUUUAUAAUAAUACCAAAAAAAAUUUUAUAGCCCAUCAUUAUUUAAAAAAAAAAACUUUAUCUAGUUGUUUUUGUAGUAGCGUAUAUUUUUUAUUGUCAUUUAACUAGAUGACAAGGUUUAUAUUUAUUUUAUUGGAGUAAAAUUAGUCAAACAAACUUUUUAUACAAACAUACAUGCCAGAUAUUGUUUUAAUAAAGAGUAAAUCACUUAAAAUACAUUGGAUCCAUAUUUUACCAUUUAAAGUAAAUGGGUAAUGCAUCAAUGUAUAAAAAAAUUAGUAAAAAACUAUUUAUUUAUAUAAAUCACUUUUGAAGAAAUAUUAAAAAUUAUUUAUUUAUUCAUUAAAAAAUAAUGAUACCAUUUUUUUCUCGGUCCUUUAAAAAAAAACAAAUGUUGAAUUAAAGAAAUGAUACGAAGAAAACAAACAAAUAAACUGAAACCAAAAACUAUCGUUAGAAGUAUAGGUGAGCAAAAAAAUUGAAAAACUGAUUAAACUGAGAAAAUAAAAAAAACCGAACCAUGAAAAAAACUUGAUUAAACCGAUUAGAAUAUUUAGAAAAACUUCCAAUUCAGUUCGGUUUCGGUUUCAUAAUGCUGAAACUUAUAAACUCCAACCAAACCGAAUCGGUUCAGAUUAAAAGAAAAGAUAUUAUAAAUAAAUAAAAAACUUUCUAUUCUAAUAACCCUAGCAGCCGCCCCUCCCUAUAGAGUCUCUAACCCUAGGCUUAUUCUUUUACGUUCAAUAGCAAGUAAAAAAAGCCCCCUGCUCUGACCCCCCUUGCCUAGCCUCUCUGGUACAAUUGUAUUCUUCCCAACACUUUUCUCUAUGUGAAAUAGCUGGAAUGCACCUCCAGCCUUAUUUCUUUUCACUUCUGUUAUCAUUGCCUUUCUUGGCAAAUCCUGCAAGAAUCAAACACACAAACCCUCUUCUUUUUUUUCUUAUCAUUCUCCAAACUCAAAAGGGUGGUGGACAGGUAGUCAUUAUAUUACCUGUUUUUUAGAUGUAUCUGGGGAUUGAUUCCACAACUGGACAUAUCUAAGCCAAUUAGAUUUCUUCUUAUGAUCGUUGUUGUUGAUGUUGUUGAUACUCUUGUUUCUCUUAUUAUUGUUCUAUGAUUAUUGUUCUUGAUGAUCAUCAUCAUAAUGAUUAUUAUCAUUUUCUUCUUGGAUAUGGAACUCUGAUUAUUGUUGUUCAACAUAAGUGGAUUGGAGGCACUCGUUUUACUUGAAUUUGACUGCAUAUUCAUCAUACACAAUAAUCGUGUAUAGGUUUUUUUGAUUUUUGAUAUACAAAACCAAAUCAAACUAAAACCGGUCGGUUGUAAUCGAUUUCGGUUUAUUUAUCUAUUUUUUAUAAAAUUUCAGUUUGGUUGUUUUUAUAGGUAAAAACUGAAUCGAACUGAAAAUAAUAAUCCCUAAUCAAAAGCUAACUUCAGUAAUAACAUCUGUUAAUUAAAACGAGAUUUAUAACAAAUUAGAAAUAUGAGUCUCUCACUUCAAGAGAAAGUAAACAGUCUAUAAAUCCCUACUUUCAAAGAAACAUUUGAAGAGUAGCCCAGAUGAAAUGACAUCAUAUUUCUAGAGAGAAUAUUUUUUCCGUCGCGGGGACAUAACAACUGCAUGAUAUGUCCUGCAACACCAGAAUGGUACUCACAGCUAAGGUCUGACUUGUACUAGUUAGAGUAAGGUGGUUGCAGAGACACCAAGGGGUCGAGAGCUACAUACUCGAUGCUUAGUAGUUUCUGGUAUAUCUCAUUUAGGAGUAACAAUUGUCAUAAUCCAAUUUUUUAAUUUUCAAAAAAAUAUAUAUUAAUAAAAAAGGGUAAAUUAAAAAUAAAUUUGAGAAUUGGAUCAAGACAACACAAAUUUAAAGUUUGAGGACUAAUAAAGAGGAAAUUAUAAAGUUGGAAGUCAAUUUAGCUAAAACUUGAAAGAAUUGAUGAGUUUAAGGACUUAAUUAAACUUUGAAAUUAGUUUAAUUAAUGAAAUAAGAGGCUUAAUUAAAGAAAUAUCAAAGUUUUUGGUCAAUUUGGGUCAAAAUUGCAAGAAAUUAAAUUCCAAGGACCGAAGUGAAUAGGCGUUGAUAUUAUAUGGGGAUUAAUUGAUUUUCAGGGGUUAUUUUGAAAUAAUUAAAAGUUCUCAAUUAAGGUCUGAAUUGAUUAAACUAGAAACUAAGGACUAUUUUGUAAAUAAUGCUAAAAUCCAGGGGCAAAAUUAAAAAAAGAAGAAGAAGAUUUCCAUGAAUAAAAGCCCAAUUGCAAAAUUUCAGAACUUCAUGGGGCAAAUUGAGUCAAGAGAACGACGUCGUUUUGGAAUCCAUUGUUCAUCCUUUUCCUUCUUGGAACAGAGGAACCCACCUGCAAAAAAAAAAAAAAAAAAAACACCAAUGGCCUCUGCUAGACCCCAUCAUCUCACCAAAUGCAAGCCAGAAUGCAGACCAAAUGGUCCACUAUAAAUCCUCAAUUGACUUAACUCAUUGUGCCCCUACAAUACGUCUCUGGUGUCAAGAAAAGCCAUCACCAACAUGCCAACAAUGGCAAGACUGUUGGUGUCCUAAUCCCAUCAAACUCGGGGCCAAUUUUUAUCUUCACACAAGAUCACAAUCCCAAGAAGAUAAGGAUUGAGUUUCUCUUAAGGUGGCCUCUAAAAGCAGAGGACGCAAAGAGACUGGAGGAUGAAAAAAAAGAUAGAAGAAAAAACACAAGAAAAGAAAAUAGAGAAGCCAAAGAGACCCUUAACCUUCUCUUAUAGCAGAUUGUUGACCCAACCACAGAAAAAAAAAACCAAAGGAACAGAGAGAGAGUCAGAGAAGAUCUAGAGAGUAGAAGCAAACCCAAAACCAGAGAGAAGGAUGAUUAGAGAGAAACAGACAAAACAAAAACAGAGGAAGGAGCAUUGCCCAAUCCAGCACCACCUCGAGUCUUCGUCUUCAAACAACGUCUGAAGCAGAUAAGUAAUUCUUCUUCCCCCGCUUAUGGUUUGUGUGGAUUACCGUUAGAAGUCAAAAACUUGGACAACUUAUAAUUUGCAACAACCUAGCUUUGAAGAAAUUAUUUAAAGCCGAAAAGAACAUCUGAUCUUCAGGUAAUCUUUAUAAAAAUCCUAAACAACUUUAUAUCUGUCUAAUAGGAUCCUUGGAACUCUAAAAAAAUAUUUAAAUUUACAGUUUUCACUGCGUGUAUGUGUUUCGAGAAACUCAACAAUAUAUACAUUAACAAUCCCUUCAUUGAGAAUCUUUUGAUUUAGACAUUUGAGCAUUAAGUGUGUUUGCUCUGUUAAAUCAUAUUUGUUCUCAACAUUAUAGUAAUUGAUUAUUUGAAUGAGAUUUGAAACACCUUUUCAAUUUUUAUUCCAACUUGCACAAGUAUCUCACAAUCAAUACUAUUUAAGAACGUGUAAGAUAUUUUUUUUUAAAUCACUUAGGGUGAUAAAUCAUCUAUUGAUUACUCAAAUAUCUGUAUAUAGUUCAUAUUAUAUAUAAUAUUUGUUCAUUUGUUAUCCUUGAUUAAGACAACGUGUAAUUAAGAUAAAAAAAAAUAGCAUUCUUUAUAUAAGAUAACUUAGUGAUCUCAAGUCUAAAGAUUAUUUACACAACUUUUACAUGAGAUUUUCAUAAACACGAGUGAUAUCUUCAUAUAGAAUCUUCAUGCAAAUUAGUUCAAUGUACUUAUUACUUACAAGAACUUACAUUUUAGUUCUACAUAUCCUUCAUACCUGAGCUAAAUAAAAUAAUUGUUUCCUUUCAUAAAAAAAUACAUAUUAUAUACCAAUUUCAAUUACGUUAAUUAAUUUUCAAUCUUAAUAGAGUAUCGAAUAAGAAUAUUUAGAAAUAAUAUUUUGAUACAAUAGCAACCCUCAUAAUUAUAAACAUUUUAUGAUUUUCUUUGCAAAUCUUUUUUGUUCCAAAUAUUUUUUUUUACUCUAGACUUAUAAAUAAAAAAAAAUAUGUGUGUUUUUAUAUAAAUAAAGUUCAUAUCAAAUAUAAUCAACUAAUUGAAUAUAGAGCUUAUACACUAAAAUAACAAUCAUGUAAUUUUUCCAAUCCUGAAAAUGAAUUUCAAUGAAAAGAAAAACACAGAAAAUGCCCACUUCCAUAUUUUAUCUGAUAAAGGUCAAGAGUUGGUCCUAGAAAGGGCAGAGCCAGAGUAAGUUGUUUGCUUCCUCGAAUUUGAUGAGGCCCUUUUGGGUUUCACCCCUUUUGUUCUCAAAUAUGGAAUCGUGGAUAAUGGCACCGUCUCACAGUUUUUCAAUGGUUAAAGAAUCUGACAACUAUGCAAGCAUCCGCAUUGUCCAAUUUCAUACAAAACCUCAGCCUAAUCCCAAACUCCAGCCACAAAGCUAACCAUACCAUAUUAUCGAAACAAACAAUUUUCUUUGCCAAUCAAAACCUUGCAAAUUUCUAAAGAAAAAACAAAGUACAAACCAUUGGCUCGAAUUGGACCCUUCCACUUGAGACACAACAAGCGGCAUGCAUGAAUCGGGCUCAUCAUACAUAGCCACAUGGCAUCUUUAUGCCACGUUUCAGCUAGAAGCUCCUGACUUUUCUGGUGAAUAGUUUUUGGCCGCUUCCCUUUUGCAUUUGCGGCUACGUUAUCUUGUAAUAGGCCGUUUGUUUUUUGAUCAGUGAAGGUGGUGUGGUUUCAUGAGCCAAAGCAAAUACCUUACUCAGGUCAGUGAUAACCCACGAAUGGAUAAUUCUGAAUUUUUCGUUUUUAAUUCUGUUGGUAUACACUGAUAAAAAUAUUUUUCAGUAUAUACCAACUGAAUUAUCAACAGAAAAAAUUUCAUUAUUAAUUAUUACUACAAAUUAUUGAUAGAAUUAUUUCAUUAAUGAUAGCGUUAGUAUUAAGUGAAUUUCUGGUAAUGCUACAACUCCUUUACACCUUUUAUUCAGGCUUCCUUUCUUUACUUCUUAUAAAAUCUCACACACCACGGAUUCUUUCCUUUUCUUUUGAUCAAGCUCUGUCUUCACAAUAAAAAUACCUACUACAAUCUUAACCAGAAGAAAGGUUACAAGGAAAAAUGUGUCACCCUGGUGUGCUUUCGGUUAGCCAAAGGAACUUGGUGGUGUAUCAGAGAAGGCUCGUUUUGCAAGCAGUUGAGACAGAAACUUCACAUGCACGAACAGAGGUGGCUGCUGGUGGCGGAAGUGCUAUUUCUAGAUCGAUAAACAAGUGUUUGUGUUCACCCACAAGGCACCCGGGAUCCUUCAGGUGCAGGCACCACCGUUCUGAUUAUGUGUGGAGUGGGAGAAUAACAAGAAAGAAGCAACUCCUUGAAAAGGUAUGAUGUAAGCGUAUAAACUGUGAAAGAGAAUUUUGUUUCUAAUGAAUUUCGUUUUCAUCAACCGCUCCAGUUUCGAACUGGGUUUCGUUGUCGUAAGAGAACCAACAGAGAAACAUGAAAAUGGAAUCCGUUGAGGGUUCUUUUUUGAUAACCAGUCUCUAAAUCUCUCGUAUUUUUCUUCGUUUGUCUCCAUUUGACAUUAUGUAACACCAGAACUUUCUUCUUUUUUUAUUCAAGAAGAAAAGUUAGGAACCUGGUAAAGGGAACUUGAAAAGGAACGGCUUUCUUGCAAAAGAAUAAUUAAUCGAAUCUUGUCAUCAAGUUGACGAUGGGGAUCCAGAUAUUUUUUUAAUGUGGCAUCGUAUAGAAGACACGAUAAGUUUAAUUCAGUAGGUUUACACUCUCUGCUUUGCUUUGGUAAAUUCUAUUCCAUAAUAAACCUUAUCAACCAAAAAUUGGGUUAUCGAUUCCAUUUCGUCCCUGUACUGUUUAAUUAAGUCCUCCUAUCAGUUAAGACUUAAGAGUUCAGAUAUAAGAAGUGUUUGGAGGCUUAACAAUUGUAUUAGUCAUCCUCUCUAUAUAUUUAUAUAAUUAGAGUUGUGUAUAAUAUUAAGAGUGUAAUACCCUACACAUGAUUUGUGCUAUAACCUAUACAAGGUAAACAUAAUUUUCUAUAUUUGUAUCUUAUAAUUCAAUAGAGUAUUUUAUAUAAUAUACCCCCUCUAACUAAAGAUGGAGCUUUCACACGAAGCUUGGAUAAAAAAUGAGUAAAGAUCGCAGAAGAAAGCAAUUUAGUAAGAACAACAGCAAAUUGAUUCUUAGAAGGAAUGAAAUGAACUUGAAUCUUCUGCUUGGCAACUCUAUUAUGAACAAAAUGAUAGUCUUCCUCACAUGCUAGUGUGAGCAUGAAAAACUUGAUUGACUUAUAGAUUAAGCAGCACCGAAGUUAUCACACCAUAGUCUAGUUAUAGAAACACUAGGAAACCAAAGCUCUAAAGCAGAGAGCGAAUCCAUAAAAUUUCAGCAAUACCAUCAACUAAGGCCUUAUAUUUAACUUUAGUAGAAGAAUGAGCAACAAUUUAUUGUUUUCUUGAUUUUCAUGAGAUAAGAGUAGUGCCAAGAAACACAAGAUACCCAUAUGUAAAUUUCUGAUCAUCAAUAUUGGCAGCCCAAUCAGUAUUAGUGAAACCAUGAAGAGAUAGAGAUAAACUAUAAGUGAUGUGUAGGACAUAGGAAACCAUGGCCUCUAAAUAGCGCAAAAUAUGCUUGACGAUAACCCAAUGAGAUUUAGUGGGGGAAUACAUAAACUAACACACUUUAUUUACAACAUAGCACAAAUCAAGCCUUGUGAAGGUAAGACACUAAAAAACACCAACAAUUUGUUUAUAGCGUGUAGAGCCAGAGUACAAACCACUAGAUAACAUGGCCAACUUUGAAGAAAAAGGAGAUACUGAAGUAUCAAUAGGCUUACAGGAAAACAUAUAUGCUCUGUAAAGAAUAUCAAGAGCAUGUUUAUGUUGGCUUAGAAUAAGUCCCAUAGAUAUUGGUUUAACUUCAAUGCCGAAAAAAUAAUGGAUGGAUUUGAGGUCCUGAAGCUUGAGCUUUAAGCUUAGUAACAAAAUUAGUUUGGCAAGUAAAGUUGAGUUACUGCCUAUAAGCAAGAUGAAUAGGAUAAAUAAAGAUAUACACAAGCAGAUAGACAGUAUCACCAACCAUAAAUAGGAUAAAUAAAGACGUAUCAACCUCAAAGACACAAGAUCCUAUGGAUAACAUAUAGUCACUCAUUUGAUUAUACCAAGCCCAAAGAACUUGUUUCAAAUCAUAUAAUGAUUUAUGUAGACGACACAUAUGAGAUGCUAGAGUAUGAUGAGUAAAGCUAGGUCGUUACUCCAUAUAAACCUUUUUUUAAAGGAUCUUAUUCAAGAAGGUAUUAUGAACAUCUAGUUGAUUGAUCUUCUCAUCUCGAGAAACAGCAACAGUAAGUACUAACCAAACUGUAGUGGCUUUAACCACAAGACUAAAAUGUUUUUAACUAAUCAAUUCUCUCAUGCUGAGUAAAAUCUCUAGCAACCAAACAAGCUUUAUAACACUCAACAUUACCAUCAGCUUAUAUUUUAAUUUUGCUUACCCAAUGACUACUAACAACAUUCAUGGAGGGAUGAGGAUUUUUGUUACUUGUUUUUUACCCCACAAAAAAAAUAAAGAAAAGAGAGAAGAAAAGAUAAAGAAAAUCCAAAAUAUAAGAGAAUACACAUGAAGAAAGCCCAGAAGAUUGUCUAAGAUGGUGGUGAAGGACUAAAAUGGCAAAUGGAAAAGUUGGAGAACUACAAUGUACAAGAUUGACAAAAUUAGCGACCCAAUUUUGAUUGAUAAAAGACCUAUUCGGUGAAAAUAUUUUAUUUAGGGUAAAAAAAUACAAAUUUGAAUGAGUAUGGACUCAAUAAGGAUUUUGGAAGGUUUAAAUAAUUUAUUAUGGACUUGAUUGCAAGGAAAAUUAGUUUUUUUAAGCCAAUUCGAGUGUUAAUUGAAAGAAUUUGAAGUUUGGGGAUUGAAAUUGAACUUUGGAAAGUUUAAUUGGUCAAAUUAGUGGCUUACUUGUGAAAAAAAUUAAAAUUUGAUAGCUAAUUAGGGGUUUGAUUGAAGAAAUUCAAAACCAAGAACCAAAUCCUAAAAUAUACGAGACUUCAAGGGAUGAAAUUGAUCAAAUCAAGGGCCAAAUUGAAAAAAAAAUAAAAUUUUAAUGGUCAAUUAAGGGUCCAAAUGCAUAAAUCAAAAGCCAAGAAUGAAUAUGAAAAUGGAGCUAAAAUCUGGGGUUGAUGAUUGAGUUUAGCAAUGGUGAAAUUGCAUGAAAUUAAGAGUUUGGAAGACAAUUACAGAUGCAAUUAAAAACAAUUGGAAGAACAUGGACUAAAAUAAAAUAUGUCAGAUCCCAAAUUAAAAACCCUAAUUUCUAGGGAUUUAACCUAGACGAAGUGUCGUUCACCCACUAUUCAUGUCUUUUAGUGGCAGUUUUCGAUGAUCGAGUUGACACCUUCCAAGAGCUCGUUAUGGAGUUCUAAACCUCCAAAUAGCUCAAGGUUUUUGGCAAAUGGAAGAAGAAUAUCCUCUAUAUAACCCUAUUUCCAUGAAAUUAGAUGUUUGCAUCCUAAUCCUUCCAUAUAAGUCUCUAAUAUUUUAUCCCUGAUCAGCAAUCACUACAAUUUUAGAUUCUGGACUGAUCGAGUUGGCAUCAUUAGAUAAAUAAAUGUGAAGCUACUAACCUUCAAAUUAAGUAAUGUUGGAUCCAAAUAAAAGAUUUACACCUCCUUUAUGAACUUCAGGUGGUUUUCGAUGAUGUUUAUAUCAGAAUUGCUCUGGUAAAGCCUCGAAAGUAGUCAACCAAGUCGGCCUAGACUGUGACACUCAUUUCUAAAAACCACUUAUUUUUUCAUGUGUUCACUCUAAAAGCUUCUUAAAUAAUUCUUAUCAACAACUUUAAACCCCCCCAUCAAGGGCCAGAAAUAGUUUUUUGCCCUUCAAGUUUAGUAAAACCACAAAGUACCUAAAAAACAAAAUCACCAUUGCAAACCAGCUUGGUAUAAGAGUUUCCAGCCGUUAGUUUUUGCUUAGAACUCUCUUAUUUUGAUAAAAGGCUGAUCUUUGAUCAAUAUUUGAAGGAAUCCACUAAAAAACUUAGAAAAAGACCCUUUACAUACCUUUAAAAAUCAAAGGAGAGAGUAAAAAAACCAUAAAGAAAAAACAUAAGUAAAUACCCUUUGGAAAGACCUUACCAUAAAGGUUCAAAAAGCUUGACACGGAAGUUCAAACAAGCUUUGAAAAGAAUAUAAAGGCAAAGGAAAAGAAAACGAAAGUUACUGCUUAUAGCCAAAAAACUUGGAGAAGGUAUAACCCUGUAAAAAAUCAAGGGUGAAGUCUAUGUGGCCUGCCCAUUCAUGCUUUUUCAAUGUUUGAUGACAUUUUUUUAAUCUUUUUAACAUUAUUUUGUGUUUUAGCAUUUAAGUGAAUUGAUGAAUGAAAAUGUUGUUUUCUUUGCUUAAUGUUGCUUUAAGUUAGUUGUUAAUGUUUGUUGAGUGUUUAGAAUGGUAUUUGAAUGUUGUCUUUGUUGAAAUUAAUAUUUUUUAGAAUCUGCCAGAUAUGAUAGUAGGUAUUUGAUGCAUAUUUUUUGGGUUGUUAGUUCAUGUAUUGGGUUCCUAGACUUGGUUUUUGUCCUAAAGAGUCAGUUUUGGAUUGAAGUUUGAUGUUUUAUUGGCUGUCAAUAGGGCUGCAGUUUUGGAAGUUAAAAUUUUAAACAUGUUUUUAAUGAUUUGAUAUUCCCAAUGUUUUUCUAAUUCAAACAUGUUUUUUAUUAACAAUGUGAAUUAUAUGGAUCAAAAAAUUAAAGUUUAGAGACUUAGAGGGUUAAUUUAUGGGUUUGGCAGUAAUCCAUGUUUUCUAGGCAGUCUCGAUUCAUGUUCUUCAUAUUCAUCUAAAGAAUAUUAUCUUGAGUACUAGCUUUAGGUUUCUUUUUAAGUUUGUUUUGGUCUUUGCAUGUUUGUACAUCAUUAUUAGUCAAUAAUCUAGGUUGUUUUGCAUCAAUAACAUAUUUUUAAGUGUUUCUAUCUUAGGGUUAGGCUUCAGACUGAAACCUUCUUUCGAUAAAAAUCAUGUUGAUUUAAUGAUAAUCGAAGCAAAUAGACCUUUGAUUCCUGAUCUAUGCUUGAUUGCAAACAAAACCUUGCUUUUUUUUUUUGCUUGAAAUCUUUUCUGAUUUGAUGUUUAUGUUGUUGGGUUUGAAUUUGAACGUUCUUCAUUGUUCUUCAUUUUUCUUAGUGUUUGAUAUGUUUUCAUAAGAAAUUUUAUGAUUUUUGUGAUUUUUGUGAUUUUUGAUUUUAUUUUGGUUUAAAUCUCUAUUUUCAUUUAGCUUUGGGUUGAACCUUGGAAUGGUUGAAUCAAUGUUUUCGAGUCGACCUGGUCGGAUCAAAAUCAAGUCACUUAGUAAAGGCCUGUGUGGUUUGCUAAUAUUUUUAUGAAAGAGUUUUUGGUCUAAGUGGUUGUUUGGCAAACACACCCUUAGACUUAUUUUGACCACUUUGUUUUUUUAAUAAAAAUGGAUUUUGCCAAACAAACCUUAAAAAAUUCCAAAAAAUAUAAAGACCGAUCUAAAAUUAUUUGUAAGUCCCUCACACCUUUUUCCAACAAUUUUAUUUAAUAUCAGAACUGUAUACUUACACUGUAAAAUACGGGACUGGUAUUAAAAUACCUGUUUUUCACUGAAAUUUCAAAAAAAAAAAACAAAUCCUCUCAUUUCAAAAAUAUAUAUAUAAAAUGUUUUAUUUCGUGUGCAUAUGGCCAAGUCUCUAAAAAAAAUCAUAUUUUAAAAAAAUAAAAAUAUAUAGUGAGUUUUAGCAUUUGUUUCAUACAUAUAAAAAUAUCUUUGCAUGUAUUUUUAGAUUUAAUAACUAGUUUAUUAAAUCCAUGAGAAUUGGGCUAAUAUUUCAAGAAUUCCUUUAAAAAAUUUAAUUCAUAAGAAUUAAUAGUCAGCAUUCUGUUAUAAAUAUUGGACCUAUAAGUAGGCUGAUAUUUAAAUACCAUAAGUUGGUAAGAAAGUUCUCAUAAUUAUUUUAAAUAUUCAUCAAUUCUAAUUGAAAGUUUCUUUUACCAUAGUACAUGAGUUGUAAAAAACACUUUCGCCUUCCAUGAUAGUUGAACCUUGUAAAGGCACCUACAUGGACCCUUCCUAUAAGAAUUUAUCUGGGCGUACAAGCCCAUAAUAAAUUUAAAAUGCUAGAUUUAUUCAUAAGAGUAAAAAAAAAAUUGAGUCAUAGAUUGACCAUCAGUUAGAAACCCAUCAAAACCUUUAAGCCACAUGAAGACCACACAAUACAACUAACUUUAGGUAAGAUGUGCUAGGGGUGAUAAUACAUUUUCUAGCUACAACCAAUCCCUUACCCUAGAAUUUCUAAUAAGAUCAAUAUACUCGGGUCUCCUAAUGACCCUGAACUAAACAACUAGGUAGCAACUCAUUGACCCUUACAUUAUGAGCCCACAUGCGAUAGAAAAAACUACAAAUCAUGUACCAUUGGAAUGAAGAGCAUAAAUCUCAUAUUGCAUGGCGUGGUGCUAAACAACAUAAGUGUUGGCUUCCUAAAAGUGAGGGGUUAAUGAUCAGGGAGAGAAGAUAAUCGUGAAAGAGAUGAGACAAUAAGAUCUGUUAUCUUAUGUUGUCUCAAGCAAAGAAGCUAGUGGUGCUACUGUGAUAUUUGAGCAUGAGAAGGAUAAUUAGACACGAAAAACUUGAAAAGGUCAACCACCAAGUUCAGUCUAGGUGGUGACACAACAACAAGGGACUAUAGUGAGUGGUCUGGAACUAAAUUAGACCAUAGUGGGCUUCGGUGAGUGGUCCAGAACUGAAAAAAAUCAUAGGGUGCCCAAAACAACAGGAGAAACAUGUUCACCAGAGGAAAUCAAGGUAAUACUUCAAAGGUUAUCAACAGAAUAAGUGACAUGUAGAGAUAAAUUAGUAUGACUAUAACAUACCAAAUAUGGUGUAAGAGAGUUAAAGAAUAGCGGUUAUAGUGUAUGAGGAUGUAGCAUAUUGAAAAUUUGAGAGUCUGGUGAUGUCAAAUGUUGCAAAAAUAUAUUGAUUGAUGAUAAAGCUAGUGGUUGUAUCUGUUUAAAAAUUUAUAAAGUAAAAGUAUUUUCAUGAAAUUUAACAUGUCGAGAAAUGUAAACUCAUUUGGAUGACAGAUUAAGACACUGAUAACCUAAAUGAGAAGAGUUAUAACCAAGAAAUACAUGAGAAGUAGAGCACAAAGCUAAUGUAUAGGCAUUGUAAGGUUGAAGGAAGGGAAAACACAAACACCCAAGUUUACAAAGGAAACUAUAAUCUGGAACAGACUGAAAAAGGCAUUCAAAAGGUGAUUUUCUAUUCAGUAUAAGAGUGAGCAUGUGAUUAAUUAAAUAGACAGAUGUUUCAAAUGCAUAGCCUUAGAAUUUUAAUGGUGUUUUACACUAACCAAGGAAAGUGAGAUAGAUUUCAACAAUAUGCCUAUGUCAACGCUUAAUUAUACCAUUAUCAUCAUGAGUAUAUGGACAAAUUAAUUGAUGGUGAAUGCCAAUGUUUUUAAAAUAAGUAUUUAACUUUCCAUACUCGCCUCCCAAAUCAGUUUGGAUAGAUUUAAUUUGUGGAAAACUAUCAUUUAAUAUGAGUUUGAAAUUUUUUUGGCAACCAAAGAAAAGAACCAAAUGUAUUUAGUAUGAACAUCCACAAAAAUAACAAAGUAACAAAAACCAUUAGAAAAAAACAUAAGGAAGGAUCCCCAAACAUCAUUAAAUAUUAAUUCAAACAGAGUAGAAGUUUUAUGACUUUUAAGUUCUAAUGACAAACAAGAUUUUCUCAAAUGACAUGCUUGCAAUUAAAAUGGGAAGAUUUCAAAGUGCAAGACCUUUUUAUUUGACAUUAAUAUACUCAAAAUUUAUGGUCUUGGAUGCUCAAGUUGACGAUGUCAAACAUCAGCAAAGGUAGAUGACACGACCAAAGAGUUGAUGUCUUCUUCCAAAUAUAGGAGUGUCAAAAUAAUAAAUAACCCGGCAAGACCGGGGUCGAACCACAAGGAGGUUAACUGUAUAAAUUACAAAUAAAGAAAUAGAUAAUAACAGAAAAGGAGUUGAAGAGAGCUUUGAGAUGUGAUAUUGAUAUAAGGAUUAAACAAGGAUAAAAUAAUUGUCAAGGUUAGAGGAUCCACUAAUGGUAUUUCAAACAAGUAUAAUAUAAAUUCUUUUUAUUACUCAACUGGAAACCACACACAAAGGAGGUUCCAAUCGGAUUAUAAAUUGUUGACAUGAUUACAUUAAUUAUCUUAUUCGAGUAAUGCCAAUACUUGUAAAUAUUAUCAGGUAUUCAUAGUGAUAACUUAUAUUAACAACAAAUCAAGUUCCUUUCAUAGCACAAGUGUCGGUUAUACCAUACAAUUGGGCUAUGAAAGUGCCAAAUAUUUGUUGUACCAAGGGUUGUUCAACACAAAUCUAGAUUAACCAUUUAACAAGCAAGAUAUUAAGAGUGAGUAAGAUAAUAAAUAUAAAACAUGUUAGUAUCAAACAUUAAAGUCCAUGUUGAGUUUAUACUAUACUUAUUCUUACACCAUUAGUGUAACCUUUUCACCUUGACAUAAUAAACUUAGCUGAACAUUAUGAAUAAGAGAAACAUAGAUAAACAAGAGGAGAACAUGAUUAUAUAAGUAUAAUAAAGGAAAUGAAAGGCAUAAACAAGAGAUUAAUGAAAACAAAACUUAAGCAUUACAAAAAUAUAAAGAGAGAGAGCAAGAACAUGAUCUUGAUCUGAAAACCAAGAUGCCUAAAUGCAUGGCAAAUGCCUCCUUUUAUAGGUCAAAAUUCAGAACUAUUGAUUUGAUGACUAAUUGUUGAGUAGGUGGCUACUUCUUGACUUGAUGACAUUUUUUAUUUUGUUGUCUGCAGAAAUGUCAUUGCUAACAUCAGAAUUUGAAUAGAUAAUCUUCAUGAAAGUUCUGGUAAAUUGUCUCAGCUUUCCAACAAAACAAGAAUCUGUGCAUGACCUAGAACUCGAGAUAUGGGCUGAACACUGAACAGUGUCUGAGUUGUAGGACAGAUUCCGACUUCUCCGUUGUUGCUACCAUUUGAACUCGAAAAUGACACUUUUAAUUCUUGGACUCGUCAUGAAAGUUUUAGGCCUAUGUCUUAGCUUUUCAUAUAUAUAAACCAAACCUAAAUCCAAGUUCUACAGCUCCAGUUAUGAUCCAAUAACCGAAUGAUGUUCCAGUUUGGACUGAACCAACAUCUCUUUUUUAAGCUUAGCCCUCUCUUUGUCUUCUCAAUUUGAGUAGUUAAACUCAUCAGUCAAUCCUUUAUUUAUGUGAUAGGCCUGCAUUUAAGAUGAACAUUUACCAUAUAUUAAAGGUAUCUUAUAUUAUUAGACAUGUUAUUAUAAAACAUGCUCUAGUUAAGGAGUUAUUGAUACUUCAAGUGCAAAAUGAUGAUAUAAAACCUUGAUAAAAAUGCACUUUUAAAUAUUAAUCAGUAGACACACUUAUAGACAAUAAAGCUUGAGGUAAAGACGUUGCAAAAGACUUGGAGAUAACAUAAAGAUAAUCCCUACUCCAACCGAAAAGAAGUACUUCCUUGGUUAGUCGAUUCUUGACAUAAAACACAAACGAGUGAAAUUCAAAGAAAUUAUUAUUUUCAAGAUAAUUUCUAAACAAAUAAUAAAUUCUUUUUAAUAUGGGAAACAUAUAAGACAUUCGAUAAGGUAAAAGUACGUUUAGGUGUGUGGAUGGUAGAGUGGGCAUCAUUUGACAUAGGAAGUCCCUUAUUAUCUUCAAUAUAUAGUUGAUCAGUGUCUAGAUACGGUUCUGAAUUAGUCAUAUUCAAAAGAUUAGGUGUCACAUGUUGAUUAACACUCGUAUCAAGAAAAAAAGUGGCUGGAGUAGCACUAUAAGGAUUAUUAAAUGCUAAGUUAGCACUUACUUACAUUGUGUGAUGUUGCAUAUAUGGAUAUUACGGAGCAGAAUGACCCAAACCAUAACAUAAGUGACAUUUUAUGGGUGAAUUAUUGGACCACUAAUUUGAGAAGGAAAACUGAUUGUCAUGCUCUACCCAUUCUGACUUAAACUAAAAUUAUUAUUGCCACAUAAAAUAUCACCAUUUUCACGGGAAUGAUUGUUGUAAUUGUUGUAGGUGUUGUUCCUCCAUCCACCAUGAAAUUUGCCCCUAGAACCACGGUUAAAAUUAUUGUCAUAAGAUCCUACAAAUUGACCAUAAGAUUGGGGUGACUGACAUUGAACAAAAAAGGUCGAAGAAGUGCUAGAAGGUGUAGGCAGCAAUGGUGUUAUUGUGUGGGAACCAACAAUAGGCUAAAGAGAACUCUUAUGAAGGUAUUCAUGACUAAGCAAAUGACUGUGCAAGUCAGUGUAGCUAAAUGGUUCGGCUUUGGUUGAGAAGUUGGUGACCGGCCAAGUCUUUAAAUUCUCCCCACAAGCCCCUGAACACAUAAAGAUCGAAGUUCUCUAACCUAAUUGGUAUGCCAGCGACAUCAAAGCUCAUCAUAUGGCUUUCUAUAAGUAGGCACUAACUGUAUCAUCUCCUUGUUUUAGUUCUUGAUGGAUCCAUGGAGAUGCAUAAUUCGUGAGUUCAAUGGAGAUGUAAAAGCUUGAUCAAGAGUCUACCAUAUAGUGUAUGAUGUUUAGCAGUCAAUAACCAAGUGUAAAACUUUAUAUAGUAGAUAAAAAGGACAAAAAAGCACUUGUAAUCAGAUGGUCUUGUUGUUUCCAUGACAGAAAUGUUGGAUUAGUUACUAGAGCAGCCAUGAAUGAUGAUAUAACAUAAGAAGGAGAGCAUGGGAGAGAACCAUCAACAAAAGAAUAAACCCACUAGCCUAGUAGAUAAGACUUCAUCUACAUCUUCCAAUACAAGUAGUUCGUGUAAGACAGUUUCAAAGAAAUCACUUGUUGUGUGUGAGGUAAGAGAAUCAUGGUAUUGCUAUAAUAAACAUUAGCAUAUACGGAGGCAUUGAAAUCAAUAGUAACGGUAGGAGCUUGAUCAACAGAAUUGGGAGAGGAAUAAAACGCUUGUGCAGCAGAGGUAUGCAAUAACGUUGUCUGCACCGAACACAAGCGGAGAGGAAGAAGAACCAAGCAGCAGAACAAUGGAGAUAACUGGCAAAACAUAUAUGGUAUACCCGACAACAACAGAGGGGUUAAAAAUAGGAUUAGCAACAGAGAGAUUAAAAGCAUAAUUGGUAGCAGCUGUUAUAUAUUGAUUAGGAUCCAUGUAUAGAAAGAUUAGGGAGAAGAAGGCUAUGAUACCAAGUUAAGAUAUAAGAAGUGUUUAGAGGCUUAACAAUUGUAUUAGGCAUCCUUUUUAUUUAUAUAAUUAGUGUUUAGAACCAACAGCAUUUCCACUUAAAUUUACACAAAUCCCAAACCCUAUCCUUUUCUAGACAUAGUCAUUAAACCUAAUUUGAGAAGAGUCCUGAAUCAAACCUAAAGCUGGAAUUCUGAAAGAAGCCAGCAUGUUAACAGAUCUUGGCUUUGAUGUAAAAUAGGCCUCCUUUUGUAGUAACUUUGUGAUUAAUUUCUUAGAAUUCAUUUAGGAAAGAAAGAAGUUCAAUAUAAAAGGACCAAAAUGUAAAAUAAAAAGAAAUCUCAAGCUCAUUCUUAAAUUCACCAAAAAAAGUACUUUUUAGUCCUAUUUUUCUUUUUCUUCUUUUACGGUCCAUAUUAUUUUUGAAAUUUUAGUUUUGAUCUAAAAAUUCAUUAUGUUCAUUUUUCAAGCUUUAGAUGUGAAAAAGAAUCAUCGGAUAACAAAAAAAGAGUUAUAAUUGAUCACAUUUCUAGCAAAAACAAAAGCUCAAUCUUGAGGUCAACAAGUUCCAUUCAAUAAGACAAAUUUCAUUAAAGUGUUUUUAUAUGUAUACCUUAUUAGAAAAAAUAGAUUAAGGCUGAGAGAAUUUUUUUUCCAGUUUGAUUUUGUAUUUUAUACUAAUUUAAAGAUGUUUUGAAUUGUGAAAUUGAUUUAUUAAGAUGGUAAGAGCAUUUUUUUAGUUGUUUUUUUUUUUUAAUGAAAAUUGGUUUUAAAAAAUGGUAUUUCCCACACAAAAAACCAAUCCAAGUUUUUCAGUCGCUACUUUGUGGUUGGAAUUUGAAGAUGUCGCCCUUGCAGACCUAAGUGCACCUAACGUUCUUCCAGUUAGAUACAUGAGCUUGAUUGUUUUUGGUUUUUUUUUUUUAUAAUUUUUUAAGGACUUUUUUUUAAUGCACUAAAAUGUUUUUAGCAUUAUAAUUCAAUUUUCAUUUAAUUUAUCCAUGGUUUUAUAGAUUUUUAUGGGAAAGUUGAUAUUUUGUUUUCAAUUAAAAUAAAAUAUAUGUUUAAAAAAUUUUAAACAAUUUAUUAUAUGAUUAAAUAUAAAAUUUCUAAUGCAUUAUUCUUAUAAUUUUUAAAUAUAUAUGCAUCAUAAUAAUAAAAACAUUUUUAAAAAUUUGCUUUUGAAAUUCUUAUCAUUUUUCUUCAACAAAUAAAUAUUUGGAUAAACAAUUUGCUGAAAACAAAAGUCAUUAAUAGGAUAAAGAAGCUUUAAUUAAAAAGGUGUCUUUUUCAUUCUUAUUUUGAAUCAUUUGAGUCUUUUGAAUAGUUACUCCAAUCGCCUUCGAUUUUUAUUAAUGAAGUAUUAUUUUUUGGCCAGUAAAAAUAAUAAUAUUAAUAAAAAAAAUUAUACUAGCAAAUUAUUUUAUUUUUAAUACAAUUUAAAUUACUACUUUUCUUAUAAAAAAAUUAUUGAUAUAAAUUAAAUAAAAAAUUUAAAUACUUUUUCACAACAUAAAAUCAGAUAUCUGAACUUUUAUUUAUUUUAACUUUUUAAUUUAGUCUUUGAUUUACCACAACAUUUCUUUAAAAAUUUUAUUUAUACAUAUAACUUUUAAUUUACUCUUAUUAAAAAAACGUCAAUUAUUUUGUGUUGAAAAAUAAUUUUUUAUCUGGCAACAUACCACGAACAAGGUGAUGAGUAAUACAUAAAUUCUAAGCAGAGCCCCGUGAGUUUUGCAACUCAAAAGCAACAAUUUCUACCACGAACAGAGAGAAUAAGUUGAGAAUCGAGGGAUAUUGUUAAUUGACUCGACUCGACUCAUUGACUCCAUUCGACUCAAUUGAAAAUAAUAAAUUUUUUUUGAAUAAUUAUCUUAUUUGAUAAGUAGAUAUAAUUACUUUAUUUGAUAAGUAGGUAUAAAUCAACUCAAAUCUAAUUUGAAAUAUAUAGAUAUAUAGAUAUAUAGUAAAACAUUUAUAUUUUUAGAAUAUAUAUAUACACACACACACACUCAAAACUCGCUUGAUUGAUAACAUAAUAGAUAUCUAAAUUUUUUUACUUGUUGGAUAAUAAUUAGAGUCAUCCCGAGUAACAAACUCCUCAAUCUCUCUUUUAUCAAAUUUAGGUAUUUUCCUCCUUUCUAUUUUUUUUUGGUUACUAUGUUAUCAAUUGUAAAUCAGUUAAACUGAUUAUGAGGUGUGGAGUGGUUGUAUGUUAUGAAUAUUUAUGAAUCCCUUAUUUUGAAUGUUCCACUUAGCAUUUUUCAAUGCAAAACAUCAAAAGCAGCUAUCAAUUUGACAAGUUUCUUUUUUCCCCUAAUGUCGUCAAAGCUUGGACGUAUUUUUUUCCGUUGUAAGUAAAUUUUGUUAUAUGGGUUUCUUUCAUAUAUUAUCACAAACACAUGGGCAGCGUGAAGCUUUUUUUUACCAUUCAUGAAUUUGACUGGUUAGUAUACAAAUUUAACAGUGUUGAUGACAAAUUGACUGUCUCGCCAGUGGCCCGUACCUGGUGUAUGGCAGGCCAUUAAUUCUGAAGUUUAUGCCGGAGUAUUUUGACUACAGCUAUGAAAAAAUGACUGGGGUCCCUGUUUGUGAAAUUUCCAAAUCUACCACUAAAAUGUUGGUCUGCCAAUUACCUCUCUAAGAUUGCUAGUGUGAGUAGUAGAGUGCUAGCGUGAGUAGUAGAGGUGGACGCAAACUAUUUCGGAUAUCCACAUUAAACUAAAAAAAUUGCUAGCGUGAUUGGAACUAUUCAAUGUGAUAAGCUUACUACUACUAUGUCGAGAAUCUUGUACGCUAGAGUGCUUGUGAAAUUCGAUUUGCUUGAUGAUCUUGUCCAUUCUGUUGACAUUCUUCUGCCGAAUGGUACUGCACUCACACAAUCAGUUAUAUAUGAGACAUUACCCAGAUUUUGCAAGCAGUGCAAAGUUCUUGGUCAUGCAACUGGGGUUUGCUAUAAGACUAUUAAUGUAGAGUCAAGAAAGAUGGGCAGACAUGAAGUUAAACAAAUGGGCAGUGUGAAGCAUGGCAAUGUCUCUGACGGUUUGGGAUCCUGCAGACAUCAGUGUGAAGAAUAAUAAAGUGAACGAUGUUGUGGCAGACCAAAGUUUUGACCCCAUGCAAACUGAGGUGGAUGUCAUAAUUGAAGAAAGGGAAAUUGUCAGGGGAAAGAAAAGCAUUGUUGUAGACACAAGGAAGACGGGCAACCAUGCAGCUAAACAAAAGGGCAGUACUAAGCACAGCAGUGUCUCUAUAUGUGUGGGUCCGAUUGCUAAUGCUAGUAUGGAGAAUAAUAAAGAGAAAGAUGUUGCAGAUCAAAUUCUCGACUCCAUGCAAUCUGAGGUAGACGUCAUUUUUGACGAAUGGGAAACUGUCAGGGGAAAGAAAACUAGAAAGUCUCCUGGCAGUGUUGGCUUCAAUAUCCAAAAGAGCAAAGUCAUUGCAAGGGCACCUCAAGGCUGGAAACAGAGGGGUCAUGAAGGGCCGGUUGAUGGUGUAACUACCAGGAGUGUUCAUAAAGGAAUUGAAAAUAGAGCUACUGGAAGUGGUAGGGAGCCUCCUACCCCUCCACCACUAUAAUGUUAUUGAUAAGUUGGAAUGUCGGAGGGCUUAAUAGCCCUCUGAAGCAACAUGAAAUGGUAAAUCUCAUGAAGAAAAGCAAAUGUGAUGUGUGUGGCCUUUUAGAGACUAAGCUAGUUUCUUCCAAGCUUCAAUUCAUGCACAAGUUUAGAUUGAAGCAUUGGAGGUUUUUUUCUAAUGUUGAAAUUGCUGGUACUGCUAGGAUUGUUGUUCUGUGGAAUCCUUCUAGUGUAAUUGUUGAUUUAAUUAAUUCAUCUCCCCAAGCUCUACAUAACUCGGUGCGUAGCUUGGAAAAUCAACACGCUUUUGUAGCCACCUUUGUGUAUGGGUACAAUACAGUUAUUGCAAGAAGAUCUUUAUGUGAUCACCUUAGAUAUGGGCUCCAGCAUGUCCUUGGAUUGUAUUAGGCGAUUUCAACUCUAUUCUAUCACAAGAUGAUAAACACAAAACGAGGAACCUGUUACUAACUAUGAAGUGUCUGAUUUCAGAGCGUGUUGUUCAGACUUGGGGCUCUCUGAUUUGAAUUACACCGGCUGCCACUACUUCUGGUCAAAUGGGAAAAUCUGGACAAAGAUUGAUCGUGUGUUGGUCAACCCCAUGUGGAGUAGCCUUCAGAUUCAGUCCUAUGUGAAAUUGAUUUGGAGCAUCACCAAUCCCUAUUCCAUGAUGACAGGGAUAACAUUACCCUCUUGGAAAGAGAAAAGCAAUUAAGGCUGGAACUUAUGAACCUCAAAGCUGUGUUUUUUGCUUAGAAACUUAAAUGCAACUUCUUCAAGGAGAGUAACAAGGGCACUAGCUUUUUUCAUGCCUUGAUGAGCCAAAGACACAAAAGAAAUUACAUUUCAGUUAUCCAAUGUAGUAAUGUUGGUAUUACUACCUCUCUAGAUGAAGUCAGAGCAGAAUUUGUUAGAUACUACAGUGAGCUUCUUGGAACCCCAAAGGCUACAAUCCCUAUUGAUGCAGAUGUUCUUCAUUGCGGGCCGUGUCUUGAUGACAGGUAUCAUGAUUUUCUCUUGGCCCCUGUAUCUAGUGAUGAUAUCAAGACAGCUCCUUUUGGUAUUGGUAAUGACAAAGCUCAUGAGCCUGAUGGGUACUCAUCUCUCUUCUUCAAGAAAUCAUGGGAUACAGUUGGGGAAGAUUUUUGUGCGGCAGUGCGUGAUUUCUAAAUUUCUAGCAAGCUACUUAAGCAGAUCAAUCAUUCCAUUAUAGCUUUGGUCCCUAAGUCUGCUAAUGUUACUUCUGCGAAUGACUUCAGACCUCUCUUUUGUUGUAAUGACUUCAGAUCUCCGAACUCUUAGCUGAGAGAAUGGCCCUUGUCCUCAAAGACAUUAUCAGUCCAAUUCAAAAUGCUUUCCUGGGUGGGAGAAACAUGGCUGAUAAUAUUAAUCUGAUUCAAGAACUCCUAUGGCAUUAUGGCAGGAAAAGAGUCUCCCCAAGGUGCCUUGUUAAAAUUGAUUUCAGGAAAGCCUUUGAUUCGGUUCAAUGGCCUAUCCUCAGAAGGCUCCUCCAGCUGCUGGGUUUCCCUCUCAGAUUUUUUCAUCUGGUAAUGAUGUGUGUCGAAACCUCAUCAUUCUUUAUGGCUAUCAAUGGUGACCUUUAUGGGUUCUUUACAGGAAAAUGUGGGGUUAGACAAGGCGACCCUUUGUCUCCUUAUCUCUUCAUAACCUGUAUAGAGUACUUCUCUAGAAUGUUGAAAUUAGCAUCCCAAAGGACUGAUUUUCAUUUUUAUCUGAAGUGUGCUUCUAGUGGAAUUUGCCACCUUGCCUUUGUUGAUGAUAUACUUCUUCUCUCCUGAGGGGAUAGAACUUCGAAUCUUUGGAAAGACUUCAGGGUUGACUAUCAAUGCAGAAAAAUCUUCCAUUUAUUUUGGAGGGGUCGGAGAAAGCUUGAAACAAACCAUUCUCCAGGAUACUCAAUUCUCAAAAGGUAGUUUUCCCUUCAAAUAUCUUGGUGUUCCUCUCAGUCCUCAUAAGCCGCUGGCAAGUCAGUUCCCCCCCCUGCAUAAGCUUGAAUCAACAAUCCAGAGCUGGAUGGGGAAGCAUUUAUCUUAUGACAGGAGGAUUGAAUUAAUACGAUCAGUGCUAUAUGGAAUGGUGCAAUUUUAGCUUAGUAUAUUCACUGUGCCAGGUCUGGUCAUAAAUCAAAUCAUUUGCAUUUGCCGAAACUUUUUGUGGGCAAUACCUUGAGAAACAAGUCUGCUUCGGUAGCUUGGAAAGAUGUUUGUUUUCCCAAGAAUGAGGGUAGUUUGGAUUUGUUUGAUAUAAAGGCUAGAAACAAAUGCUUCCUAGCCAAACAGCUUUGGAACAUUCACCUUAAAACUAAUUAUGUUUGGAUCAAAUCGGUGCAUCAAUACUUCUUGAGACAUCACUCCAUCUGGAAUGCUUCUCUUCAGCGAACCUCAUCACCUCUAUGGAAGUCCAUUCUAUCCAUCAGGAAUCAGCUACUAGGGGAUUGUGGGGGUGAAUCUGAAGCCAUCUCCAUGAUGAGAAGUUGGGAAAUUUGUGAUGGGCCCUUCGCUGCUAAUACUUAUGAAUACCUCAGAGUUAAAGGUAUUUCAUGUGUCCUAGAAUAAUGUAGUUUGGGAAUAUUGGUGCUUACCUAGACACAGCUUCAUUUUAUGGUUGUCUAUGUUAGGGAGACUAAGAACAAGGGAUCGGUUAAGAUUCAUUGGGACAGAAACGCAUUGUGUGCUAUGCCGGCAUCAUGAUGAUAAUCAUAGCCAUCAGUUGUUUUUCGCCUGCAAUUGGACCUCUAUUCUGUGGAGGAAGAUAAGGGCAUGGUUAAGAAUAAAUAGGCGUAUGGCUACCUUGAACAGUGCAACUAGAGGAUUAAGCACUAGGAAGAAGAAUCUUGAAGCUAGAAUGAGAAGAGUCUCUUUAAGCAUUACUGUUUAUUUGAUAUGGGAAGAAAGGAAUAAAAGGAUCUUUGAUAACACUUAUAAUUUAGUGGAACUCAUCUUCCGCAAAUUUCAAGUGUUUUUCCAUAUGAUCUUACAUUUCCAUGAGAAAAACCACCUUAUAUUCAAUAUUGGGUGAAGGCUAAGGAAUUGGCUGGUUCGGCAGGUUUGUUGGCUGGACAGUCUGCCAAGUUACCAUUUGAUAAUUACUGAGCUGCAUUUGCCUUGCUACGGGACCUCUGUCAUAAGAAUUCCUGAUGAUUGUCUAUCCUGUGUGAUGCUGCUUUGCUGGGUGGAAGCUUCUUCAUUCAGCUGUUAUAUUAUAUUAUAAUGCAUGGGACUGGAUAGAUGGAUGAGGUCCUUCAUAAUGUUAUGUUGGCUAUUUGGUGCAAUUUAUUAGACCCCUGUUGGUGUACCGGGCAUGCUGGUGACCAGGACAGUAUAGGCUUCCUUGUCUUGGCUGGCACUGUCCGGCUGGUGUUCCUUUUUUUUUUUUUUAUGGUGGUUUAUACUGCUGAUCAGUUGGAGUCAUGGCUGAGGUGAUGCAUUUAAUAGUCGAUGUAGAAGUGUUAGAGCUUCCGGCUUCUUCAUUACUUGAUCUGCUUCUUGGAAGUUCUGUAGGUUCUGUGAUCAUGUAUGUUGAUGUGGCCUUUUCAUUCAGCUCAAUGUUAUUCCAGUUACAAUGAAAGAAUGGAAAUGAGGGAUGGAGGUGGUUCUCCUAUGUGGUAUGCACAUGUGUGCAGGGGACGCUGUAAUCAUGCUUUGUCGGUGCCUAUGCAUAUGGAAGCCUGUAUGCUUAUGGCUUGAAUCCCGGUGUUCUUGCUGGGUCAAUGGAGCUGCCUCCAUUGCUGGGAUUAGCACUAGGAAAUUCAUUUCUCUCAGCUGUUUGUUGUUGAUAUAUGUAAUUAUAAAAAAGUUUCUGUUUGCGCUCAAUGGGUAUUGAUGGGAUUUCCGGGAUAACCUCUGUUGCUCCUAGGUUUUAGAUUGCUAGUUUUGUCCUUUGGGGAGCAUGUUCCCCAUGUCUGUUUAUUAUGUUUUCUGUACAGAACUAGCUGGUCCUUCAGCUUUGCCUAUUUUUGAUCUAUAAUACAUACUUACAUUUUGAUUUAAAACCCAUAGCAAUUGGGGAUGUGAAAGGGCUCAAUCAACUCUUAUAAUAAGAGAAGAACCUGAAUUAACAUGUUUUAGUUGCAAUGUUCGAUUUCAUUUUAAAUGCUAUUUUCUAUUUAACAAAAAUAAAAACCAUCAGAUUAUACACACAAAUCUAAACUGUUCAGAGUAAAAAAAAAAAGUAACAUGCUUCUCUUAUCCAGAUUUUCCACACAAAAAAACACAAUUUUUCAAUUUUAUUUUUAUUAUUCUUAUACAUAUAAUAAAAUAAGUUAUAAUUAUUCUUUAACAAACUAUUUUUUAAUGUUAUUCUAUGCAUAUAAAACUUAUUACUUGACAAUUUUUAUACUUUUAACUAUUAUAAGAAAAAACAAUUAUUAAGAAAUAAAUUCAUAAUUAAAUAGAAAAUUAUUUUUUUACUAUUAUUUCAAGUCUUAGAUAUAAAGAAAAUAUACAGAUUAAUGUGUAUAUUUUUACAUGAAAUUAAAAUAUAUUUUAUUGUAUUAAAAAACUAUUUAAAAGAUAUGUAAAAAAAAAUUGUAUAAGAAAUACAUAUAAGCAUAAAUCAUAUGUCAAGCAUAAGAAAUACAUAUAAGCAUAAAUCAAAUAUUUUCUUUAAUUCAUUCCAUCUCACCUUCUACCAUCGAAUAGAGGAAUAAACACAGAUUUUUAUCUUGUCUACCUUGCCAGACACAAAUCAUUCUCGUCCUCAGCGUUCUCAUUUACAUAGUUCUGUCUCUUACAUCUUAUCUCUCUAAGAAACACAAUAACAACAACAAUAAUAACAACAACAACAAGAAUAAUAAUAUUGUUAUUCAACACGUCCCCGAGCCUUUCCUAUCUUUACUAAUUUUUUAUAAAAAUAUAUGAUUUGUUAUUCAAUAUUUUAGCAGGUGACAUUAUCAUUUAAUAUUUGUGAUAGAGUAGAAAAAUGUUUAUGAUAUAAUAUUCUACUCUAUCACAAAUAUUCAUAUCUAUUCAUUUUAUCAUGUAUUUCGUUUCUUUACAAAUAUAUCAACACAAAUAUUAUUUUGUAAUGGAAAAACAUGGGGAUUCAGAAUUAAGAGGAAGGAUUUGAAAGUUAAAAGGAGAGAUUUAGGAGAGUUUCUGUAGGGAUUUGGAUUUUACUAACGGAAAAGACAAAGAUUCAGAAUUAAGAGGGACUUCAAAAGAAGAGAUGUAGGAGGGUGUUUGAAGGGAUUUGAAUUUAAAUAGUCCGUUACAAAUUGAUUUUUUUUGGUAGAUUGGUUUUGUUGAAUGAUAAGGCUGUUGUGUGGCUAAUAUGGUGUGGUUUAUGUUGGGUAUGGCUGAGGGUAACUGGAAGAGGGGCUGUUGUGGUUGAUGGGGGUUGGCAGCAAUUAUUUUGGGGCUGUUGAGUGGUGGUUCGUGACUGAAAUUGACAGGACUUGGGGAUUGUUUGGGCAGCAUUGUGGUUGUUAGAUCUGAUGCUGCUGUACAGUGGACGUGGUGUGUAGGAUGAGUUUAGAAAGUCGCGGUUUUGUUGGACAGCAAGGUUGUGGUUUUUGCACUGGAUCGAUUGGUUGUAGAAACAACCAAAAAAUACCUGUUCUCUGAUACCAAAGCUGAUGUUGGACAUAUAAAAUUGAACAAAAGUAAGAGGAGAAAAAAGAAAGCUAAGAUGCAGAAGAAGAGAAGAAAAGCAGAUGACGAAGAGAAAGAAAAGGAGGAGUUGGAGAAGAGGAGAAAAUAUUAGAAGAAAGAAAAGGGAAGAACGAGAUAGAAGAAGAAAAGGAGAUGUAAAAAGAAAAAAAGGAGCUAGAGAAGAAAAGGAAGAUAGGAGGAGGAGAAGAGAUGGGAGAAGAGAAGCAUGUCACUUUUCUUAUUUCAUCAUCAACAAUCUCACCAUAAUGUAGAAAAUUACAUCUAAAUCAUCAGAACAAAGAAACCCUAGUAAAAAAAAAAUAGGCUUAUGGCACACUAAAUAAAAUGUCUAAUAAAUCAAUAUAAAUUAAGCCCAAUAAUAAUGGGUUGGACUAUACUCCGUUACCAAGUCUUCAAAUGCAAUUAUGCAUCUCUUAAUAAAACCUACACAAUAGCCUACUAAGGUUUUAUGAUGCAAUAAAAUAUUAAUUCUUUUGUACCCAAUUUUUUCCCGUCAAGAUCAUAGAGAAGGCAGUGACAAAGUUCAAUUGCGCUAAACCCUCUUAAGCAUGCUUCACCCAAUUACAAAUUGCAGUCCUCAAACUAAGUAUGUGGAUGGAGCUAAGGUAGAAGAUUUUCAUAGGAGAGCCGAGGCAACUACACAACGGACAUGAAACUAGGGUUGCAAGUCAUAGCGGGAAGGGGGCAAACUAAGGAGGUCUUGGUGGACAUUUCAUGCACAGUAAACCAUCUUAAUUCUGAGAACAAAAUACUCAUUCUCCCCAAUAGAAUAGCUGCUGUGAUAGUCAGCAUAUUCUGAAAGCACAUUAUAAGAACCCUAAAAUCUAAUGCGGAUUUGCCACCAAAUGUGUGUGGAUUACGUCAUAACUAUUUAUUUUCAAAAUAGUCAGGGUUAUUGAUAACGAAAAUAAUUAUUCAUGAAGUAUAACAUUAUUAGUGAUAUCGUUUCACACAUGCUCCUCGUCAGUAUAUACCAAAGAAACAAAUUAAUCUUUUCGCUAAUUGCAUGGGGAAAAAAAACAAGAAUUAUUAGCUUUCAUACUACAGUGAAAUACGGGGAUACAGUUGUUGCUCAUAAAUUAAUCUUUUGUCCUAAUUGUACUUGUAAGUAGAUCACACCACGCUAUUGAUCACAAUGAAUGAAUACACUGAGCACGUAUCAUUACCUAUGAGGUGGUGGCAAGACCAUACUAUUUACCUCCAGCACCCAACUUUUAAUUUGUCCAAUUCAAGACAGUCAGCUUGAUAUGCUGAAAUUCCCAUGUCACUGAAAAGAUCAGAUAGCAGCUCAAAGUUAGCAAAUCCACUUGGAUGGUACAGAAUCUACUAUCUAAUAUGACCAAUGUAAUAGCAAAAUCAACCCCUAGCAUAAUAAAAGCAUUAGGAUAUGGUUCAGAUCCCUCUUGCAUUCCAGCAUAUAAACAGCUGAACACCAAUUCACAGUGAACAAGAAACCACAACAUGACAUGCUAGAGCUUCCAAAUAUGAGGGGGAUUGGGGAAAGGAUCUUGCUUGGCAAAAACUAGAUGAAUAACCCAUCCUUCAAUUCUUUUUACCCAUUCAUCAUCCAUCCCUCCCCUGACAUACACAGCCUUAUGGAUUUGGCAAAUUACAAAGAUGGGCAUGGCCUUAGAUAUAAGUUGCAAUGGACAGCAAUAAGUGAUCCAUCCCCCUCUAAACUCAGAGCAACUUGAUCUCUCUAAUCUUGGUGGCGUUUAUAAAAUUAAUACAGAAAACAGUUUAUAACCUGACCUGAGGGUAACAAUCUUGAUGCUCUACUGUCUGAUUAUUUGUAUUCACAAACACUUGACAUGAUACUCUUCCCUGAAACAUUUCAAAAACUCAGAUUACUUACUAAAGCAGCACGAAGAAGAAAUUAAAAUUAAAAAAAAAUGACUUACAUUGAUGGGAAUUUUGAAAAGCAAGAGGCCAAGGUCUCCUUUAACCUGUGUAUCAGUAUCGAAAAUAAUAACACCUCUAGCCAAAUCCUGAAUCAAAUAAAAAACAUCCUUUAUAACCUCAAGACCAUUUAAAUCAAGCCUUGCAUCCACAUACGAACUCCUUCUCGCUCUGAUUUUCCCUCCCUUUGAAUUCACAAACCCUAGCUCUCUCCCUCUGUACCCAACCGAAACUACAAGAGAAUCGUAAUCCAGAGAGAAGAAAUCCCUGUUUUCAACUUUAAUUGUGAGGGAGAAUGAGACGUCCAGAGUAAGUUCAGGGGACGAGUUCACUCGGAUGUGGUUGAGUUUGAUUCGGGAUAGUUGGAUCGCCGGGUCGGAAGGGUAGAGGAGGUAGGCGGCGGCCGAGAGGAGGAGGAUUGCGGUUGUGAAGAGGAGACAGCGGCGGAGGAUGUGGUUUGGAGGUCGAUGGUAGUAGGAGAGAACGAUGACGUUUUGGGGAUAGGAGUCCGGGUGGGAAGGUAGAGAGGUGUACGGUACGGAGGAGGUUUUUGAAGUCAUGGUCGAAUUAUCUUGUCGAGUUCUGAUCCGUUCCAAAAAGUUUAACAGAACAUUACUCCUUUGUGUAUGCGCGAAGGUUGGUGUCCCUGAUGACGUGUCAAGUUAUUAUUGAUUUCUUCAGUUCACCAAGAAAAGAAUUAUAAAGAUAAUUUUCUCCUUGCAGUUUACUAGAGGCUCCACUUUAGCAAUUAUUAAAUUAAAUAGGUGGCACUUGUUGGGUUUUUUCCAACAGAAAAGAUAAUAUUAAGUAUUUUAAAAAAUAAAAAAUAAAAAUUAAAAAUUGAUUCAAUUGAAUUGUCCAAACCUUAAAAGGGCUUGAGGCAUGAGGUCCAGGCACAAAACAAAAGGAUUGUCCCAAAUGUAUAGCACUCCUCCGUCUUAAGUAAAGCACCAGAACAGGAGAGGAUCCCAGCAGGAAACUUAAAAAGACUUACAGUAUAGAAAGUUUUUUUUUUUUUAAAAAAAAAAAAAAAAACCUAGAAAUUAAAGAGAAGGUCAACAUCUCACAUCAAGCUUUGUGUUUAGUGUCAUUUUUGGAGUCUUGAGGACAAGCUUUUGUUAGGUCGUGGGAGCAGCUGUUACAUUUGAAGAAGGUAGUAUGGAAUGGACUGUGGUUGGGAAAGAUUUUGUGUGUCUUGGCUGCAAGAAUGGGUUCUGAGAAGGCUAGCACUUAGGCAACUUCCUCGGUUCUUAAAGGAUGAACAAGGGGAACAAUUUGGGGUGAAUGUUUAAAAAUCAGACGUCUGUUAGAUGGGAAUUAUGUUAAAUUAAAGCCUUUUUUAAUUUGCCCUGUAAACUUUCAAAACCUUUCAAUUAAGCCCAGAAUUGUCUAUAAUUUAAAAUAUCCUUGCAAUUUCAUCCUAACCUUCUUCAAUUAGGCCCCUAUAUUUCAUCUUCUUUUACAUAAUGGUCCUUAUUCUAGGGUUUCUUUGAUUAAGUCAUCAAUUAACCCCUUACACUUCUAAUUCUUUCAUUUUUACCCUUGAUUAGUCAAUAAACCCCUAUAUUUUUUUGCAUCCUUUUCAUUCAUUCUAAUCAUUGGAUUAAUUUAUGUAAAUUGACUCCCAAACUUUAAUUUUUAUUCAAUUAAGUUUAUAAUUGCAUUAAUUAGGCCAAUCCAAAGCUCAAUUAAGUCCGUAAGCUUGUUGAUUCUUCCAUUUUUCACAAAAUUGACUUCAAACUUGAUUUUCCUUUCAAUUAAGCCCUUUCAAAGUUCAACCAGGUCCUUAGUUUUUCCAAUUUUAGCAAGUUUGCCCCCAUCUCCAACUUUCUCCUUAAUUAGACCCUCAACUAUCAAAAAUUUUCUACCAAACUUUGCAACCUUGUCCAUGUUGGUCCUCAAACUUCUAAUUUAUGCAGUCUUGACCAAUUUCAGUCUAUUUUUCAAAUUUUCUUCAUCAAGACCCCAUAUUAUCUAUCCAUUUGGCGUUCUAAACAACUAGGAAUUAAAUGUGUGCCCAAUUAUGAUUCAAAUUACUACUACUACUACUAUAAAUUUUGAUUUUUUUGGUAAAUAAAUUGAAUAUUUUUUUGCAAGAAAAAUAUUUUCUACAUGAAAAAUGAAAACUUUUAGGGGAACUAAAAAUUGUAUUAUGACAAUUGCUAUGACUCUUCUCUUAUUGUUCUUGGAUGAAAACAUUAUAAUGAAAUUAUCAUAGUAAAUUCUCAAUUGUUUGGAAAUUGUGUCAACAACUUCAAGCCCCGGGAUAUAGCUACUCAACCAUAUAGCUUGUAAUUUCACUUUAAAGAGUGAAAUAAACUCUACUUUAGUCCUAAAAGUAUCAACCAAAGAUCAAUUUGCACUUCUCUAAGAAAUGCCCCCUCCAACUAAUAAGAAGACAUAUCUUGAUAUUGACUUUCUUAAGUCAAGACAACCAACAAAAUUAGAAUUUGAAUAUAGAAUUGCUUCUAGAUGAUCAAAUUGUCUAUAUAUAAAUUUGUAGUCUUUAGUAACUUAAAGGUAUCAUAUGAAUUUCUUUGUAGCUCUCCAAUGGUCCAAACCUAGAUUACCUUGAUAUUUUCCCAAUAUUCCAACUAUAUAUGUAAUACUAGGUCUUCUGCAAACCUAAUCAUACAUUAAACUCCUAAGCAUAAAAGCAUAAGGAAUGUUCAUUUGCUCCCUCUUUAAUUGUAUUUUCGAUGCAUUUACUCCCAUUUCAUAAUUUUCAAUGCCUUUUCAAUAAAUCAAAUUUAAAGAAAUAAGUUUACGAUGCAUUCAUGUCCAUUUCAUAAAUCUUGAUUGCUUUUUUUAUCGAAUUAAUGUUAACGUUGUUUUUUGAAAACAACCAAAAUACAAAAAAAAUCAAAAAAUCAAAAUAGGGUGCAAAAUGGUCAAGUGAGAAAAAGUACAGAACAAGAAAAAUGAAGGACUAAAAACAUAUAUAAUAAAGAUAUUCUUAGGAUAUACCUAGAGCAAGGGAUCAAAAUAAAAAUGUUUUCAAGUAAAGAAGUGUAAAUAGAAAAAUGAAUAAUGUGAAAGGAGGGGGAAGCAAAAGAAAAACGAGAGAAACCCUAGCCAUUAUAGGAAGAGAUAAAGAAAGAAAAAUAAAGUGAAAGAGGGGAGGAAAGUAUAGCUGAAAUUUGAGAGAAAAACCUUAGCCAUAAAAAAAAAAAAGGAAAAAAACCCUCAUCUUCUUCCCCUCUCCCAUAAAAAACAAAACCCUAGCCACCAAAAGAAAAAACCAAGCUUCUAUAUGAAAAAAUAAAGAGAAGAAAAGGAGCAAAAAUUAUCCAUGUCCUUCCUUAUAAAAACCUAAUAUAUAUUUCUCUCAUUUCUUUUGUCCACCAACUUCGGCUGACCAUCCAUACCUUUCAUUGAUCACCAUGAACUCUUUCAUGACAUCCCUAACAGAACAAUACCUAUGAUAGCCAUAAAUAAAUAAAUAAAAGUGAGAAAAACAAAAAACGAAAUAUCAAUAAAGGAUAAAAUGAGACAACAUAGCAAUCAAAACUUCAAGUCGUAUGAUCUCUGUUUAUCACCGAUGGUGACCUAUACUGCCUCUAUUAGGAGGAAGAAUAUGGGAUGGCAUAACCUGUGAGACAAUCCAUAUGCCUCCCCUUCUUAUUAUUAAGCCCAAAAAUAUCUUUUAAGUAAAGCUAUCUAGAAAAAACAACAUCAAUGGCAAAAAAAAAAGGCCAAAACUCUUCGGGCACCAAUCUCUUUUUAUGAACAAUGGUGACUUACACUGCCAUUAUUAGGAGGAAGUUGAGGAAAUAGUGCAACAUCUAGACCCAUUCACAUGCCACCUCUCUUAUCUGGUAACCAGAACAAUGUGAUGCAAUCCUAGUCAUCACUACUAACUUUUCUUGCAUUGUUUUGCCACUUCCACCUAUUGUUUUAGCUUUUUUUAUUCACCUUAGCCACCCUAGAAGGUUUAUUUUGAACCCUAAACAUCUUUCAAAUUAUUAUUUUUGUUUAUGGUUGAUUUGGAUAUGUAUUGUGGUGAAUUAUUUUAGAUUUGAAUGAAUUUUUAGGUCAUGUUUUUAAAGCUUUCAAACAACCAUUAAUGCUUUUUAAAUAGAAAGAGAUAAUAGAAAUGUCAAAGGGACAAAAGUGUUACAAAAGAGAGAUAACAAAUAAUCAAAUGAAAAAUUCAAAUGAUCAAGUUAAAAAAAAGUUAAAAAAAUGAUGAUGAAAAAGGAAAGACAAACAACUCUAUAAAUUGUCUUUAUGAUGGUGAAAAGUCCAAACUUGAAGACAAAAUAUCAAUGAUAAAACACAAGAUACAAUUUGGAGAUUGGAGGUUGUAAUGAGAUCAAUCAUUAAAAUGAAAAAAAAUCAAUUCAACAAGCCUAAAAAUAUCUUUACACAGGACAAAUAAUCCUUAGUAUUUGAACCUUUACACACCAUUUGAGUAUCAUGUAUUCUUUCUUUCAUGAUCAUGAAUCAUAUCUUACAUUAUGUGUCUUAAAAAGUCAUUUCGAAUAAAAAACAUGUGUUAAAAGGUGUCAGCUUAAAAAACAUUACCUGUUUGUGCACCAUAUUCUUAAUGAUAUCAAAUUAUGCGAUUUUUACUACUCAACAUAACAUAAAGUAAGAUGCUCUCCUUUCAAAAACCAAAAAUAUAAUUUUGGAAUCAAACAUUUUCUUUCUGAAAUAACCCCCUGUUGGAAAGGAAAUUCACAACAAAAUCUUGAGAUACCAUACUUUCUCAAAAUCCUAAUCAUCUUAUACCUCUUCAAUUGUCAAAACAAUAAUCUUAGCGUUGAAAGAUGUGUUUGUUAGUAAAUAUGUCAUGUAACUAAUUGGUUAAGUACAUGUAACAAUAAUUUUAUUCAUGUAUUAUUCAUGUAAAAUAUAUUUAUUAUUAAUAAAGGCUUUGUUUGUCUUUAAUAUUCAUUUACAUUUGAUUAAUGAAUCUAAGUUUAUUUAAUGAAUCUAGAGUAAAGAUAAAGUUCAUGGGAUAAAAAUGUUUUACUAAGGAAAUUAUAAAGUUGUUAUAAUUAUGAAAUUUUUAUUGCAUCAAAGCAUUGUUUCUAAAUAUUAAUGGUUGAUGUUCUAUUAAGAAUGAAUAUUAAUUAGAGUUGUUGAGAGUGAUACAUAUUACAUUCAUUCUUUUAGAAAAAGAAGUAGUUCCUCUCAUAAACUAAAGUAUGAGAGAUACCUAGAACUAAUAUAUAGGUGCUUUACAUAUGACAUAUAUACUGAACUGACUCAUAAGAGAAUCUCAUAUAGAGAGAUCAUAUAAGUCUACGAAAAAACUUUCGUGAUAGUUGUGUAAAUAAUCCUUAGACUUUAGAUCACUAAGUUAUCUUAUAUAAGGAUUGUUAUGCUUUGAUCCUAACCACAUGUCAUCUUAAUCAAGGGUAACAAACAAAUAUAUAUUUGAUAUAACAUAAACUAUAUAACGAUAUUUGAGUAAUCAAUAGUAUUGAAUGUGAAAUCUUUGACCAAGAUGGAAUAAGUUUUCCAAGUGGGUUGAUACUAGAACUUGAUAAUUGUUAUUUUGUUUCAGUACUUUCUAGAAAUAAUAUAUCUAUUUCGUACUUAGCUUUGAAUGGAUUUAUAUUUAUGAUUGAAGGCAAAUGUUAUUCUUUUUAUAAUAAUGGUUUUUUUUUUAUUAAUCUAGUGAUUAUACAAAUAGUUUAUAUAUAGUUGAUUUUGAAAUGCUAAUGUUCAAUAUAAACUACAAGAAAAAUGGACUAGAUAAUCAAUAUCAUUUAUAUUUAUAGCACUAUAAACCAGGUCAUAUUAAUAAAACAAGAAUCACUAAGUUACAUAAAAAAAGAUAUUUUGAUCUUUUUUAUUAUAAAUCGUGUGAAACUUCUGAAGCUUGUUUAUUAGGUAAAAUGACUACAACACCCUUUUAUUGGAAAGAGUAAAAGGUCUAAAGAAUUGUUAGGUUUAAUACAUACAAAUAUAUAGGACCAAUGACGAUUCAUACCAUAGACAAAUAUACUUAUUUCAUUAUAUUUACUGAUAACCUUUCUAGAUAUGAUUAUGUAUAUUUAAUGAAACAUAAGUCUAAAUCAUUUGAAAGAUUCAAAGAAUUCAGAAAUGAAGUUGAAAAACAAACACAAAAGAAUAUCAAAAUACUUUGAUCGGAUCAAGGUGGUGAACCCUUGAGCCAAGUUUUUCAAGAUUAUUUAAAAGAUAAUGGCAUUCUCUCACAAUGGAAACCUCUUUGAACACCACAACUUAAUGGAGUUUCUAAAAGGAGAAAUCUUAUCUUAUUGGAUAUGGUACAGUCCAUGAUGAGCUAUGCAGACCUUCCAUUUUCAUUUUAGGAUUAUACCCUGCAAACUGUUGGUUACCUUUUAAAAAAGAUUCCAUCAAAAUCUGUUGAUAAGACUUCAUAUGAGAUAUGGAAUGGUAAGAGACCAAACUUAUCAUCUUUAAAGAUUUAGGGAUGUAACAUUUAUAUGCAUAUAGUAUCGCAAAAGCUAGGAGCAAAGUCAAAUAAUUAUAAGUUUGUAGGAUAUCCAAUACAAUCUAUUAAAUAUUAUUUCUACCAUCCCAUUAAGCAAACAUUGUUUGUCUUAAAAUAUGCUACCUUUCUAGUGAAACAAUUUAUUCUUAAAAUGAGUAGUAGGAGAAAAAUAAAACUUAAUAAAGUUCAAGACCAUAAAAAACAUCCAAAUAUAACAAAAGCCCAAGGUUAUAACAUUUUAUGUUUAGUCUAAAACUAAAAAAAAUAAGAACUUUUUAGAUUUGGUAGGACACAUCAUGCACUAUUGAGAUAUCAACUUCUUGUGAAAGUUGAUGAUGACGAGAUGCUUAUACUUGAUGAGCUUACCAAUUAUAUAGAAGUAAUAUAUAAUAUUGAUUCUAAGAAAUGGCUUAAAGCCAUGAAAUCUAAAAUGGAUUCCAUAUACACCAACUAAGUAUGGACUUUGGUUGCUUAAUCUGAAAGGAUAAACCCCAUUGAUGUAAGUAGGUCAUUAAGAGAAUGAUUGACAUGGGUGGCAAUGUACAAAUAUAUAAAGCUAAACUAGUUGUUAAAAGUUACAAAAAAAAAAAGAAAAAAGAUUGACUUUGAUGAAACCUUCUUGUUGGUAGAUAUGUUCAAGUCCAUAAGAAUUUUACUUGUUAUAGUUGUAUACCAUGAUUAAGAGAUUUGAUAAAUGGAUGUCAAAAUCAUAUUAUGAAAUGGGAAUAUUCACAAAGAUAUGUAUAUGACACAACCUGAAGGUUUAAGAAAUUUACCAACAAAGUAUGCAAGCUAUAAAAAUCCAUUUAUGGACUUAAACAAGCUUCAAAGAAUUGGAAUAUAUGUUUUAAUGAGAAAAUCAAACAAUUUGAAUUCAUAAAAAAUAUGGACAAACCUUGUGUUUAUAAAAAGGUUAAUGAGAGUUGAGUUGUUUUUUUUUUUAUCAAAUGGAAGAAAUUUUAUAGAUCAAAACGAAACUAAGUUGGAAGACCAGCGAGUCAAAGAUACAAGCAUAUACAAUCUAAUGAAAAUGAACAUACGAGAACAAGCUCCCAAUAUGAACAUAGUGAACAAAAAGAAACAAUGUACAACCAAAGUAGCAGUUAAUGGGAACAUAAAACACAUGCUAGAACCAGCAUGAGUAAUAAGCUCCCUAAAUAGAGGCUGGAACCAGGAUGAGCAAAGGUGAAUACCAUAACUGCCCAAGAUAAGCAAGUAUAACAAAUUAAAGCUCACAACAGAUAAAAGUAAGAAAACCAUCACAGAAGCCAUCUUGUGCCACAAGGCAUGGUAACCGACCAAUGAACAAUAGACCAGCCAACACAACGUGCAGGAGCCAUGGCAAGCACAACUAUCCAGUGCAAUGGAUCACAUAUUAGUAUGAGCUCCACUGGGUACAGCCCAACAGACGACAUCACAACGAGCUUACAUGCACAACUCUACAUGUAACAACAACCAAAGAGAAACAAAGCUAGAGACUAGCAAGUUCAAAUGUACAAUAAACACUAAGUAACAAAGGGAACAUGCCUCCUUGAACUAGAAUUAAAUCCAUAUACAGAACAUGAUGUAAAACCAAAACAAGACUACAUAAAACAACGUCAAAAUCCAAUUGAGUCAUAAAGAAGGAGACAGGGAAUAUGAACCCUCAUGUCUGCCCUAAAGCCUAUUGCCUGUCAUAGACCGAACCUUUGUAGAACCACUACCUUUACAGAGAACAGCAACAUCAGUCUUCGCAUGUUGGCCAGCAUUUGCAAUACCAGCAGCCCUGCUACAUCAUAUAUUUUUUCCUGCCUCUAGGGGGCUCUUCUCUUGUAACAAAAGCCACAUCCUACAUAGAAUCAUCAAUAACAUGCAUUAUUUUCGAAGGAGCACAAGACACAGUACCUGGGAGGGGGGAGAUAUGUACUACUGGCCCAACUUCAGCAUAGUUAGCCUUUUACGCCUAGGAUCUGCAACCCAGCUAUCAACCAUCGCCGCCACUUCAGCACGCAUCGGAUCCAUACAUGGUUCUCUAUGGGAUCUGCCACUAUAUACCUAUUGUGUUCCACAGCAACAGUCUCAACAGAAGGGACAAAACUAAAACAACCAGAAUUUCGAUGAGGCUUUGCAGGAGUGGAAGCUUCCUGGGUGUGCUUCUUACGCUUAUUACUACCAAUUCUGGUGCAUGUAGAAUCAGUAUGACCAAGAACCUGAUAAUGCUUGCAAAACCGAGGGAUGGACUUAUACACAAUCAAUUGCAAUAAAAGCAUUCCAUUGGGCAAGACAAAAUUGAUAGAAUUAGGCAAAUCAACAAGCAAAUCCACCUCUAUUAAUACUCUAGCAUACGAAAGUCGAGACAUUAAAGUGGUGAGCAUAUCAUAAUGAAUAGGUUUACCAAUCACACUAGCAAUUUUAGAUAAACAAGUUGGAGACCAACAUUUAAGGGGAAGAUUGGGAAAUCUAAUCCAAACUAGCACCCUAGACAUAUGAGUUGCAGUAAAGUCAAAGUAUUCAGGCAUAGUUUUUAGGACCAAAGGCCGGCCAAAAACAGACUAAGGGCCACCACUGAGAACGACAACCUUGUCAGCUUCAGAGAAGAUGUAUAUAUCAGCCAACCAGAAUCAUGUAUAGUUAGCUUAGCAUUGCAAUUCCAGGAACUAGAAAUUAGGUUAUUUAAAGCAGUAAAACCCAAAAAUUUCCUAGCAACAUAGCCAAUAAUGCAUAGUUUCCACAAAUCCUUAUUAUUGCCAAGAUCAGCAUCCAUCAUAUGACAUGAUGUAGCAUAGUCAAAAUCAGGAUAAUGCACUAAGGACGGAGACUCACUCCAAUCAUCUACAAACGAUUUACCUGGUGGGAAGCCAAUAGAGGCUCUACCAUGGUCUCCAUGAGGGGCAUUAGCAUCUUCCGCAAGAAGCGGAAUGCAUGAAGAGUCAACACCAGACGAAAAAGGAACCUUAGAGGGACGGGGGAGCUGAGGGACUCGGUUCAGAGCCAGGAGAGUGUCCAUACCCAAAGCCGAAGGGAAGGGAAGAACCAACAUCAGCAUCCGAACAAGAUUCAGCAGUUACUAGGUUAGGACCAAGGGAACCAGACCCAGAUAGAUGAGCACUAGAGGGAUGCCCAGACUUAAUGGCAUUAGGACCAACCUCAUUAAGCCUAAAAGGAGCAAGAGAAGGUGGUGCUUGAACGUGAGCUUACGUUUCCUGCAUGUCAAGGCAUUUGCCCCUAUUGCGAGCCCUAACACCACAAUAAGGACCAUAAGCUCCUUCAGUGUCAACACUAGUAUGAGCUGGCGAGGGUGAGGCUAGGGUAUGGGUCAGCUUAUCCUGCAUGAUAGGAGAUUUGCCCCGAUUCUAAGCCCUAACUUCACGAGAGGAACCAACCGAGGGUCGAGUAAAUGAUAGUCGUACUGAGCAAAAUGAAGAAGUGAAGCUUUCUUCUUUGAUUUCGCCAUAGGAAUGAGAAUGUUUCAAGAGACCUAAACAAAGAGGGAUGAUAGUUAUCACUUCUGAAAUACAAGAAGAAAGAGACGAAACGCAGCCACCGAGUAAAAAAACGUUGCACAGUGAAAAGGAACCUUCUCUCUCUAACCGAGAGCUUCUUUCACUAUAGCUUCUCUCGACUGACUAAGAGCUCUUUCUUGAGUUGAGUUGUUUUCUUCAUAUUAUAUAUAGAUGAUAUAUAAUUGAUAGGAAACAACAUUCCUUUAUUCCAAUCAGUAACGAUUUGGUUGUCCAAGAAUUUCUCCAUGAAUGACAUGAGAUAAGCAGCUUAUAUAUUAGGAAUAAAGACAUAGAGAUAGAUCUAGAAAGUUGUUUGGAUUAUCUCAAUCCAUGUUCAUAGAUAAGAUGCUAAAAUGAUUCAACAUGGAAGAACUUAAAAGAGGAUAUUUACCUAUUUUGCAAGGAAUAUGUAUAUUUAAAGAUAUGUGUCCUAAGACACAAAUUGAAAGAGAUAGGUUAGAAAGAAUUCCCUAUACUUUGACUAUAGGAUCUAUUAUAUAUGUGAUGAUAUGUAUAAGACCAUAUGUAUCUUAUGCUUUGAUCAUAACAAGUAGAUACCAAUCUAAUACAGGUGAGAGUAUGAAAGAUAGUUUAAAAACAUUAUUAAGUACUUAAGAAGCACUAAGAAUGUCUUUCUAGUCUAUGAAGGACAUGAACUGGAAGUUCAUAGUUUUUUAGAUGCUAGUUUUCAAUCAAAUAUUGAUGAUAGCAAAUCUUGAUCAGGAUAUGUUUUUGCUCUAAAUAGUGGUGUUGUGAGUUGGAAGAGUUCUAAACAAAAGAACAUAGUUAAUUCUACAAUUGAAGUUGCAUACAUCUUUGCAUCUGAGGUGGUAAAAUAGGCUAUUUAGAUUAAAAAUUCAUUACUGAACUAGGUGUGGUUACUAGCAUUAUUGAUGCAGUAGCCAUGUACUAUAAUAAUAAUGGAACUAUUACACAAGAAAAGGACUUAGGCAAUUCCAUUUUAUUAGAGAAAUCAUAGAAAAGAAAGAUGUAAAGAUAGAACAAGUACCUCUUGAAUAGAGUCUUGUAAAUCCUCUUACUAAGGCAUUGUCCCAAUAGAAACAUGAUCAUCAUAUGAAGAGAUAUGAUAUUAGAUACAAGAAUGAUUGGCUUUAGUGGAAGUGAGAGAUUGUUAGUGAAUAUGUCUUAUAACCAAUCAGUUGGUUACAUAUAAUAUUAAUUUUAUUCAUGUAAAAUAUAUUUAUUAUUAAUAACAACUUCCUCUAUCUUUAAUAUUCAUUUAUCUUUGAUUGAUGAAUAUAAUGUUUAAUUGAUAAAUCUAGAGUAAAGAUAAAAUCUAUAGGACAAAAAUGUUUUGCAAAGAAACUUAUAAAGUUGUUAUAAAUAUGAGAUUCUUAUUUCAUCAAAGCAUUAUUCCUAAAUAUUAUUGGUCAAUGAUCUAUUAAGACUGGAUAUUAGUUAGAGUUGUUAAGACCAAUACAUAUUAUGUUCAUUCCUUUAUGAAAGGAAACAAUUGCUAUUAUAAACUAAUGUAUAAGGGAUACCUAGAACUAAUAUACAAGUGCUUGUCAUAUGACAUGUACAUUGAACUGACCCAUAAGAGAAUUCUAUAUAGAGAAAUCACCUAUGUUUAUAGAAAGAAUCUCGUGCUAAUUGUGUAAUUAAUUCUUAAACUUGAGAUAACUAAGUUAUCUUAUAUAGGGAUUGUUAUGCUUUGAUUCGAACCAAAUGUUAUCCUAAUCAAGGGUAACAAACAAGUAGAUAUUGAGUAUAACACAAACUAUAUAAAGAUAUUUGAGUAAUCAAGAUGUGAUUCAUCACACUAGAUGAAUUAGGGAAAAUGUUUCAUUUGUUCUCAAAUAGCAUUGAUUGUGAAAUCCUUGGCCAAUGUAAAAUGAAUUUUGAAAAGAGUUUCAAAAUCUUAUUCAAAAAAUCAAUGACUAUAAUGUUGAGAACCAAUAUGAUUUGAUAAAGUAGACAUACUCCAUACUAUAAUGUAUAAAUAAGAACAUUCUUGAUGUAGAGAUAAUAAUUACACCGAGAAACUAGUCACUAAAAGGUUAAGUCAACCCACUUAUGAUUUUUCUAAUAUUUGAGAGAUUAUGACAGGUUGUUAGACAUUAUAUUUGAUCAUCAAAUAUAAAUCAAUCAAUUAUUGAAUUGAUAAUAAAUUAAAUUGUUUAAUUUAUUUAAUCUUAUUUUGUUUAGCAUUAUGAUUAAUAUUUAGGAAAACUUAUUAGGGAACCUAAUGGGUCACACAUAUAAAAAUUAUUGGUUAGAAAUUGAAAUGGGAUAAUUAAUCAAAUGUGACUUGAUUGUAAAUAAAGUUUAGAAAUUAAGAACUAGAAUGCAAUUAAUAUAGAGGAUUACAAUUCUAAACCUAGAAAAAAAUAAGUAAGGACUUGAUUGAAUAAAUUUCUAAAAUUAGCCUAAAUAAUAUAUGGUAUUCCUUUUAUUUUCCAAGAAGUGAAGGGUGAGAAAAAUACAAUACAUAAACACCUAAAGCACAAAAGAAAAGAGCUAGUACUAUAAGGUAGAACAAUCCCUCUCUCUUAAAAGGAUUUAAGAGAUUUCUCACUGAAAGUUCAUAUGGAUUACUAUGAGAGGCUAGACACUUGAACAAUUUAUAGUUUGCAAUAACCAACCUUAAAACAAAUAUUCAAAGCCGAAAAGAACAUAUGAUCUUCAAGUAAUCUUUGCAUAAACUCUAAAUAACUCUAGAUUUAUUUAACAUGAUCCUUGUGACUCCUGAAAAAUUUUAAAUUUAUCAUUUCCACCGUGUAUAUGUGUUUCAAGAAACUUGACAAUGUUUUGAGUCCUCAAGUAAAAAAGUUUAAUCUUUAUAAAAUAUUUUUAAAUUUACAUCUCAGUAAUUCCAUUUCAAUCAUGAGACAUACAAAAAUAUAAUCAGUAAGUUUUUGAAUUGGUCUCAGAACAUGAAAGAUGAUUUCUUAAAAGAAAGAUUUUUUAUUGACUAAGUUUGCAAAGUUCAUGACACAAAUAAUGAUGAUGCAUGCAUGCAUUUUGAUGACUAAUGGAAAGAUGAAAACAUAUAGAAUGACUGAGUAUUAGUGAAAGUACAUCGUUAGUUGAUUUUCAACCCUUGAAAAAUAUUGGGCAAAGGUCAUUAUGAUUUUGGAAAAAGUAUAUUUAUCAUAAAAAAAAAAUGAGGUUUAUUUCUAAAGAAAACUUGAAUGACUGAGUUUUAGUGUACAACUUAAAAAGUGAGAUAGACAAUUAGAGUUCAGAUGAUAUAAAUUAUGGUGUCAACCUCUCUAUCUCUUGUUUCUUUAUUUUAUUUAUGUUUAUGAUGUGUAUGAUUUAGUGAUUGGUUAUAUGAAAUAAUCAUCAAAGUAAGUUAGGAUUUCAAAGUAAAAGGAAAAAAAAUUGUUUACCAACAAUCACCUAAUUCAACUAUUUUAAAGCAAAGCACUAUUCAGGAACAGUUAAUGCAUCCUACCGAACUGCAAAUUUUUUAAAUAUCAAAUAGUGUUGUUUGUUUUUUUUUGGCUUAGGAGUAAGAUCAAACUAUUAACAUAAUAUUAUUGAGAGAGAGAGAGAGAGAGAGAGAGAGAGAGAGAGAGAGAGAGAGAGAGAGAGAGAGAGAGAGAGAGAGAGAGAGAGAGAGAGAGAGAGAGAGAGAGAGAGAGAGAGAGAGAGAGAGAGAGAGAGAUUGAAACAUAAAAGCAAUAUUCUCUUAUCGUGGAUAGACUAGAUAGAUGGUCUGCGCUUCGCCACGGGCCGGACAAUUUUUUUUGCGACACAAAAAAAUUGCUCAAGGUUGUUAUUGUAUUUUAAAGAACAAAAAAAAAACCACGACCUGAUAUCAUUGAAACAGAACUAAAAAAAAUAAUUAUCGUCAAUCCUCGGGAAUCAAAAUGUAGAAUGAUGAAAUCAGGAAAAAAAAUUAAGGAAAAAAAGUACUAAAACUCAAAGCACCAACAAAACCAAGUGAGGUUGUCAAAACUCGUGAGUAGGAUCAUGCGGAUAGGAUAAUCAAAUAUAAGGAAAAAUAGAAAAAAAAAGUUUAAUUUUAAAAGAAUUAAAUUUUGAAGGAUAAAAUAAAAAAAAUAAAAAAAAGCGACUUAAAAAGAAACCUAGACCACCCGGAUAAACGAAGCUCAUUUUUUAAAACGAACAACUUCCAAAGAUAUAAUCAGGAAAGAAAAUGAUAUUAACCUGUGUAAACUUUUCAAACCCAUAACCCUAGGUACUGACUAAACUAGAAGCAUCGUAUCUGGAAAGCAACUAUUUUAAAACUUGGCUCGACCUGACGGUUUGACCCAUGAGUAGGCCGAGCUUCAAAAGAAAUUGGGGGAGAAUUGAUCAAGUGUGAGACUGUCAAAAACUUGAGAUGACCUAUGUUUCAGAUAGCCCGAGGAAAAUCCAGUCAAAAUAAGGUCAAAAUCUGUUGACUUUUUUCCUUUUUUUUUUAAAUGGUAUCAUUUUGAUUUUUUUUAAUAAAAACAAAAGAAUUUGGUUGGCAUAGGUUAACUCGAGUCAACCCACUCGACUUAUGAUCCGAUCAUUGUCCCUGAUUGACUUCUAGAUAGGGCUUUAUAAACAAUGAGAAAAACCUAGGAGACCAAAUCACAAUAAUUGAAAUGUCAAAUGAUGAAAAAAAAAACUAAAGGAUAAAGAAACAAUAAUUAAGAGAAUAAAGAUCUCAUUUGAAAAAAAAUUGAUAGGACAAACAAAAAUCUUGAAUUGAAGGGUAAAAUAAAAAAAAUCAAAUUAACAAAUGAAUUAAAAAAAUACUAAUUUUCAACGAACUCAAUGAUGAUAGAUGAAAUUUUAAAAAAAUAAUGAAAAAUGAUUGAAGCCAACCCAAUCCAAUCUUUAGAAUUUUGUAAUUCGUAUCAUGAGACCGAAGCACAACAUAAAAGUCUAACCUAAAAAAAAAAACUCAAUGUAAAAUUCAUAAACAACCAAAAUAAUUAGGGAUAAACUUGAAAAAAUAAAUUGAAAAAGAAAGUGAUUUAAAAAAUAUAGAUUUAAAAAGAAAAAAACCUAAUUUGAUAUAAAAAUAAAAUAAAACUAAAUUAUAGGGGAUGAAAUUGAAAAACAGUUUCAAUCUAAAAAAAAUAAGAAUAAUUCAAAAUAACAAUUCAAAAAUAAAAAUUAUAUUUGAUAAAAAAUAAAAUGUGAAAGUAUAAAAUUUAAAAAUAAAUCAAUUUAAUAAAUGAUUCCCAAUACACAGUUAAUAAAAUGAGGUUAAGUUGCUGGAGCUGACAAAGUGACUCACGGGUAGAGGAGAGUUUGUUGAAGGAGCUGUUUCGCUGACGGUGAAGAUGCAGAGGAAACUGUUGGUUUGUCUUGGCUUUGUCAAAGAGAGGCAAUGGUGGAUGGUUGGCCGAUGAGCUCGCGAUUUAUGAUGAUGGCUAUGAAGUUGUUGUUUCCACGAGAUACAGUUGCUGGAGCUGAAGAGGUCAUAGUGGCUAGACCAAGAAAAGUUGCUGGGGAAUCAGUGCUGGACUGUUGCUACAAUGAAAAAAAAAAACAAAGAACUCAUGGUUCAAAUGGAGAGGUCCAUGUUGAUGCUGAGGAGUGCACGGUUCGAGAUGCUUGAGAAGGAGGAAGCUGCUAGUAAAAAAAAAAAAAAAGCUCUGCUAUAGUUGAGAAAUGGUGUGGCUGAUAAAGAACAAUCUCUGGUGCUAUUGGAAGGAGGAGCUUCCACUGUUCACGGUUUAAUCAGCCGUCGGUGCCUAAAGGAUGAAGUUUGAGCUGUUAUUGAAAUAUCUUUCACUGCUACUUGAAUGGUUGAAGAUGAGAAGGAUGACGGUGCCACUGCUGGAGCUGCGGGUUUGGCUGAUUCUUCUGCUGUUAUUCACAGUGCCGUUUUGUGGGAUUUUAGGGACCCGUUUCAGUGUUGGUUGGAGGAUGGUUUAAUGGUGAGGAUGAAGAAUGGAAGGGUGAUUUGGGAGGAUCUGCCAUGUAUAUAUGGUGGCUGAAGGGGUGAAAGACAUCUGGGUUUGGUUCUUUUUCAAUGAAAAAUGAGGGGAGGCUGAGUCGGUGUUGAGCUCACGGUGGUUGACGGUAUUGUUGUCAGUGAGUGAUCUGUUUUGGCUGGGAAAAUUAGUGAAGAAAGGAUGGAGGCAAGGAGAGGGGGGAAGCCGUGUGGCUAGUGGUGUUGAUGGUUGGUCAUGGUGCUGGGUUUUUUUUUUUAAUCUCUAGUUCAUUUUUUUUUUAUUUUUUGGUUUAAGAGAGCUGGUCGCGAGGGAGAGUGUUUUGUGUUGUUUAAUUUUUUCAUGCUAUAACUAAUUAUCCUUUAAAAUUCUCUUCUUCUUUUUUUUUUUUUAUAGUUACUUAUAUAUAAACAAAAUAAAUUUGUUAUUUUUCCUUCUAAUUACUUGCUCUCCAAACAACUAAAAAAUCUUUGAUCUCCUUAUUCAUAUAUAAGAUUUUUUUAUGUUUGUGCAUAACCAUCGGUGGCGUCAACACUACUAGCACGCCUAAUCGAUGUCUAAUGCACUAGGCCAGGACGCUAAUGGUGGCUAGCAUUGCUACCUUCUAGUGCGAGUUGCCUCACGUUGGAGGCAACAACCCACGCCACAUAACACAAGGUUGUUGCCUCGCACUAGAGGUGGUGCAAUGCGAGGGCAACCCCUCGUGUUAUGCCAAACCUAGCGGCAACCUUUUCUAAUGCUAUUAAAGAGCCCAAUAGGCGAGGCAGCAGCCUCAUGCAACAAACCUAGUGGCAACAAACGUUACCGAUGUUUAGGUGCCGCUAGUGGUGUGCCCACUACUGGUACUUGCAAAGAGAAGAAAAAUUGGCAAAAUUAUGAUUCUGCCCCUGAGCUUAGUUUAGGGUUUCGAGGAGUGGAGUUACGAUUCUAACCCUGCAACUUAUGCCUAUUUACAUCUAGGUAUAAUUGGGGCAGAAUUAUGAUUAUGGCUCUCCAUGUAUAAAAUAUUGAUUUUAUAUUUUAGAAUUAAAAUGCUAAAUUAAAUUAGUUAUAAAAUUAUUUUUUUCUAAUUUGAUUAGGAUUGAAUUAACAUGUUUAAUUAAAAAAAUUAGUUUUGUAAUAUCCUAAUAGGAUUAAGAUUUAAUUAAAAUAUUAAAUUAUUUAGGAUAUUAAUUUUUUUUUAAUAUGAUUAAUUUUCUUAUUAAAUUUUGAAAAAUAGUUUUUCAAUAAAAAAGAUGUUUAUAGUUAAUAAAAUUUUGCACGUAAAGCCAAUAAAUAUAAUUGAAGCAUGCAUUAUAUUUAUUAAUCAUGUUAAUAUGUUCUGAUCCAUGAUGAAUGAUUAUGGACAUUAUAGUUGAAUGGUUGUAAUAUUAAAUACAACUUGUGUGUCCUGUCUUUUCUUUAUUAUUAUUUUUAGGUUGUAAAAUUCUUUUCUCAUCUAAUUUUCAUUGAAUAUAACUCGAGAUUUCUUAAUUAAUUAUGUAAAUAUUGUGUAAUUUAGAAAUAUAGAAAUUUAGAUUGGAAAAUGAUUUUGUAAUCCAAGAUGAAAAAAGAAUGUUAGUGAAGGAUACAACUAUGGUGCUCGCAAAGAAAUUAUGAAGAUUUGCAAUAGCUAUCUAGAUUUUAACCACCUAAUUCCCUUUAAUGGCUCGAGGAAUAUAAUUUAGAUAAGUCAAUAAUCAUCCAAUUAUAAUGACAUGUUAGGGUGUAUGUCAAUAGGUAAUUGUUAUAUAUGAUACAUCAAUAAUGACAUGGAAUGAGACUUAAUUACAAUAAUAAAUCUCUCAUUAAUAUAUUAAGUAUAUGCUGAAAAUAUGAUUUGUUGACUUCCGAUUUUAUAUGCAUAAAACCAGAGUUAUAUUCAUGAAUAAUUGAUUGAGUUACCCAAGGUUACCGUUAAUCAAAUAUAUUUAAUGUUAUAAAAUCAGGUCAUACUUAAUUAACUUAUAUGAUUUGGAUGAGUUAGUUAUUAUCAUAUAAGAUUAGAGGCAUUAGUUAGGCAAAACAUAUAUAAUAUCUUUAGACAAAAUGUUAUCACCUAGUUGAUUUAGGAGUCACAAAAAGAUGUCAUUAAUAAACUAUAUUAUCUAUCUAAUUUAAUUUAUUUUGAUCUGUUAAAUUACUUAAGGUCAUAUAAACUAAAUGAGAUCCUAACCCAUUAAGAGAUCUAAGGGAGAUUCCCUAAAUUAAUAGUGAGGAUUAUUAAUCUGCAAGAAAUAGUGAGAGAUCAAGUUAAGAUUAAAGACCUUACAUGAAUAUGGUUAUAAAUAUGUAUGCAUGAAAUCAAUACUUACUAUCUUUACAUGAAUAGGUUGAUAGAUUACCAUGAGUAAAAAUAAAUAUAUCUCUAUGAAGCAUAUUUGAUGCUAAUAAAUUGACUGAACCAAACUUCUUGAAUUGAUACCGAAAUAUAAGAAUUGUUCUCAAAUAAGAAAGAAUGUUAUAUGUUCUUAAAAAUUUGAUUCAUCUUGUCCUUGAUUAGAACGUUAAUAACAAAGUUAGGACUAAAUGUCAAUAUCAUAUUGAUGACAAUAUGUAGGCUAUAUGUCACUUUAACUUCAAACACAAUAUGAGAAUAUAAAUUUUCAUAUAAUAAUUAUGCAUCUCAAAAAGUUGUUUAAUACAGCUAAAUGUACUGAGAUGUAUGAGACCUCUAAGGCACUAGUGGAGGGAUAUGGUAUUAGAUAUAUGAGCGAUUGACUUUAGUUCAAGUGAGAAAUUGUUAGUGAACCUUAUAGUCAAUUGGUUGGUUACACGUAACACUGAUUUUAUUCAUGUAAAACAUGUUUAUUAUUAAUAAAGACUUUCUUUAUCUUCAAUAUUAAAUUAUAUUUGAUUAAUGAAUAUAUAGUAUAGAUAAAGUCCAUGGAACAAUAAUGCUUUGCAUAGGAAAUAAUAAAGUUUAUCUAAUUAUGAGAUUCAUAAUGCAUCAAAACAUUAUUUCUAAAUGUUCCUAGUCAAUAUUCUAUUAAGACUAGACAUUAAUGUUACUUCCUUUAUAAAAGAAAACAGUUGCUCUCAUAAACCGAGAUAUAAGGAAUACAUAGAACUAAUAUACAAGUGCUUGUUAGAUGAUAUGUACACUAAACUAACCUACAAGAGAAUUCCAUAUAGAUAGAUCAUCUAUGUUUAUGGAAAAGCUCACGUGAUAGUUGUAUAAGUGAUUCUUAGACUUGAGACCACUUAAUUAUCUUAUAUAUGAAGUGUUAUUCUUUGAUCCUGACCACACGUUGUCCUAAUCAAAGGUAACAAACAAGAAAAUAUUGAGUAUAACAUAAACUAUAUGAAGGUAUUUGAGUAAUUAAUAGAUGAUUCAUCACCCCUGAUGAAUUAUAAAAAAUGUUCUAUUUGUUCUCAAAUAGUACUAAUUGUGAAAUCUUUGGCCAAAGUAGAAUGAGUUUUAAAAAGAGUUUCAAAAUCUUAUUCAAAUAAUCAAUUACUAUAAUGUUGAAAACUAAAAUGAUUUAACAAAGCAGACAUAUUCUAUUUUUAUAAUGUUUACAUAGGAACAUUCUUGAUGAAAGGGUAAUAAUUACAUAGGAACAUUCUUGAUGAGGGGGUAAUAAUUACAUUGAGAAACUGAUCAUUAAAAGGUUAAGUCAGACCACUUAUCACUUUCUUAAUAUUUAGAGGAUAAUGACAAUUUGCUAAAUAUUAUACUUGAUUUUUAAAUAUAAUUCAAUCAAUUAAUGUAAUUAUAUUUUUAUAGUUGAAUGAUUGUAAUAUUAAAUAAUUCUUAAAACUGCUAAAAAAAUUUAAAUUUAUUAUUUCUUUAUGUGUUUUGAGAAACCUAAGAAUAUAGCCUGCUAUUCAGUAGUCCUAGACAUACAUUAGCUGAAAGAGUAACCCAUGAGAGUUACCAAGCUUGUUCAUUAACUACUUCCAUUAGAUAGCUGCUAGUAUAGCAAGCACAAGCUAAAAUUAAACUUCCAAGUACGUAUUGAUUGAAGUGUCAAGCACUUAUUGGUUGAAAUGUAAAAGGAGCAAGAAUAUACGAUUUUUUUGGGUAUAGAAUGUAGUGUUGGCAAUGUAACUGUGAGAUUUUCGUAGAUAACGGAAUGCAUUCUGAAAUUGAUAGACCACAGCAACACAAAACACCAAGGAUGCCAUCGGAAAAUCCUCUACCUCUUGGCUCUCAAAACCCGUACAAUAUGAACGAGCCUAACAUCAACAAGAAGAAGAUAAUGCAGGGUGAAAUUAGAGUAGGAGCAAUUAAGCAGCUCCAUGCGAAGUGUCCAUAUGUUUUGGGUUGAUAUUUGGGAAACACUAUAACCAAUAAAACUCUACCGAAAAUGGAAACAGACUCUGUAGUCUCUGGGGCUGAACAGAGUGAUUUAAUAACUUAAACGUUAUUCUUGAUAAAAACCCUGAACAAUGUCGCAAAAGCAGCCAAGUCCUGAAUCAUUAGUCUUAUCAUUCCGGGCACAAAAAAGAUUACAAAUACAGCAUAACACUUUGUUUAAUCAUUGACUACAUGUAUCUCCACCAUAAAAAAUGAAGCAGAUGCCACAGUUCAUUAUUAGAACAAUAUAACAAGUUAAACCAUUCAAAAUUGAUUCUAGAACACAUAUGAUGGUAACAAACUGAAACAGUAAAUAAAACUACUCCACACAUAUUGCUUCAAGCAACUUCUGACAAUCAUCACUCACUUCCACAUUCUCCAUCUUCAAUCUGCGACGCAUCAAUUGGCUUUUUCUUCCAGCAGCUGCAUAAGUUCUAAUCAAUGACUCAAAUACCUCCACCGCUACAUCAUCUACAGCCUUCUUCAAAAUCUCAAUAAGAUCUUCUGCACCAUCUACAUCCUUCUGCUGCUCAAAAUGUGCCAUCAAAGACCCUACAAUCACAGGUGAUGGCACCCACUUUUGACCAUUCCCUCUACCAGCAGAUACCGCAUUGGCUAUACAAUCAACACCCAAUUUGACAUCCCCAUUUUUCAAAUAAUAAUCACAAAAUAUUUCCCAGGUUUUAGAAUUAGGUUUGGCUCCUCUCCUGCGGGCCCUUUCCUUGAGUUCCUCUGCCUUGUCAACCAAACCUUCCUUGGCAUAUGCACUGAUGACAACAUUUGCAACCCUGAUAUCAUAUGUUGAGCACCCAGAUUCCCAUUCCCUGAAGCACUUCUCUGCACCAGGUACAUCUUUCAAGUUAACCAGCACCUGGAUCAUAUUUAGAUAGCUUAUAUUUGCAGUUUUAGGAAAAGCCAGCCUCAAAGAACGCCAUAUUCGAUAAACUUCAAUCAACUUUCCUGUUCGACCAUACAAAGUAAUCAGGAACUGGAAAGCAAAAAGAUCUUUGUUUGCAUUUAUCUUCUCCAAUUCCUUAAGUGCCUUUUCUGCCUUAUCAAAAUAUCCAGCAUCAACAUAAAUCGAGGCUAAGUUGCUAUAUGUUGUCCAAUUCGCAGCAACUCGGCCAUCCCUCUUCAUCUCUUCGAUCACUCUUUCAACACCAGAAAUAUCAUUUACAGCUGCCAGAGCCCUCAUCCAGACAUUGUAUGUGUAAGAAUCUGGCAUGACAUUGUCAGCCUUCAUUUCCUGUAUAAUUGCUGGGAUCCUUUCAGGCUGACCCACUUUUGUGUAGAGAGUCAUAAGGCUGUUGUAAGACAUGGAGCUCAAACCAAGAUUGAGUUCCUUCAUCUUUUCAAUGAGAGCUUCUGCUUCUUCAGUCAUCAAUUCUUUACAGUAACAGUUGAGAAGAGCUCCAUAUGUUCGAAGGUUCUUGGAUGUUUCAGGAAGAUCAAUGAAGUAAUUUUCUGCAGCAGGUAUGCCUCGAGUUUUGGCAACUAGAUCAAGAUGGAUAGCUUGAUCACUGACGGUUUUAUUCAUGCCCCUACUAGACAUAGUUUCUGAUAGCUGUAAACAAUGAAAGAAGUAAAUAUAAUGAUAUACAAUAUGCAGGGUAUGAUUAAGAAAUUUAAAGUAGCACAUAUAUGAUUAUGACCUAAUAUCCAUUAAGAGCAAAAAAUUAAGGUACAACUUUGUUUAAUUGGGGGAUACAGACAAUACCACUAGUUUGAAACAAAUGGUCAUAGAUUAACUGCAAGGCACAAAAAAAAAUGGACGCAGAUGUUCAUAAAAUUCAGCAUGUUUCACCUUCUAGAUUCAGACAAUCAUAUCCCAUAAUAUCACAAACGAAUAAUUAGAAUAACAAGUAUACAGGUAAAAACGAUUGGGGGUUUGAGGAAGGAUACCUUGACAGCAGGGUAAUAAAGGUUGCGACUGCGAAGCUUCUUGAUAGUGUCACCAACUUCCCAUUUGAAGACACGCUUGGAGCUCUUGAGGAACUGAUUUAACUGUUGUCUCACACUAACCUCUGAGCUGCCUUCUUUGAACAGCCUCACAUACAGUGCUUCUUCUAGGUACUUCUUUGAUCUUUUUGUCACGCUUUUUGUCCGCCCAUAUAACUGUGGCAUCGCCAUUCUUUUUGGUCUUUGACAAUAACCGAAUGGAAACAACGGAUAUCAAAUAAGAAUAUCAUCAUUGUUACUCAAAUGCCAAACAUACAGAAGUUGUUCACAUUCAGUUUCCAUAACACAAUGUGUCGAAGUCCCAAACAAUUGUUGAGAUUUGGCAAUAAAAGAAGAGUAAUUUCAUUUCAACAGCCAGCAAGGAAAUUAAUUCUCAAAAAUUCUACAGUAAAUGCAUAAUUAGCUGAAUUCCAAAGAAUGAUAUUCAGCAAAGCAUAGGUGAAAAGAAAUAAAUAAAUAAUUGUCAAAAUUGAAUGAUUACUCAAGAACUGUCCAAGCUGAUGUUUAAUACUUCCUUCUAGUUCUAACCACUCUGAAACUUGACAAAUAUUUAUCCCACUUAGCUCUAUGAUUCAAUCAAAUAUAGAACGAUUCAUAUAAGCCGACUCAACGACGAAGAAUAUGUUACAUAUUUACCGUUACCACUCACCUUGUAAGUAUGCCCAAGUUCAAGCCGAAGCAAGGUCGAUCCAAGCAGAGCUUGAUAAAUAGAAUAAUGGGCUGCCACUGCCAGGCUCUUACAGCAAGAGAACGACGGCCGAUGGCUAAGCAGGCUUGGGUUGGUGGAGUUCCGGCGUGACGCUUUAAUACACCGAGAAUUAGUUACAGUGGGUGUAGGUCUGUUUAGGGUUUAAGGAAAUGAAGGUAAGUGAAUUUUUUUUCUUUUCUUUUCAUUAAGGUUUUAGUCAUUUUAUUUAUGAAAACCUCAAUUUAGUCCCAAACCUAUUUAUAAACUUUAUCAAUUAGGCCCCGAAUAUUUAUAUACUUCUCAGUUUCAUCCUUCCAUUUCUUCUAAUAGUUUAAGUCUAAUAUACAUAUUUUAUCCACUAAAACACUGUCGAUUUUAAAAAACUUUGAUGGAAAAAAUAAUAAAAUUAACAUUAUUUUUGUUUAAUGUGCAUAUUGUGUAUUAUAAUGAUAAUAAAAUUUAGAUCAAAGGUAUUUGAUUGAGAGUAUUUUAAAACAUUCAAGGCCGAACGUAUAAAAUUUAUAUAGAUUUAAGACUCAAUUGAGAAUAAAUAUUUAGAUUAAAGACUAAAUUAGGUUUUUUUUUAAAACUAUUAGUAUUGUCAAAGCUAUCAUAUAUGUACAGUGUACCAAAGUUGUUAACUAUAUUCAUUUUAGGCCUCAUUUCUUUAUAGGAAAAUAGUUUCUGUUAUACACUGGGCUUACCUAUUAAAAUAUCAUAAAAAUUUAAGAUUUAAAAGCAUUGAGUCAGGCUGCAAUAGCGGACUCAAGAGCGUUGAGUUUAACUGCAAUGUCAAAUCCAAUAAUUGUAUUUAUAAUAUUAAUCAUAAUAUUUAAUUUAUCUGUCAAAAUUUUUAUAUUUUUUAAUUUUUCAAAAAACAAUUAUGAUGUUUCUUCGAUAGUAAUAAUAGUUUUUUAAAUUUAAUAAUAAUAAUAAUAAUAAUAAUAAUAAUAAUUAAUUUUAUAUUUCAAAUCAAAUCUAUGGUUGUUUUCAAUAUUGAUAAUAAUUUUUUUAAAAUUUAUUAAUUAUUUUAUUAAUAAUAUUAAUUAUAAUAAAAUAAUAAUAUUUAUAACACACAUAAUAAUUUUUUUGACAUUAAUACUUUAUUUAUAAUAAAAAUAAUAAUAUUUAUAAUACUAUUUUUAAAAUGAAUACUUUUAAUUAUAAGAAACAUAAUAAUAUUGAUAACACAAAUACUAGUAUUUAGAAACCAAAGACCCAAGAGCAUUGGGUCCUGAGGCAGGACCCAAGAGACUUAGGUCCAGACCCAGGACCCAAUCGAAAUGGAUCAUGCGCAGGACUUAAGGCCAAUUGGUUCUGUGUCUGGAGCACACAAGAGAAUUGUAAUAAAAAUAAUAAUAUUUUUACAUUGAUACUUUAAAUUAUAAUAAAAAUAAAAAUAUUUAUAACACAAAUAAUUAUAUUUUAUAUUUGAAUAUUUAGAAUCAUAAUAAAAAUAAUAAUAUUUAUAACACUAAUUAUAAUAUUUUUGAUAUUAAUACUCAGAAUUAUAAUAAAAAUAAUAAUAUUUAUAACACAAAUAAUUAUAUUUUUUAAUAAAAAUAAUAAUAUUUAUAUCACAAAUAAUAAUAUUUUUUAUAUGAAUACUUUGAAUUAUAAGAAAAAUAAUUAUAUUUAUAACACAAAUGAUUAUAUUUUUUAUAUGAAUAUUUUGAAUUAUAUUUUUUAAUCUUUAAAAAAUGAUGGUUUUUUCUUCAAUAGUAAUAAUAGUAUUUUUUAAAAAAUUUAUUAAUGAUAAUAAUAAUAAUAAUAAUAUUUUUUUUUUCAAAUUUAUUAAUUAUUUUAUUAAUAAUAUUAAUUAUAAUAAAAAUAAUAAUAUUUUUAAUUAUAAUAUUAUUAAUUAUAAUAAAAAUAAUAAUAUUCAUAAGACAAAUGAUAAUAUUUUUAAUAUUUAUACUAUUAAUUUUAAUAAAAAUAAUAAUAUUUAUAACAUAAAUAAUAUUAUUUUUAAUAUUAAUACUUUCAAUUAUAAUAAAAAUAAUAAUAUUUAUAAUACAAAGAAUACUAUUUUUAAAAUAAAUACUUUUAAUUAUAAUAAACAUAAUAAUAUUGAUAACAUAAAUAAUUAUAAACCCAAGACCCAAGAGCAUUGGGUACUAAAGCAAGAUGCAAGCCAAUUGGAUCCAGACCCAAGACCCAAGAGACUUGGCUCUAUACACAGGACCCUAGCAAAAUGGGUCUCGAUGCACGACCCAAAAGCAUUAGGUCCUAACACAGGACCCAAGGCCAAUUAGUUCUCUGUCUGAAGCACCCAAGAGAAUUAUAAUAAAAAUAAUAAUAUUUAUAACACUAAUCAUAAUAUUUUUUAUAUUAAUACUUUGAAUUAUAAUAAAAAUAAUAGUAUUUAGAACACAAAUAAUAAUAUUUUUUUAUGAAUACUUUGAAUUAUAUUUUUUUAAUGUUCAAAAAAUGAUGGUUUUUCUUCAACAGUAAUAAUAGUAUUUUUUUAAAAAAAAAAUUCUUAAUGAUAAUAAUAAUAAUAAUAAUUUUUUUUCAAAUUUAUUAAUUAUUUUAUUAAUAAUAUUAAUUAUAAUAAAAAUAAUAAUAUGUAUAAUACAAAUAAUAAUAUUUUGAGUUAUAAUAUUAUUAAUUAUAAUAAAAAGAUAAUAUUUAUGAGACAAAUGAUAAUAUUUUUAGUAUUAAUACUAUUAAUUAUAAUAAAAAUAAUAUUAUUUAUAACACAAAUAAUAAUAUUUUUUAUAUUAAUACUGUUAAUUAUUAAAAAAUAAUAAUAUUUAUAACACAAAUAAUAGUAUUUUUAAUAUUAAUACUUUUAAUUAUAAUAAAAAUAAUAAUAUUUGUAACCCGAAUAAUACUAUUUUUUAUAUUAAUACUUUUAAUUAUAGCAAAAAUAAUAUUAUUUAUAAGACAAAUAAUAAUAUUUUUGAUAUUAAUACUUUUAAUUAUAGUAAAAAAAUAAUAUUUAUAACACAAAUAAUACUAUUUUUAAUAUUAAUACUUUUUAUUAUAAUAAAUAUAAUAAUAUUUAUAACACAAAUAAUAUUAUUUGGAUAUUAAUACUUUUAAUUAUAAUAAAAAAAUAUUUAUAAUACAAAUAAUAAUAUUUUUAACAUUAAUAAUAAUAAAAAAUUUAAAAAUUUAAAAUAUAUAUAAUAAUAUCCUUGGAUAUGGCUGCCUAGCUAGACCCAGCUACUUUUUGAUGUGUUUUGAUCUUGGUCAGUCAGACCCAACACUCUUGUGUCCUAUUGGGCAGCAGGACCCAAUGGUAUUGGCUCCUUGUUUUGGGCUUGGCUUGACAGCCAGACCCAACAGCGUUGGGUCCCAUAGUCAAGCUAGACCAAAUAGGUUUUGACAGAGGAGACAAUACCCCCACCUACAAUUCUUGAGAAAAAACACAGCAGAGGAACGCCCCUCAAGACUCUAUGGUAUUUAUAACACAAAUAAUAACUAUUUUUAAUAUUAAUACUACAAAUUAUAGUAAAAAUAAUAAUAUUUAUAACAUGAAUAAUACUAUUUUUAUAUUUAUACUUUUAAUUAUAGUAAAAAAUAUAUAUUAAACAAAUAAUACUAGUUUUUAUAUUAAUACUUGUAAUUAUAAUAAAAAUAAUAUUUAUAAUACAAAUAAUAAUAUUUUUUAUUUAAAGUCCUAUUGAUUUUAAGUCUCAUGGCGUCUACCAAGGAAACAAUCAUAUGUGACAAUGAUUUGUAAUUUAAAAAAGAGUAAAAAGUUGCAGGUAUAGUAUUACAAAUAAUAAUAAGAAGCAAUGAAAGAAGGUGAGGUUAAAAAUCAAACCUUUGAGAGUGAUGAGGAUGUUGUUCGUUGUUUUUUCAGAGGUGGAAGUGAGUGAUCAAAUGUAGCUAUGCUCUGCAAACUUUCUUGAGCUUCAAUUGCGUUGCCAUGCUCAUCUUUAUGACUAUUUUAAUCAAGGAGUUAAAGAGGUUAAGAACCAUCUAAUUUAGCAUGUGUCAAGGACAAAAAUUUUUUUGUAAAAGAAGUGUGUGGGCAAAGGUAAACUUGCCUAAGUUGUUGUGCUGUAGUUUCAAAAUCAAGUGCACGCCAUGCUCCACAGUCCAGACUUGUUUUCUUGUUUGGUGAUAUGUUCUGGGAUGGUGUCUCCAAGGAAUUAGGAGCAAUCUUGAGUUGUAUGAUAAUAUUUUGUGGAGUACAUGAAUCCAUAGGAACCUGUUUUGUAGAGCUUAAUGGAGUAAAUGUCUUGGAUGUAAUAGAUGAUUUAACCUCUGUAGAUGGUGUUUCUAGAGGAUGUAUGCUGUUAUUUAUGGUGUCAUCAAAGAUAUUAGUUAUGAUAAUUUCACAUAUGUUGGUGGUGGAUCUGAAAGCAUCGAAACGAAGCUGGAAAACCAUGCUCUUAUUUAACUUUGUUGUCAUGGCAGGCGGAAUAACUGAAGGAUCAAUAAAUUUUUUUUAUCAUAGACAUAAUGGUGGGCUGAUAAUCCAAAAAAGUUCUCAGUUGUUUUUCCAAAUAUAAGGAAAUUAGCGACAUCUUCUCCAUCAGUAACAAUGCAUUCUAAGCAGAACCUUUGAUAUAAAAUUGAUGACAUGUUCAUUAAUAAGGAGUGUAUGAUAAUGUAUCCGAGGAACAUGAAUUGUUUGUGUUUUUUUAUUUAACAACUUAAUAUUGUCUUAGUUGAGAAAUUAGAUGAGUUACCAUGGAACUGGAAAAGAGUUGAUAGCAUCAUGAUCCAUGCAUGUAUAAUUGUUUUCGCCGCCACUAAGUUUUUUGUUGUAUUUUGGGUAGCUUGGAUACCACCAGCCAUUAGGAAAAUCAAAGUCAACAAUCAAAGUUUGACAUGUAAAUCUCAGGUGCUGGUAAGCCGAAGGAAAUAUAUGUUAAAAGGGUGUGGUUAAAUGAAAGUGAAAAACUAAUUAUAUGAAGAAGUUGAAGCAUGUUAUAAAAGUUAAUAAUAUAGGGGUGAAAAAAAUAACCUUGUGCUCAUAAGGAUUUAUGCGAAGAAUCUCAUGUAUUGUUAUCCUAUUUUCUUUGAUUUGUUCCUCCAUCGAUAAAACAACAUUUAAGGAAGGGGAGUUGUUGGAUUUCAACAUGGACUUAUGCAAAGCUUAAUGCAGAAUUGAUGCAAAAGGAUGGUGAAAAAAUAAUUAGUUAGAAAAAAAUUUGAUAAUGGCAAAGCAUAAGAGAGAUAGCUGAUGUUGGGAUAACUUACAAAUGUUUAUAUGUUAAGCAUUCUGAGUUGUUGGAUUUCAACAGGCACUUAUACAAAGCUUAAUGCAGAAUUGAUGCAAAAGGAUGGUGAAAAAAUAAUUAGUUAGAAAAAAAUUUGAUAAUGGCAAAGCAUAAAAGAGAUAGCUGAUGUUGGGAUAACUUACAAAUGUUUAUAUGUUAAGCAUUCUGACAUGUCUAGAUUGAAGUACCAAAGAGAGGCAGUUGUACCGUUAAGAUUUGGUUUUUCUUGUGAGGAAAAGAGUUUUUUUUUUAAUAAAAUGAAAGGGGAAUAGUUGGAUUAGACUGAGAACAAAAUUUUGAAAGAUUUUGUUUAAGAAAAAUACAAAACAAAUUUAAUCAUAAGUUUGACAAAAGUAAAGCAAUUGCAUUUAAUUUUUGAACUUACCAUAUGUUCUUAAGCAUGAAUUCUCUAUAUUUUCGAGCACCUGUCCACGAACCAUAACUUGUUCGAGUGGUUGCAAUGCUUUAAGUCUUCCAAGGACUUCUUAAAAAAUAGGAAUGAAUAUUUUUAAGUGAUCUUGUUAAAUUGAAUUGAAUAAUACAAAUGUUUUAUAAUAUGUUAAAUGAAUGAAAUAGAUGGCAAACCUGUAAGAACUCUGGAUCUUUUUGACUUGGUCAUAAUAUGUGUAUAGUCAAUAAAACUGAAGUAGUAUCUAGGAAUAUAAGGCUGAAUAGCUUCAAUGGCUGCAAUUUUUAUGUUAGAUUUGAGAUCGAUUACUGCCUCAUGGGCAGCAACUGUGUUUACUGCUCUGUUUUCAUAAGUAUAGAAUCCUUUGAUCUCAUAGUGAUUUCCUUCAAUAAUUGUUGUUGCAAAUGUUGGGAGAUUCCUUACUUUAGCUAAACCUUGAAUAGCUCCACCCUAUAUAAAAAGAAGUUUAAUGUUGGAAUGAAAAAAAAUAAUUGUCAAGUCAAAGAAAAUAUUUAGAAAUGAGUGGAGAUGUAUUAUCCAAACAUUUCAAUAUAUAGAAAAUAAGAUUCAUCAGUGGUUAUAUUUUCAUGAUGUAUUAUACCUGGUUAUCAACAAAACACAAUAAAAGCUGCUAGGCUGGCCAUUAAAUUGAGCAAUCAAAACACGAUAGGCUCUAGCUUGUAAUGAAGGGUAGAAGUUGUAUUUUUUAAUCUCUUUUAUAGGUAGAGUCAUUGUCCUACAAGUGAUUAAUAAAAAAAGAUAUCAGGAGCAAUGAGAAAAACAACAAAGUUAAUAUUAACGAAAAGAAUAUAUGAAGUGUAAAUUAUGGGGCAUGUAUUGCAAAUAUAUUAUUUAAAAUGAAUAGGGAAAAAUAACAAAAGGAAACAUGCUCAAAUAAAAAAGGACAAAUUAAAUAAUUUUAUCUUUCAAAAAAGCUUACCUUAGAGAAGCAAAAAAACAGGGAACAAAAGCUUGGCAAAUAAAUAACACUUGGUUCCAAGAGAUUAUGACAUUGAUAAAGGGCAAAGAACAUCCUUAUACACAAUGUUUUUCACAUAGAUUGAAUGAUUUCCUUCAGCAUCGCAUGUGAUAAUUUUAAGUCCUUGUUUUGAGGUAACACGUGAAAGAGCAAUGUACAAUUGUCCAUGAGUGAAAACUUGUUCCUUGAGAAAAACUCCAACAACCUUCAACGAUUGUCUUUGACUUUUAUUUAUUGUCAUAGCAUAACACAAUCUUAUAGGAAAUUGUCUUCGUUUAAUUGUGAAUGGACAUUUUGUAUCAUUUAUUGGAAAAACAAUCCUGGGAAUAAAAACAUGAUUACUAAUAAAAGAACCCGUUAUUAUUUGAGCUUCUAUGACCCUCUCGGCAAGUUGUGUAACAAUUAGUCUUGUUUCAUUACAUAAACCAGCUGACAAAUUAAGAUUGCAUAAAAGCAUUAUUGGUAUGCCAAUUCUCAAGGAAAUUGUGUGAGAUGACACUCCAUUGAACUCAAGUUAAUUGAUAAAUUCAACAUUGAUGUCACGAAUAGAGGGAUACACAGCUGAGAUAAUUGCUAAUAUUGGGUCGGAUCCAAUUUCAAGCAGAAGAUCUUGUGGUAUUUUAAUCAUGGAUACAUCAUAAUCAUCAGGGAACAAAACAUCCUGCUGAGUUCCAUCACCAAUUGCAAGAAUCCAGUUGGAAAAAAUAGCAAGUUCUUUCUUUUGAUCAUCUGAAAGUUCAUUGCAUGAUAGCCUCAUGUUCUCUGCAAGAUUGAGAACUUUAAAUUUAGAUCACAAAACAAAGAUGCAAAGAGAUGUAUAAAAAAUGUCUUCCUUUGUUCCUCCAGGAAUAACAGGCAAAAUCUAUCUGAAAUCUCCUCCCAACAAAAUUGAUUUCCCACCAAAUAGUUUAUCAUUAGGCAAUUCGUUAUCAUUUGUUAGGACAUCAUGAAGUGAGCAGUCUAAUGCCUCAAAACAACAUCGAUUAUUCAUUGGAGCCUCAUCCCACACAACGAGAGACGUCAUUUCUAGAAGUCGUGCAAGGUUUGUUUGUUUUUUUUUUAAUGUUGCACAAUGAAGUAUCAGAAACAGUUAGGGGGAUUUUAAAUCUUGAAUGAGCUGUGUGACCACCAGGUAGUAAAAGUGAUGCAAUACCCGAUGAUGCGACAAUAAGGACAAUCAAACCAUCUAAUCUCAACCGAUUAAUUAUUGUAUGCCACAAAAAUGUUUUCCCCGUCCCUCCAUGAAUAUGAACAAAAAUCAGUUCUUGUCUUUUUUUAAGGAAAGAUUUAAGAACACAAUCAUAAACAUUUAGUUGACAUUGAUUGAGUUGUGGAAAAACUGACGAAUGCUGACAUAUAAGAUCUGCAAUAUCAUAGUUAAGUUCUUUUCUCAAAAGUUUAUUCUUUAUUUCUGACAAUAAACACUCAUCAUGCAUUGGAAGCUUGUGUUUCUCAAGAGAUGAGGCAACAACAUUGAAUAGAAGCUCAAGCUCAUAUAAAACAUAGUUUUUAAGCUCAUCAUCGAAUAAUUUAAGAUUAGGCAUGGCAAAGCUGGACUUGAAAUGGGUGAUAAUAUCAUCAUACAUUGAGCGCUAGAAUUUAUUGAACAAAACUUCUGGAUCAGCAACAUCACAGAAAAGAAUAACAUUAAAAAAAAAGAUUCCUAAUCUGAGAAGAUGUUGUAUUAGUCAUGGCCUUACAAAAAACCUCUUCCCAUUAUUUAUCAUCUUCUAAAAGCCCUAAGUUCUUGCAAGCAAGUUGAAAUGUUUGAUGCACAACACCCGAAACAUUUUUUAGAUAAUCAAAGCUCAACGCUCCUCUUAUAUGGGAGUAAUCUCACAAAAUAAAGCUCUCUUGAAGCAGAGUGAACAUAUGUUAAUCAACCAAGACUAAAACCUUUUAAUCUUGGAAUCCACUCCUUUUGACCAGGAUCCCAAAUAUAUUUAUGUGGAAAUUCUGAGUAGUAAAGUUGACGUGCUUCAUGAUCAACUCUAUUACAUGGAACCAUUCUGUGAGCAUUGUUUUCUCAAUACCUAGUUUUUUAAGUAUUGAUGGAAGACUUUCAUUUCCUAAAUAAACAACAUUUUGAUGUAAUGGCAAAUGGAUCUGAAGUCGUUCAAUAGGAGGUGAUCUUGAAUGUAUUGGAAAUUGUAGAAGACGUCAGACCGCUUCAUAUGGGAAUUUAAAACAACAAUUCAUAUAUGCAUGGAUCUCAUCGGUACGGUCUUUUUCAACAACUCUACAUCUGUCGGAGCCUUUGCUUACAUACUUUAAAAGAUACUUGAUUAACAUUGAUUAACAACAAAUCUCAAUAUUUAUGUGGGCAUUGUAUCACAAUAAGAGUUCCCUAUUAUAUGAAACACCAUAUCUGUUAUUGAGCUGAAUGCUAUUUUUUAUAACAAAAUUGUCUUUAAGAUCACGACAUCUAUAAUAAACAAAGCCAUUAUCAUCAAAAACAGUUUGUAACUUGAAUUUUUUCGGGAAUCUUUUUGAGCAAACUCCCUCAUUCAUACAUUGAGAUUUUGGAUUUGUAAGACCACAUGGACCAUGUAUCAUGAAUCUCGAAACAAUUUCAUAGCAUAUUAGAUCUGUAAAUUUGUCAGGAAUUUUAGCUGAAACACUGGAAUCAACAUCUUCAGUUGUACGACAUUUAAAAUUCGAGUGCAACCAAGUCAACAUAUAAGUGUAUGGCAAACCCCUCUUUUGAAAUUCAAUUACACAAACAUCUAUAAAAUGAAAAAAAAAAACUAAGAUAAACAAUCAUAAUAGCAACAAAAAGGUUGCAAUCUCUAGAAGAAAUGAAAUAAAAGAUAAGGUACUUGCAAAAGUCCGACCAAAAGGUUUGCCUGAUUUUAUGAAGGCUAACAUAUCAAUAACCUUUGAUCUAAAAACACGUGUAAUGAUAUCAGGUUUGUCUUCAUGUUUGUAAAUUCGAUCUUUUCUAAGCUCCCUCUGUAUCUCAGGCCAAUUCACAUUACAUGUGAAUGUAAUAAAUAGGCUGGGAUUUCCAUAGGCCCUGCAUAUAGCCAUUGCAUAUUGGUAAUUAUUGAUCAUAUAACAUGGGCUACCAGUUAAAGAAGAUGGAACAAUGAUUUUCCCAGUUGAGGAGCCUUCAAUAUCUCCCUUAAGCACAACUUCAUGGAUACCUUUAUAAACUUCUGGACACAAAUCUUUUUUAUUAGCUCUAACAUAAUCAAGAUGAUCUUCUUCAACAUUAACAAAUGCAUCGACCAAGAAUUACUGGUACAAACAACCUCCUUUGAUGAUGGUAUUAUCGCACCUAGGCUUUUCAUUUAUAAGGUAAGUAUAAUAAGCUCGCAUCGAAACUCUUAACCUUUUCCUUGUUUUUCCAUGUCCAUAGUCAGCAAACAUAAUAUUACAAGAGUAGCCAUCUUCACCGUAAAGAAACAAACGGGGAUACUACAAUGCCAUGAAUUUUGGAUGCAAUUUUGAGAUCCUCUUUAAAGAGCCUGAAAAGCAUUCAAUAAUAAUAUCUUGUUCAGAGAAAAAAUCUCCAAUAUCCCCAACUAUUAAUCCACCAAUGUCAUUGGAUGUAGGAUCAUCAUAUUGGCGUGAAUCAUGGUCUCGUUUUCCAAGUAAAUGAAGUUUAAAAUUAAUAGAUUGAAUAUUCUGAGUUUUAUCUCUAGCUUUGUGAAACAACUUGGCAAUCUCAUUUGUUUCGUCAAGCAUCUUUAAAAGAUCUAUAACAAUAUUCUCAUCCAAAGAUGAUGAUCUGGAGUUUCCUGUAAAUGGUAAAAGCCGAUUUACAACUUCGUGAGUGGUGUCAAACACAUAGAGUUGUGCAAACUUUGGUGAUUCUUUAUCUACAGGUAAGAGGGAGCCCAUUAAAUGAUGACAAUGACCGCUUAUCUUGAAUAUAUAUAUAUGGGGCAGGUUGAUCAUUAACUAAAGUAUCAAUUUUUAUGCCCAUUGAUGUGAAAGCAAACAUAGAGUUAUAAGCUUGUAUGUUAUCUAGAAAUGUUUUUGAGGCAGAGCCAUUGCUGGGGUUAAAAAGAAAAUAAAAAAUUGGAGGAGUUGGUUGCAUAGCAGGAAGAGAAACUCGACCAUUAAGGCAACAAAGCGAGAAAGAUGGAUUUUUUUUGGAUGAACGUGCAAGACGAUCUUGAAGCCAAAAAGUGCAUUACAAUGACGACAUGUAAAAGUCUUAUCACCAAAGUCAACAUACUCGCAUGUUUCCCCUAGAAAUUACAAAGAAAAUGAAAAAUAAUAAUAAAAAAGGAACAUGUAUGAUGUAAGGUAUAAUAAAAAUGAUUGAGAGUUCAUGAAAGUUUAAGGUAAACUCACUUUUCCUUUUUUUCUAGUAUUCAGAUUGGCCAACUAAUGGAUUUAGAUAAGCAAUUGGUCUAUGUGUUGUGUUACUAUCAAAGCUAGUAUUGUCAUUGAAAUUUUCAUUGGUGGACAAUCCAUGAGCAAAAUGUGCCUGACUCGUUGAUGCCAUUGAGGUAGAGGUAAUAUCAUUCGAGAUUGAACAAUUUCCUUGUAAGGAAGUACAAUAUGAUGCAGCAACAUCAAUUGUAUAUAAAAGCGAGUGAUCACUGAUUAGAUGAUCAGAGAUGUAUGGUGUUGCCUGUGUUAAUGAAAAAUUAUCGUGACCCAAAUUUCCUUCACUAUAAAUUUGGGUUGUUAAGUUGUAUGGUGAAGAAGCACCAGGUUCAACAUCAUGGAAUGGUUGUGAUCUUUGUCAAUCGCUAGUCAUAAAGUUGUUGUUUCUAAAAGUUAAAAGAAAAAUUUUAAUGGUAAAAAACAGUCUAAGUAAAACUAAAUUCGCAAGGGCAAUGACUUUAAAUUUUUCAAUCAAGGCAAUUUUAAUAACAUGGUUAGAAUUGAGAACAUAAAUGGAAAAGGAAAAAAAUUAUGCAAAAGAUAAGAAAUUGAACAUAAAACUUAAUUAUGAAAUAAAAGAAACAUGAACACAUGAAAAAAUUCGAAUUGAUUUGGAAAACAAUUAAGCAUAGAAUGGAAAAGAAAGAUACAACAAGAAAGAAAGCAUGCAAAAAGCAGGCCCACUUUGAAAAUAAAAGUGCACCUAUAGCUUAAGUGAGACAGGAAGAAGGUGGUGUUUCAGUUCCCUGCAACGUGGAGAUAGUUCAACAACAAUCAGAACAACAGGCCUGCAAAAAAUAGGGAAAGUUAGAAAGUCAGCAAGAAAAUUUAAACUUGAGAGGUGGACAAUAGCAACACUAAAAAAACACAUGCGAUUAUGAAAAUCGCAAGCAAACAAUUAUGAAAAAUGUGUUCAUUCUGCCGCAAAACUGAGAGUUGUUGUAAUGGAAAGAAGCAAAUGCAACAAUAAAGAAAGUGGUAUUUGUUGUAACAAACACUAAUUAUAUUAUAUGCAAUCCAAUUGAAAGUGAUAAUUCAGUACCAAUUACAUGCAACUAAAAUUAAAAUCAUGACAAUUAACAGUAUAAUUUCAAGAAAGAGAAUUUUCUUUAUGCAAGUGUUGUUGAAAACAAAAGUAGCUAGUCAUCAGAUGUAAUAUAAUUGAAUCGAAAGGCUUUGACACGAGCAAUGCACAUUCAUGUAGAGAAAAUAGAACAAAAAAAUGGUUAAUCAUGAUGCUGUAAUGAAAUUUAAAGUGAUAAUUCAACUGCCAAUCAUAUGCAAUUUAAUUCAAAAUCUAACUAAAAGUAAAAUCAUAACGGUAAUGGUUUCUAAUUUUCCAAUGAAGGCAAUUUUAAUAGCAUAGCCAAAACUGAAAAUUUCAAUGGAAAAGAAAAAACACCUACUCCAUGAAAGAAUAAGAAUAAUAAAUUCAAUACAAAACCUAAUUAUCAAGUAGAUGAACAUGCACACACAAAGAAAUCCGAACUGAUUCAUAAAAAAUUAGGCAUAAAAUGAAAAAGAAAAAUAUAGUAACAAAGUUGUAGGCAUAAAGCAUACUAAGUUUAAAAGUAAAGGUGCACUUAUAGCUUCAGUAAGACAGGAAGAAGGUGGUGCUUGUCUGCAAUUUGAAGAUAGUUCAACAACAAAUGGAAUAAUAGGGCUGUAAAAAUGGUAAGAAAUAAAAAGUGAGCAAGCAAAUUUAAGCUCGAGGGGCGGACAACAAUAAAAACAGUCAUAAAAACAUGUGAUUACAAAAAUCACAAGCAAAUAAUUAUGAAAUAUGAGGUCAUUCUGCCGCAACAAUGAGUUACUGUAAUGGAAAGAAGCAAACACAACAAUAAAGAAAGUGACUGGAAUUUGUUGCAGAUGAUACCAAACCAAUAUUUUUUUUCAAUCAAAUUUCUAUAGGAAACCAAUUCAGCCACUAAUUAUAUGCAAUGCAAUUGAAAGUGAUAAUUCAGCAACCAAUUAUAUGCAACACAUCACAAUUCACGAAUUAUUCUUUACCUGAAGAAAAAAAAAAAAACCUUACCAACUAAAGGCUCACUGAAAUGCAAAAAACUAAUCCAUUACAUGCAUCCUAAAAAAAAAGAAAUGCACAACAUUACUUAUCUACAUAGCAAAUGUUGAAGUAAGCUCAAACUAAAAACACAUGUUAAAAGCUAACUAACAGCAAGGACACUUAGCUAAAGAGGUGAGAAAGGAAGAGGUAUAAAAAUAAGGAAAACAGUGUGCAAAAAAAGAUGAGUUCUAGCUAACCAGAAGAGGGAAUGAGAAGCCCUGCACAACAAUCCUCAACCGAUAACCAACAAAUGUUGAUAGAUUACUGCAACAAAAAAAAUAAAAACCAAGUUAGCAUUAUAACAGAUGAAUAAGUAAAGGCUAAAAGUAGCAGACAAAAUAGAAGAUAGUGUUUGUGCUGAAAAAUAGAAAAAAAAACAUAAGAAAAAACAAGUAAGAUCAAAGGUUCAAAAUGCAGAUAUACAAACUAGUUCCAAAGCAGCCCCAGAAUAACAAAAAAAAAACACACCAGAAAGGGUUCCUAUGUUUUCUAAAACGAAGGAAAAGCAAAAAAAAAAAAAACACAUGUAAACUCCCUUGCAGACCAAUAACCUUUAAUUGCAAUGAUCCUCAGAGAAGCGCAUUAGCCAUCAAUGUCAGAACCAAACAUCAAUCAAUUUAGAAAAAAGACACAAAAAAGUUUAUAUAAUUUUUCGUAAAGCAAUGACCUCUCAAUUGCAAGGGCUCUCAUUUAAACUCAAAGGAUAAAAUCAUGUCAGCAGACACCAAAAUAAAAAUGCAUGGGAACAUUACACACCAAAAGCAAUGAAAAAGGACAAAGUUAUGUCAGCAGAUGCCAAAAUACGAAUGCAUGGAAAAAUCACACACCAAAGACAAUGAAACCAUAAAGCAAGCAAAACGCAAUCAUAGUUAAUUCGUAACAGAACAACAACAGGAAAACUAAAGGAAAAUGAAUUGGAAAGCUAACCAGAACAUCAUUCACUAACUGAACGGUAACCCAUUAUAGAAACACCCAGCCUGUGACAGUCAUUGUGCAUUUAAUGCACUAUAAUGGCAUGUCCACUAACCCAUACACAGAAGAGCCACACCUCUAGAAAAGAAAGUUUAUAGGCAGCAGGUGACCCUUAAAGGAAAGAAGAGGCAAGACAUGAAUAACAAACACCAACAAAUUCUCCUCCCAGGCUUGAUACACAAAAGCCAUAUCUAUAAAAGGACGGCGUGCCUAGAAAACAAUAAUACAUGCGGAAAAAAAAUCCAUCAACGAAAACGAUGAGGAAGUGCGUGAUGAUAACAAUAAUAAUAAUAUUAAAAAAAAAAACAUUUACUAAUGAUGAUAACAACCAUAAUAAUAGUAAUAGUAAUUCUUAAUUUUACAUUACAAAUCAAAUUUAUUUUUUUAUUUUCAAAAUUUAUAAUAUUCUUUACAAAUUGAAUAAUAUUAAUUAUAAUCAAAAUUAUAAUAAAUAUAUCACAAUAAUAAUAUUCUUAAUAUUAAUGCUUUUAAUUAUAAUAAAGAUGAUAAUAUUUAGAAUACAAAUAAUAAUAUUUAUCAUAUUAAUAAUAUCAUUAAACUUGUCUAGAAGGAGAUGUCAGACCCAAGUUGUUAAUAAUAAUAAUAAUAAUAAUAAUAAUAAUUGAUUUUUAUUCUUCAAAUUAAAUUUAUGUUUUUUUUAUGGUAAUAAAAUUUAUUUCAAAUUUAAUAAUAUUAAUGAAAUUAAUAAUAUCUAUAAUAUUAAUAAUAAUAUUAAAUUUAUAUGGCCUAAAUUUUUAAUAGUUUUUAAUCCCUUCAAAUAAAAUUUAUUGUUUUUCCUUAAUAGUAAUAAUAUAUUUUUUCAAAUUUAAUAAUAAUAAUAAUAAUAAUAAUAAUAAUAAUAAUAAUAUUUUCUCCUUAUAUAGUGUGAAAAAAAAUUAGAGAAAAGAAAAGAAGUUUACAGUAUUGGGUCCUGCUAGGGCAGGACCCAACCAUGUUUGAUGGGUGUUGUCUGACACAGGAUCCAAGGCCACGGGGUCCUGUUGGCAACAGGACCUAACCUAACAGAGGACCCAAGAGGAUUGGGUCUACAGCCAGGCGCUUUGGUUCUAUAGCUCACUCACGCUAGUCUUCACCCACCGCCCGGGUAUGCAGCCAUUACGCGCGAGUCUGUAGACCUUGGGGCGCGGGCUUGCAGACCCGCUCGCCUAGAUUUGCAACCCGCUCUCGUUGGUCUGCACCAACGCCCGAGUAUACAACUCUUGCGCGCGGGUCUACAGACCUUGGGGCGCAGGCUUGCAGACCCUCUCGCUUGGGUCUACACCUUGGGGACUGCAGCUCCACUUGGCGCAUGGGCGGACAUGGCUUGCCAGCACCAGGUGUCUGCAGCCCGGGGGCUACAACUUCUCCCAAACUUUGGCUGAUCCAGGGGAGUGGGUUUGCAGCCUCACCAUGCUCCAUCAAACAGUGCAGUUCACAAUGAAAUCACUCACAGUCCACAAUAAUUAUCGCUACAGUGUAAUUCACAGUGAAAACACUUACAGUCCAUGGUGAUUCCCGCUACAGUAAAACAUUAAUCCCUUUUAGUUAUAAUUAAUUUAUACAAAAAGUUUAGGUACCAUUACAUGCAUCAUUUUAUUUUUAAGCUAGUAUUAUAAUAUAUUAUUUAUAUAAAUAAAUAAAAAUAUUUUAUUAAUAAAUCUAUCAUCUCCCCAGUAUUAACACUUAAUCAUUAAACCAAGUAAAUAUUUAUCAGAUAUUGCUAAAUUACUUUACCAAUAUCCAUGACAGUGGCGGAGCCAGAGUUUUUAUGAUGAGGGAGCAAAUUAAUAACAAAUACUAUAUGACUUUUUAAUAUAACUUUUCUUCGAAGUUGAUUGAGUUAUAUAACUUGAAACUUUAAAUGACUUUUCAUCCUUACGGUAUUUACGCUUGAAAUACUUGUCUAGUGAUAUGUUAAUUUAAUUGAUGAACCUGCUGGUUCUUUUUAUUAUUAUUAGUGUCUACAUAAUAAUUAACACAACUACACAAUAAUUCGUUGUUAAACAAUAGUCAGUUGAGUUAUACAAUAAUUCUAAAUCUUUCAUAUGAAAUUCAUAGCAAAAUACACAUCAAUUCAUCAUAACUCAUUUCAAUUCAUAUCUAUAUGCAUAUAAUAAAUAUGUUGAUUAAAUUAUAUUUAAUCAUUUCUAGACAUUUAAAUUAUUUCUAAACACAAACACAAAAGUUGUAUGAACUCACCAAGUUAAAUAUAUGAAACAAGUUUUAAUACUAUAUUCUAGUUUCAAAUAAGAGAAAAUACUGAGAGAGAGAAAGUGUAGCUUAUAGAAUUUAAACUCAUGCCUCUCCUGACUCCAAGCAUCUCAUUAACAAUUAAUUACAAACAAAUCUAUGAUAUAAAAUGACAAUCAAUAUAUGUACAUUGUAAAUUAAGAGACCUCAAUUAAUAAUUAAUUCAUGAUUAUAGUGAAUUAAAAGAUCUUGGUUAAAUAAUUUCAAUAAUAUACUCUAUCAAUACAAGAGAUGUCAAGAAUAGUGGUUUUGUAUGAACAUUAAUUUAUUCAUUGAUAAUAAAAAAAAGAAAUAUUUAAUUGAUUAAAUUAGUAAAUUCAAACAUUUAUUUUGAAUACAUUCAUGUCAAAACUCCUAAAUUAUCAUAAACCCUAAUGUUUUUAAUGAUUAAUUAUAAAAGAAUACAACUAAAAUUAGAUAAUGAAAUAAAUUAAAAAAAUAAAAGAAAUUUACCUCAUAAAGCAAAAAGAAGAGAAAUUUGCAUGAGAGUGAGAGAGGCAUGCAAUAACUGAUCAAAAUGAAAAGAAGUUCUAUGUUAAUUAGUGAAAGAAAAAAAAGAUUUGUUUUUUAGUAAAUGAGCUAUACAUAUAUAUUAUAUAUUAUAUUAAAAUAUAAUUCAACAAUAACUUUCCACUUUUUUUACUUUUCCGUUAACCAAACUCUCAUCAACCUAUUAAAUUAAUAUUCUAAUAUUAAAAAUAUAUUUUAAAAAAAUUAAGGAGACAAUUGACUCCUUUUGUACCUACAUGGCUCCGCCAUUACUUAUGGGUCAUAUUAAUUACGGUAUUCAUCAACCUAAUUCUCCAACUCUCAUUUGAUUAUAUCCAUGCAAGCAAGUUAGUUAUUUAGGGCAUCUAUUCUUGAAAAUGAUUUAUUUUCAUGAACUUUUAAGAAUGUCUUGAUUUUAAUGUCGUGAAAAUUUAUUAUAAUGUGCUUGAAAAAAAUGUUUACGUGUAGGUUGAUAGACCACCAACAUAUUUACUUUGCUUAUUGAAGAAAAAGACAAACAUUUAGCAUAUCUAAUCAACUAGAAUUUAAAUUAAAAUUCAUUAUAGUGAAAACCACUGAUCUAACCCUCGUGGGUUGGAUCUAAUUUAUUUUUUUAACUUAACAAAAUAUUGAGGUCUCAAGAAAUUAUUUAAUAUUGUUAUAUAUUAAACCUAACUUAACUUGUAAAUUUUGAAUUUUUGUGAACUAACUUCUUAUCUAGCUCUAAUUUAAAAUUAAUUUUAUGAGAGUUGUCCUCAUAUAAUCCAGUUGACUUGAUAGAUAAAAAAAAAACCUAGAUAACCAAUAAAAAAUAUGGUUUGACUUUAAAAAAAUUUAGACGAUAUUUUUUUAUAUUGAGACGACAAUAUAUUAUAUUGAUCUAGACUUCGUGACUUAACCUACAAACUCGCAACCCGGAUAAUGGAAUCUACUAGGUUUAACAACUUUAUUUUUUAAAACUAUCUUUUACUUAAUAAUAUUAUAACAACAAUAAACGCUCGCAUAAUUGAGUACCAACCAAAUAUUAGAACGAUAAAAAUAAUUGAUAAAUAAUGGUUUAGUGGAUCUGCUUGGGCUUUGCGAACGUUUAUUAUAAUAAAAUGAAACAAAUUAUGAAGAACGUUUAUUAUAAUAAAAGGAAACAAAUUAUGAAGCCAAAUUCUCAACCAUCUCAAUAUUAAAAGAUGAAAAAAAAUUGAAAAAAAUCAUAACAAAAAUUCAAAAAGAAAAGGAAAAAGAAAAAAGAAAGAAAGUAAAACAUUGUGGAUUAAUAUUGUCAUUAAUAGUGCAAUGUGUGUGGAUGAACAAUGGUUUCUUCACACCCUUUAAUUUUUGUUAUUUUAUAAAGUUUAAUAACAUGACUUUUUUAAAAAAAUACUAUUUUUUUUUAACUAUAUGAGAAAAAAAUAGACCAUAAAAAAUCAAUAAUAAUUAAAAAAAAUAUAAUCCACCAAACUUGUAAACUGGAGCAACCUGAGUUAUCUUGACAAUCUCGUAAAUCACGCUAACCUUGUAUAAAGACAAAAUAAAAAGAAGCAAAUUACAAAUCUAAAUUCUCAACAAUUUCUAGUUUAAAAAAUGAAAUCGACAAAAACAUAUUUUAAAAAAAACAUAACAAAAAUUUAAAAAAAAAAAGGAAAAAAAAAAAGCAAUACAUUGUGGAUUACUAUUGUAAUCCACGAUGCAAUGAGUGUUGGGUGAACAAUGGUUUCCUCAAAUUCUUUAAUUUUUGUUAUUUUAUAAAGUUUGGUAACAUGAUUUUUUUCAAAAAAUAUUUUUUUAACCAUAUGAGAAAAAAUAGACUUUAAAAAAUUCUAGUUCAAUUAAAUAAAACAAUCCACUGAACUCGUAAACCGAGACAACUUGGAUUAUCUUGACAAAUCCGUAAACUACGCUAACCUCAUAUAAAGAUAAAAUAAAAGAAAAUAAAUUACAAAACUAAAUUCUCAACUAUCUCAAUUUAAAAAAAUAAAAUUAACAAAAAUAAUUUUUAAAAAAUUCAAUUAAAAAUAAAUAAAUCAAAGGCGUUGUCAUAAAUGAUUUCAAUAAUUCAUAUGGCCUGACACACUCGGACAUCAUUUAUAAGCACAAAUAUUAGAAGAUCAACUCAGCAUAAGACACCGUUUCAGAUCUGAAUCGAAAAAGGUUUGUCAGCUUCACUAACUGCAUGGCUAAAAGCUACUACUAUAUUAACGACCAUAUAUACUUCGGCACAUCCUCUUUAAAGAUCUAGCACAUCACUUCCACACAACAGCUCCGACUACAACUCAAUCGUCCAGCGAGAGAGAGAAAGACACUGUGUCUCUCUGUUAAUUUCUGGUUUCAAUCAAAACGGCAAGAACAAACAGCAACCGCCUCUCUCUCUCGGUAUCAUCUCUCAACGUCCACACUAUUCCUACCAGCCAAAUCAGAGUAUUAGAUUUGAGGCCGGAUGCAUGGUAAUCAUCCCAGGAAAAUGUAAGAUGAGUAGGGCUGAUGCAAUCAGCAUUCUUUCCAAGUUCCCAUGACUUGCUGCAGGAAAUUUCCAUGCACACGAUGUGCAAACCCAAGUUUCAAGAAUUUAAUCAACAAAAUGCAAAACAGAUUUUGAGUCAAUUCCUUCAAAGUUCUGUUCCAUCACGGUUGUUCACCUAGAAAGAGGUUGCCGUAAAAGCUAAAUAGAUAACAUGUAGAACUUAGAGGAUGUUUAGUGCUACGGUACAGAAUUUAAAAAAUGUUUAGUGCUGUGGUUGAAUUGUAGUUUUGUAAAUUUGUUUUAAAAAAAUUGUUUCAAAUUAUUUUUUUUUAUGGUUUUGAUAUAUUGUUAAUAAAAAUAUUAUUAACGUGAAAAAAUUCUGAGAAACAACAUUAUUAAACACCCCCUUGGUAAUCAAGCACAACUUUGCUGAUCCAUUGAUUUCCUCUUCUUCAUACACUUUCUCACUAAUGACAAUUCAAACCUUGCUGAUCCAUUGAUUUCCUCUUCACUGUCUUCACUAUCCAGCACAAUUACUGAUUCGGCAACUGGUGAGUCUCCCCCACUGGACUCAAUCCCCUUGUCAAUUUUCCUAAUUUGAUGUUGGAUAGACUGCUGCUUCUGGAGAGUAUCUGGAAGGAGGUUCUGCGAGUGCAAAAGCAACCUGCUAUUAUCCUCAUUGCUCCCCUGCAAUUGAGUGAGAGGACCCAAAGAUAGUUUCUGGCUAAUCCCAGUCUUCUUUGCAGUUUGAGGAUUUGAAAAUGGAAGCUCGUGAAUUGGCACAAUAUUCUCUUCGUCAUCCUUUUCUUGUCCCUGUGAUGAGGUUUUAAAUCCCAAAGAAAGCUUCUUACUAACCGGCGGUGGCUUAUUACAUCUUGCAUCGAUGGUGGUAUUAUCAAUUCCAAUAAAAGAAUCCCUACAAGGCAGUUCAUUAUGUUUGAAGGAUGAGGCCACCAGCAAGGUCUCUGGAGUUGAAUUAGAAUGGGACUGAGAAGGCAAUAGUUCAGGGGUUACAAGGAUUUCCUCAUUUAUGCCAUCAUUUGUUUGGUAUGCAUCCAAAGCUCCAGACAGCAUCUUAUGGCUAACCUGACAAAGAUUGUCUGAGCUUGUGCUUUUGCUGUCAAACGUUGAUAUCUUAUCAUGCUGCUUAUGGAGUCGUUGCUCAUUACAGUUGCCAGCGUGCAGCACUAGCAAAUCCAAAGAAGUCAUAGGAGCAGUUUGUGGGUUACAGAAGGAUUGAUAUUGCUUUGGGUUUAUAUUCUGUGUGUUAUGUUCAGGGAAUCUAACAGAGGAUUCAAGAGACAACUUCCUCCCAAUGCCACUUGACUUCUCAUAUUUCACAUUGUACUCUUCAGGCAUAACAAUCGACUCUCCCCCCUCCCCUUUUGUUUCUGUGUGAUUUCUGAAGUCAAACAGGAGGUCAUGAUUUCGCUUGUUAUUCACAUCUCCAUCACUUCCCUUGUUACAAGUGGAGAUGGCAAACUCCAGAGACAGCUUUCCACCAAUCCCACUUGGUUUCUUAUGAUUAGAAACGAAAUCCUUAUUUUGAUUAGUCGACUCCUUGUCUGGUCCUUUAAUAUCCACCUAGAGCAAAAAAUUACAAAUUCAAAAAGAUCCAGAUUUUUCAAAAAUAAUUUGGGAAAACAGCCAAACAAACGCUACCAUUGGGCUUGAAUUUGUGUCACUUUGAAUGUAUUGAGUACUGCAGCUACCGAUAUUGGCUCCAGGCUUAGCAUAUUUCUCAGUCAUGGCUUGAGCUCUUUGGUCAAACACCAGCCUGUUAUAUUUGUAUUCUCUGCUCUGCAUAUUCAUCCCCACACAUCAGAAAAUUGAGACAAUUUUAUUCAAUAUUACUGUCUGAUCGAUCUGUGUACAUAUCCACUUACAGCUUCACACAUUAGGCCAUCAUCAGGAUUUGGCUCACACAGCAACAAUCCUAUGCUUGUUAGCACUGUUGAAAUGUUUAAUGAUGGUUGCCAUGCACCCUGCUUGUGUAGAAACACAAACCUUGUUAUAAAUAGCAGGUUUGAGAGAAACCCUACAAUUUCAUUAAGACAUCCAUUGCCUAUUGAUAACAAAAUAAGAAGAAAGUUGAAGAAACAAAUAAAUUGAAAAACCUCAAGAAAUUUCUUGUCAUCCAUGAUUUGUCUAACAGUACAAUAAUUGGACAGUUGUCACUGCCCAUGAAAUAUAAAGUUCAGUUUUCUUGACAAAUAUCCUCCAGAUCACUGUUCUUCAUAGUUCAUACCAAAGCUACAAUAAUGGCAAAAGGGACCGUGAACAACUACAUUAGAACCUUUACGCUUUAAGAGUUAAUUCAAACCAAUGGACCAACAACUGACUUUACAGGCCAACUUCUUGCCGAUUUCCAUGAGAAAUGGGAAGCCACGGGAGUACAUACUUUCAGCCCAAAAUACAGGCAAAAUUUUAUAAAAUAUCAGCACAAGUAGUUGUAACAAGCGGGAAGAACAACCGACCUUGUCAAAAUGGUAAAAUUACAGAAUCAAUAACUAGAAGCAAGCAACUUGAGAUAUUACUUUAGAUUAAUUCACAUUUUAUUUAAUAUAAAGUCCAUUCAAAGUAGAAUCAUUAGAUUUAAUUCUUGAAAAAAAAAAACCAUUAAUAAUAGUAAUAAGCAGUAGAAUUUGUCAAUCUAUCCUCAUUUUUAUAUAUACAAAAACAUAUCCCAGAAAACAACACAAAGCGAUCAUGCUCAGAACAUUAUAUAUUUCUAGGAAACCAAAAACAAACUAUCACUUUCGACAAAAGAAAAAACAGAAAAGAAAAGAAAAGAAAAGAAUUAGGGUGUGGGUGGGUGUGUGUCACCUUCGGGGGAAGAUUAAGAAUGUCAAGGCAAAUCCGACCUCCGUUAUCGAUAUUAGGGUGAUAGAUUGGCGUGGCAAAGGUCACACUUGGAGGCUGAAAUGGGUACCUAAAAGUUUUUAAAAAAGAAAAAUUAAAAACCCAUCAGAAUUCUUAAUUACAAGACAUAAAUGCAAAUAAUACCUAUCGGGUAUUUGAAUCUUAAUGCUGAAAAUCCCCUUAGCAUAUACACUCCCUUCGGGCCCUUCAAUCUCUGCCCUAACAAAAAAUUUGGUCAAUGGAUAACUCAAAUUUUUGAGAUUUUCGAUUGGUUAUAUAACGAGAAGUAACUUACGGGCGUCGAUAGUUGACAAAGAGGAGAAAUCGGAGGCGGUGGAGAGAAAAGGAAAGGAGGCGCCGGGUGGAGGGUCGGUCAGGAGGAGCUUGAGCUCCUUUUGCAUUCGAAGAUUGAGCCUCGCGGCUUGUGCCAUUUCGCGAUUAGCAAGUUCUCCUCUCUCUUUUUUUCCGGUUUUGUUUUGGUUUGGUUUCCGUGGGUUUUUGUUCAUAAAAGGCACCUUAUAUCAUCUACAACUUCUAAUUUUUGUUUUCUUUUUAUAUAAUUAAAAUAUAAUCAAACAGUCAAUAAAAUAAAAUUAACCAAUCAAUCACACGAAUCAAUACUAAUUUUUUUUUUUUUAUUGGAAAGCUCGACGAAAAUCACAUAACCGUAAUCUAUCUAAAAUCUUCCACUUUCACAAAUAAUGAGAUUAUAAAGUGUUAUUUUUAAACUCAAACUAAAGGUAACAAUAUAUAAAUCAUCAAGAAUCGUAGUAUUCCUGAAAUACAAUAAGAUUAAUUAGAAGGAGUUGAAAGAAAUACUCACAAAACUAACAACCUCAUUUUAUAAUGAAACAACUAACUUAGACACUUUAAUCUUCAGUUCAAUCAUAUAAAAUGAAGAGAUAUAUAUCUGGAACCUGUUGUCAAAGUUUCUGCUUGAUACAACUAUAAACAAGCUACCAAUAGAAGAUUUAGUUGCUUGUUCAAGCUGCUAAUGUUUUUGCUCCUUUUUUUUCUUUUUUUGUUUGUUACGACGACCCUAAAUAAAAUAGAGCUAGCCCUCUUAUAAAUGAUAAGCAUCUUUUACUUCUUUUAUAAGUGUGUGAUCCUCUUUAAAUGGCGUGGGACUCAUAAAACAACUCCCUUUCACACACAAUGUGAGGAAUUCACCAUAACAAUGAUCAUUUUAUAAGCUUUAAUUUGGUGAGCUUGUCUAAGUUCAUUUGCCUUCUACAAAACUCAAAUUUCUCUCUCGAUAAAAGCUUGGCUAUCCUAUCUGAUAUAUUAUCAUUAGUAUGGAUCAUCUCAACAACAAAGUACUUAUUCUCCAUAACAUCUUGAAUCGAUUGGUAUCUAAUCUCAAAUUGUUUUGAUCGAGAGUGAAAAGUAUGAUGCAUACUAAGAUAAAUUGCACUUUAUAUGUUGCAAUGCAACACAAAAUUCACUUGCAUUAGACCAAGUUCAUGUAAGAACUUCAUCCAUAACAACUUUUAUCCUCUUCAGUAAGAGCAAUGUAGUUAGCUUUUGUAGUGAAUAAUACAACACAUAUUUGUAACCUUAAUUUCCAUGAAACUGCCCUUGCAAAAGUCAUUAGAUACCUCGAUGUAGACUUUCUAGAAUUAACAUUAUCAACAAUAUAUGUGUUUAUGCAUCCACUAGCAUAGGUUUACUAUAACUAAAUAUAAACUAAAACUAGAAGUACAUUUGAGAUACAUAAGUAUCCAUUUCAUUGUUGACCAAUGUUCUUUAUCAACCAACUGACCACACCAAUAACAGGACUUAUAUAUGGCCUUGUGUAAACUAUGGCAUACAUCAAGCAAUCAAUUGUAGAUACAUAAUGAACCUUUUUUUAUCUCAUUUAUUUCUUCAUCACAUAAAGGAAAUUGUUUUAAAAUGAGCUUAAAGUGACUUGUAAAUAGAAAACAAACAGGUUUGGAUUUAGUCAAGUUGAAUCUCUCAAGUACCUUCUAAACAUAUCUCUUUUGAGAUAACCAAAGUUUCUUAUUUUUCUUGUCACGAGUAAUCUUCAUACUAAAAAUUUGUUUUACUGGUCCUAUGUAUAUCAUUGAAAAGGACUUGUUUAACUCUCCAUUCAAACUCUAAAUCUUUUUAGCAUUAUGGCCAAUAAGUGAAAAUAAUGAAGUUACCAUCAUGAAAUCUUUUUAUAAACACAUAAUGAUCAGAAAUGGCUAUGUCAUAACUUUGUUUUGGAAAAGAUUAAAUGUAUUAAAAGAAAAGGACCAAAAAAAGAGGGGUAAACCCCACAGGAUACAAGAAAAAAGGGAAAACAAAGGUAAAAUGAAUACAACAAAGGAAAAGGAAAUAAAAGACAAAGGGAGCUACAUUAAAAGGCUAGUUGACUGGAAACCAAAAGCCAACUCUUUAGAGUAAAUUACAGGGGGGAGAAGUGGCAUGAAGCUAGGGCUCUUGUAGGUCCUAGGAGUUUAGGAUAGAAGUUGGGAUGGUACACUUAUGAUCAUAGCUUAUCAGAUGAGUUCAGAUUAGUUGGAUGAUGUCCUCACAUACAAACUGAGAUGGUUGGAAAUGUUGGCAGAAGAUACAGUUAUUUUGUUCGUACCAUAUAAAAUACACCGAGGCAGACAGGAUAAGGCUCUACCAUAACCAUGCUCCAUCAUAAAAGAAUCAAACUUCUUGUACCACUAUUUUGGAGCUUGCUUCAACCCAUACAAACUCUUCUUCAGCUAACAAACUAGCUGCUCUUUACCUUUCAAUUCAAACUCUUUAAACUAAUUCAUGUAGAUUGAUUAGUACUUAAAAGUGCAUUUUUAUCAAGGUUUUAUAUUAUCAUUUUGCACUUGAAGUAUCAAUAAAUCCUUAACUAAAGCAUAUUUUAUAAUAACAAGUCUGAUACCAUAAAAUACCUUUAAUUUAUGGUAAAUGUUCAUCUUAAAUGCAAGCCUAUCACAUAAAUAAAAGGAUUGAUUGAUGAGUUUAAGUACAGAAAUUGAAAGGACAAAAAGAGGGUCAAACUUAGAAAAGAGAUGUUGGUUCAGUCCAAACUAGAACAUUAUUUGGUCAUUGGGUCAUAUAUGGAGCUGUAGAUCUUGGAUUUAGGUUUUCCUUAUAUGGAUGGAAAGCUAAGACAUAGGCCUAAAACUUUCAUGAGGAGUCCAAGAUUUAAAAAGGCCGUUUUCAAGUCCAAAUUGUAGCAACAACGGAGAAGUCUGAAUCUGUCCUACAGCCCAGACACUAUUUAGUGUUCAGCCCAUAUCUCGAGUUUUAGAAGUCCAAAUGACCUCAACGUUUUUUUCCUGGAAAGUUGAGACAAUUUCCUAGAACUUUUAUGAUUUCAUUCUGUUCAAAUUAUGACGUUAUCAAUGAUGUUUUUGGCAGACAAGAAGAUAAGGAUUGUCACUAAGUCAAGAUGUGGCCACCCACUCAACAAUUAGUCAACAAAUCAAUAGUUCUGAAUUUUGGCCUAUAAAAGGAGGCAUUUGCCAUGUAUUUAGGCAUCUUGGUUUUCAGAUCAAGAUCAUGCUCUUGCUCUCUCUUUAUAUUUUGUAAUGCUUAAGUUUUGCUUAUAUUAAUCUCUUGCUUAUGCUUUCAUUUUCUUUCCUUGUUUAUUUAUGUUUAUCUCUUUUAUUAUGUUUAGAUAAGUUUAUCAUGUCAAGGUGAAAAGGUUACACUAAUGGUGUAAGAAUAAGUAUAAUAUAAACUCAACAUGGACUUUAAUGUUGGAUACUAACAUGUUUUAUAUUUGUUAUCUUGUUCACUUUUAAUACUUUGCUUGUUAAAUGGUUAAUCUAGAUUUAUGUUAUAUAACCCUUGGUACAACAAAUACUUGGCACUUUCAUAGCCCAACCGUAUGGUAUAACCGACACCUAUGCUAUGAAAGGAACUUGAUUUGUUGUUAACAUAAGUUAUAAUCAUGAAUGCCUGACAACAUUUACAAGUAUUAGCAUUAUUCGAAUAAGAUAACUGAUGUAAUCAUGUUAACAAUUUAUAAUCCGAUUGGAACCUCCUUUGUGUGUGGUUUCCAGUUGAGUAAUAAAAAGAGUUUAUACUAUACUUGUUUGAAAUACCAUUAGUGGAUCCUCUAACCUUGACAGUUAUUUUAUUAUUAUUUAAUCCUUACAUCAAUAUCACAUCUCAAAGCUCUCUUUAACUUAUUAUUGUUGUUGUUGUUGUUAUUUAUAUAGUUAACCUCCCUGUGGUUCGAUCCCGGUCUUGCCGGGUUAUUUAUUACUUCGACACUCCUGCACUUGGGAGAAGACAUCAAUCUUUUGGUCGUGUUAUAGAUCUCUUUAUCUAAGUCACCAUGGAGAAAAGCAAUUUUCACAUCAAGUUGUUUAACUUUAAGAUUCAAACUAAUAGUUAAACCAAGCACAACUUGGAUUGAAGACAUCUUGACCAUAAGAGAAAAUAUUUCAUCAAAUNNNNNNNNNNNNNNNNNNNNNNNNNNNNNNNNNNNNNNNNNNNNNNNNNNNNNNNNNNNNNNNNNNNNNNNNNNNNNNNNNNNNNNNNNNNNNNNNNNNNAGAAGAAUAUAUGGUGAAGCUUAUGAGGUCUAGUGGACAUUUUUAUUGUGGCUCAUCUAGAGCUUUAUGAAUAACGUGUUUAGGAAUAAUAUCACCAUCAUCAUCAUUAGCUGGCUAAGGAUCAUUAAUUAAUAGCUUAAAAGGAAAACCAUCAUUAUCAUAAUUUUACAUAUCUCCCUUAUGAUUAAAAAACAUCAAAGGUAAAUGUGGAGUAAGUCUUGAAUCCAAACUAGCAGGAACAAAAUUAGUAUAUUCUAUAUUCUCCUUUUAUUCAAAGUCUUCAAUGGUUUGAUCUUCAAAGAAGACUACAUAUCUAUCUUUAACAACUAUCUUCUAUUUUAGAUUCCUUAACCUAUAACCAAACUUGUCAUCUUUAGAGUCCAAGAAAACACAUUACUUAGUCUUGCUAUCAAUAUUAGACAUUUCAUCUCUAGAAACAUGUACAAAUACCUUGUAGCCAAACACUCUUAAGUAUACAUAAAAACAUUAUGAUUAACUAAAAACAUAGGUUCAACUCUAAAAUAAAACAUAGUUUAAUGGUUCUAACACCUUAUUAUAAUGCUUGAGAAAACAUUUGGAAAUCCAAAAUCCAAAUACUAAAAUCAAACAUAUAAUCCUCUAGUCAUGAUAGGCAUGAGAAUGUCCUGAAAGAAAAACAAUAUAUGCAAAAAUAAUCAAUCACAAGAAAUGAAAUACAUAUAUUCACUAUUAAUUUAAUUGUUAAUUUCUAACAAAAACAUAUUAUCCAUUGGUACAUUACCAAGUCAUGAAAACUUCAAAAACCCCUAGUUGUUGGCCAAGGUCUAGUCAGUCUUUGAUGAUGUAUGUUUUAACAAAAGAAGGAUCUAAUGCCAACAUGUUAGCAUAAGAAAAUGAUUUUGGAUAUGAACAUAUUGUGUAUUGUCUUAGUAUUGUGCUUAUGUUAAAUUAUGUUGGUACAUAUAGUUUAUGUAAUGUAAUAUAUAAAAUAGAUUUAAUUAAAUACAUGUUAUCAAAACUUUUUUAAAGAGGAUGUGUUGGUAAAUAAAAAUUAUCAUUAUCCAGGUUUAAUAUGCAUUUAAUUAUAACAUAGCUAAAUUAGUGUGGGGAAUUUAUUGUAGAUCAAGACACAUUUUAUUGUGGAUUGUAAUAGUAAUUUCAUUUUAAUUUCUCAUCUUUUCGCGAGCGGAUAAAUGUUUCUUUAGCUUUUCUUUUCUUCUUAUUCAUUGCUUCUUCUUUGCCACUUUAGCACCUUGGGUUUGGCAUGAUAAUGUACUUGGGUCUGGCAACCACAUCAGAUCUCCAAGCGUCAUGAGUUUGGCAACCAUGUCAGACCCAAGCUACUUGAGUUUUGGAUGUAGCUCAUUAACACACAUAACAAGUAUUUCUUUUGUUAUAACAACAUAUUUACAUGUGAUUUUAUUUGCAUGCCUACCCAGUUGCUUUGUAGGAGGAGUUCUUGUUGGGGGGCUAUUGUCAAGGCUUUCCUUGUUUUUUUUUAAUGAUUUCAAGCGACUUGGGUCUAACAACCAUUCAAGACCUAAACGUCUUGAGUCUGACAACCACGUCAGGCCUAAACGUCUUAUGUGUGACAACCAUGCUAGGCCUAAGCUACUUAGGUUUGGCAUGGUUGUCAGGUUCAUGCGUUUGGGUCAGGCAUGGUUUCCAGAACCAAACGCGGGUCUGACACACCUUAAGUAUGACAUGGUUUGCUAGACUCAAGUGACUUGGGUCUAACAACCCUGUGCAAGUGUACUGUGGACCAAGAUAUAGUCCACUGUAGAUUUGCACAGUGGAUUUUCCAAGCUUUGAAGGCUUGGGAUGGGGCUAAUGUUGUCUUUUCAAAUAAAGUUAAAUUAUCAUUUUGCCCUUUGAUUGAAAAAAAUUGAAGCCCUGAUUGUGAGGGUAUUUCAGUAUUUUUCAUAGGCUCAUUGAUCAUUAAAUGUUUGAGCAGGGGUAUGUUAGUCUUUUCAUGUUUAUUUGCAUAGUAAAAAUACUAUUCUACCCCCAAAGUUAACAAAAAUAAGAUUUGUUGCCCAGAGUUUUUUUAACAUUUUACAAAUUGUUAAAUAGUUAAUAUACAUCUUUAGUCUUGGAAAAGAUAAAAAUAAGAUCCAAGCUACUCGGGUUCUGACUUUAGCUCAUUAACACACACAAUAAACAUUUCUUUUGUUAUAGCAACAUAUUUACUUGUGAUUUUACUUGCAUGUCUACUCAAUUGCUUUAUAGGAAGAGUUCUUAUUGAGAGGGUUGUUGCCAAGGUUUUUCCUGUAUUUUUUUUAAUAAUUUCAAGCGACUUGGGUUUGACAACCAUUUAAAACUUAAACGUCUUAGGUCUAGCAACCACGCUAUGGUUGCCAGAUCCAAGACGCCUGGGUUUGCGCUUGGAUCUGACAUGAUUACCAGACCCAUGUUAUUUAGGUCUAACAAAAAGUUGAGUGGAGAUUUAAAAAUUAAUUAACUUGAUUAAAUUUAAUAACACUUUUAAAAUAUUUUUCGUAUUCUUAAUUUUUUUUUAAAAAAAGUUAAUAUUAACCCAUUGUAGAACAUGGACCAAUAUACUAAUAUAUGUAUAUAUAACAGUUAAAUAAGAAGCAUUGGAUGAUUUCUUAGCUCGUUAUCUUUCCACUAGUAAGUACCAUGAAUUAGAAGGGAUAUGAAUGUUAUCGUGGUGUCCAUUCAUGGUUUGACGGAUAUAAGACCAAGAACAAACUGGUGCAGGGGUGGUGAAUGUUCAUGAUCUCCCUAACACGUCACCUUAUCUUUUAGACGCCUAAAUAAUCAUUGGAUAGUAAAUGAAAGUUUGUUUUUGUGUUUUAACAGUAUUUGAAAAAAAUUAAUAUUUUUUAUUUUUGAAUAUUCUUUUAAAUUUUUUAAAAAUAAUUUUUUAAAAAUAAAAAUUAUUAUUUUAAUAUAUUUUAAAAUAAGAAAUAAUUCACCUGAAUGAAAUUUAUUAUUUUGGUUGUGUUUUGAAAUUGUGGUAGCAUUUAAAAUGUAUUUUUUAAAAAAAUAUAUUAAAAUAUUUUUUUAAAAAAAUUAUAUUAAUAUAUUUAAAUGAUAUAAAAAUAUAUAUAAAAAAUUUAUUUUAAAUAAAUUGUUUUUCAAAAUUUAAAGAAGUGCGUUACCUAACCCACCCAGUUUAUGUGGAAGAUACACGUUUGAAGUUUGAACACCCAACUCUGUUCGGGCACGUACGGCAGAGUCCACAGGCCCCACCUAAUUCCGGUGAUGAUGGUCAUAACUCCUCUCGCCCUCCCUAACAAAAUCGGAUUCUCGUUACCUUUUCUCUAUAAACCAAUCACAAGAGGAGGAGGAGGAGGCAGUUGUUCUGCUUUUACUUGUCGCUCUGUAUCAUCACUUACCAGCUUCACUUGGGACGACGUCGUUCAAGCCUCUCAACCUGACUAUGCCCCAAAUGAUUCUUCAGAUCUCUCUGGCUUCUUCGAAAAGAUCAAAUACUGCAAUCGCGGCUCCUCCGUACAGAGCGAGCUCUCUUUUCCUUUGUGUUUUGGUCAAUUAACAAUAUUUUUUACUGUAUAAUUUUUAAUAUUUGCAGGAGAUAAAAUCUGAAUUUAUUCCAUUGGUGAUAGAGGAUCAAAUAGUUGGUUACAUACAUAACGGGUAAGGUAAUCUCUCUCUCCCUCCCUCUUUUUUGUUGUUUUUGCAUUUUAAGAAAAUGGGAAAUUCAAAUUGAUGAAUUAAUUUUGAUUUAUGACAGUUUUUUUGAUAAUUAUUUGAGGAGGUUUAAGGACGUGUUUGUUUUUGUGCCAAGUGAUUCUCGUUUUGGCACCAAUGUGACUUUAAAUAAAACACUAAGCACGCCAGAGGAAAGAACCAGAGUUGUUGGAAAUGUAAUCAAAUGCUUGGCAGAAGAAGAUAAGGAACUGAUUCCAGGAAUACGAAAUGAGGUAUAAAGAUCAUCAACCGUGUGGAGCUUUUUUUUUUUUUCUUGCUGUAUUGGCUGUUUACUCGUUGAUUUUCAAUCAGUUGUACCCUGUCACACCUUCGUUCGGAUCGCCCCCCUAUUUUUCCGUUGAACGUGCUGCUGCUCCUUAUUUUGGAAUUAAGGUUUGUGCUUCUUAUUUCUUUGCUUCAUUCUUUUUUCUUUUUGUUAGAAUUAAUUAAUUUUUUUUUCACUUUUCAACUCUAUGAGAAUAGGUAUAUGGAAUUCAUAUGAAUGGUUUUGUGAAAAGAGAUGGGGAGAAAUUCUUAUGGAUAGGAAAGAGAAGUCCAGUGAAACAAACUUUUCCUGGGAUGCUUGAUCAUCUUGUUGCUGGUGGACUGGUUUGUAACUAUUUAUUAUAUUCAUCAGUUGCUUUUGUAAUCCACAUUCUUACUUGUAUACCAUUCAAUGAAAUUGGUAUCUGGUUUGCAUUGUCAGAUUAAGACGAAGGGAAGAUUCCAUUAUUUAUUUAUUUAUUUUUAACAUUUGAAUGCUCUGAAUACUAUGACGACCAAGUGGUAGGUGAACUCUGAACUGAACUUGGAGUGUGAAAUGUCAAUGUUAAAUCCCGGAUGAUUACAAUAUUUGCAAUCCAUUUCCUUUAGUAACGGCAACUAGCAAAAAUAAGCAUGCCAUAGAAUUGUCACUUCAUUUCUGAGCCAACUCUUACAUUAUGGUAAUGACAGCCUCAUGGGAUGUCUUGUGUUGCAAAUCUUAUAAAGGAAUGUGAAGAGGAAGCAGGGAUUCCUCUAUCCCUUUCUAAUCAGUAAGUUUUCUUCUUCUGCUGAAUUAUGUUCAGCCUGCCUUGUAUUGUCUGGGAAGUUGAAUCUUGGUGCAGCAGGAACAGAUCCUUUGAUCAAGUUGUUUUGGUUGCAACCACUCUCGUUCUGAUGAUGGGUCUAUAUUGCUUCUUUACAGAGCCAUGUCAGUUGGUGCUGUUUCUUAUGUGGAUGUUGACGGGUAUAGAUACAAGAGGGAUGUUCUAUUUUGUUAUGAUUUAGAACUCCCUGGUGAUUUUAUUCCUAAGAAUCAAGGUAAAACUGUGAAAGCUCAGGUUUUCAGCUGUAAUUAUAUAUCAAUUCUUCAAGCCUUUUAAAUAUGCCUAGAAAUUUGAGGAUUGUGUUUUUGACAUUUCAUGAUAUCUUUACCAUCAUUGGCGUAUCAAACUGUGACAGAUGGGGAAGUGGAGAGUUUCAAGUUGAUCCCCGUGGAAAAUGUUGCAAAUGUAAUACGGAGGACCCAUUUUUUCAAGCCUAAUUGCUCUCUUGUUAUCAUGGAUUUUCUGUUUCGACACGGGUAAUUCUUCUCUAUUGUUUCCCUUGUUUAUUUUCACACUCAUUUAGCGGUCACUCAUUUAACUUUAAAAGAUAAACUAUUUUUUCUUUGCCACCUAUAUUAUUAUGACCCACCUCUUCAUGGUGAGAAGAUAAUCACAUUCAUUAGUCAUUUUCUGCCUGUAAUUAUACAAACAAUAGGGGCACCUACAAGUUUAUCUCUGUCUUCCAGCUCUCAUUAAGACCAGAACACCCAUGACUUGCCGCAAGAAUCACACAAAUUAAUGUCUUGGAGCUUCACUCUUUAUAUCGCCUUUCCAUCCCUUCACCUGAAACAUUAUUUCCUUCCCCGCAAUAAGAGCUUUAUGCUCAAAGUUUGGGCUUCUAUACAGUUUUGAUAUUUCCUGAAGAAGAUAAUGGCCUACUUAAGUCUAUAGAUGAGGUUCUGACUUCUGAAAGAUUAUAAGCAGUAUCAGAGCAAGGUAUAGGUUUGUUACUGCCUUGGUGAUGUAAGGUGUAGCAUAAAAUCUUCAUAAUUGUAUUGUUCUGGUGUAAAUUCUAGUUUCUACAUUGGAUUUCCUUCAAUUAUUCCACUUCUGGAAACUUGUAUUAGAUCCUGUGAGAACUUGCUUAACAUCAGUUUUUACUCAAGUAUCCUGGAUCAUUAGACCUUGUUACAGAAAGGUUGAGUAGGGUGAAUUGCAGUUUGCGUUCUUUCUAGAUCAUUGGAACACAAGGAGUGAUGAGGUAGAUCAUGGUGUAUUCCCCGUAACCUCCACCAUUUUCUAGAUCAUUGGAACACAAGGAGUGAUGAGGUAGAUCAUGGUGUAUUCCCCGUAACCUCCACCAUCACCGCUAUAUAAUACUAUCUUGAUGGGUUUUCAGCCAUAUCAUUCUUACAUGCAGAGAAAUCACUUGAGGCGCAACUCAAGACACUCUCUAAAUCUUUCUUUUCAUGAUUUAGUUUUGUGGNNNNNNNNNNNNNNNNNNNNNNNNNNNNNNNNNNNNNNNNNNNNNNNNNNNNNNNNNNNNNNNNNNNNNNNNNNNNNNNNNNNNNNNNNNNNNNNNNNNNUGCAGGUAUAUUGGUCCUGAAUGCUUGGGAUACUUGGAUCUUUUACAAGAUUUGAGAAGUGGAGAUACUUCCUAAAUAUGCUCUCGCUUUGUUGAAUUUCUAAACUUCAACAAAAAGAAGGGGAAAAAAUAUAGAAGCUGUCCUGUGUGGUUGAAUAUUCUCUCAUUUGCAACAAGAAGUUUGUUUGCCAGAGACUUCUUUUAUGGUGGUUGGAAGGUGCAGGCAGCAUGCUGUUCGGAGGUGAAUCACGUCAAUGGAUCUGAAGUGCCCAAGCAAAGGUUUAAAGGAAAAGGAGAAAAAAAAGAAAAAAAAGGGAAAGCAUAUACUAUCUGGACCUCCACUUUUUCCUGCCUGCUGUGUUGAAAAAGUCCUUCGCCUUGACUGUAAAUGCCAUUUUUAGCCAUUUCGAAAGAUUUCACUGCUAAAAAUAGAUGCUGAAUUUCAUUAAAGAUGCUGUAAUUGUUCUUAAUUGCAUUAAGACAGGCAAGAGCAUGAUGAAGUCCUUGGGAUCAAGGAUGAUAGUGCUGAGUACAUUUGGUUUGCACCUGUCCAAGAGGCCAAAUUUGAGUUUUGCUUCUCUCGUUUCAUCAUCAAAGAGGAAUCCUAAUUUAUUGUAGACGCGGCGAGCAUGGUGGGAACUUUUUGAAUUCUAUUUUUUAAUUUAAUUAUACGUAAUAAAAAAAAUAUUUUCAAUAAAUAUAAUAAUAAAAUUAUAUAGAAAACUUAUUUUUUUUAUAUUCUUAUUCGAUUCAUGUAUUUUUGUUUUCUUACAAUUAACAGUUUUUUUUUUUAUCAACAUUGAAUAAAAAAGCAACAACAAUAAAAAAAUUAUUCAGAAAAAUUAUAAAAAUUUGAACUUUGAGAAUAUAUAUAUAUAUAUAUAUAUAUGCAUUUAUUUUUAUUUUGAUGAAAAUAUUUUUUUAUUAAAAAAACAUUGGUUUUUAAGUAAUAACCUAUUAUGAUCAAGAAGGCGUGUUUUAAAUAUAAAAUUAUAAAUUGAUUAUUUUUACUUUUACACAUCUAUAUAUAAAAAAAACAUGAAAAUAAUAAAAUUAAAAAAGAUUAUGUAAAAAUCCUAUAAUAAAAAAAUAUUUCAUUCUCAUUUAAUAUCGGUACGAAUGAGCAAAAUUAUUUACGCAUGUAUAGAAAAGUGUGCCCUAUGAACUUACGAUCAAGGGUGACAAUUGAAAGCUAAGCAUCAAGAAGCAGCGUGCAUCACAACACAAGAGAAACUUUCACUCUUUUGAAAAUAUUUCAGAGAGAUUGUAAGGAAUGUUCUGGUUUGCGAUUGUGUAUGUUUAUGUAUUUAAAAACAAAAUGCUUUUAAAAGCUAUAAUUUCUUUAUUCAAAAUGCAAAUCAAUCAAAUGUUUAGAAUGUGUUGAGAAUACAUGUUAAGCAAGGUGUUUAUUGUAAAAUCAUGACAACUGCGAGUUAAAUAAAAUUCUAGGUUUUUUGAACAACGCUUCAUCUAUGGCAUUCAAAUUGGGUUCUUUCUAAUUAAGUGAAAUGGUGUCAUUUUAGAAAGACCAAAAUAGUCCCUGAAUUACGGCUUCCUUUCAAUUGUAGCCCAUGAUUUAUGAAAGUUAUAAUUAAAUCCCUAAUUGGGCCUUAUUUUUUUGAAAAUCCUUUCAAUUUGGCCCUCAAGCAUUCCUCAUUAGACCCUUAAGUUUUACAUGCAUUGCAAUAUGGUCCCUGACUCUUCAAAUUAUGUAAUUUCAAUCAAAAUUGGAUCCAAAUUUUAAAAUUCUCUUCAAUUGGAUCCCUAAUUAAAUCAAUUGCAACCUUCCACGUUUCCUCCACUUUCAUUUAGGUUAUUAGCUUUCUAAUUUGUGCAAUCAUGACCUAAGUUUCAAUUUUUCAUUUAGAUCCUCCACUUUCAUUUAAGUCUUUGAGUUUCUUUUAAUUGACUGAAUUAAGCUUCCAAACCUUGCCAUCUUUUUUUUUUGGUCAUUGGUCAUCUAAUAUUUUCAAUUAUGACUGAUUUCAACCCAUUUAUUCCAUUUUUUCCAAUUAAAAUUACAUACCCACAUGACUUCCUAACCAAAUACAAAUUAAAUUCUUGCCUGAUUUCAACCUGAAAUUGAAUUUUAUUUUUGAAAUAUAUUUUUCUUUGAAUAUUUUUUUUUAAAUGAUUUUGAAGACAAUUUUUUCUGAAAAUUCUUGAAAACUUCAAGGGGGUAAAAAUUGAGUUAUUAUAGUUGCCUCUACUUUACAAUUCUUAUGGAACAAAGUCUUAUAAAAAAAGGUUUUAUGUUGUAAGCUUGUAAAUAAAAGAUAGUAUUUGUGAAAAAUUUUGAAAAGGUACUAAAGCAAAAAAAUAAAAAAAGAGUUUUGCUGGACUCAAAAUCUGUUUGAGCCUUGCUAGGCUUUAAAAUUAUAACAAACCUUGCUAGGUUAAAUUGUUUUAGAGUCUUACUGCACUAGAUAUGAGAUUUUUAUAAUAAAAACAAAUUUUGCAAAACAUUACACAAUGCUAACAUUUUGGAUUAGAUGAAAUUCAUGCUUUUUUACCUAUAUGGAAAUAUAAGCCCUCCUCUUUUUCAAUCUAUCUUUCUUGUUUGUAGUAGGACUCGCUAGCUCUUUUGAUCGCUUAACCCGCCAACCCACUCAAGUUUGCUUGUGUAAAUCAUGUCUUAUUACAACCUGGACCUUAUGUAACAACCAUUUCCCUUUCAUGUUCACUAUAAGAAAUUUUGCGUAGUUGACCAUUUCUUGAAAAGUAACAAAGUUUCUCCUAGUUGGAUUGUGCUCUAAGUGUAGUAUUCAUUCAUCUUUUCCCACCUUUUGUUUUCCUUAAUGAAAUAGUUAUGCUUUUCCACUCUCAACUUCUGAAUAGGUUCAUCAACUUAUUCUUUUAAACAAAAUUGCUCCUAGUUGAUCUGGUUAUGUUCAUCCUUCUAGCACUCAUCAAUAUCAUCAUAAGGAAUUUCUUUUAUAACUCAGGGCUUGUGAUGGAAUUCUUCAUGUCAUCAUUUAAUUAUUGUCAUUGCCAAGGGUUUUUUUAAAUUAAAUUACCCCUAGCUGAUGUGACCACGUGUAUUGUUACCAUCACGGAUUACUCUAGUUAGUUUGACUGUAUAUCCUCCAACAGACCCAUGUGUAUUACCUUAAUUCAGAGUGUGAAAUAUUAAUAGUUUAUCUAGCUAUGCUUAUCUUCCUGUAAUCAUCAUAGGAUACACACAUAAUCGACUCCAAGUUGAUUUGAUUGCUUAAAUUUUCAAUAACCAAUUAUGAGACGUACAUGUAAUAUUAGGUUUUACAAAACCCUAGUUUCUCUCUUACAAUUGAGAUUGUUUAUAGGCCCAAAUAAGGCUCGUAUGUUGUUGUUCACACCAUCUUUUAUUUUCCUUGUUGUUUAUUGAUUCAUUUCCUAAUUAGAUUUGCAAAUUUUAUUUAAUUCAAGAUUUAUUAGCUAGGUCAGUUUCACUUCUUAUUUAAACAUUUAUUUAUACUAUUUAUGUAAGUCAUUUUGAUAGUUAUACUUUAUCGAAUAAGAAUUCUCUCGUUAGAGUUUAACUUUAAAUUUUGGUUUUUCAAAAUUGUAGUUUCUCUCUUUUAACUGAGAUCAAUUUCAUGUCCAAAUUAAGCUUGAAAGUUGUUGUUUCACAUUAUUCUUUGUUUUUCUUAUUUACAGAUUCAUUUGCUAAUAAGCAGCGAUAGAGAAAGCCAAGAUAGCCACUUCUAUGGGAAAAUCCAUUUUAAUGACUCAAGGAAGAAAAGGCAAGGUUGAACACUUUUAAAUUAAAGAUAAGAAGAAAAAAUAAUUAAAAUUUAAAAUUAACUAGAAAAAUAAUUAAAAUAGCAAAAAUAUCAUUUUCUAGGUCUGAUUUAAGGGUCUUUUAAACCUACAUUGUUUACAAUAGUUGAUCUCUAUAUAUAAUUGGACUUGUAGAAUCCAUCUAGAAAAAAAAAUUGAGUAUAAUUCAAAAGUCAAAUCUAUAAUUAUGAUUUAUGUAUUGAUACAUUUAGGCUUGUUUGUGAAUUUUAUUUUAUAUAUUUGGUUUAUAAAUUCAUAUGUAUCUUGUAUAUUUUUUUAAAAAAAAAUGGAUUGAGUUAUUAAAAAUAUCACAACUCAUUAUAUUAACAACAACACAAUUUUUAAAAGCUUUUGAAACUGUGUUAGUUUUUCAAUAAAUAAAUAAAUUAUAAUGUGAUAUUAAAAAUAACACUUUAAAAACAAUAAUAGUAAGGAUACUCAUUACCUCUAAUUAUUCACCUAUCUCAAAAAAAAAAAAUAUUAAAUAAAAAAUAAUUUAAAUGAUAAAAUUUUAAUCAUGAUUAACCUUGCAAAUGAUAACUUAUUGUGUUUUUUUUAAUUAUAUAUACUAUUAUUAUUGAUUUCUAGUUUGUUUGUUUGUUUUUCGGUUUAAAUUAUUUUUUUGAUAUUCAUGAAAAAAUAUUAAAUUGAUUUUUAUUUUUUAAAAUAUUUUUUUUAUUUUUAAUAUAUUAUAUUAAAAAUACAAAAAUAUUUUUGUAAAAACGUAUUGUUAGCAACUACAAGAAAGCAUCAGCCAAUAGGAAAAUAGCAAGACCCGCUAUUAAAGUAGAAUUUAUCAGUGUGAUAUAUUUAAGAGAAUCCCAACUCCCUACAAUAUGAAACUUUUGAUUUUCAAACUGGGACCUAAUUCUGAAGUUUGAGCAGAGAUGAUGAUAUCUCUGCAAAUUCUAUCCCCUUUGCCUUCCUCCCACUUCAUAAACCCUAAUCCCCUUUCACUCCAAUGCUCCAAAAACCCUAAUUUCUACCCAAAAUCUUUCUCCGAAACCCCUUAUCUUGUAAAAUCAACGCAUACCCAUUUCCUCUCUUUCCCCAAAAACUCCAACUUGAAACUUAAAACCUCACUAAGAUUAAAACUUUCGGUUCAAUUUCAGAGAUUAAUUUGUUAUGGGGUUAAGGAUUCUGAUGAAGAGACUAAAGCAGUAGUGGAUUCUGGUGGUGAUGGUGGGGGAGGUGGAGGUGGAGGUGGGGAUGAUGGUGAUGGUGAUGCUGAUGGGGAGAUGGAGAAAAAAGAUGGGAUUUUGCCAGAGUGGUUAAAUUUCACUACUGAUGAUGCGAAGACUCUGUUUGCUGCUGUUGCCGUUUCCCUUGCAUUUCGUUCUUUUGUAGCAGAGCCAAGAUUCAUUCCUUCUCUGUCCAUGUAUCCAACAUUUGAUGUUGGCGAUCGUGUUUUUUCAGAGAAGGUAACAUGGCUUCCUUUCCUUUACUUUCUUUCCUUUAAUGAUGUUAAUGAGGUUUUGUGGGAGUAAAUUUAAUGCUGAACUGAGGCACAUCUCAGUCACGGAGAUUGCAAGUUGAUGCAAAGGUUUAUUGUCUUGAUGUCUCAUAAGACGAAGUUUUUUUCUGAAUAAUGAGGGAUUUUGACCAUUGGGCGUUUAGCCUAGUGGUAAUUAGCAAGGACGAGGGAACAACUUUAGAUUCCAAUUUAUUGUGGAGUGCACUGAAAUUUUUUGGGAGGCUAUCAAAGUUUAUACAAGAUGUUGCAUGAAUGAGUAAAGUGUGUUAGUGUCAAUCCUGGAAGACUAUGUAGGAACUUAUUUUGCCUUUGUUUGUGCUACAAUCAGAAUGAGUUUUCUUCACGUUACAUUUAGUGAAUGGCACAACAAUUUUUCUCCGGAAAGUGAGAAGGAUGCUGGACAUAUGAUGCCUGAGGUUUGAAACGAAUGGUAUAGGAAGAACUGAACAUAGACUGAUCAAAUAGAUAGACCUUUUUUUUUUCUACUUUCUAGAUUUCCAGAUUUAAAAAGGUUUGCCAUACUGAGAAUUAGUUCAGACAUACCAUAAAACCCAAAGAACUGAACUGAAUUGCAUAACAUUUGCCAAUUAUCAAAUUUUAUGAAUGCCUAAUGGUUGUUCCUCUGAUUUUGGAAAGAAUGGUCCGUGCUUCCUGGCCCUAUGAGCCAUGUUCGGGAAUUUCAUGUUUUUGCUUGAAUCUCGAUGUGAAAAUGUUGAAAUGACUAAUUUUCUUAUGAAGUAUCAUGCAUAAGAUAUGUUACGUGAAAUUGUCAGGUUUCAUACUAUUUCAGAAAGCCAUGUGUAAAUGAUAUAGUGAUCUUCAAAAGUCCACCAGUCCUCCAGGAAGUUGGAUACACAGAUGAUGAUGUCUUCAUAAAACGAAUUGUUGCAAAGGAAGGUGAUACUGUGGAGGUCAGCUACCAAAGAAGGCACUUUUGCUAAGUAAUCUUAUCAUCAGUUCUGUGUUUUUAUUAUUCAUAAGACACUUCACUCUCAUUUUAGAAUUUUAUUUUUGAGAUUUUGAGAGGGGGAAGGGUGCAAAAUCAAAUUUUGUUUUAUUUAUGAUGACAAUGAUGGGGCUGAUGUGCACCAAAUAAUGAUGUUUUGCAGGAUUAUAGAACCUCAUGUCUCAAUACAUUUGGAUGCAAUGUGAUUAACGUGCCUUCUAGUUCAAAAAACAGUGAGAGCAUAGGGAAAUGAUGCUUGUUGAACAUGUCUAUUUUACAAAAUGCCUGUCUCUCUGAUUGAACAUGUCUAUCUUACAAAAUGCACGUUUCAAAUUUUCUCUUGGAAUAUUUUGAUUAUUGCUCAAACAUGGCCCAUGGUUUGAUUGCAGGUCCAUGAGGGGAAGCUUAUAGUAAAUGGAGUUAUGAGAAGUGAAAAGUUUAUUCUUGAACCUCCUUCAUAUGAGUUGACACCUAUUGUAAGUAUCAACGCUAUCAUUGACAUCUCAUUUCUUAAUUUUUGGAUGUUCUUUUAUCCCAACCAAGUUAUAGGAGGAGGUUUGUGGUUGGUAGUUGGCCAACAUGUAUACAGUUACAGUUUCACUAAGAACUCCUAACUGUCAUCAUAGUGAAAUUACAACUUAGAAGUUAAAUUCUGAACUUCUUGCCUUGCAGUGUGUUUGCAUGGAAAUGUACCAUUUUCCCCUUGUUAUAACCCAUCACUUAUUUCUUUGCUUUGUAACGCAGCAUGUACCUGAGAACUCUGUUUUUGUGAUGGGUGACAAUCGUAAUAACAGUUAUGACUCACACGUAUGGUAAUGGCUCCUGAACUUACAACCGCUAGAGUAUGCCUAGCUUUUUAUUUAUUUUUUUCCCUUUUCAAAUAACAUUGUUGAUGUCUGGAAUUAUGAAUCUUUUAGGGGUCCCCUUCCUGCAAAGAAUAUAAUUGGAAGAUCAAUCUUCCGCUAUUGGCCACCUUAUAGGAUUGGCCGCACAGUUCUUGAGACUGGCUGUGCUGUUGAUAAGCAAGAUAGCACUUCUUCAUCUAAAUAGUUUGAGUCUAUCGGAAGAGUUUAUUUAUUUUUGGAUAUUCACAAUCUUUUUAUUCUGUAUUUUUUUUUUUUUUUGCCUUUAAUAUUGUCACCAUUUUUUAACAAGAUCUGUAAGAGCAUUCUUCGCUUGAUAGAGGUAGUUCUUGCUGGGGAAAGUUUUUUUGCCCCUUUUUAAUGACCUUGAUGUAAUUGUAGGCCAUAUCUGUAUUGAUCUACAGAAUUGAAUUGUAUUUUAUGAAGCAAACUCUCUCACACACGCAUACAUAAACCGACACACCACACUUGCGUGCGCAUGCACACUCAAAAAAUGGCAAAUGAUUUGAUCUGAUUCCAGCAUGAGCAAGAAUGCAAAUAAGUUAAACUUACAGUUUAUUAGAACAUUCCCAUAUGGCUUUUAAAGUGGGUCCAAUGGUGUAUUUUUAAUUCAGGGAAAAACCUUCUGGGCUCUUUGAGAUUCCAGAACGCAAUGAGAAGUUGCAUGUUGAAUGCACUGUUUGAGUUGUUUCAAUUUCAAUUGCCAUGUAGGAUCAUGCCUCAAGCCUAGAGUAGUGUUCCUUCAUUCGGUAGUUAUCAUGGCGAGUCUCCCACUUUCUGUAAGUGAAGAGUACUGUUUCAGGAGUGCCUAAUGAUUCCUUGAACCUGCAAAUCUACACGUGAAGUGAUUUUCUUAAUUUGUAAUUGUCUCUCCUCUGUACCUCACAGUCUCGCACACAGGAUAUCAAGGCCUGACUGUAUAGCUCAAGUCAUCUUAGACAUAGCAUCACAAGAAAACAAAAACGUCAAACACCAGAGCAUUGACUUAUUCUAGGGCUGGAACCACCGCAUAUUGAUUCGGCAGUGGAUGGUAUUCUUCUUCCAUAUGGAAAGAUAAAUCAACCACCUUGCCAUUCAAUGAUACGUGCACGAAUCCUCCUUAAAUAUGAUGACUUUGCUGCUACGAGAAUCAAUUGCCAAAGAGCAAGCGACUCGCCUUCUAUGCCUCGGCUUCACCAAUUUUCCCACAACAUUCCCUAUUGACCUGACUUCAAAAACUAAAGUCAUUGGAACUCCCCCAUUGUCUUCUGAUGCUGCUAUGCCCGCCCCUGCGCCAUACAGCGGAACCUUUGUUCCUUUUAGAUUCACUGACACAGUCCGGUGGCUCUUUCUUGGUUGAAAGUAUCUUUUCAACUGCAAACAUAAACAUGAUGCAAGUGUUUACAGGCUUGCCCAGUUUUUAAAAGGGAAAAAAAUGUACUUAAUAUCACUCAGGGGCAUAUUCAAGAUUAUCAAUACCGUUUUGUUUUUUUCUAGAAUAAUCGGUAUAUCUCAUACCGAUUUAAAAUAAAAAACUAAACUGGAACAAAUUCUAUCUCAUCAGACUCUUAAAUCAUUCCAGAAAUCCCAUCAAAUUUUAGUCGGAAUAGAACAACUGGAAUGUUCUGGUCCCAUUCUAGUCGUUUCAUUCUAGUCAAAUAGUGUUUUUUUUUAAAAUAAUUCAAUGUUUUUUUUUUUAAAUUGCAUCCUCCAACACACUUCAUUUAUUGAAUAUUGAAUUUUAUAAUUUAUUAUGGUUUUUUUUUUUUGUUAUUUCAGUCUCAUGACCUACGUCACAGAUUUAGCAGGUUAAUCUAGUUAACUCGAGUUUUUUUUUUUAAUUUUUUUAAUUGAUUUUUUUAAUUUCAUUAUUCAACAUCUUCAACAUUUAGUUGAUUAUGAAUUCAACAUUUUUUUUAUUUAUUUCAGUUUGUUUUCUAUGAAAUUAUCCAAGAUUAUUGACUCGGAUUACAAGUUUCGCGAGUUAACCCAAGUAGACUUAGGUCAUUUUAUUGUCUUUUUUAGAUUGAUUUUUUUUCUCAAUCCCAUCAUUCAAAAAUAGAUUUAUUGGGAAUUGAGGUCUAUAAUUUGUUUUGAUUUACUUUACUUGUGAUUAUCAUGAUUUAAUGAUCCGGAUUGCGGAUUUAGAAGGUUAACUUAGGUUGAUUCAGAUCGAUUCAAUAUAUUGGUGUCUUAAUAUUAUAUUAAAAAAAGAUAUUAUCUUGAAUUGUUUUGAGUCAAAUUAUAUUUUUACUAGUUGUUAAAAAUAUUUUUGAACUUGUUAACUUAUCGGGUCAUAUUUCGACUUUUAUAUUUUUACUUGUAUUUAAAAUUUCAAAUUAAUUUAUUUUUGAAUUUAAAUUAAAAUUAUGUUUGCGGAGUUAAUAUUUUGAAUUAUAUAUAUAUAUAUAAAAUGCUCCAAAACAUUUCAUUUCAAUAAAAAAAAAAAAAAGAAGAACGCUAUCCGGCCAAUUAGAACGGAAUUGAUAACCAUGCUACAAAGUAGUUUCUACCUAUUCGUUGCAAAAAUCAUUGUUCUGUAAUCAACUCAACUUGCAGAGCCAAUGCUGAUGAUCAUAGCAAGAAAAACUUACCUCACCAGUUGCAACUGUCAGCUCUGAAUACAUAAGAUUGACAGGAAUGGAACUGACGUGAAUGCCGAAAAAGGUAGCCGAGUUGUACACAUUCAUCUUCACUGAACAACUCACAGUCAACAUCUUGGUUGGGACUCCUGUCAUGUCCGAACCUUCACCAAAGUAAAAAUUAUGUACAGUCAAGCUCUGCAAAUAAAGGAAAAAUGGUCAUCUUUAAGAUGAAAUAGGAAAAAAGAUAAUAAAGAAACAAAAGAAAUUAUAUAUUUACCAGGAGAAAUCUAACAUGUGCAUACCUUAACAGUAAUUUGGGGUUUGAAAGGCCUGCUGGCGCCCCAAAUGAUGAAGCAAAAGACACACAAAGCCGAAACAAAACCCGAAGCCCAAAUCAAAACCUGACAGAGCCACCUCCUUGAAACCCCAUUUCCAUAAGGAUCAUAAUCUCCUUCCUCUUCGAUAACAUCAUCACACUUUGACUGAGGCCACCCCUUACUCUUGCUUCUCCCUUUCCACCCAUAACCACCCCCGGAAACCCUGCUGGCGGACGAUGACAGAGAGUGGCGGCCGUAAGAGAGGUGGGAAGGGGACUCCAUGGAGCUGGCGUAGGCAGGAGUGGUUUGCAUUGAAGAGGACUUAUCGCCGUCGUGCGAGUCACGUGAUGGGCUCUGCACGUAGUACAAGACGGGGCGUUUUGGAGAUCGUGGCGACGAUGGUGACAUGCUUGUCAUGUCCGAUUCCGAUAUGGCGUGCAACAUUUUUCUUUUAGAAGUUAGUUUGAAUCAAUGAUUGAGGUUUGUAAGUGAAGAAGGAAGGAAGAGACGGCAGAGAGAUGAUUUUGGUUUAAUUUGUAUUCAUUAAGGAUUCCAACUGAAACAGAUAAAUAAUUUUUAAGAAGACAGUGGGCAGAGAGAGUUUGUUAUUCCACACUGUUUUUCCUUCCCUACUUGAGUGAUGAGGUCCGAAGAAAAGAAGCGUUACUGUUACAUGCCUAGCUUCGGAACCGAACCACACGACAAAGUGCUUCGGGGACCAGGUGUUGGCCGUUCCCUUUUUAUUUUUUCGCCGUUUGAAUGUUGACAUGGCAGAGGUUAUAGGCACGACACGAGGGAACAUUUACGACGUUCGUUUUCACAUUGAUUUGACCACUUUUGAUUUACAGGGAGAGAAAAAAACUGAAAAAAGAUUAAAUCAAGAAAAUUAAAAAAAAAAAACUAAUUGAUAAAACCGAAUCGAGAAGGAAAUUGAGCAAACUGACCGCUUCAAAGAAAACCAAAAAAAUCCGGUCAAGCUUAGUUUUAGCUUCAAAGAACCAGACCGCUUCAACCAAAAAUUAAAAAUACCGUUAAAUUGAUAGUGGUAUAAAUAGAAACUUAUAAGAAACCCUAAACUGAAAACACUCUCAAGCCCCCUAACAUGCUCUCUAUCUUCACUAUCAAAAAAUUAACGAAUACAGAAAUAUCAAUGGAUUUUUUCUAUUGAUAUUUUACGAUGAUAUUUGCCGAUUGAAUCUUUUUAUCGCUAACCUCAUUAAUAAAUACCAACAGAAAUAUAUCAUCAAUAUAUACCGAGAAAAUUGUAGUCGGAAUAGAAGAAAUAAAACAACCAAAUAAUAUGAUGGCGUGUAAGUUUUUACAAACGCAGUUACCAAUUGAAUUACAGCGGGAUUCAAAUAGGCAAAUCGUACAGUGACGUGAUAGUGAUACCGACAGAAUGGUUGAUGGAGUCACCGUCAGAAUAAUUUCAUCGGUAAUAUUUGAUAUAUGACCUGGCGCUAGCUCGACCUUCCUCUUCCCCUUUUCCAUUUCUACUUCUUCCUUGCAAAAUUUCUCUCAAUUUGAAUUAUCUUUGUUUUUUUUUAGCAAUGCAAGAGUUUUAAAGGCUAUACAUUUUCAUGUUUUCAGAUUGUUUUGAUGUACUGAUAUCAAAAAUAAUUUUUAAAAAAUAUUAUUUUGAUGCAUUUGUAAAUGAAAAACACUUUGAACCGCAACCGUUACUGCAAUCCCAAACAGGCAUUGCAAUUUGAAUUAUGUUUGUUUGUUAACUGAUAUUCUAUUUACCAAAUUGAAUCCUAUGUAGAUAAACCAUUAAUCUCAUCUUAUAUAACAUUACAUUAAUUAAGCAAUGCUUUAAAAUAAAGAACAUAAAAAAAAUAAAAACAACUUACCUUUUUAUGACUAGGCUUCUUGGAUCAAGUAAAAAGGAAUGUUGCUCUUUUUUUGUUGGCUCUCUCGAGAUCUAGUAAUUAAAACGAUUAUAUAUGCUGACUAGAGUGUUUGGUAUUGUAGUAGCUUUGUGGCUGUGGUUUGGAAAAAGUUGUUUUUAUAAAAAGCAUUUUUAUUUGAGGUUGAUUCGAAAUAUAUAUGUUUGGUUAAAACUGUGGUUGAAAUUGAAGUUGAACAAAAAAUAAUUUAAUGUAUUUGGUGAUAUAUAUUAAUAUUGAUGGUUUUUAAUUUAAAUAUUGUAGAUUUAACUACUGCUAUUAUAUCAUGAAAUAAAUAAUACUUUAUAUAAAAAAAAAUUAUUAUUCCAUUAAACUAUCUAUAAUUUCAUCACGUACGAAAUUCAUCCGACAAGGACUACAGUUUCCAUGGUUUUUUGAACGUACAACAAAAUCAGGUAAAAUAUCAUUAGGAACAAAAUUGGGAUUACGAUCAAAUUCUACAAAUGCUACGCCAUCAUGCGAUCUCCUUCUAAUUUAUGUAGUGUCAUUGAAUAAUAUUAAGCACUAGUUUUUUUUUAAUAAAACACAUUUAAAAAAAAUAGAUUUUUUACUGUUCACGUGAACAGUGCAAGUGAAUAAAAUCACUGCACUAUUACGUGUUAACAAAUGUGCAGAGUGAAUUAAUUCACUCUGCACUAUUCACUUAACAAAAAUGAACAGUGCCGGCAAAGUAGGUGCAUCUUGCAUCUCCCCGAACUGCGUUUCUAUGCUUUUUUAGUGGGUUCCAUGUUUUAAAAACACUAGUUACCACUUUAACCAAACAAACAUUUUUUAUGGUUUCUUUAAAACGUAACCGCUGCCGUGCAGACAAACACACUCUAUGUUGGAUGACGUUGCCAUCUUUACAUCAUAUCUUGAAGCGGUGUCAGAAAAUUGAUGUUGUGGUGAUGGGGUUAAUCAGUUUGGCUUCCUUUCUUAAAUAUAGAUAUUGGUUAGGAAGGAAUUUUGGUUCCAAGCUUUCAAUUUGUAUACUUGAGGAAGUGUUAUAAUCAUUGAUGACAGAAAAAGUAGUGUAAAAUGUUUCAAGUUGUAAUAAGUCUAGAAAAUAAACACGUGUUAAGUGUGGAAGGUUGUCUGAAUGGUAGUUAUUUAUUAUAUAAUAUACUAAAAAAAAUCUAUUUUCAUAAAUUCAAUUUUAGUAUAAAAAUCUAUUUUCUUUAUUUUUAAUUUCUUGGUUUGAGAGAUAAGAAAGAAAGUUGUCGGAUAGAGAAGGAAAAUCUCGGUUGACACCGAUUUCAGCCAUAAAAAACAUUGAUCUUGGUGUUGAUAGGUUCCAUUCAAUAAGGAUAGUCUCACCUAGAUGUUCUUUGGCCCUCCUCCCAUCACUUGAGAUGGUAUAUAUGAGCAUGAAAUUUUUUUGGUUUUGGUUUGAUUGUUCUUUUUGAAUUAUUUAAGGUCAUAUAUGAGUUUAUCAAGAUGUAUAAAUUAUUUUGAUCAAUGUUUUGGUCAAAAAUUGGUUAAAAUAGGUUUUUAGGUAAAAAAAACUCAUUACCCCUAAUUUCACAACCACCAUAGCAGCUAGAAUCUAAAGAGAGGCAAGUGACCUCUUUCAAACUAUCCAGGCAUAUGGGCCUAGGCUGAAAGGCUAGGUGCAUUUGGCCACCCGGGCUAAGUCGACGCGCCUAGGCCUUUCUUUUUUGGUCAAUUAGUUUUUUUUUUUACUAAUUUCAUUCUUCAAUAUUAAGUUUUUAUUGAAUUCUUUUUAUUUUAACAAAUUUUUAUUAUGUUGUUUUAAUGUAAUACAAUUGAAUUUUUACUUAUUUUAUGGAGAAGAUUUCAGAGUUCUUUUAUGAUAUUAGAAGGCAUUCCUUAUGUAUAGCCCUACUUAGAUUUUUUUUCCUUUAAUUUUAUUCAAUCAUUUUCUUAAGUGUGUCAUUUUUUUUUACUAUCAUUUUAUUAAAUAAAACACUAGUUCCAAGAAAUAAAGUUAAUAAACAUCAUUGGGUACAUGACCCUUAUUGCGAGAUUAAAUUUCUUGAUUUACAUUUAUCUUUUAAUUUUUAUAGUUUAUGAGUUUUUUUCUUCAUUUAUUGGCACAAAUAAUUCUCGAUUUAUUUAAUUAGAUGUGUGGAUCAAGUUUUCAAUUUAUGGUUAUGAAUUUUUAUGUCAAAAAACACAUUGAAAAGCCUGCAUAUUUUUUUUUAAAAUAAAAUUUAUCAUCUGUGAUGAAGUGCUGGUCAAAUAGCAGCUAGCACAAUGACUAAAAGGAGAUGAUGUUUCACUAUAACAAUUGCAUUGUGGAUAUUGCGGAUGGUGAUUUUGUAAUUAUUUCCAAAAAAAUUUCUUUAGUAUACUUUUCAAAUUAUGCACUUUAAGUCCUUCAACUUUUCACAAAUUUAAUUUUGGUCAAAAACUUUAUUUUCCUUACAUUUUAAUCCCUAAUUUGAGAGAGGAGAGAGAAAGUGGUCGGGUUCUGGUAAUAAAGAAAGAAAGUCUUGAUGAACACCGAUUUCGAUCACAAAAAAAUCAAUUUUGGUAUCAUGAGUUUCAUUCUAUGAGGGGAGUUUGGUCUAAGUAUUCUUUGCUUAUAAACUUUCUUAAGUUAGUAGACCUAAGCCGGAGAAUUUAUGAAUUUGUUUUUUUAGUUUGGUGGAUUUUAAGGUAAUUUGAGGCCAUAUAUAAUUUUAUUAAAAUAUUCGGGAUGUUUAUAGAUAUUUUGGGUUAAAAGUUAAAAUCAGAGUUUUUUUUUGGCAAAAAAAAAAAAGUCAGAAUUUUUGAAAACCUUCUGACCGUAUCGUGGUGUGCGUAUAUUUUCUAGAGAAAUGCUAAACGGUUUGCAACUAGCUGAACUGGUCAGAGAAUGCAAAUGAUUUAAUAUGUUCAAUUGUGAUAUGAGAAAAAAUAAAUAAAUCAUUAUUUUUAGAUACGUGUCUUCCACCCAUCUCCUGCUCACUUGUCUUUUUCAUUCUCAGAAUAAUGUCUUGAAACAAUGCAGAUCAGAACGUUGAACACAAUAACUUGUAUAGCUAAUCGAUGUUUUUGGAUCGAUAAACCUUGUGCGUUUGUGCUGAGAUUUUUUGCAGUGAAAUAAAUAUGGUCAGACUUGGUUUUUUCUCCCAAGUAAAUCAUGCACAGUUCCAAUCCAGCCCACAAGUCUAUGAAGUAUACAUUCAGCACAGUUUAGCCAAGACCAUUCUAAUACGCGGGGAAAAAACAAGAACCCUAAACCAACGAGCCUACCUGCCAUCAUAAACCAGACUAUUCCAAGCAAAUACUAAAUCUACAUUCUUAAUAACAAAUGUUACACAAGCCACCAGAAUCUGAUACAACCAUAAUUUUUUUGAUCUAACCUCGAAUCCAGUGCUAUCAGCACAAAUCUGAUUGAGUGGUCAUUCUGAUGACUCAAUAUGAAACCAAUGAGUACUAAAUAAUCUUCUACAACUAUUUUCUUCAAUCUCAGCUUCUUUCAGAUCUACUUCUAUCCACUGAAUUGCGUGAAUCAAGUGUUGACAGGAUCUGGGGCAUUGACAUCCCCCCAGACACCACAAUUUCUGCAAUCAAAGAAUAAAUUAGACGAAUUGGUAAGAGAUCUCCUUUUGCUUCCCUCAUUUUUGGGCAGGGAAAAUUAAAAAAUAUGUCAGAACCCAUCUUUCACCAAGGACCCAAUACCUUAAGAAUAAAUAAACUCUUGAACCUAAAAUGUAUGUUAGUAUGCAAUAACAAGCAAUAUUGCAUUUCUAGUAGCCUGAAUAAAAACAGCUUAAGAAAGAUGCCCUGUUACCCCCCACAGGGAUGCUCAAAAGAAAUAUUUGAUAAAAUGAAUGUAAGAAUAACUGAGUCCUUACCAAUUCCUUCUCGGACUGAAAGAUUGGGUCUGAUAACAUCCUUGGUAUUGACUAGGAAUAUAUCUCCAAUGUACAGAUGAUUCGUGGGAACAUACACACAGCAUAACUCCUCUUCUCCAGAGUAGUUCUGCAUUGAAUACUUAGAAAACAUAAGAAUUUGAAUGUAAAUGCAAUUGAUGCUAUGAUAAGCAUUUAUCAAGUUAUCAGUAUCCCAAUAUUAACUCUGUUUUUAAAUAAGGUAAACACCCUCAAUAUCCCAAACUGCAAUAAUCUCUAGAAUCUACUAAUCAAUUAGGAUUGUUGUACAUCAGCCCCCAAAAAUUGAGAAAUUCAAAAGUUCAGGAAUCUUUUAUUGAACCAGCAUGUCUUCUAACAUGGACAGCAAAGAAAAUAUAUCUUCGAGAAAUACCCAAAUAAUUUGGGUGCCAGCAACCACUCAUUAAUGAUGACAAAGGAAGAUGUCGCUGAGAGUUUGCAUACAUCAGAUAUUGUGUUUGAGGGUUUUUUUUUUUUUUUUUUUUGGGGGGGGGUGUGGAUUCCAAGAUAGCAUUAAUUGAGACCCCAAAGUUUGCACCAAAGACAUGCAUGCACAAAUCUUUCACAGCAAAGUUAGGGUCGUCUAUUACUCUCCAUGCAAGGAGUUUGCCUUCACCAUAUCUUAAUUCAUGAAUUGGAGUAUAGUGACCAAAAUUGUAUAUUUUUGCAUCCAAUAUCAGCAUCCAGGAAUCCUAGUUUAUAGGUCCAACCACAGACGAAAAAACAUGCAAUUCACACAAUGCUAUAAUGAAUAUUGUACAGCAGAAAACAACUUGCAGACCUGGAGGAUGACAGAUGAAGUAAUGAACCCAAAAGCAUAUUCACCGAUACGUGGAUGUCUUAUAAUGGCCACUUCCUUGAAAGCUUGAGUAUUUUGGUCUAGAACACAUAACAAGCAUGAUAUGUGAAUGGCAGCUGCUUAAACACAUCCAAUGAAAACAUGAGGAUUAAGCUGAGCGCAGACCUGGUGAUAUGGCAGCACUAAUUUGCUUGGAGGCAUUAUAAAUAUGACGAACAAAUGGCAUCCGUUUGAUAAACCACUCCCCAAGGCUCAGGACAGAAGCUCCCAACCAAGAUGACAUGAAUACCCCAACCAAGAAAAUGAAUGUUAUGGAGGUUAUAAAUCCAAGACCUAACAAAGACCCCAAAAAAAGCAAGCUAAAUGAUCAGUAAGAAUAUGAAUUGCUUGAUAAUAUGCAUUUAUCCUUGGACAGGAAAAGGCUUAUGAUGCUAAAUUUAAACAUGCUUACCAAAGAUAUCAAUUCCAAGAUGGGCAUAGAUUGGAGAGAAGAAUCCAUCCACAAAGUGAACAAACCACCAUGUUAUGUAGAAAGUGAUUGCAAUGGGAAACAGUAUGACACUGCAAAACAGCCAAGUGUGAGCAAAAUCUGUAAUAGAUUGAGCACAAUAUGCAAGACAAUAAAUAAAUUCAAUCAUCAAAUUCAUAUCUUCAUAUUUGGAUGAAUUAUUAAAAGCAUGCCAAAAGAAAGACACGAAACAGACAUGAAAUCUUAUAUGUUAUAUAGUAUUCUGAAUAAAUGAAUUUCUAAUCCAAAAGAAAGGCACGAGAUACAUGAAAUCUUAUAUGUUAUAGUAUUCUGAAUAAAUGAAGUUCUAGGUUCACCAAGUACAACUACAGUCCAUGGUAUCUGUUCUAGUGUUCAUCUGGCAGGAAAAGACUACAUCCAUUCACAUGAAAGGGGUCAUUGGUUUCCAUCACAACCGACAGGAGCAGCAGCGCAAGUAACACACACCCAAUCAAUUUACAUGGUAAAAAGAAAAUUCCUCAUGCACCAAGCAAAACAAGGACUACCUUGAAAAAUUUCUACUUUCACACAAUCUUUAAUGGUAAGUGAAAUCUCAAGUACUUGCCGCUGCCCAAAAAACAAGAUGAAUUGAUGUCAAAAUAAAAUUUUAAAAGCAAAUCAGUACAAAUUUUAGUUGCAUCAUAAUGUGUUUCAAAACUCCCCCAAUAAUCAGAAAAUAAUAUAACAGAGAGACAUCCUAGGCGAUCUCAUUGCUAUGACAAAUCUGCGAUAGUUGCAAAAUUCAUAGUGUAAUGCCACCAAAGAUCAGACAAGAAAUACACAUUCAAACAGAUAAAAAUCUUGCUAAGGGUGCAGUCAAGAGCAUGGCAUUAUCUUGUUCUUGUAAUUUUCACAAAACAAUGUCAAUACAUGUAAAAACUGCCAAAUUAUUCCCUAGUAUUUUUAUUUUUGUGUAUGUCUGUCUGUCUAACAUUGUGAAAAGAUGCAGCAUUUAUUCAUGAAAUCAAGGGAAUAAAGGAGAUGGAAGAGAGAGUAGUGCACCAUCCUGUCAUGAACUUUUUUGAAGCCCAGCUCCUAACAACUUUGUAAAACGUCUACACAAACAAAAGACAGAAAAUGUCAGAUUAAUUUUUAUUUUAUUUUAUUUUUGUAAGGAAAAAAGAAGAAGAAGAAGCAGCAGCAAUUUGCCAACAGUCAGCACAUGAAGUAAUCCUCAAAUAUGCGAAAUUUUUCACUGAUAACCUUAAUUUAGUAUUUCGCAAUGUCAUAAUUAAAUCCAUAAUUAUAAUUUUCUCAAUUAACUGUAACCCUUUGAAUUAACCAUUAAAGCUGUGUGUGUGUGUGUGUGUGUGUGUGUGUGAAAUACACACACACACACACACACACACAAUUGAUAACUUAUUUCCUCAAAAAUCAAAUUAAAAAAAUCAGCAAUCAAGUGAAUUAUUAUUAAGCUCAAACUAAACUUAUAUUUAGCAGACUUGGAGUUUCAAUUACAAGAAGAACAAUAAUAAUGAUAAUAACAAUUAACUCCACAAAACAAAACUAAACAGAUGAUUUUUUUUUAUAAAAAAAAAAAAGCCCUAAAAAGUCAAAAGGCGAGAGGGAGAGGAAUUUAAUUAAACCUCGCGUCCUGAGUGAUGCGAUGAUGAGGAAGAAGAAGAAGAGGGUUUGGAAGCGACUUCAACAUCGGGGGAGUCAGCGACCGGUAUGAGAAGCUCUCGAUCUCUACUCGCCAUCACGAUCGCCGAUUUCUCAUCUCCCAUCACUUGUAAUCGAAAACGACACCGGUUUCCUUAUCGAUGGAUGGAUAGAGUAGUAUGUAUCUAGAUUCUACACUACUCUAAUAAGGUUCGGAUUUAUUUUGGAAAAAGUUUCUUUUGAAUUCAAAAUCAAUCAAUCUAUCUAUCUAUCAAAGGCAGGGGAGUGAAGCGUUUGCUUUUUUUCUUUGUUUUGUUCUUAAAAAAAUAAAUAAUUAAUUUUUC
rnacentral:lncRNA from 1 species